CUUCUCUUGUAACAUGGACUGCUCAGAGAUCUAAUGUUUUGUUAUUGAUAUCUGAUUUCAGUCUGAUUAUCUGCGUAAAAUAUCUCUGAAGAUGCUUACAAUGGAGACCAAGUCUCAAAAUACCAUACCCACUGGCAAUGGUAACAAACCCCUGGAUCCAGGAGGUAAUAAUGCAGCCAAGCAUUGAAUUUCUAAACAUCCUUACCUUUUGUUUUAUAUUUUGCAUUAUUAUCAAACUCUUUUACAUUUUAUUGCUGCAUCCUUACUCUUUUACCAUUAGGGAAAUAAUUUCUAAAAAUUACAGAUUAUUUUUGCCCCCCCCCCCCCCCCCCCCCCCCCGCCAGCCCCAAAAUUGUCAAAUGGCACUUUUAUGCUUUGAGUCAAAACCACCUUAAUUAUUUCCCUCAUAACUUUAUGUGUGAACUGUCAUUGUUUCAUUUGUUUUUCUUGUUCAAUGCCUUCUUUUUUUCCUUUGACAUGGUUAUCCUUUUUGCCUUUUAUCUUGAACAGCAUCUCAUAGUAUGCCGCCUCAAGUUCACAACCAAGGGCAGUCGCUCCCUAUCUCAUUGUCCAGUAAUCAGCCUCAAGCACGUCAGCAGUUAUCACAAAACAUGCAGAAUAGUAUGUCAUCUAAUGGAGUUCAAAGUUCUGCUGGUUUACAAUCAGCAAUGCCUUCUGUCUCCAGUUUAACCCAGACUAUCGCAAACACUGUUGGACAGAAUGCUAACAUGCAGAGUAUCUCUGGUGUUUCACAGAACCCAGUUGGGAAUUUAAUGGGACAAGGGAUUCCCUCCAAUAUGUUUGUCAAUUCUCAGAGACAAAUGCCAGGCAGGCAACAGGUUGUUCCUCCACAGCAACAGCAGCAGUCCCAAAAUCCUCAGCAGUAUCUUUAUCAGCAGCAGAUACAACAACAGCUUUUAAAGCAGAAGCUUCAACAGGGAAAUCAUCCACACUCACUUGUGCAAUCUCACAUCCACCACCAGCAGCAGCAGCAAAACUUGUUACAGCCAAAUCAGUUGCAAUCUGGUUUGCAAACAUCAACUGUUAUGCAGCCUUCAAUGAUGCAAACCGUCUCUGGCCUUCAACAGAACCAACCAUCUUCUGUUCAACAGUCAACACAACCAAUGCACCAGCAACAUCCACAAUCAGUCCUUAGGCAGCAGCAGCAACAACCUCAACAGUCUGCUGGUAUUCAUCAGCAGCAAACACCAAUGAUGCAGCAGCCACUAUUGCCUCCACAACAGCAGCUAAUGGGGCAACAAUCAAAUACCACUAACAUGUCGCAAAAUCAGUUAAUUGGACAGCAAAACAUUGUUGGGGACUUGCAGCAGCAGCAGCAGAGAUUGCUAGGGCAGCAGAAUAACCUUCAAAAUCUGCAGCAGCAGCAGCAGCAGUUAAUGGCUCAACAAAAUAACCUCUCAAGUAUGCAUCAGCAACAGUUGGGCCCUCAAAGUAAUGUCACUGGUUUACAGCAACAGCAGUUGCUUGGAGCUCAGCCUGGUAACUCAAGCAUGCAAUCUAAUCAGCACUCUCUACACAUGCUGCAACAGCCCAAGGUUACGCUGCAGCAGCAAGCACAACAAAGUGGAAGUGCUUUGUUGCCGAAUCAAGGGCAGCAGUCACACUCACAGCUGCCACAGCAGCAAUUGAUGGCACAGAUUCAAUCACAGCCUGGACAGCUGCAACAGCAAUCAAAUCCAUUACAACGUGAUCUGCAGCAAAGGCUUCAAGCAUCAGGCUCCUUGCUUCAACAGCCGAAUGUGAUUGAUCAGCAAAAGCAGUUAUAUCAACCUCAAAGAGCCCUUCCAGAAACGUCCUCAAGUAAGUUUUUGUCAUCCUUGCAGCUUUCUAGCCUUGCUCCAACUUUAAUUUUGCAGCUUUGUGCUUUCAUGUUAGAUUAUAACAUAUUUAUUUAAAUUUCUUGAAAAUACAAUAAUGGUUCAAGUCAGUAAUGCUCUUUUUGGUAGCUUUAUGAGCUACGGCUGCCACUUAUGGCAUCAGAAAUGCCACUGCUAUUGGAGCCAUUGUAAUCACACAUACAUUUGUUACGACAUCAUGCCAUCCAGUGCAUUGCACCAACUAUUCACCUCUCAUAAUGGUUCAAGUCAGCAAUGCUCUUUUGGUAGCUUUAUGUUCUACUGAUGCCACUGCUAUUGAAACCAUUGCAAUCACACUCGUUUGUUACCACAUCAUGCCCUCCAGCUCAUCGCACCAAUUGUUCACCUCUCAUUUUGAAUUUAACAGACAUGAAUUUUAAAAAUAUAUGUAUAACUGGACAAUGCAUUUGACACUAGGGUAACUAAUCAUCAGCCAAUUGAUUUUUAUGGGAAGAAAGAAAUUAGCAAGUGGACUAACUCUGAGGCACUUAAGGUUUGGUGUGCUGAUAAAUCAUUGAGCCUUUUUUUUUAAUAUAUAAUGAUCACUUGUUGGGGGGGGGGGGGGGGGGGAAGCAUUUUAAAGGGUCUCUCUGUCUAUUUGAAUGAUUACAUAACGUUGAGAUGGAGUUCCUAGUACUCCAAGUCCAAAAAGGACUUGUAUUCCUAUGUAAGAAAAUACCAAUGGUCCUAUCUGGGAUAGGGAAAACCUAUUAAAGCUCCUUAUUCUUUAGGAACAAUAAAAUACUAAAUAGAAAUAAAACCAAGACCUACAAUAUUCCAUAAUUUUCAGCAAGUGUGAAAAUUACAGAAAUACCCUUGUGUGCAGAAAACAUUCAUAAAAUACAUGAAUUCUAAUCUUUUGUUGGCUGUAUCAAAAUUUUUGUAGCAUCCCUAGAUUCUACAGCAGAGAUUGGACAUGCAAAUGGUGCUGAUUGGCAAGAGGAGAUCUACCAAAAGGUAAUUUCUGUAGUUUACUGUUCAUUAGAUGAAGUUCAUGUAUGUCAUUGUCUUGCAAGAUUUCAAUGGAAAAGGUCUCCUGGAAUUUGGUACAAGGGAGUUUUAUUCAGCUAUGGUUGUGAUUAGUUAGGAAGCAUUGUAAGUUCCAUGAUUGCAGCAACUAAGAAACGAUAAAUUACUGAUAAGAUGAUUAAAGGUAAAUAAUCAGAUUUCUAGGUCAAGAGGGUUAUUUUCUUGGUACUGACACGACAAUUUUUUCUAUUGCAAAUCUCUCCCUUUCAAUUUUUUCCCUGUAUUUCCAUACAUUUAUUGUGUGGUGAAUUAUUAUUUUAUUAUUUCCAAUAAGUCCAAUUGACAAUACUUCUUACUGUAAUAGACAGACUUGAAAACAAGAGUGAACUGUUUCUGAAUAGUCAUCGUUAUAUUUGGUUAAGUGAACAGUUAUUUUCAGGAUUACAAUCAAAUUUGUUCUGAAACAUGUGACAAUGGAAGAAAGGAAAAUAAGUGGACCUAAUCCAUUGAAUCAUGACCAUGUCCAGUAUUGUUGAAUUUUAUAGAAAACGAGGUUGAAAUUCUGAAUCGUUUAAUGGCUGUAGUUGCAAUUCAUAACUGCAUAUUUGAUGAGGUCAAUUUUUUUGUGCCUGGGAGGGUACUAAAACGGGAAUAGGAGUGGUUGUUGAUAAUUAGGAUAUAAGGGUUAUAAAUCUAAAGUUAUAAGGCUAAGAAGUGUUUACCAAAGUCGUGACAUCCAUUGACUUGAGUUAGAACAAUAGAAAACAAUGGUGAGUAGUUUGCCGUGAGACAAAGUAACUGAACUUGACCAACCCCUGAAUCUUGUCUGAAGGGGUAACUACACAAUCCUUUGCAUGCAAUCAAUAACGAUAUUCUCUUUUGAGUUUUCGGCAUUGAUUCCACUUUGCUAUUUUUAUCUCAAACAAUAUAUGCUGUCCUCUGCCAUUUUAUUUAUUUAUUUAUUUAUCAAUUCUCUCAAGUUUGCUUAUGUUUCUUUCUGACUCUGGCACGUGAAGAAAUCAAGCAUAUGAUUGAUAAUGUCUUGCUGGUUAUAUGUACUUCCUAGAUCAAAGUUAUGAAGGAAACGUAUUUGCCUGAAAUAAAUGAAAUGUACCAGAGAAUUGCUACCAAGUUACAGCAGGUAAAUUGUCUUUGUAAUUUUUUCCGAUUUAUUUGCCCACACAUAUUCAUAAACCCCCACAGUUGAGCUUUUGUAUUAAUUUGUUUUCCCCAUCAGCAUUGCUUGUCACUGUAUCAUCUGCACUAAUUACCUCCCCCACCCCCAACCACCCCACAACCAUGCAUUGACACAGAAGAAUUGGAAUAGAAACAUUUUUUUCACUUAUGUUUUACUAGUUUUGCUAGAAAGGAUCAAUGCAAUUUUUAAUUCUCGUGUAUGUUAACUUUGCUUUCCAGCAUGACCCUCUUCCGCAACAACCGAAGUCAGAACAGCUUGAAAAGCUGAAGGUAUUCAAGGUCAUGUUGGAGCGCUUGAUAACAUUCUUACAGGUCUCUAAAAACAACAUCACACCUAAUUUCAAGGAGAAAUUGGGUUUCUAUGAGAAGCAGAUUGUAGGUUUUCUAAACCCAAGCAGAUACAGGAAGCCUAUUCCUAAUCUACAGCAAGGACAACCUCCCCAACCUCGUAUUCAACCUAUGCAGCAACCCCAAUCUCAAGUUCCUCAAUUGCAGUCCCAUGAAAAUCAACUGAUUCCCCAGUUGCAAUCAAUGAAUACGCAAGGUUCUGUACCACAGAUGCAGCAGAACAAUAUGUCAAGCUUGCUGCAUAAUUCCCUUUCAACUUUAUCUGGGGAUUCGACGUCACAAUCAAACAUGAUGAAUCCAAUACAACCAGGCUCCAAUUUAGAUUCUGGACAAGGAAAUGCACUGAGCUCAUUGCAGCAGACACCUGUAGGAUCUGUACAACAGAAUCUCGUGAGCAUUUCCCAACCAACCAAAGUUAACACAUUGUCAACACAAAGUGGGGGGAGUAUGCUGCAGCCAAAUAUUCCCCUUCAGUCGAAUUCCAAUAUGAUUCAACACCAGCAUCUAAAACAGCAGCAGCAGCAGCAGCAUGAACAACAGAUGCUACAAACACAACAGCUUAAACGAUUCCAGCAACACCAGAAUUUAAUGCAGAAUCAACAGAUGCAGCAGCAGCAAUUACACCAGCAAGCUCCGUCUCCUAUGCCAGGAGAUUCUGACAAACCAGUUUCUGGUAUUUCCUCACUCUUAGAUACUGGAAAUAUUGUACACCAACCAUCUGUUGCACAAGCACUGGCUCCAUCCCUUGCAAUUGGCACUCCUGGGAUAUCUGCAUCACCUUUGCUUGCAGAGUUUACCAGUCCUGAUGGUGCUCAUGGCGGUGCUUUGACAACUGUUUCUGGCAAGUCAAAUGUUACAGAGCAAUCACUUGAGUGCUUGAUUAAAGCGGUUAGUGAUGCUCUCCUUUUGGUUUUACUCCACCCCACCCUUAUUUUGGAGGUUUCUGAAAAAGAAAGAAACUUCUUUGUGAAUGAGAUGGUGAUGCUGCAAUUUUUUUUCCCAGGUGAAAUCUCUGUCUCCCAAAGCACUUAGUGCAUCUGUCGGUGACAUUGGCUCCGUUGUCAGUAUGAUUGACAGAAUUGCUGGUUCUGCAGCUGGUAAUGGAUCUAGAGCUGCAGCUGGUGAGGAUUUGGUAGCAAUGACAGGAUGUCAUCUUCUUUCGUUUUUGUCUUUUUUAUUUUUCACGUGUUUCUCACAAGAUGGGAACUCGAGGGAAUAAAAAGUGCUGGGAAGUAAUUUUUGUUGGAACGUCUUGUGUAACAUCUUCUUUCGAUGAUGACCUUUUGGAUGGCUGCAUGAAGCUUGUUCCGCUUUAAAUUUCAAGGUUAAUCUAUUUCAAUUUGAAACUUGAGUUGCAACUGAACUUAAAUGAAAAGUGUUGGAUUUGGGCCUCUAUUUGUUUUAACUUGUACAGGGUUGAAGUGAUAGUGAUCUUAAAAGUACAAAAGCAGCAGACAAAAAUCAAUUAGCCACAAUAUAUAGUGUAUGGUUUCCUACUUUCUCAGUAUAAAGUUGAAUGUUUUGGUGAUAUAAUCUCUACAUCCAAAAUCAUAUAGACAGCUACUGCUGGCACUUGCAGUAGCCAAUGUUAACCAAAAUCAUAUAAUCUUAAAGUUGAAUGUUGUAUUUUCAUAAAUUAAAGGGAUUUCUCUUCUUUUCUUUGUCAAUUACAGUGCAUCAUAAUAAGUUUUCUUACUCAGUAAAUGCUAUUGUAAUUUUUUCACAGAGACUCCCCUGUUUUGCAACUAAUUCACUUCUGAAUAAAUCUGGGAAACAGAAAGGCAAUCAACAAAGAGUAAGGCAUCUUCUGAAGAAACAAAGAAAUUUAAUACCAUAAACUAAGCAGCACGUAGAAGGCAAAAACUGAGCACAAAUUUUCAGGAAGGGACAAACGAAAAAAACCAAAAAGAAAGCAAAGAAAAAUACAGACUCAAAUUCACAACACCCAUUUUCUUUCCAUUGGAACACUUUAAAUAGUUUAUUAAAUUUAUAAUGAUCUGAUUUCUACGCAUAUAAAAAAAUCAACUAAAUGAUCAAUUCUCUAUAAUUUCGGCAUUACUAAAAACAUCCAAACUAAUAAACAAUUAGUUAUUUUACUCAUUUUAAUAAACAUUUUAGUUAUGAAUUCACCAAACAUUUUGAACAAUUCAUAUUGAUGAAUUAACAUUUAAAUUUUAGAUUUUUUGAUUUAUUAUUUCCUUCGUGAGUUACUUCUAAAGUAUGCUAUAUAUCUUUAAGCAUUUUUAUAGAAUAUAAUUCUAUCAAAUUCACUUUUACCCAAUGCAUAAUAUAAAGUAUUCAUGGCUUUAACAUCCAUAAAAAAUAACUUUUUAUCAUUGUCCGUAUAUUCCCUUUUAGUUUUAGAAAUCUCAAUACCAUUUUUAAUUUGAUAGGUCUAGGAGAUCUAUUUUGUAUGGAUAGCCACAAAUUAAAAUCAAUAAAUUGAUAAUAAAUUAUCAUUAAACAAUUUAUUACUUGCUCUUUGGUAAUAAGAAUGUGAUUGUAAUAUUAUUUUGUAUGGAUAGUUUUAUCUAUCUAUUAUCUCAAUAACAAGAUUAACUUUGCAAUUAUAUAUCACACUUAUAUAAUCUCAAAUAAUAUUAAUUAAAAUGAAUCACAAAAAUUUAACACAGUAAUUCUGCAAAAAAAAUAAAAACAAUUUAAUAAACAAUUUAACUUUGCAAUUAUGUUUUUAUUUGUUUGUUUUUCUAUGAGACACAAUGGAAUUUUCAAUAGAAACUACAACAAUACAAAUAAUUACAAAUAUUUUUCUUUCAACAUCAACAUAAAAAAACAUUAUGCACUUUUCGAUACUUACGUAAUUCUAGGAUUAAAGAAACAAUAACAUCUAAGGGGGGUGAAUUGGGUGUUGCACUAAUUAUAUCAAAUAAUGGUGUUGCACUAAUUAUAUCAAAUAAUGCAAUAAUUAACAAUAUAAUUAAAGUGUUUAAAGUAAAUAGAUAAGGAAAUAGAUAUUACAAACUCGGUUUUUAAUGUGAUUCGGUAAGCCUACAUCUACACCUCAAGUACUAACCGUACUUGAGUAUUGUACUCUUUUACCAAUCCAAGUGAAAUAUACAAAUGCCCUUGAUAAAUCCACACCGAGAAAUUAUACCACUUGAAGUUUUUUCUCUUGGUGACAAUACAUCACUAAUGCUAGGAGUUUAUCCAAACUCACAAAUGUUUACAAUUAUAAUUUGUUUGCAACAAGAUUCACUCUCUCAUAAAGUAAAUUGUACAAUUGAAAACUAUAAUCUUUAUAACUCACUCGAUAGCACUCAAGAUGAUUGAAAGUGUGUAAAUAUAAUGAGUGUGAGACAUUAUACUCAUGUGUUAGAAUAUAAAGAUUUAAUUUAGCACAACUUAAAAGCAUGUUAUGAUUGAUGAUUUCUAAUUGAUUUUUUUUUAAAAUAACUUCUAUGUUAUAUAUGUUUGGAAUCUCUCUUUUAUUUGUUAUAUAUAUAUAUAUAAACUAAUUGUUUAUAGUUGUUGAGAUGUCUCUAACAGCUAAAGUAAUCUAUAUGCAACUUAAACAAAAGAAUUCCAAUUAAAUGGAAUUGCACUUAACAUGUAUUAUUUCAAAUGCAACAAUUGCAUAGAUAACAGACAACAAGGAAUUUAACAGAAGAUAUAUACACUUUACUUUUCCUACUAAAAUUAAACUAUUGGAAUUUAACAUAGUCAUAAUCAAUUUGUUCUUGUGAGAUUAUCUAUUACAUGUAUAACAAAUAUAUUAGAAAAUAAAUUGUUUUAAGAUUGUUAGAACACCUUAAAUAGUUCAUAAAAUUAUUGUUCCAUUUUACUAUAAUAAUCAAGUUUCCACAUAAUAUAAAUCAUGCAUAUAAAUUAAUAAUCAAAAUAAAAAUUAAAUUAAGAUAACAAUCAAUUUUUUAACUUUAAAAUAAUUUAUCAUCUAUUUUCUAAUACUAAUAGUAUGAUUGUAAUAUUAUUUUUUAAUUUAUUUAAUAAUUUAAUUUUGAUAGCACAACCAAAAAUAAAUAAUGAACCAAAAUUUAUAUGAUAUUUUUUAUAAAAAAUUUGAUAAAAAAAAUAUAAAAACAAAAAUAAUGUCUCAAUUAGAAUAAUUUUUUCAUUAAUGAGAAGGCCCACCACAGACCAAGAGGACAGCUUCAAUGAAGCCAAUGCAGGUGAUUACCCGUCGGCUAACAUCUCCUCGCGCGCCUAGCACCAGCUAAACCGCCUCAAUCUGAACAUGCACCAGACAAAGUCUAUGAAAAGACGCCAGGGAGCCUCAGCAGCCGAGAAGAAAGCACGGGAACACCCACCGCGCGAGAAGAAACGCGAAAAACAGGAGACGGAGCGCGGUAAAGACUGAAGCCACAGGAUUCACAUACAGUGAAGCACUCUUAGUUUUAUAUAUAUAUAAUUCUUUUAGUUUGUUAGUUAUGAACAGUGAAGCAGCACAAGAAUACAAUUCUCCUGUUUGUUUGCUGGAAAAUAGUUUUUUUUAGAAAGUGAAUUAUUUUCCGAUGUUUGGUAGUGUAAUGGAAAAUAAGUUAGAAAACAUUUUUCAGUGUUUGGUUAUGUCAUGGAAAAUGAGUUGGAAAAUAACUUAUUAAUAUUUUAUUUUUUUCAAUUUUAUUAAAAUAAUAAAGAAUAAAUCUUACAAAUUAAAAAGUUGAAUGAAAAUAAAAUUGAAAAAAAAUAUAAUUUCAUAAAUUAUCUUAAAUAAAAUAAAUAAUAAUCAAAAUAAUAAAAAUCAAAUCUAAAAAAUAAAAAAUUUGAUCGCUUCAUUAAUUUCUCGUUAGGAAAAUGUUGAGCUUCUCAGCAAUAUUUCCUUACCUUGUGCCGCUAACUUGACGGUAAAAUGUGAUUAAAGGAUCAAUUAAUUAUUUAAAUCAACUUGAGGGAUUAAUCUGUUUGUUUAACAAAAAUACAGACACUAGUUAAAUAGAAUUUAACUCAAAUUUUAAUCAUCAUAUGCGUGCGUGUGCGUGUGCGCACGCGUGCGAGCGAGGGUUUACUCGUUAAUUUUUUUAGAAGGAAUCUGGAAAAGAAUAAAGUCAUCUAUUUCACUUUGGUCCAACAUCCCUCAAAGGCGCAGCUGUGCAUCUAGUUAGGAAGAACAUUUUAUAACUCACCUCAAGGUCGAGCAUGGUCAGGGUUAUUGUGUUGUCUAUUCCGAGGAAGAUGUGGCGUUCAAUCCAUGUGAAUCGCACGACUUGUCCAUAUCUUUCUUAUUGAUUACAAAUAGCAUUGAGAAUUAAAGAAUAUUAUCUUAAUAAGUUCCAAUUUAUUCUACAAAACUAUAUAUAAAGAUGUGACAAAAAGAUGUAUACAAAUUAGUUAUUUAUUGUUUGUAAGUAUUAUUGUAUUGCAAAGACAAAAAUAAGAUGCAACUUAUGGCGUGGUCGUCCAACCUGGUUCUGGUUUUGAUCCUGUUCAAAAUCUAUUUUGUUGAAUUGUUGAUCUACUUGUGAGUUAUUGGGUUAACUAGAUCAAUUUUUUAAACAAAACAAUGCCAUUUUAAAAAAAAAAUUGGUUCUGACAUAGAAAUAUAAUAUUAGAAACUUAAACCUUAUUGAUUAGCAAAAACUCAAUGGGAAAUUUAGUUUUGAAAUAGAUUGUUGUAAAAUCAAAUAUGAAUUGAUAACCAGAAAGUUUGCUUAAAAUUGCAAUAACCUUAUAGAAGAAAGCAAACAUAAAUAGAAUUAUUAAAUUCAAUGGAGUUCAUAUAACCAGGAUCACGAGUUUAGCGAGUUAAGCCAUGAAACCCUAAUCGAUCAAAUAUGUCGCCGUUUCAAUUAAAAAAAAUACAUCUUAAAAAGAAUUAAGCUAAACCACGUUUCUACCUAUUAUCUGGGUUGUCUUUAGACUUGUCAAGUCGACUGAGCCAUAUUAGGACAACUUCCAUAUAAUUAAAUUUGAAACUCGAGCUAGAUAAGAAAUCAGGUCAGGAAAUUUUAAUAUUGAUUUGUUGAAUCGGAUUUAAUAACAAUGCCAAAGAUCUGAAUAUUUAUUUUUUACUCAAUUUUUUUUAGGUCCUGUUUGUUUGAUGGAAACAGUUUUUUUUUAGAAAGUGAAUUCCUGUAAAGUGAAUUAUUUUCUGAUGUUUGGUAGUGUGAUGGAAAAUAAAUUAGAAAAUAUUUUCCAGUGUUUGGUUAUGUUAUGAAAAAUGAGUUGAAAAAUAGCUUAUUAAUAUUUUAUUUUUUUUCAAGUUUAUUAAAAAAACGAGGAAUAAAUCUUACAAAUUAAAAAGUUGAAUGAGAAUGAAAUUGAAAAAAAUAAUCUAAUUUUAUAAAUUAUUUCAAAUAAAAUAAAUAAUAAUCAAAAUAAUAGAGAUCAAAUCUAACAAAUAAAAAAAUUGAAAGAUGAUGAAAUUAAAAUAAUAAUAAUUACAAUUUCAUAAAUUAUUUCAAAUAAAAUAAAUAACAAUUAAAAGAAUAAGGACCAAAUUUGAUAGAUAAAAAAUUUCAAUUAAAAAAAUGAUAAGACAAAAGCAAAUAACAAUCAUAAAAAUAAGGACCACAGUUAAUAUAAAAAUCAAAUUAAAUCAAAUUUUAAGGAAGGAAAUUAAAAAAAAAGAUUCAAACAAAAUAUAUAUCAAUUAAAAGUUUGAAGACUAAAUUUGAUAUAAUCAGCAAAUAAUAUGAUAUUUCUAAAUUUUUCACAACUUCUGGAAAAUGUUUUCCGUCCAAAAUAAAAGGAAAAUACUUUCCUGAAAAUCGAGUUAAAUUUUUCUUUGACUGUAAAGUGUUUUCCAUUGACCAACUUUUUUAAUGACAAACAAACACAUGAAUGUUUGGAAAGUGGUUUCUAGAAAAUUAUUUUCCAGGCAAACAAACACCCCCUUAAUUCAAUCACUAAAGAGUUAUCCAAGAAUAAUUAUUCUCCACUAGCAGUUGUUGCAUACUAAAUUUUUUUUGUCAAAACAUACAUGAUAGGUGGCUUCAAUAUCAAUCCACCAUUUUUUAGGAUUUUCCAUGAAGUUUACUUCUAAUAUAACUACAACAAGCUUAGUAGCUUUCUCAUCAACAUUCUCAAUCAUAUGCUAAGAAAUCAUGGUUUUGUUGAGCUUUGUUAUCAUCAUAGGCUUGAUGAUGGAAGGAUUAUUGCUUCAUCAUGCUUUAUAUUUAAGUUCACGCCACUCAAAUUAUUUUGGUUUUUUCCCCACAUGAAGAAUGUUUAGGAAUCGGGUUUGCCAUCUAAACCACAAAGAUUACUAGGUUAACAAGUACAUCGAAAUCAUUAACAAUAGUUUUAUCCAUCUAUUAUCUCAAUAAUAAAAUUAACUUUGCAAUUAUAUAUCACGCUUAUAUAAUCUCAAAUAAUAUUAAUUAAAAUGAAUCACAAAAAUUUAACACACUAAUUGUGCAAAAAAACAAUUUAAUAAACAAUUUAACUUUGCAAUUGUGUAUUUAUUUAUUUGUUUUUCUAUAAGACACAAUGUAAUUUUCAAUAGAAACUAUAACAAUACAAAUAAUUAUAAAUAUUUGUCUUUUGACAUCAACAUAAGAAAACAUUAUGCACUUUUUUAAAGUUACGAUAAAAACAAAUCUGAUUGAUACUUAUGAUAUUCUAGGAUUAAAGCAAUAAUAACAUCUAAUAGAGAUAAAUUAGGUGUCAAACUAAUUAUGUCAAAUAAUACAAAUAAACAUGCUAAACACAUAUAAUAUAAUAAUCAACAAUAUAAUUAAAAUGCUUAAAAUAAAUAGAUAAGAAAAGAGAGAUUACAAACUCGGUUUUUAACAUGGUUCAGUAAGUCUACAACCACAUCUCAAGUACUAAUCGUAAUUGAGUAUUGUAUUCUUUUACUAACCAAUAAUAUAUUAUUUCACCAGUAAUUAUUAUCCAAUAUGCAACUUUUUUUUCCAAUCUUCUGUUUUUUUUUUCCAUAUCAAUCCAACAAUAAAGAAAAUAACAUGUAACAUAAAAUUUCUUUCCCCGUAGAAUCAAUGCAACAAGUAUACAGAUACCACACAACAAACAAUUUAACAAGUCAUGUAAUUUAACAGAAGAUAUAUUUACUUUGCUUUUCCUACUAAAUUUAAACAACUUUUUUGUAAUCUAUGUCAACAUAUAAAACAUAUAUAUAAAUCAAUAAAAAAAAUAAAAAAUAGGUAGAGGUAAUGAUUAAUUUUUUAGCUUUAAAAUUUUUUAUCAUCGCCUCUUUAUGCUAGUAAUGUAAUUGCAAUAUUAUUUUAAAUUAAUUUAAUAUUUUAUUUUUGAUAACAUAACCAAAAAUAAACAGCGAACCAGAAUUUAUAUAGAGUUUCCUAUAAAAAUUUUGAUAAAAAAAAAUAUAAUAGAAAUAAGUUUAUAAAAACAAAAACAAUGUCUCAGUUAGAAUAAUUUUUUCAUUAAUGAGAAGGCCUGCCACAGACCAAGAGGAGAGCUUCAAUGAAGCCAUCCCAGCCGAUGCAGGUGAUUACUCAUCGGCUGACAUCUCCUCGCAUGCCUAGCACCAGCCAAACCGCCUCAAUCUGACAUGCACCAGACAAAGUCGAUGAAAAGACGCCAGGGAGCCUCAGCAGGCGAGAAGAAAGCGCGGGAACACCCACCGCGCGAGAAGAAACACGAAAAACAGAGACGGAGCGCGGUAAAGAUUGUGAAGCCACAGGAUUCACACAUAGUGCACCGUGUUUUAAUGAGUUAUAUGUAUAUAUAUAUAUAUAAUUAUUUUAGUUUAGUUUUAGUUUGUUAGUUAUGAACAGUGAAGCAGCACCAGAAUACAAUUCUUUUAGUUUGUUAGCGAAUUUGGAAAGAAUAAAGUCAUCUGUCAAGCUCUGUUCACUUUGGUCCGACAUUCUUCACCUCUCCCCACCUGAGCUCUCUCUCUUUCCCUCCUCCGCUCUAGGAAGCCGCCACCACCUCAACCAAUAAGGCUUCAAAUCUCCACCAGGUGCUUCCUUUUCUAUCAUGUUUUUUAUUUUUAAAAUUUACAUCUGUGUUUUCAUUUAUUUAACUGAAAUUCUUAUCCAGAGAGAUAAAUUCGAUUUUAAUAAGUAAAUUAAAAAGAUAUAUAAUCGGAUCGAUGAAAUCGUUGUUCGUGAACGCAACUCGAAGAAAGGCGUAAUCAGCCGAUUCUACUGUGGGUGGAGCAUUUAGUAUGGUCAGGGUUAUUGUGUUGUUUAUUCAAAGAAAGACAUGCCUGUAAAUUUGUUAAGUUGAUUCUUAUCAGUCUGCUCUUUAGAGUUAAUGAUAACAUGAAAUAUUCAUUGUUAAUGCUCGUUGUUUUCUUCGUCUUUUUCCUAGACUAAAACAUCCUAGACAGUCUCUUUGGGAUGGGUUAGUGUUUCUGGCCUCUUCAUCUUCAAUUUGUGCUGUGGUGAAAGGCCUCGUUUUAUGACUUUGUUUUGUAUUCUUCUUAUUUCUUUAUUCUUUUGGGGAUGUGGUGUUUUCCUCUUUCUAUUACACUAUUUACUCCCUACAAUAUUUAUUUUUUCAGAGAAGUAAAUAUAUGCAUAAAUAACAAAAACAGGAGGGGAAGGGGAAUGGGGUUUGAUAGUAAGUAUUUGCUUAGAAGGGAAUGCUUCUUCGGUUUAGAAGCACCAUGAAGAUUCUUUGCUUUGAAUGGCCGAAUACCCAGGAUCCUAGCACCUAGGCCUGAAUGUUUGUGUAUAUUUGUUAUGCAUCCAUAUUUGGCUGAAUUCUUUAAUAAAGUACAUGAUAUUAGACGGAAGUUCUUUUUAAAUCUAUUCAAGUCUGAAUAAACUGAUAUUCCAUUUUUCAUGUUCUUGAUGUGCUUUUGCUCUUCUUGUCGUUCCUGACUUUCUUUUAAGGGUCUAUUCUAACAUGCAAUAUGAUUUUUUUUUUCUUUUUGGUUGGCCAACUGUCCUAGGCGGAGAACCUAUCAUAGACACGGGUGAUUGGAGAAUUCAAUUGCAGCCUGACUCAUGGAAAAGAAUAAGCGACAAAAUGUAUGUGCAAGUGCUGCAAAAUAGUAAAUUUUUUUAUUUAUAUGAAAGAAAAGGAGAAUGGCAAAGGGUUAAUUAAAAUCAACAAGAUAGCCAUGAGGCAACCUCAAGUAUCACACACCUUUUUUUUUUUUCAUCUUUUAAUGUGUUUCUCACGAGAAGAAAACUUGAGGGAACAUAAAGUGAUGGGAAGUAAUUUUUGUUGGAAUUUCUUGUGUAAUCUCUUCUUUUGAUGAUGACCUCUUGGAUGGCUGCAUGAAGCUUGUUCCGCUUUUAAUUUCAAUUUAAAACUCGAGUUGCAAUUGAACUUAAAUGAAUGGUGUUGGAUUUAGGCCUUCUAUUUGUUUUAACUUCUACAGGGUUGAAAUGAUAGUGAUCUUAAAGUUGAAAAGCAACAGACAAAAAUCAAUUAGCCACAGUGGUGCAUGGUUUCGUAGUUUCUCAGCAUAAAGUUGAAUGUUUUGUUGACCUCUCUACAUCCAAAAUCAUAUAGACAGCUACUUCUGGCACUUGCAUUGGUCAAUGAAUACUGUAAAGUAUAUAUUGCAGUGUGAGAUAAGGUUAACUCGUUGCAUUUUCAUAUAUUGAAAAGAUUUGUCUUCUUUUCUUUGUCAAUUACAGCAAAUGUGUAGAAGUUACUCAGAGUAAAUGCUAUUGUAAUGUUUUCACAUACUCCCCUGCUUUGCAACUAAGUCACUAAUAUAUGAAGCUCGUAGCUAGAAUUUUUAGAUAGAAGGGUGGCCAAGUAAACUCCUAUAAUAUGUACCUCUGGAAUAAUACAGGGAAAAGAUGUCUAUGUAUUUUGAUGUCUUAUAAUACUUGACCAACUCUUGCUUAUCUUGUUGUUACCCAUUUUUUAGUUCACAUAAAAAUGAGAAAAUACAAAAAACAAAUAUCAAAAGAAAUCCAAAAAAUAAUAGGAGCGAGAAAAGGAUUGCUGGAAUGCCGAAAAAAAAAUGCCAAAAUUGGUUGAGGAGAUUCAAAAAUGCAAAAGGUUGAAAUUUGACAGUGAGAGUCCUGUUGAUGAGGAAAAUUCAAUUUGAGAAAGAAAAGUCCAAAAUCAGAUGUUUAUGGACUCAAUUAAAUUUUAUCCAAGGUUUAAUUGAAUUUAUAGAGGGUUUGAUUGCAAGAAAAUUGAUUUUGUAAGUCAAUUUAGGCUUUUAUCGGAAGAAAUUAAAGUUCUGGGGUCCAAUUAUAAUUUUAAAGAGUUGAUUUGGUCAAAUCAGGGGCUUAAUUGCAUAAUUAUUGAAGUUUGAUGGCCAAUUAGGGACUUAAUUGAAAUAAUUUGAGACCAAGGAUCAAACCAGAAAAGGCGCUAACAUUAAGGGAUCCAAUUACAAUUUUGUCAGGGGGGUUUGAUUAUAAAACAGCGAAAACUUCAAGGGCCAAAUUAGAAGAACCCAAGCGGCGCCGUUUCCACCAUUAAUGGUCUUCAAACAGCUGUGAAUCGGUGACGAUAAUGGAAGGAGACGUUAGCAGCAAUUAUGGAAAAUAUUCUCAAUUCAAUGGGGCUGGUAUCGCGGCUGACAUCCCUCGUCACCGUGAUGGGCGCCGGCUUACCAAUAUUGCUGGCGUCCUCUGGCUAUAAAAGCCAGAGGAAGAGCUGCACCAAAAAUAAAAGGAGGUGAGAGAGAGGAGAGGCUACAGUGAAGAAAAAAAAAGGGGAGUGAGACAGUUUAUGAGAACGUAAGAAAAGUGAGAGGGUGGAGAAAUAGCGAGCAAGCAUAAGGGAGAGAAGAGGAAGGAGAGAAAGAAGCAAACCGAACGGGAACAGAGGACACGGUGAAGCAGAGAACCCAGCACCACCAUCGUCUUCGUCUUCUCAAAAUCAGGUAUGUUCGAUGCCCUUCUCCGUUUCCUUGCAAAAUGAGAUGAUGCAUGUUAGUAUGUAAAAUACAGAAAGAAAAUAUAAGGAAACCGACACCAGAAAUCGCCAGUUACAAUGCUCUGUUUUGUUUUCCUUUUUCAUUCUCGCACUGCAACAAAGAUGGUUAACAGAGCGAAGGUAAUUUAAUUACCUUCGCCCUGUUCAUACAAGCCUAAAUAUAUUAUGGUGCCAUUAGAUAAAAAUAUGCCUUGCAGUCUAGAUGGUCAGCUUACCUGGCUCUCAUCCGAGAGACCCGGUUUCAAGUCCCAACAAGGGAAUUCCUUUUUGAAGGUGGUCACUGGCAUGGGCCAGUGACCAUGCUGGGCUAGCUGAAUCCAGCCCAGCUACGCAGGUUGGCUGGGGUCCAGCCCAGCCAUAUGGGCCGGGUUGGGCCCAGCAAUAAAAAAUAAAAGAAUAAAAAUAAAUAAAAAUUCAAAAAAAUUAUUUAAAUAUCUGUGAUUUUCCGUCAAUUUUUACUGCAUUUUAAUUAAUACGGUUUGUAUUUUUAUACUGUAAAGAUACAAAUCCGGUAUUAAAAUACCAUAUUUUGGUCCAAACAUUAAAAAAGAAGUUUUGUUUUCAUACAUACGGCUAAGUCUCUCAAAAAUAAAAAAUCAUAUUGUAUUUUCAUACAACAAAGAAAAUUUCAAAAAAUAUGUAUUAGCAUGCAUUUUGGCUUUAAUAACCAGUUUAUUAAAGUCACGAGAACUAGGCCAAUAUUUCAAAAAUUCUAAAAAAUUUAUUUUGUUUUCUUUUAAUAUCGGGGGCCGGGUUAUGAUCUUAUACGUAAGACGUGUUCCAGAUAUUAAAUUUUCUUUGUUGGCAUUAGACCGGUUAGGUUUUACCCGAUAAGAUAAGGAUCUCUUUACCGAAGAGAACUUUUCUUAAACCAUAAACGGACCAACAAAUAGAAAGCACAACAUGACCUUAGAUUUUAUCAGACAAUAAAACAAUGCAGCUUACCUUAGGUAGGGCGUAUUUGGGGUGCUAAUACCUUCCCUUUACGCAACCAAUCCUCGUACCCGAUCUCUGAGACCAGUUAGGGUUCCUAGUGACCAAAAUACUAGGUGACGACUUUCAUUCUAUUUUUUCACUGAUAAAAGACAAGAAUACCUUGUCUCCACACAUUUGCCACAUUUUUAGAUAAGAUAAGAUAGAAUUCGAGGGUGGAUGUUUUCGCCGCGACGCCGCACACGUGCGACAUAUCUCAUUAUUUGUUUUUACUUUUUGCUAAUGAUUCCACACAUUUCUGAAAUUGGUGUGGUUUAUGAGUUCAGGGUUCUUGCUUGCUGCUGCUAACUUCUCUAUACUUGCCUGGUCAUUAAAAAUGAAACGUAAUGAUUUGCAUGUGCAGAAUGGAGACAUUAAAGAGGGAUCUUCUGUUUUCUAGUCAGAAGGGAUUACAAGAACUCAAGAAAUAUGCCAUACGUUUUGAGGAAAAGAUUUAUAUUACCGCCACGAAUCAGGGUUCAAUAAUUAUGAUAUUCUCUUGACAUGAAUAUACACAUGCAUUUAUGCAUGUACAAAUGUGUGUGUAGUGUGCCUCCACUUCCUCACCGUGCAUUCUGUAUGCAAGGCUGAUUGGGAGUUCGCAUGUUUUUGUUAAUUCUCUUGACAAGUGUUUUAUCUAGAGUGACCAAGUUCAAGUACAAGGGAAGUGUGCAAAAAGAAAAUAGCAAAUCAAUACAUAAAUAAUUAAAUAAAAAGAGAGGAAACAGAAGUAUAUCCUCACAAACGAUGAAAUGAUAGAGCAUAUAUCCAUUUUCCUCCUCUUGUAACAUGGAUUGCUCUGAGAUCUAAUGUUUUGUUAUUAAUAUAUGAUUUCAGUAUGAUUAUCUGCGUAAAAUAUCUCUGGAGAUGCUUUCAAUGGAGAUCAGGUCUCAAAAUACCAUGCCCACUGCCCCCAUGGAUCCAGCAGGUUAUAAUGCAGCCGAGCAUUGAAUUUGUAAACAUCUUACCUUUUGUUUUGUUUGUCGCAUUGUAAUCAAACUCUUUUACAUUUUAUUGCGGCAUAUUGCUAUGUGUUUAGCAUGCUUUAAUCAAAAAGUUGAGUAAUUGAUGAAUGUUAGGCAAGAAUAUUACAGAUUGUUUUUGUUUUCUGCCUCCUCCUUUUCUUUCCUCCACCUUGAAAAUUGUCAUAUUAUUUUUGUUUUCAGUCGCCUCUUCUUCCCCCAUCCCUGAAAAUUGUCAGAGGACAUUUUUAUGCUUUGAAUCAAAUCCAUCCUAAUUUUUUCGCUCAUAACUUUAUGUGUGAACUGCAUAUGUUUCAUUUGUCUUCCUUGUUCAGUGCCUUCUUUUUUUCUGUGACAUGGUUUUCCCUUUUGCCUUUUAUCUUGAACAGCAUCCCAUAGUAUGCGCCCUGAAGUUCAGAAUCAAGGGCUGUUUCUCCCUAUCCUAUUGUCCACUGAUCAGUCUCAAGCAUGUCAGCAGUUGGUAUCACAGAACAUGCAGAAUUGCAUGGCAUCUAAUGGAGUUCAAAGUUAUGCUGGUUUACAAGCGGCACUGCCUCCUGUCUCUGGUGUAACCCUGACUAACCCCAACACUGUUGUCCAGAAUCCUAACAUGCAGAGUAUCCCUGGUGUUUCACAGAACUCAGUGGGGAAUUCAAUGGGACAAGGGAUUCCCUACACUAUGUUUGCCAAUUCUCAGAGACAAAUGCCAGGUAAUGCUCUUUUUGGUAGCUUUAUGUGCCACUGCUUCCCUUUAUGGCAUUAGAAAUGCCACUGCUAUUGGAACUAUUGCAAUCACACAUGCAUUUGUAACCACACGAUGCCCUACAGUGCGGUGCACCAACUGUUCACCUCUCAUAAUGGUUCAAGUCAGCAAUGCUCUUUUAGGUAGCUUUAUGUGCCACUGCUGCCACUUGUGGCAUUAGUAAUGCCAUUGCUAUUGAAACCAUUGCAAUCACACACGUAUUUGUUACCACAUCAUACCCUCCAGUGCAUUGCACCAGCUAUUCGCCCUCUCAUUCUGCAUUUAUAUGAUCACAUAACAUUUAUAUGAAGUUCUUAAUACAAAAAGGACUUGUAUUCCUAUAUAGGAAAAUACUAAUAGUCCUAUCUAGAAUAGAAAAAACCUAAUGAAGCUCGCUAUACUUUGGGAAUAAUUAAAUACUAAAUGGAAAAUAAAACUGAGACUCGUAAUAUUUCAUAAUUUUCAGCAAGCGUUAAAAUUAUAGAAAUACCCUUGUAUAUGGAAAACACACAAAAAUACAUGAAUUCUAAUAUUUUGUUGUCCGCAUUGAAAUUUUUGUAGCAUCCCUAUAUUCUACAGCACAGACUGGACAUGCAAAAGGCGCUGAUUGGCAAGAGGAGAUCUAUCAGAAGGUAAUUUCUGUGAUUUACUGUUCAUUAGAUGGAGUUCAUGUUUGCCAUAGUCUUGCAAGAUUUCAAUGGAAAAAGGUCUCAAGAAAAUAAGUGGGACUUAUUCCAUUGAAUCAUGACCACAUCCAGUAUUGUUGAAUUUUACAGAAAAUGAGGUUGAAAUUCUGAAUGUCUCAAGUCAUAGCUGCAUGUUUAAUAAGGAGAUUUUUUUUUUGUGCUUAGGAGAGUUUUAAAACGGGAAUAAGAAUGGUUGUUGAUAAGGACAAUUUUUUUUGUGCUGAGGAGACCAAUAUUUGCUGAGCAAUUCUAUAAUGAAAAGUUGGCGACUGAUGUUUUAAAAAUUGGAGUUAAGGAAUGGCUUAGAGUGCAUGGAGAUCAUGUUAAAAGUGAAGCUGUAGAGAAGGCAAUCACUCAAAUUAUGAUGGGUGAAGAAGCAGAGGAAAUGAGUAGCAGAGCAAAGAAACGGCCAGGAAGGCUGUUGAAGAAGGUGGAUCUUCUUGCUCCGAUUUCAAUGCUUUGAUUGAAUAACUGAGGUGGGGUCGCCCUUGAAACAAAGACAUAGAACAUUUUGUUUAUACUUUAGUAGUGGUUGUGGCAAUUUAUUUUCGGACAAGUCUUGAGAGUUGAAAGAGUAAUCACACCCGAGUCAAUGACCAAUCCAAAUCAGUUUCCUUCCUAAUGAUUCAGGAAUGAGAAGUCCAGCUUAUAUAUUUAACCCAAAUAACUAAUCAAAUAGAAAGGCUGAGCUUAGAGAUAGUACACUACAUAUUGCCAAUAACUAGAUAAACAAUCAUCACAAACUAGGAACGACCGUCUCCCCAAUAACAAAUUCACCUUCUGAAGUUAGAGAACUUGCGAAAACUAGCCACCACAAAAUAGUAGCAAGUAUCUAUGCAGUCUUCGAUGAAGUACAACCACCUGCGUCGCCAAUAUGGAUUGAUGUAGAGAACUGCUGCAAUCGUCAUCACCACAACUGUGUAACAUACACCGAAACUGAUGUAGAAAAACUCCAUAUCUAUGAAACCAUCAUCUCCUUGUUCAUCAUUAGGCACUGGCUGUGACACCACUGCCUUCUCACUACAAUUGUUUGGCAAUGGAGGUCCACACAAGAAAGGAUUUCCUUCGUAACAGCUUUCAUCGAAGGUCCCAAACUGAUAUAUUCUCUCGGGUGUCUUGCCUGACAAGUUAUUGUGCGCCACACUAAAAACUUCCAGUGUGGUAACUUCAGUAAAUUGUGGAGGGAUGGCACCAUUCAAGUUGUUGUAAGAAAGAUCCAAACUCUCAAUAUGCAUUAGGUUUGAGAAUGUUGCAGGGAUAGAUCCAGUGAGAUUGUUGUGUGAUAAGUUUACUGACAGUAUCUUACUUAAGUUUCCAAAUUCUGGUGGGAUUGCUCCGAUGAAGUUGUUAUUGGAGAGAUCAAUACCAAACAUGUAGUUGAGAACUUUCCCCUUGUACCCAUAAUACAUAUUUUUAGUUGUAAAUUCUGUCACUUCUUCUGUAAAGUUAAACAAAAAAAAAUUUCUCAAGUUGUCCACACUAUCCACUAGUGGUGGGCCCAUUAUUUCAUAAUAAGCUUUUUCUAUGGACUCUGAUAUAAAACCAUAUGCGACUUCCAAUAUCGCUUUCUUGUCACUUUUCUUGAAAGUAAGAUUGCCUAAACAGGAGGGUAGUGGACCAGAGAGCUGGUUGUGUGAAACAUCCAAAAUGCUUAAUUGUUCUAACAAGCAUAACUGAAUAGGGAGCUCACCAUCAAAGUGAUUAGCCCUCAGAAGAAGAACACUCAAUGAUGAAAGAUUGCCAAUCCAAUUUGGAAUGGAGCCGGUGAAGCUGUUUUCUCGAAGAUCCAUCGUAACCAGGUAAGAGCUGUUAAAAAAUGCAUAUGUUAAUGGACCGCUCAGUCUAUUUUUCGAUAGAUGCACAUGGGUUAUUUGUGGUGGACUAAAACAAGAUGGUAUAUAUCCAGACAAGUUGUUCUCAGAAAGGUCCAAAUAUUCAAGCUGGUCAAACUUACAAAAAUCUCUUGGGAUCGGACCCUUAAAAUGGUUUCCGGACAAAUCAAUUACUCCAAGGAUCGAAAAAUUAACGAAGCUCCUUGGAAGCAUGCCCGAAAAUUGAUUGUUACUCAAAUCUAAUACAUUCCAUACAUUCCACCUAUAUAAUGGAAAAUCUGAUAUCUGACCCCAAAAGUUGUUACCAUUUAGGUAAAGAAAAUUCAGGCGAGAAGAAUUGAACACCGAGGUCGGUAUUUUCCCACCCAAAUUGUUGUUUGACAGCUUGAGAACCCAUAUUGUUGUUAGUUGUUCUAGUUUUACUGUAGACAAUUGAUUGUUGGAUAAAUCUAAAAAUGAAAGAGAGCUAAUAUUUCCUAAACAGGAAGGAAUACAACCUGUGAAUCCAUUCUUAGCCAUCCUUAAGGUGUGUAGAUUUGGAAAGAUCAAACAAAUAUCUUUUGGAAUUUGACCGUUCAUGUUGUUGUUGGAUAUAUCUAAAUUGGUCAUAUUCGGAUGGAGGUGAUCUUGCAACUGCAAAGCACCAAUAAAGGAGUUGUCGCUCAGAUAUAGUUGUUCCAAUCGUGUAUUGUUCUUAAGCAACCACGAUGGAAACAUUCCAGUGAUGUUGUUGUGGGAGAGAUCAAGGGCUCUUAAGUCUAAUUGGUAAUAGAGGAAGUCGGGAAUUACAUUGAGUGCUUCCGAUGUUGGACUACUUGACAAGCGGAAAAAGACUAGUUGGAACUUUGGAAUCAAAUUAUCAAAGGCAGCAGGUUCUGUUACUAGCUUGUUGUUCUCACUGGAGAAGAACUUGAGGCUUGAGUGGUUCAUAAAAGGCUUUAUUGAAAUGGGAACUUCAAAGAGGUUAUUUGAUAGUGAGAGGAAUUCAAGGGAUAUGAGGUUGGUAAGAGGACCGAAAGCAAUAUUUCCAGUAAACUGGUUUUCAGAAACAUCUAAUAGUUGUAAAGAUGACAUGUUCCCCAAACAAUCUGGGAGUGAACCUCCUAAAUUAUUUCUAGAGAGAUGUAACUGCUUCAGAUUCUUCAAUUCACACCAACCUGUACAAUUUAUCUUGAAAUAGUCAAAAUAGUGUUGGAAGAAUCUUUUGUUGAUGAUGUAAUUAUAGGCGGAUGGAGAGUUGUUAAUUUACCUUGAGCAGGUAGGGUGCCAUGGAGGUCACAUUCACCAACAGACAAAACUUUAAGAGCAGGCAAUGCUCCAAUGUUCUGGAGAAAGUUUAUUGGGAGAGAAGUAUUAUCUAGAUGCAAUUCUUCAAGGGUGCUCGAAUUGAACAAAGUCCCUAUGAAAAAGAAAGAAGAAGAGAUAUGAUGAAAAUAGUGGUGGUACAGAAUAUAUAGCCAUUCCAUUCAAUAUUAUUAAUUAAGAUUUUAAGAAACUAAACUAUUAACCUUGACUUAAAUUAGUAUCCUUGAGAGAAAGGGUCUUCAGGGAUGGCAAUGAACACAAUGACUGUAGGAAGUCCAGCUUCCUUGAACCUAUGAUGUGUAGAAUUGAAAACAGGCAAUCAAGUAAGUAGUGAAAUUAAGUGUUAUCUUGAUCGAGUUCUUAAAGCUAUGAUAAAGAACUGGUACUUUUGUAGUGAGAUGAUUUUUUGAUAGAAACAACAAAUUGCCCAAAUAAUAGAAGAUGCCAAGAGAUAUUCACAACUUUACCAUUGACAGCCGUCGAUCCUAGCAACAUAUUGCCUGAUAAAUUUAAAGACUUGAGGGAUGAAAGUCCACUCGGAUGUGAUAAAAUGCUGUCGUUGAAUAUAUUAUAGCUCAGGUCCAGGUUCUCGAGUUUCCCCAAAUGUGAUGAUAUGAUCUCAAAACCUGCAAGGAGUUGUUUCUAAGAGUAAGUCAUAAUUAUGAGCUCACGAUAUGCAUAAUAUAUAGAAACUAAAGAUAAUUAGAAUUGAUGAGAUGUUGUUCAAUUGAUAUAUGAUUCUCAAAUUAUACAUAAAAAGAAUGAUAUAUGAACGCAUAUUUAAUUAUAUAAUAGAUUAAGAAAUAAUUUAUGGAUAAGAUCAAAGCUCCAUAGAUAUUAAUCUUCAUAGAUGAAAUUAAAGCGCAAUCAAACAUGAUGAAAUGCUAUCGUUGAUUUUUAAAUAUAUAUAAAGUCCUCAAUUUUCUUGAUAAACAGAAUGCAACUUACUAUUGAUAGAUCCUGUCAGCUGAUUGUUUGACAGAUCCAAAGACUUGAGAGAUGAAAACCCAGUUAGAGAUGGAAAAAUGCUAUCGUUGUAUUGAUUCCGUCUUAGAUGAAGGUUCUCAAGCUUUUUCAACCUUGAUGACAAGACUUUGAGACCUGCAUGAUGUUCCUCAAAAGCAUAGAAAUGAUACAUGAACGCAUAUUUAAUUAUAAAAUAGGUUGUGCACGCUUCUAAGAUUAAGAUACAAUUUUUAAAUAUCAUUCUAAUUUUGAUCAUUGGAAAAAAAAAAACAAUUUACGGUUAUAAAGUCGCUAAAGAUGGAAGCUAAGUUAUGAUAGACUUACAAAACAAAAUAAAGAAACUUAUAAUUAAGAUCUCAUCGGUAAUUAAAACAAGAAUAAUAAUCGAUCCAUGUAAGUUCAAAUAUUGCCUAAUUUUGAAAAACUAAUUAAUUAGUUAUGAUAGUUUCAAAAACUAACUGCCUCUGUAAGAUGCUAAAUGCCUCUCUCGUUGGCUGUCUAGUGAUUUGUAUUGGAUAGUUUUUUUUUGAAUUGAUGUUAAGAUCCAAGUUUUAAUAAUUACAAUUUUCUUAAUUAUAUAUAAUAUUAUAGGAGAGAGCUUCUUAUUAUGUUAUUCAAAACCCAUUCAAACUCAAAUUCAUAAAAAAAAAUACUUAGAGUUGUGUUCGACUAAGGAUCUCAAGACAGAAAAAACAUAUAUAAAAAUAUAUUUAUUUAAAAAGAUAAAUAUAAAAUAUAUAUUUAUAGGAGAGUUUUGAAGUGAACUUCUGAUUGCUAAUUUAAUCUAAAUAUUACAACACUUUUGGCAUAAAAGGGCCAAAAUAAGAAUAAAAUAUAUGCCUCUUUACGUAGAUAUAAAGUUCUCAUUUUUGUUGAUAAAGAAACAAUAUAAUUAAGAGAAUGUCAUGUGAAGCAUUUAGGUAGAAACUGUGUAUUAUACCUGAUCCUGUCAACUCAUUGUACGACAGAUCCAAAGACUUGAGGGAUGAAAAUCCAGUAAGAGAUGGAAAAAUGCUAUCGUUGCAAUGAUUCCAACUUAGAAGAAGGUUCUCCAGCUUUUUCAACCUUGAGGACAAGACUUUGAGACCUAAAUAGCAGCUACCUCCUGAUCAUUUAAAUGCGUAGAAAAAAAUGAUAUGAGAAGGAGAAAAGAAAAGGUUUCGAAGCUAAAUAAUUAAAAGGUUACCAUAGAAGCUACCUCCUGAUCCAGCUGUCAACCCAUUCUCUGAUAGAUCCAAAGACUUGAGAGUGGAAAGGUUACCAUUGAAACAUGACAAAAUGCUUUUAUCAUUAUUAAAUCCGUUAUAACUUAGGUCAAGUUUCCUCAGUUUUGAUGAUAGGACUUCGAAGCCUGGAAAGAGCAAGAUAAUUGACAUUAAACACCAACCAACCUUCAUUUAUUUUAUGAUUAUAUUUAAGUGCACAAACAUUGAACUAACCUUCAUUCUCCAAGCAACCAACCAAUCCAUUACCUUCCAAUUCAAGACUUUGCAAUUCUUUAAAAGGCUGAAACAAAGAUGCGUUGAGAACCCAAUCGCCCAAGCUCUCGUCCCUUGAUCCUCUAAGAGAGAGUUGGAUCACUCGCCUUGUAGUGUUAUCACACUCGAUCCUAUGCCACUCACAACAAUUACUACCGUCCACCCAAUCUCUCAAGGAAACGCCAUCUGGGUCGAUCGAAGAUUGGAUCUCCAAGAGACCAAUCCUCUCUUCCUCCAAACACCCAUAACAACGACCAUACCAUUCGCCAACCAAAGUCAAUAAUGCUAGCAACAUCCAACUCCCCAUUCUUUUCAUCAUCAUCUACGUAGAAUAUUGUUGUUUGUUAUGUGUCUUUGGGCAACCAUAGAGGUCCUAUUUAUACUACAAUUUUGGCCAUUUCCAUGAUUUUAUCUGCAUAUCUUAUGCAGGUUCUAUGUUUUGAGAUUUGAAUAUUAUUUUAUUUCCUUUUGGAAUAUUCUUGGAUUCGAAUAUUAUUUUAUUUUACUGUUUAGCACUUAGUCUAUUUGCAUUUAAUUAUAUUUUGGUUACUAAUUAUCCAAUUUUAAAAAAAUAAAAAAUAAAAAUUGUUGCAACAUUUCAAUUUUUUUAUCGACAUUCAUGUGUGAUUUCACGUAAGAUCUUUUUAAAUUUAUAAUUGUACUUUUCUCGUUAUAAUUUAGAAUUAUUUAGGAGCCUACUUGCAUGGUGUCAUCACUAUUAUAUAUAAUUAAAUACAUAAAUUAUCAAUAAUAAUAAAUUCGGAAUAAUUAUAAAUCUUAUCCCUGUGGAUUGUGUGGCUACAGUAUGAUAUACAAAAACUUCAAAUAUAUAUAAAUAAAAGAAUGCUAAAAGUGACAUUCUCUUGGGUGACCACCACAAGCCCAUCUAAAACACACAAGCCAUAUAAAAAUCACACGACAGCCAAUUACCUUAUCUUGUGAGAAAAAAGAUUAAAAAAAAAAAAAGCAUUUUCUUGGGUGUGCAAUGACUGCCAAUCUUUCUCGUUAUGACAUUCAAUGCUCUGUAAGAAGUUGCAUGAUGCUCUUCUCAUGGGGAGCAAAAAUCAGUAGCCUCCCAUGGAAUCCUCAUAAACCUUUCUCUAUGCUCUUCUAAGAUAUUAAAAAUGUCAAACAUACAUAAAUAAUAAGAAAAACAAUAAAAAAAGAAAGCUAUACAAAUAGAGCUUCCAACAAAAAGACUAGGAAGUUGUUUACUGAAAAUUGAGAUUCAUAAUUUGUUUUGAUUUGUUUUGAUUUGUUUUGAGUUAUUAUGGUCUCAUGACCCGGGUCACAGAUUUAAAGGUUAAUCUAGAUUGACCCGGGUCGAUUAAUCCAAUAUGUUGUUGUUUCGAUAUACUUUUUUUAAAAAAAUAUGUCAUCUUGAUUUUUUUCAAGUGAAACUAUAUUUUUACCAGUCGUCCAGACAAUCUUUGAGCCCAUCGAAUCGAUCGGGUUAUAUCAAUUUAACUCUUAUUUUUUUAUUUAUAUUUGAAAUUUAAAUUGCAUAAUUUUUUACUUAUUUUUUUAUAUAGGUGGUUAUGAGUUACAAAAAUUAAGCAAUUUCGAGUAUAUUGACAUGAGAAUUAAUGGUUUCGAUAACAAUAUUCUAUCAUUUGUAGAGGGAUUUUCAUCUUUUAAAUCACUAUAUUUAGAUUAUAAUAGACUGGAAGGGUUAAUAGAUUUAAAAUGUUAGUUUUUUUAUAUACUUAUUUUUUCUCUAUUAAAUUUAAUUUCAAAAGAACACAAUUUUCGAUAACAGUAUUCUAUCAUGCAAUUUUUGUUUUGUUUCAAAAGAACACAAUCGCCCAAGCGGAAAUCCCUUGCAUAGAAAAGAGAGAGUUGGAUCACUCGCCUUGUACGUAGUGUUAUCACACUCGAUCCUAGGCCACUCACAACAAUUACUACUGUCCACCCAAUCUCUCAAGAAAAAGCCAUCUGGGUCGAUCAAAGCUUUGAUCUCCAAGAGACCAAUCCUCUCUUCCUCCAAACACCCAUAACAACGACCAUGCCAUUCGCCAACCAAAGUCAAUAAUGCUAGCAACAUCCAACCCCCCAUUCUUUUCAUCAUCAUCUACGUAAAAUAUUGUUGUUUGUUAUGUGCUUUUGGGCAACCAUAGAGGUCCUAUUUAGACUACAAUUUUGGCCAUUUCCAUGAUUUUAUCUGCAUAUCUUAUGCAGGUUCUAUGUUUUGAGAUUUGAAUAUUAUUUUAUUUCUUUUUGGAAUAUUCUUGGAUUUGAAUAUUAUUAUUAUUUUAUUGUUUAGCACUUAGUCUAUUUGUAUUUAAUUAUAUUUUGGUUACUAAUUAUCCAAUUUAUAAAAAAAAAUAAAAAAUAAAAUAAUUGUUGCAGUACUUCAGCAUUGUUAUCGACAUUCGUGUGUGAUUCCGUAUAAGAUCUUUUUAAUUUAAUUGUACUUCUCUCGUCAUAAUUUAGAAUCAUUUAGAACCCUAUUUGUGUUAUGACUAUCAUAUAUAUAAUUAAAUACAUAAAUUAUCAAUAAUAGUAAACUCAGAAUAAUUAUAAAUCUUAUCCCAGUGGAUUGUGUGGCUACAGUAUUUUAUACUUCAAAAUAUAUAUAUAUAUAUAAAAGUUAGAGCUGCUUUUGUUUUUAUGUUCGGAAAGGUAUUCUUGACUUGUUUUUAUUACAUUUCAAUAUUAUUAUUUUUUUUCAAUCGAGUCAAAGAUAUACCAUUUAUAUUAGAAUGAGAAGACUAAUCAAUUUCUCUAGUUUUCUCCCUAUUUAUAAAAUACAUCUGGUUUUUGAAGUCCAGAUUUUAGGAUAAAAGGAAUUUAUUUCUUGAAAUUAAUGCAUUAAACAAUAUAAAGAUAUUUUUUAAAAAUUAAAAUAGUAGUAAAAGUAAAUUUAGUUUUUGAUUGAAGUGUAAACUAGUGGUAAAUGAACAAAAAAAAAAAACUUUCUUGAUUAUCUAAUGGAAACUCCGCCUAAUAUAUAUAUAAUAGCAAUCAUUUUCUUAUCUCUUGUAUCAUUCAUAUCUUCCACAAAUCUUAAGUAAUUGAUGAGAAAGUGGAUAUUGCCAAGAAAGGUCGUGAACGCGGAUGCUUGACUUGCUGCGUGGCAUUUUGAUUUUUAAACACAACACUACUUUCUUUGUGGAAAUAACGCUACUUUGCAUGAAGAUGAUGGAUAUAGAAGACUUGCUACUUGUUUUAUGGAAAUAACGUAUGGAAAAUUAUGCUUUAAUUUUAAUGAUGAUAGCAAAAUCAAACAGUAUUGUUGAUAAAAUGAGCCAUAAAUAAUAUUAUUUCUAUUGUCAUGACAAUAAGUUUUUUUUUUUUUUUUUCUAAAGAGUCUAUUUUUCCUCUAGGAGAGGCCGCGAGACGUCCUCUUCCAACCAUCAUGCAUUUUUUCUACGAGAUGGGUUCAUGGAAAUACUUUGGUUUAAUUGGGAAUGCUGUUAUUGAUUGAAAUAUUUUUAAUUAAAAUAAAUUUGAUUAUUUGAUUGGAAAAAAAAUAUUGUAACCAAGUAAUUUAUUUAUUUAUUUUAAUGAAAUAUAAAAUAGUUUUAAAUCUUGUGGUAUAUUUCUUGUCUUUAAGAGCUAUGAACUUAUAUCUCAAAACUUGAAAACUAAUAUAAAGAUAUUAAGUGAUCAUUGAGUGUGUGUGUGUGUAUAAUCCUUUUCAAAACAAAAAGGAUUUUGAUGGAGAUUAGGACAUUGCAACAAAUUAUCCACCACUAGAUGGGUCAAUGAUACCAUUGUCAUCAUGCAAUUUUUCCCACGAGAUGGGGCCGUACGCUUGGGGCUCUAAAAGCUAUGGUUUUAAUUUCAUUAUGUCACAUCUAGAAUGGCAGGUAUAUUUUAUUUCAAUUUAAACAAUGGAAUAAAUUAGAAGAUAUUUCAUCUCGCUUAAAAUCUUAUCUUCUUAUAUGAUUUCACCUAAAUUCUGGCUGGAAUGUUUAAGUUAUAUUCUAGCUAUUCUGUUAUGGCCAAAUGAUAUUUUGUUUUACUUUUAUAAAAAAUUAAAAUAUAGUUUAGUUUUUGUAUUUAUUUUCUGGUUAUAUUUAAUUUGUCAUCAAUAUUCAUAACGUAAAUUGCUAUGCAUUUCGAAUCUUGAAAGGAUUGAAAGAUGGAAAACAGAAAAGAAAGAGAGACCCCCAGUUCAAAAGAAAAAGAAAAAAAAACAAUAGUAAAAGAAAGAGAAGAGAACAAAAGUGAAGCAGUUUUUACUAACUAUAUAAAUUUUAUAAUUAUUAAUAUUAAAUUCAAAAUAUGUACAUAAUGCAAAUAUGUAAACAUAUCAUGUGGUUUAAAGAAAUGAUUUUUAUAAAGAUAUAUGUCUUAACAAUAUUAAUCAACUCUUAAUAUUUUUCAUUUUAUAAAUAUUAAAAGUAAAUAUUAAAACCUAUUAUAUUAAUUUGUGAAGGUAUUUACUCGGAUGCGAAUUAUAUUUCUAAUUUUUUAUUAAAAAAAAAUUCUACAUACUACAACUAGCCUAAGAAAGUCAUUUUCAUCUAAAAAAAAGUAGAAAAAAUUGAAUUGCAUAAAAGCAUCACUAUAAAUGUUAUACUCCGAAAAUAUCUUCUUUCCUUGAUAAAAUUCCCUAAACUACUGUAUGUCUCUAACAGUGAAAAUAUCACUAUAAUUUACAGUCACCUUAUUUAAUCGAAAGAAAACUUUAAAGAUGCACCUCCAUCUAGUGUAUUUAAAAAGAUUUAACAAAUUACUUUACACGUGCUAUGCUACAAGUUACAUAUUUUUUCAAUGUAAACAAAAAUUAUAUAGGUAUUUUUAACAUUUUUCUAUUAAAAAAAACUAAAACAUAUAAAAAUUAACCAAUUUAUAAUUAAUUAAUUAAUUGAGAAUUUGAGCUCCUUAGAAAAGUUGUUUAUGGACUUUUGUUUUCCGGAGAAAGCUCCUUUAAAACCCUUGAGCACCACCUUCUUUAAAACUUCUAUCUUUGCCAUAACUGAGGGGCUCUGUAUUUUUUUUAAGGUGAAUUAACAAGUUACAACUCAACUCUGUAUUUUUUUUUUUAGUUUAAUGUGGGUGUCUGGGUCAACUUACGCGUACCUCGACUAAUUCCACGGGCCCUGAAAUUAAUGACCAUAUAAACCUACAGUGGCCAUCAUAUGAACAAUCACAGGACUAGGGCUCGAACUUGAGACAAAAAAAAAAAGCAAAUUUUUUAAUCUUAAAUUCUUACCACUGGAUCACUAUCUAAAUUGUUACCUUGUAUCUAAUCUAGAUGUGUCUGUGACUGUGCUUGAUGUUCUCAUAACCAUUAAGAUGGUUCGAACCCAAAUAAAUAGAAACAAAUUUAUUUUCUGUUAUUCUCCGAAUUCCUAGAUAGAAUUUGCUUGGAAAUGAUGAGCUACCACUCCCUUUUGACUUUGCUGGCCUCCCAAAUAAAUAAAGAAUUCCGCUUGAUAGAAUUUUCUUGGAAAUGAUGAGAAUAUUUUAUAAUUUUCUGGUUGACGCCAGCUGUCAACAACUGUCUUACAUUCCCUUGGCAUCGUGUUCCAUGCCCUUGCAAAAUAUUAAAGGCUCCAAUGCCUCUCUCGCAAUAAGAUUAUUUUUUUUAUUUGUCCCCGAAUACAUGUGUCAUUUAUCGAAAUAAUUAAUUUAAUCACACACAUAAAAAAAAAAAAAAAUUUAAAUAGGCGGCUUUAGAAUCAGCAAGCAGUGAAUCACACGGGAAGAUUGAAAGAAUAAUUAAAGUGAUUUUACUAACAUUGUAAAAAAAAUUGAAUUGCAUAAGAGUAAUUAACCGACAGGUUGACCCAAAGUCAAAGUCUUCUGUGGAAAAACAUGAAUAGAAGAUUGAUGGGCGUUGCGUGAUAGCAAAAGAUUUGAGAUCUGCACAGCAGGUUUUGAAUUCGAGUCAGGGCGUGCAUCUCUUGUAAAAGCUUGGGAUAGCCGGGAUUUUACUGUCUCAUCUGGGCCCAUAAAGUGCGCUUUCCAAGGAAAUGAGGUUCCCUCGAAUCCAUAAAAAAAAAAAAAGUAAUACCAUUGCUAUCAAGCGUUUUUUCUACGAGAUGGUCCGUUCCCCCAUUUCCCCUCAAGCUUGAGAAGGGAUGAUAUAUAUAUGCUUUAAUUUCAACUUGUAUAAAAAAUAAAUCUUAAUGUAGUGUGUUAGAAUGCAACCACCGAUUCAUUAUUUUUAAUGGCUGGUCAUUUAAACUUGGGUGUUUUUUCGGUAUUAAUAUAUAUAUUCCUCAAUUAUCAUAAAAAAAUUAAGAAAAAACUAAUAAUAAGAUUAAAAAUAAAUGUUUUAUUUAUCGAAAUAAUUAUUAAAAGUAAGGUAUACUCAAGGUAUAUGUGGGACGAUAAAAAAAUAACAAAAAAAUCAAUUUACAAAAAAAAUCAUAGAUUUAGUUUUCCUAAAUUUUAAAUGUAGUGCAACAUUAGCCUUUCAAGAAAUAGAUAAUCUUCCUCUUUGAAGGAAUUAAUUAGUGGGUUGGAAAAAUGUCGUCUUUUGCUCUAAUAUUUUCUUCGCUUUCUCUAUAGUUUUACCAUACACUAAUAUUGUCAGAAAAUGAUACAUACUUCUUGUGUUAUCCUUCAAGAAUUCAAUUGAAAAGGAGGGUUGUAAAAAAUUUAAUUUUUAUAAACAUACCCUUAACUUAAUUUGGAUGUGGAUAAUUGUUUGCAAUAUAUUUACAUCCAAUAUAAACAAUUCAUCAAUGAUCAAGUAGGCAGUGGUUAGCUAAAAUAUUGAAAAUACUUACUCUCUUUGUUUUUUAGUCAUGCAGUUCCACUAUUGUAUGUUAUUUUUGUUUAGCUAAAAAUAUCAAAAAAUAUUAAUUUGGAGUAAAAAAAAAAAAAAAAUUUAAUUUUUUUAAAAAUAUUUUUGAAACAUAAAAACAAACAGUGCUAAAAGACAUAGAAACAGUUACCCAAAUCAAUUUAUUUUUUUAAAAAAUAAAAAUAGAAUACUAUACAAAUGGAGCUUCCAACAAAAAGAUAUGGGAAGUUCGAGGGAAAAAAUGAUUAGUUAAUUCAAAACACCAGGAGUAAGUAAUAAUUACAAAACACGAUACCGAAACCAAAUUGAAAAGUGAGCAAAAUACAAAACUGGUUACAUGUAUCGAAAGGAACUGGAACCAAUUUCUCCACCACUGGAUGUCCCUUUUGUUCAGUCUAUGUUUGGUGCAAUCACCUAAAGCUAGAAACAAAAACAGCGCCUUAGUCUAUGUUUGGUGCAUUUUUUCCACGAGAUGGGUUCGUGGAAAAACUUUGGUUUAAUUGGGAAUGCUGUUAUUGGUUAGAAACUUUUUAAUUAAAAUAAAUUUGAUUAUUUGAUUGGAAAAAUCCUUAAAUGUUAUUAACACAUGAAAUCAAUUUAUUCUCUUAAGAAAAAAAUAGUUUUACAUCUUGUGGUAUAUAUGUCAAGCAUUUUUUUUCCCUCAAGAUGGGUUCGACAGACAAUCACCAUCAUGCAUUUAUGAGUCCAUGAGACCAUUGUCAUCUGCACAUUGGUCCCCUAUAGCGUUGCUUUUCCUCAAGACCAUUUCCAUCAUGCAUUUAUGAGUUAGUGAGACCAUUUCCAACUGCACAUUGGUCCCUGAAACCGUUGCCAUCAUGCAUUUUUCCUCGAUGAGAGGUCGUGAGACGUCCACUUCCAACCAUCAUGCAUUUUUUUCACGAGAUGAGGCCGUACGUUUGGGGCUCUAAAAGCUAUAUAUAUUAGAAAUAUUAUUUGAAAAUAAAUUAUUUUUUAUUUUUAAAAAUAAAAUUCUUCUAUACAAAAGAUUUUUAUAAGUAUAAUUUAAUUUAUUCAGUUUUUUAAAUAAAGUUAAUCUAUCGCAAGAGUACACGAAAUAAGUAUUUUUCCGUCAUGCAUUUUUUUUCCUCAAGACCAUUUCCAUCAUGCAUUUAUGAGUCUGGGAGACCAUUUCCAUCAUGCAUUUAUGAGUUGCUGAGACCAUUUCCAUCUGCACAUUAGUCUCUGAGACCGUUGCCAUCAUGCAUUUUUCCUCGAGGAGAGGCCGUGAGACUUCCUCUUCCAACCAUCAUGCAUUUUUUCCACGAGAUGGGUUCGUGGAAAAACUUUGGUUUAAUUAGGAAUGCUGUUAUUGAUUGGAAACUUUUUAAUUAAAAUAAAUUUGAUUAUUUGAUUGGAAAAAUCCUUAAAUGUUAUUAACACAUGAAAUCAACUUAUUCUCUUAAGAAAAAAACAGUUUUAAAUCUUGUUGCCGUCAUGCAUUUUUUUUUCCUCAAGAUGGGUUCGACAGACAAUCACCAUCAUGCAUUUAUAAGUCCAUGAGACCAUUGUCAUCUGCACUUUGGUCCCCUAUAGCGUUGCUUUUCCUCAAGACCAUUUCCAUCAUGCAUUUAUGAGUCCAGGAGACCAUUUCCAACUGCACAUUGGUCCCUGAGACCGUUGCCAUCAUGCAUUUUUUCCACGAGAUGGGUUCGUGGAAAUAAUUUGGUUUAAUUGGGAAUGCUUUACUGUAUUUGUUUUCUGGUUAUAUUUAAUUUUUCAUCAAUAUUCCUAAGCACGUAUUUUGAAUCAUGAAAAGCACGUGGAAAAGAGAGGGAUGGUGAAAAUGACAUGUAAAGGGACUGUUUGGCAGUGCGCAUAGAAAAGGGAAAGUGUCAUUGCCAUUUUGAGUGGUGUGUUUGCAUUUGAUUUGUUAAUUUCGAGUUUUGUCAAAGAGUGAUUACUAGUCAUCAAGCAUUUUAUUAAUUUAAUUUAUCCUGUCAAGUGAAGGGCCAAACCUGUCAUUCAUUGCCAGUCACAGUCACAAGUCUUGGUCUUACCAUUUUACUAUCUAUUAAUUAAUUAAUUGUUUGAUUAAUCAACGAAACUGUGCGUUUCUCUUGUGAUUUCUCGAAGACGGCCAUGAAUAUAUAUAUAUAUAUAUACAACUUUUCAAAACAAAAAGGAUUUUGAUGGAGAGGACAUUGAAACAAAUUAUCCUCGUGAUACCAUUGUCAUCAUUCAAUUUUUUCCACGAGAUCAGGCCGUAUGCUUGGGGCUCUAAAAGAUAUUAUUUCUAAUUUUAUUAUAUCACAUCUAGAAUAACAAGUAUAUUUUAUUUCAAUUUAAAAAAUAGAAUAAAUUAAAAGAUAUUUCAUUUUUAAAAUUUUAUUUUGUUUUAUGAAUUUCACCUAAAUUCUGACUAGAAUAUUUUGAUUAUAUUCCAGCCAUUUUAUUAUGAUAAAAUAAUAUUUUGUUUUGCUUUUAUAAAAAAAAUAUAAUCUAAUUUUACAGUAUCAAUCAUAUCUUUCAAUUCGACUGCUGGAUUGGACUAAAAUUUUACGAGGAAUCUCCUAACAUAUAUUUAUAUCGCAAAUUAAAAUUUUAAGGCAAUCAGAGUUUAGAAAAAUUUUGCGAAAUUACCGAUGAUAUUUUCAUAAUUUUAUUUAAAUUCAUAAUUUUGUUAGGAAAUAUUAUUUUUUGUUUCUUUUUUAGAUUGAAUUAUUUCUAAAGUACUUCUUGUCAUUGUCAUGACAAUAAAUCUUCUUCUUUUUCUUUUUAAAAAGUCUAUUUUUUGUAACACAACCAACAUGUAAGAUGGAUGGGAAUUUGCAGUGUGAGAUGGGUUUGUGAGACUUUGGCCAUCUCCAAUUUUUUCCACGCCAUUGAGAUGGUCUAUAAGACCAUUGCCCCGUAAGCAUUUAUGAGUUCGUGAGACCAUUUCCAUUUGCACAUUGGUCCCUGAGACCGUUGCCAUCAUGCAUUUUUUACACGAGAUGGGUUCGUGGAAAUACUUUGGUUCAAUUGGGAAUGUUGUUAUUGAUUGGAAACUUUUUAAUUAAAAUAAAUUUGAUUAUUUGAUUGGAAGAAAUCCUUAAAUGUUAUUAACAAUAGAAAUCAAUUUAUUUUCUUAAGAAAAAAAUAUUGUAACCAUAUAAGUAAUUUAUUUAUUUAUUUUAAUGAAAAAUAAAAUAGUUUUAAAUCUUGUGGUAUAUUUCUUGUCUUUAAGAGCUAUGAACUUAUAUCUCAAAACUUGAAAACUAAUAUAAAGAUAUUAAGUGAUCAUUAAGCGUGUGUGUGUGUAUAAUGCUUUUCAAAACAAGAAGGAUUUUGAUGGAGAGGACAUUGCAACAAAUUAUCCACCACGAGAUGGGGCUGUACGCUUGGGGCUCUAAAAAACUAUGGUUUUUAAUUUUAUUAUGUCACAUCUAGAAUGGCAGGUAUAUUUUAUUUCAAUUUAAACAAUGAAAUAAAUUAGAAGAUAUUUCAUCUCGUUUAGAAUGUUAUCUCAUUUCAUGAAUUUCACCUAAAUUCUGGCCGGAAUAUUUUGGUUCUAUUCCAGCCAUUCUAUUAUGAUCAAAUAAUGUUUUGUUUUGCUUUUAUAAAAAAAAAAUAUAUAGUUUAGUUUUAUGGUAUUAAUUAUAUCUCUCAAUGCAAUUAUUGGAUUAGACUAAAAUUUUACAAGGAAUCUCUUAACAUAUAUUUAUAUCGCAAGUUAAAAUUUUAGAACAAUUAGAGUUUAAAAAGACUUUGUGAGAUUGCCGAUGACAUUUUUAUAAUUUUAUUUAAAUUCAUAAUUUUGUUUCAUAAGGUCAUUUUUUGUGUCUUUUUUUAGAUUGAUUUUUUUUUUUCAAUUUCAUAAUUCAACAAUAGAUUUAUUAAAAAUUAAGAUUCAUAAUUUGUUUUUAUUUGGGAUUAUUAUGGUCUCAUAAUCUGGGUUACGGAUUUAAAAGAUUAACCUAGAUUAACCUGGUUCGAUCUAAUAUGUUGUUGUUUCAAUAUUUUUAACAAAUAUAAUUUUAAUUGAUAUUUAAAAAUAAACUAACUUGAAAUUAUAUAAUUUAAAUUUCAAAUAUAAGUAAAAAUAAAGAGUUAAAUCAAUAUGACCCAAUUGAUUUGAUGAGUCCAAAAUAUAUAUAAAACAAUCCAAACGACACGUCAAAAUACUCAAAAAUCAAAAUAUAUUGUUACAAUUAAAAAAAUAAAACACCAAUUAAAAUGGAAUUGACGACCUUGCUUGAUAUAAGCCUAAACUCCUCGCUGCCAUUUGCAAGAGAUAGUUACUUAUACCAGUAGCAAUUUAAUAAUGAUUGGUCAAAUUUUAUAUUAAGAUGGGGCUAUUAAUUCAAAUGUUGAUGGCGUUAGUAGCAAUGAUUUUCUUGGAAGCAUGGUUGCCUCUUGGCUGCUUGAAAAUAUAUGGUUUUUUUAAUGUCGCAUGUGUGCUGCGUCAUGAAAAAAAAAUUCACUCUCAAAUCCUAAAUAUUGGUAUCCUGGAAAAAUUGGGAAAAAUAAGGAGACAAGAAAUUCUUGUCUUUUAUUAGUGGAAAAAUAAAAUGGGAGUCGCCACUUAGUAUUUUAAUCACUAGGAACCCUGAUUGGUCUCAGAGAUUGGGUACGGAGACUGGUUGCGUAAAGGGAAGGUAUUAGCACCCCAAAUACGCCCUACCUAAGGUAAGUUGCAUUGUUUUAUUGUUUGAUAAAAUCUAAGGUCUUGUCGUGUUUUCUAGUUAUUGGUCCGUCUAUGAUUUAAGAAAAGUCUUCAUCGAUAAAGAGAUCCUUAUCUUUUCGGGUAAAACCUAACCGUUCUAACGUAAACAAAAGAAUUUAAUAUCCGGAAUACAUCUUACGUAUAAGGUCGUAACCCCAGAUACUAAAAGAAAAUUUUUUUUUUGGAAUUUUUUAAAUAUUGGCCUAGUUCUUGUGACUUUAAUAAACUGGUUUUUAAAACCAAAAUGCAUGUUAAUACAUAUUUUUGUUGUAUGAAAAUAUGAUAUGAUUUUUUUCUUUGAGAUACUUGGCCGUAUGCAUGAAAAUAAUUUUUUUUUUAAUUUUUCAAUGUUUUGACGAAAACUAGGUAUUUUAAUACCAGAUUUGUAUCUUUACAGUAUAAAAAUACAAACCAAUACUAAGAAAAAUUUAGUAGAAAAAUAUAUGGGAAAAUUAUAGAUUUUUUGAAAUGAUUAUUUUUGAAGAAUUGUUUUUUACUGGGCCGGACCCGACCCAACCAUUUUGGGCGGGCCGGCACUGUCCGGGCUGGAAAACUAAAACAAACAAUGGAGAGACUCUCCACUGUUCACAUGCAACGUGAACAGUGGAGCGGCCUGGAGAAGACAAAGAAGAAGAGGAGGAAGAGGAAGAAGCAGACCUGCGGCCUAGCGGUGCUGCUAGUGGCGGUGGACGGUGUUGCGGUUGCGGAGUGUUAGAAAUAAUGUUCAGGACUGCUGAGCUGGAAUUUUAUUCUUUCUUAAUUUUUGAUUUAGUCAAUUCUGUUCCUAUUCUCUUGUUCUUGUUGCUACUUCGCAGCUCUGUUAUUUCCAUUAUCAAUUGAUCAUGGCUUGAAUGUAGUACCAUGAUCGUAGGAGUUUGUUAUGUAUCAGCUCUAUAAAUUGAGCUGCAGUUAUGAAUAAAGUAUUCAAGCUUUUCAUUCAUCAAUCUCUUCUUAAACACAAGCAUUAUCCUUUGUUAUUUUUGUUGUUCAGAAUCACUGCAACAACGACAAUUGGUAUCAGAGCAUCUUGAUUUAAAGGGAUCUGUGUUGUAACCCAUGGAGACAGAAGUAAGAUUCUCAUCAAUUGCUCCACCAGUGUUCAAUGGUGACAAUUACCAGUUUUGGGCAGUACGGAUGGAGACAUACUUAGAGGCUCUGGAUUUGUGGGAGGCAGUGAAAGAAGAUUAUGAAAUCCCUGCACUUCCAAAUAAUCCCACCAUGGCGCAGGUCAAAUCACAGAAGGAGAAGAAGACAAAAAAAUCAAAGGCAAAGGCGUGCUUGUUUGCUGCAGUAGCAUCCACCAUUUUCACUCGAAUCAUGUCUCUGAAAACAGCAAAGGAGAUAUGGGAGUUUAUCAAGACUGAGUAUGAAGGGGAUGAAAGAAUUCAAGGUAUGCAAGUGUUGAACUUGAUGCGUGAUUUCGAGUUGCAGAAGAUGAAGAAAACUGAAUCCAUCAAAGAGUACUCUGACAGGCUGCUUAAUAUUGCAAGCCGAAUCAGUUUACUUGGCUCGUCCCUGCCUGAGUCAAGAAUUGUUCAAAAAAUUCUUGUAACAAUUCCUGAAAUCUUUGAGGCUACAAUUACAUCCUUGGAAAAUACCAAGGAUAUGUCAAAAAUUACUUUGACAGAAAUGCUAAAUGCAUUACAAGCUCAGGAGCAAAGGAGGAUCAUGAGACAAGAAGAUGAGAUUGAAGGAGCUCUAUUCGUCAAGCAUAGAGAAAAAGGAAAGAAUUACAAGAAGAAUGGAAGCAGUCAAGCAUCAUCAGGUGAUUCCAGGAAUUUCAACAGGAGCAACACUGGAAACAAAAAAGGACCUUUUCCUCCAUGCCAGCAUUGUAAAAGGAGAUCACAUCCACAUUUUAAGUGUUGGAGAAGACCAGAAGCUAAGUGCAACAAAUGCAAUCAAAUGGGCCACGAGGCUGUCAUCUGCAAAAACAAAAUUCAACAGCAUGGUGAAGAAGCUCAAAUUGCUGAUCAAGAAGAAGAAGAUCAAUUGUUUGUGGCCACUUGCAUUUCCAGAAAUGACUCAAGUGAAAGCUGGCUCAUUGAUAGUGGUUGCACCAACCACAUGACACAUGACAGAAACAUAUUCAAGGAGCUGAAACAAACAACUUCAAAGGUUCGAAUUGGAAAUGGAGAAUACCUUGCUGUUGAAGGAAAGGGAACCGUGGCAAUCUUGACUUGCUCAGGUACUAAGUUCAUCUCUGAUGUAUUGUAUGUCCCUGGUAUAAAUCAAAAUUUAUUCAGUGUUGGUCAGCUUAUUGAGAAGGGUUAUAAAGUAGUGUUUGAAAACAAUUGCUGCUUGAUCAAAGAUGUGAAUGGUCAUGAUAUUUUCAAAAUAAUCAUGAAAGGGAAGAGUUUUGCUUUAAAUCCAUUAGAGGAGGAGCAUAUUGCUUUCCCAAUUAAAGAAAAUAUCACAGAUAUUUGGCACAAGAGGCUCGGGCACUAUCAUCAUAGAGGGCUGAUGCUUAUGAAAUCCAAGAUGAUGGCUAAGGAUUUCCCAGCACUUGAUGAUCACAUAUCCAGCUGCAGAACUUGUCACACUGGCAAGCUAAACAGGAAGCCCUUUCCAGAAGCCACAUGGAGAGCAACAAGGAAGCUGCAAUUGAUUCAUACUGACAUUGCAGGACCAUAAAGGACACCCUCUCUAAAUGGGAGUCUGUAUUAUGCUGUCUUCAUUGACGAUUACAGCCGAAUGUGCUGGAUUUUCUUCUUGAAGCACAAGUCAGAGGUAGCACAGGUGUUCUGGAAUUUCAAGGCCAAAGUUGAAAAUGAAAGUGGCUGCAAAAUUCAAGCCCUCAGAUCAGACAAUGGCAAGGAAUACACUUCCAAUGCCUUCAACAUUUUUUGUGAGGAGGCAGGCAUUCAUCAUCAGCUAACAACUCCGUAUACUCCUCAACAAAACGGAGUUAGUGAGAGGCGAAACAAGUUCAUAUUGGAAAUGACAAGAUGCUUGCUACAUGAGAAGAAUUUACCAAAGAAAUUCUGGGCAGAGGCUGCAAACACUGCUGUGUUCUUGCAAAACCGACUGCAUACAAGAGCCUUGAAGGAUCAAACACCCUUUGAGGCAUGGUAUGGUUACAAACCAUCUCUGAAUUUUCUUAAGGUAUUUGGAUGUUUGUGCUUCACCCUUGUUCCACAGGUCAAGAGGGAUAAACUUGACAAGAAAGCACUUCCAGGCAUUUUUGUUGGCUACAGCUUAGUUUCAAAGGCUUAUAAGAUUUUCCAACCACAAACUGGAAAAAUCAUUAUAAGCAGAGAUGUCCAAUUCCUGGAAGAUGAAGAAUGGGACUGGAACGAUGCAAUCAAAGAAGAUUCAACCUCUCCAAAAGGCAAUUAUCUUGUUUCAGACACAGAUGAUCAAAGCAUGGAAGAUUGGGACAUCAACAUGACAGAUGACACUCCUGUUACAGGCACACGGUCACUCCUUGAUGUGUAUCAAAGGCGCAACAUUGCUGUGUGUGAACCAGCAGACUUUGAAGAAGCCAAGCUAGAUCAAAAUUGGCUUGCUGCGAUGAAGGAGAAGCUUCUCAUGAUCAAGAGAAACAACACGUGGGAGUUGGUUGACAGACCUCAAAACAGAAAUGUAAUCGGUGUAAAAUGGGUGUAUCGAACAAAACUCAACGCUGAUGGCUCAAUCAAUAAGCUCAAAGCCAGGCUAGUGGUGAAGGGUUAUGCACAAAUCUUUGGCGUGGACUACUCAGACACGUUUGCACCGGUAGCAAGACUUGACACUAUCAGGCUGCUACUUGCCAUUGCAGCACAACUGAAUUGGAAGGUGUAUCAAAUGGACGUCAAGUCAGCAUUUUUAAAUGGUGUUUUGCAGGAGGAGAUCUAUACUGAGCAACCAGAAGGCUUUGCAAAUGAAGGAGAGGAGGACAAAGUCUGUCUUCUUAAGAAGGCACUAUAUGGAUUGAAGCAAGCUCCAAGAGCUUGGUACAGCCGAAUCGAUGAACAUUUGCAGCACUUGGGAUUCACUAAAAGCCUCUCUGAAUCGACUCUUUACAUCAAGCAAAAUGGUGAUAACAUCCUUAUCAUCUCACUUUACGUUGAUGAUUUGCUUGUAACAGGAAAUAACAACAAUAAUGUGGAGAUAUUCAAGCAAGAGAUGAUGAGUGUAUUUGAGAUGACAAAUUUGGGUUUGAUGUCCUUUUUUCUUGGAAUGGAAGUUAAGCAAGUUGAACAUGAAGUGUUCAUAUGUCAGAAGAAGUAUGCCAAAGAAAUCCUCAAAAAGUUCAAACUUGAAGAUUGCAAAGCAGUAAGCACUCCUAUGAAUCAAAAGGAGAAGCUAUGUAAAGAAGAUGGAGCCGAGAAGGUUGAUCAAGCACAAUUCAGAAAAAUUGUUGGAUGCUUGAUGUAUCUCACUGCAACUAGGCCUGAUAUUUUGAAUGCUGUGAGUAUCUUGUCUAGAUUCAUGCAUUGUGCUAGUGAAUUGCAUUUCAAGGCUGCUAAAAGAGUGAUAAGAUAUGUCAAAGGAACCUGCAAUUUUGGCAUAAGAUACACAAGAAGUAGAGAGUUCAAACUGGUCGGGUACUCUGACAGUGAUUGGGGAGGCUCAAUUGAUGACUUGAAGAGCACAUCAGGCUACUGUUUCUCUUUAGGUUCUGGUGUGUUUUCAUGGAAUUCAAAAAAGCAAGAAACCGUAGCCCAAUCCACUGCUGAAGCUGAGUUUGUGGCUGCAACAGCUGCUGUCAAUCAAGCUUUGUGGCUGAGGAAAAUUUUAUCUGAUCUUAACCUGGAGCAAAAGGAAAGCACAGAAAUUCUAGUUGACAAUCAAGCUGCCAUUUCCAUCUCUAAUAAUCCUGUGUUUCACGGGAAAACCAAGCACUUCAACAUCAAAUUAUUCUUUUUGAGAGAGGUGCAGAAAGAUGGGAGUAUCAUUCUUAUUUACUGCAAAACUGAAGAACAAGCAGCUGAUAUUUUCACCAAACCACUGCCAGUCAACAAAUUCGAAUUUCUGAGAACAAAGUUGGGAGUUUGCAGCUCCUAAACAAGGAGGAGUGUUAGAAAUAAUGUUCAGGACUGCUGAGCUGGAAUUUUAUUCUUUCUUAAUUUUUGAUUUAGUCAAUUUUGUUCCUAUUCUCUUGUUCUUGCUGCUACUUCGCAGCUCUGUUAUUUCCAUUAUCAAUUGAUCAUGGCUUGAAUGUAGGACCAUGAUCGUAGGAGUUUGUUAUGUAUCAGCUCUAUAAAUUGAGCUACAGUUAUGAAUAAAGUAUUCAAGCUUUUCAUUCAUCAAUCUCUUCUUAAACACAAGCAUUAUCCUUUGUUAUUUUUGUUGUUCAGAAUCACUGCAACAACGACACGGACCGUGGCGCUGACUGGCGGGUGGUUCUUCUUUCUUUCUCUGCGUUUCCCUUCUGCUUUUUUUCUAUUCUGCUCUGUUCUUCCUCUUGUUCCCUGUUUUAUUCUUUCUCUCCCUCUCUGGUCCUCUCAAACGUCCCUUGGAGCUGCUGCCUGAAGAUGAAGACGAAGUUGAGGGUGAUCAGUGCUCUGAUCGGGCGACGUUUCUUUCUUUCUUCUGCUACUGUUUUCGUUUCUGAUUCUCCUCGUUCAAUUCUUAUUUGCACUCUUCUUCUUCUUCGUCUCUGGUUUUUGAAAUGACGAAGACGAUGGCAACGCUGGUUCUAAUCUCAACGAUUUCCUCUUCUUACAUUCUUUCCUUUUGCUCGUUUCUGUCUCCCUCUCGUGCUGCUCCCCACUUUCUCUCUUGUCCUGCUCGCUCUCCCUCCCUGUCUCCUCUUCUUUUUUUUUUGUUGUCCGUCUCUCCUCUAGCUUUUUAUAGCCAGAGGAUGCAUGCUUUUCGGGAUUUAUUGCAGGAAGGUUGUAACGGCCGGCGUGCAUCAUGGUGGAGAGGGAUAUCAGCCGUGAGACGUGCUCCCCUGAUUGAAGCAGCUCCACCACUAACGUCUUCACUUCCUUUUACUGUAGAAACCGUUGUUGAUGAAGAAGGUAAUGAACAGUUGUCAAGGAAAUGGUACCGUUUUAAAAUUCAAAAUGAAUAUUUCCGAUUUGGUCAUUGGAUUUUUUGCAAUUUUGUAAUCAAGCCCCCGAAUAAAUUGUAAUUGGAUCUCUGGAUUUUAGCCCCAUUUACAAGACAAUCUUUGGUUCUGGAUUCAUGCGAUUUGACUCUCAAUUGAUCAAUAAACUUCUAAUUUCUUUAAUUUAGCCCCUGACUUGGUCAAUUGCAGCCCUUAUAUUUACACGCCUUUUCCGGUUUGAUCCUUGGUUUCGGAUUUUUUCAAUCAAGUCCCUAAUUGCCCAUAAAACUUUAAUAAUUAUGCAAUUAAGCCCCUGAUUUGACCAAAUCAACUCUUCAAAAUUAUAAUUGGACCUUAGAACUUUAAUUUCUUCGAAUAAAAGCCUAAAUAGACAUAAAACUCAAUUUUUCUUUCAAUCAAACCCUCCAUAAAUUCAAUUAAACCUUUAAUAAAAUUUAAUUGAGUCCAUAAACAUCUGAUUUUAGAUAUAUUUUUUUAAAAUUGAAUUUUCUUUGUCAACAGGGCUCUCAUUAGUCAACGAUAUACUGUCAAAUUUCAAUCUUUAUAUUUUUUAACCUCCUCAACCAAUUUUUGGCCAUUUUGAGCAGUCCGACAGCUUUCACUGUGACAUAUAUAUUUUUUUAUUUAUAUUAUUUAAUUAAUUUAUUAUUAUUUAUUUAUUUAAUUUUUUUCAACUCUUACUUUUUGUAUUUUCUUCUUUUUUGUGUGGGGUCCCAAAAAUGGAUAACAACACUUAAGUUCAAAUCUAUUAAUAAAAAUAUAGUUUUAUUGACUUUUUUAUAUACUUUUAUUAGAGAAAUCAAUGUAAACAAAUUUAUGGACAAACAUUAGUUUAUCAAGUACUUAAAUAGAAAAAUAAAAUCAAUUAGAGUACUUGAAUAAAAAAAAUAUAAAUUAUAAGCAUUUUAUAUAUCUUUAUUGUUCAUAAAUUAAAAAUAAAAUAAAAUCAAUCCAGACUAAUCUAAAAAGAGUUAACUAUGACAUCAUCAUUUUGAUAGUAAAACUAAUGAAGAUAUUUUAUUGAUUAAAUUCCGUGAAUAUAAGUAUUCAAAUUGAAAAAAAAAAACAUUGAUACAAGAUUUUAAAUAAAAAAAUUAUAAAAUACAUAUAAUUUGUACUUCUCAUUGUCUCUUUUGCAUUGCUAACACUUAACAAAUUGAAUAUAUAAUUCUCAUGUCAAUAACGUCAGAAUAAAUUUAGCUACAUGACAUAAUAAUACCUGUUUAUUUUUGUAUUUUAAAAAUAUUUUAAAAACAUUAAAUUGUUUUAAAUAGAUAACUUUUGAAUCAUCAAGUAGUGAAACACAGGAAAAGCGAAGAAAGUGAAGAAUAAUCAAAGUGGUGCGUGUCCACAUCAAUUUUUGUCCAUGUUUUUGGUAUUAAUCUCUUCAUCUAUUUACAGCUGGAGAAAAGAACAUCACCUACUACUUUUCUUGUCUCUUCUUACUUGGAAGAUCAGGUAUGUGAAUCUUUGAGUGCCACUUAUUUUAGUACAUAGACUUAGUUAUUUGACCACAACUUCACCACAAGUUAAAUUGUUUUAAUUAAAAAAAUUUAUAUAAAGAUUUCUUCAAUAAAUUUUUUAUUUAAAAAAUUUCUAAGUGAAAAUUAAAAAACUUAUACACAAAUAUAGUUAAAUAAAUCAAGAAUUAUGUGUGUUAAUAAGUGAAAAAAACCAUAAAUGAUGACUCAAAAUAAAAACUGAAAAAAUCAACUGAUAAAUGUAGAUCAAAAUAUUUAAUUUCACAAGACGUGAUAUUAAUGCAGUUGUGUUUUCUAAAAUUUUUAAUUAAAAUAAUUUUUUAAUUUGAUCAAACGAUAAUAAAAAUAGACACACAUAUUAUAAAUUGAUUGAAUAAAAUAAAAAAUAAUAAUAAUAUGCUAGGCUUUAUAUAUUGGAAAUAUUAUUUAAAAAUAAUUUUUUUUAUUUUAAAAAAUAAAAUUUAUCUAUUAAAAAAAUUUAUAUAUUAAAUUCAAAAUAAAUAAACUUUAAAAUAAUUUGCAAGGCUGCACAUAACCCCUUUAAAAGGAAAGUGAUAUAACAAACGUGGAACAAUUUUUAUUAACUAAAUAAACUUAAUAACUAUUAAUAUUAAAUUCGAAAUAUAUAUUAAAACCUAUUAUAUUAAUUUUUGAAUUUAUCAAUUCAGAUGUGAAUUAUAUUUCUAAAAUGUUAUAAGAAAUUUCUAUAUACGACAACUAGCUUAAGAAAGUGAUGUUCAUCAAAACCAUAGAGUACAGAAAAAGAAUUGAAUUGCAUAAAAUUAAGUAAUUAACGGAAACUUAUAUUCCUUCUUAAAACGUUGACCCCAAGUCAAGUUUAUUUAUUAUUAUUUUUUUUGAAAAAAACAUGAAUAAAAGUUAAUGCUAGGCACAUGGGAUAUAGAAGACUUGCAACUUUCUUUAUAGAAAUUACGUGUGUAAAAUUUAGGCCUUGAAAAAAAAUUAAAAAUAAAAUACUAUUAAUCGUGUUGAUAAAAAUUAAUAUAGAGACUUUAUUGAUAAAAAUUCAUAAGAGCAAGUAUUCAAAUUACAAAAAAUAAAAAUAUUUCUUCAAAUUUUCAAUAAAAUUUAUUUCUUGAAAUUAAUGCAUUAAACAAAAUUAAAAUAGUAGUAAAAGUAAAUUUAGUUUUUGAUUGAAGUGUAAACUAGUGGUAAAUGAACAAAAAGAAACUUUAUUGAUUUCUCCAAAAACAAUAUAUAUAUUAUUGAAUAUCUAAUGGAAAGGAUUAUGAAACUCCGCCUAAUAUAUAUAUAUAUAUAACAGAGAAAUUGUCGAUAAUAGCUAUGAUCUAAGUAACUGGACCACGACGAAGACAUAUACAAGAAACAAAAAAAAGAUACUUCACUAACAAUUGGGGUUCUUCAUAAGCUUCAAUAGAAUUGAUAGAGGGUCGAAACAAAAAAGAGAUGAAGAGAGAGGAGGGAAUGGAAAGAAGGGAAAAGAGAACUCUUGCGAUCUGUUGAAUAAGACUCAGUAUAUAUAUAUAUAUAUAAAAUAAAAAAAACUCAAGUUAGCGCAUCAAAUCUUCGACUUGGAUUAUGAGAUCGGGAUAAGAAAACUUAAUAUUUAAAAAUAAAAUUAAAGAAAAAAACUAUAAAAACAUAUAUGGUUUAACAAUAUUAAUCAAUUAUUAAAAUCUUUCAUUUUAUAUAUAUUAAAAAUAAAUAUUAAUAACUAUUAUAUCAAUUUGUGAAUGUUUCAAUUAGGAUGCGAAUAAAUGUUUUAUAUAUGACAUUUUUCUUAAGAAACCAAAGUUAUUAAGCAUGUUUAGAUUUAAUUACCAAAUGAGAGUGAGGGUUGAGGUUAUAGAUUGACCUAAUUAAUACUCAGAUCAAGAUUUAGGUCCUAGAUCGGACAAAUUAGCUUAUUGACUAGUGUUAAUAAAAAAUUGUAUCAUUUUAUGAUUUUUGUUAUAGAAAAAAUCAAAAUGGUGUUGUUAAAAAAAGUAAAACUAGGUUUUAACUGAGUUGACUAGGUUGUGGGUUGAUUUAUCUGGUCAACUAGGCUCAAUUGAGUCAACUCUCACUUGGUUUUUUCUAAACCUAAAUAGGGUUAGGUUCCAGAUUAAAAUGUAAGGCUUGAAUUAAAUUUAAUAACAUUGAUUAAAACCACAAUGUAGGAAAAAAAAUUGAAUUCAUAAAAGUAAUUAACCGAAAACUUGAAUUCCUUCUUAUAAAGUUGAACCCAUGUCGGUUUUUUUAAAGGAAAAGUAUGAAUCAAAGGUUAACGCUAGGCUGCUCACUUUGCAUCACAAUGACAGAUAUGGAAGGCUUGCUACUUUCUUUAUGGAAAUAACGUGUGGAAAAUCAUGCAUUAAUUUUGAUGUUGAUGGCAAAAUCAAACAAUAUCGUUGAUAAAAUGAAUGACAAAUGAUAUUAUUUUUAAAAUACUUCUUGUCAUUGUCAUGACAACAAGUCUUCUUUUUUUUCUUUCUAAAGUACUUGUCAGUCUAUUUUUAUGUAACCCAAUCAACAAGUAAGAUGGAUAGAAAUUUGCAGUGUAAAAUGGGUCUGUGAGACUAUGUAUCGCCAUCUGCAUUUUUCCACGAUCUAGGCCAGUGGGAUGGUACAUGAGACCAUUGCUAUCAAGCGUUUUUUCUACGAGAUGGGUCCAUGAGACCAUUGCCCUGUAAGCUUGGGAAUGGAUAAUUAAUAUGCUUUAAUGUCUAUUUAGUUUGCAAAAAAAAUAAUUAAAUGCUUAUGAAUAAAAAAUAAAUCUCAAGUGUUAAAAUGCAACCACCGAUUAAUUAAUGGACAAUGGACCUUAGAUUAAUACAUGACGCAACUUUCAAUGGAAUUAUAUUUGUGGAGGUAUUUACUCGGAUGCGAAUUAUAUUUCUAUUUUUUUAUUUAAAAAAAUUCUAUACUACAACGAGCUUAAGAAAGUCAUGUUCAGGGGCGGAGCUAUAAUUAUUUGUUAGGAAGAUCAAAAUUAAUAUAAUAAGAUAUAAAAUUUAUUUUAAUUUAUUAUACAUGAGUUCUAAAACAAAACCUGUAUAAUUUAGUUUUAUUCAAAUAACUUACUACAAACAUAUAAUAACCUUUGUGAAGUAUAUUGGGACUGCUCAACCAUAACUUUAACAUUACACAUUGGAGUUGGUUCACUAGGCUGUGAGUUAUCAAUAUUUUUUAUUUUUCUUUUUCAAAAAAAAAUCAAUUCUUCUUAUUUUGUUCAUGGUUCAACCUAAAAUCAAAACAUAUAUCGUAAGAAAAAAUUGAUAAUUUAGUGACUCUGCUAAAAAUAAAACAUAAAACAAAUCCAAGCAUAAUCAAAACAAAACCAAUAAAAUAUAUCUAAUUAAUUAGAAAAAAAAUCAUUAUAAUAAGAAUUCAAAAAAAAAUGGUAAAACUAGCAGAUCUGAGAAAAAAAAAGAGCAAAAAUGAUAGAAAUAUAAAAAAAAUCUCAUCAAAUUAUUAACAAACAUCUCAAAACAAAACAAAUAUAGAUUUUAAAUUUAAGUUACUUUGUUUUGUUUGAUGAAAGAUAAAUUAAUUGGUGGCUCUGCUUCAAUCUUUUUGUAGAAACAUUUUGCUCACAAUUUGUAUUUUUAUUUCUUUGUUUGAUCGGCUGCAGGAUUUAUAUUAGGGUAAAUUAAUGGUUUUGUUUUUUAUUUCACAAAGUAAUGCCUUAAUAUUGUUUUCUUCCAUCUAGGUCAAGAGUAAAUUAAAAGGAAAUCAAAAGUAAAGUCAAUAAUAACCCAAAGUAAUGCCUUAAUUAUUUGAUGUCACAAAGUAAUGCUUUAAUAACCCAAUAAUAAAAAAACAAAAUGUCUUGAGGGGGGCUCGGGCCCCUGCUUGCCCCCUACUUCCACCCUUGGUCAUGUUCAUCGAAAAAAAAAAUUAUAUUUACUCGGAUGUGUUUUUUCUACGAGAUGGGUCCAUGAGAACAUUUCCAUCUGCAUAUUGGUUCUUGAGACCGUUACCAUCAGGGGCGGAGACAGAGGGGCUGGCAGGGGCCCCGGCCCCGGCAAGGAAAAAGUUUUUCCAGCCCCUCCCUUAACAAUAUUUAUAUUUUUAGUUUAAAUAAUAAAACAAUUAAUAUUUUGAUCCCCUUUAAUUUUAUUUUCUGGUUCUGCCCCUGGUUGCCAUCAUGCAUUUUUCCUCGAGGAGAGGCCAUGAGACGUCCUCUUCCAACCAUCAUGCAUUUUUUCCACGAGAUGGGUUCGUGGAGAAACUUUGGUUUAAUUGGGAAUGCUGUUAUUGAUUGGAAACUUUUUAAUUAAAAUAAAUUUGAUUAUUUGAUUGGAAAAAAUCCUUAAAUGUUAUUAACACAAGAAAUGAAUUUAUUUUCUUAAGAAAAAAAUAUUGUAACCAUAUAAGUAAUUUAUUUAUUUAUUUUAAUGAAAUAUAAAAUAGUUUUAAAUCUUGUGGUAUAUUUCUUGUCUUUAAGAGCUAUGAACUUAUAUCGCAAACCUUGAAAACUAAUAUAAAGAUAUUAAGUGAUCAUUAAGUGUGUGUGUAUGUAUAUAAUCUUUUUCAAAACAAAAAGGAUUUUGAUGGAGAUCAGGACAUUGCAACAAAUUAUCCACCACGAGAUGGGUCACUGAUACCAUUGUCAUCAUGCAAUUUUUUCCCACGAGAUGGGGCCGUACGCUUGGGGCUCUAAAACGCUAUGGUUUUUAAUUUCAUUAUGUCACAUCUAGAAUGGCAGGUAUAUUUUAUUUCAAUUUAAACAAUGGAAUAAAUUAGAAGAUAUUUCAUCUCGUUUGGAAUCUUAUCUCAUUUCAUGAAUUUCACCUAAAUUCUGGCCGGAAUAUUUUGGUUCUAUUCCAGCCAUUCUAUUAUGAUCAAAUAAUGUUUUGUUUUGCUUUUAUAAAAAAAAAAAUAUAGUCUAGUUUUACGGUAUCAAUUAUAUCUCUCAAUUCAACUGUUGAAUUAUACUAAAAUUUUACAAGGAAUCUCCUAACAUAUAUUUAUAUCGCAAGUUAAAAUUUUAGAACAAUUAGAGUUUAGAAAGACUUUGUGAGAUUGCCGAUGACAUUUUCAUAAUUUUAUUUAAAUUCAUAAUUUGGUUUCGUAAGGUCAUUUUUUGUGUCUUCUUUUAGAUUGUUUUGUUUUUCCAAUUUCAUAAUUCAACAAUAAGUUUAUUAAAAAUUGAGAUUCAUAAUUUGUUUUUAUUUUGGAUUAUUAUGGUCUCAUAAUCUGGGUCACGGAUUUAAAAGAUUAACUUAGAUUAACCCGAGUCUAUCCAAUAUGUCGUUGUCUCAAUAUUUUUAACAAACAUAAUUUUAAUUGACAUUUAAAAAUAAACUAACUUAAAAUUAUACAAUUUAAAUUUCAAAUAUAAGUAAAAAUAAAGAGUUAAAUCGAUAUGACCCAUUUGAUUUGAUGAGUCCAAAGUAUAUAUAGAACAAUCCAAAAUGACACAUCAAAAUACUCAAAAACAAAAAUAUAUUGUUACAAUUAAAAAAAUAAAACACCAAUUAAAAUGGAAUUAACAUCCUUGCUUCAUAGAAGCCUAAACUCCUCGCUACCAUUUGCAAGAGAUAGUUAUACCAAUAGCAAUUUAGUAAUGUUGGUCAGAAUUUAAUAUCCUUCUCGAUAAGAAGAUCCUUAUCUUAUCGGAUAAAACCUAAUUGUUCUAACGUCAACAAAAGAAUUUAAUAUUCGGAAUACAUCUUACGUAUAAGGUCGUAACCCAAAUACUAAAAGAAAAAAAAUAAUAUUUUUGGAAUUUUUGAAAUAUUGGUCUAGUUCUCGUGACUUUAAUAAACUGGUUAUUAAAACCAAAAUGCAUGUUAAUACAUAUUUUUGAAUUUUUGUUGUAUGAAAAUAUGAUAUGAUUUUUUUUCUUUGAGAUACUUGGCCAUAUGCAUGAAAAUAAAAACAUGUUUUUUUUUUAAUUUUUCAAUGUUUCGACGAAAACUGGGUAUUUUAAUUCCAGAUUUGUAUCUUUACAGUAUAAAAAUACAAAUCAAUACUAAGAAAAAAUCAAUAGAAAAAUACGCGGUAAAAUCACAGAUUUUUUAAAAUGAUUUUUUUUUGACCGGGUAGGCGUUGUUCGGGUCAGAAAACUAAAACAAACAGUGGAGAGACUCUCUGCUGUUCACAUGCAACGUGAACAGUGGAGCGGCCUGGAGAAGACUAAGAAGAGGAGGAGGAAGAGGAAGAAGCAGACCUGCAGCCUAGCGGUGCUGCCAGUGGCGGUGGACGGUGUUGCGGUUGCGGACCGUGGUGCUGACUGGUUGGUGGUUCUUCUUUCUUUCUCUGCGUUUCCCUUCUGCUUUUUUUCUGUUCUACUCUAUUCUUCCUCUUGUUCCCUGUUUUAUUCUCUCUCCCUCUCUGGUCCUCUCAAACGUCCCCUGGAGCUGCUGCCUGAAGAUGAAGAUGAAGUUGAGGGUGAUCAGUGCUCUGAUCGAGCAACGUUUCUUUCUUUCCUUCUGCUACUGUUUUCGUUUCUGAUUCUCCUUUUUGUUCAAUUCUUAUUUGCACUCUUCUUCUUCUUCGUCGUCUCUGGUUUUUGAAAUGACGAAGACGAUGGCAACGCUGGUUCUGGUCUCAACGAUUUCCUCUCCUUACAUUCUUUCCUUCUGCUCAUUUCCGUCUCCCUCUCGUGCUACUCCCCACUUUCUCUCUUGUCCUGCUGGCUCUCCCUCCUUGUCUCCUCCUUUUUUUUUUUCCUGUCCGUCUCUCCUCUGGCUUUAUAUAGCGAGAGGAUGCAUGCUUUUCGGGAUUUAUUGCAGGAAGGUUGUAACAGCCGGAGUGUAUCAUGGUGGAGAAGGAUAUCAGCCGUGAGACAUGCUCCCCUGAUUGAAGCAGCUCCACCGCUAACAUCUUCACUACCUUUUACUGUAGAAACCGUUGUUGAUGAAGAAGGUAAUGAACAGUUGUCAAGGAAAUGGUACCGUUUUAAAAUUCAAAAUGAAUAUUUCCGAUUUGGUCAUUGGAUUUUUUGCAAUUUUGUAAUCAAGCCCCCGAAUAAAUUGUAAAUGGAUCUCUGGAUUUUAGCCCCAUUUACAAGACAAUUUUUUGUUCUGGAUUCAUGCAAUUUGACCCUCAAUUGAUCAAUAAACUUCUAAUUUCUUCAAUUUAACCCCUGAGUUGGUCAAUUGCAGCCUCUCUAUUUACGUGUCUUUUCCGAUUUGGUCCUUGGUUUCGUAUUUUUUCAAUCAAGUCCCUAAUUGCCCAUAAAACUUUAAUAAUUAUGCAAUUAAGCUCCUGAUUUGACCAAAUCAACUCUUCAAAAUUAUAAUUGUACCCUAGAACUUUAAUUUCUUCCAAUAAAAGCCUAAAUCGACAUAAAACUUAAUUUUUCUUUCAAUCAAACCCUCCAUAAAUUCAAUUAAACCCUCAAUAAAAUUUAAUUUAGUCCAUAAACAUCUGAUUUUGGAUAUAUUUUUUUUAAAAAUGAAUUUUCUUUGUCAACAGGGCUCUCAUUAGUCAACGAUAUACUAUCAAAUUUCAAUCUUUGUAUUUUUUAACCUCCUCAACCAAUUUUUAGCUAUUUUGGGCGGUCCAACAGCUUUCUCACUACGACAUAUAUUUUUAUUUAUUUAUUUAUUAUUAUUAUUUAUUUACUUUUUUUCGACUCUUACUUUUUGUAUUUUCUUCUUUUUUGUGUGAGGUCCUAAAAAUGGGUAACAAUACUUAAGUUCAAAUCUAUUAAUAAAAUAUAGUUUUAUUGAAUUUUUUUAUAUACUUUUAUUAGAGAAAUCAAUGUAAACAAAUUUACGGAAAAACAUUAGUUUAUCAAGUACUUAAAUAGAAAAAUAAAAUCAAUUAGAGUACUUGAAUAAAAAAAAUAUAAAUUAUAAGCAUUUUAUAUAUCUUUAUCGUUCAUACAUUAAGAUAUUUUAUUGAUUAAAUUUUGUGAAUAUAAGUAUUCAAAUUGAAAAAAAAAACAUUGAUGCAAGCUUUUAAAUAAAAAAAAUUAUAAAAUACAUAUAAUUUGCACUUCUCAUUGUCUCUUUCGCAUUGCUAACACUUAACAAAUUGAAUAUAUAAUUCUCGUGUGAAUAACGUCAGAAUAAAUUUAGUUAUAUGACAUUAUAAUACCUUUUUAUUUUUAUAUUUUAAAAAUAUUUUAAAAAAAUUAAAUUGUUUUAAAUAGAUAACUUUUGAAUCAUCAAGUAGUGAAACACAAGAAAAGCGAAGAAAGUGAAGAAUAAUCAAAGUGGUGCGGGUCCACAUCAAUUUUUGUCCAUGUUUUUGGUAUUAAUCUCUUCAUCUAUUUACAGCCGGAGAAAAGAACAUCACCUACUACUUUUCUUGUCUCUUCUUGCUUGGAAGAUAAGGCAUGUGAACCUUUGAGUGCCACUCAUUUUAGUACAUAGACUUGGUUAUUUGACCACAGCUUCACCACAAGUUAAAUUGUUUUAAUUAAAAAAAAUUAUAUAUAGAUUUCUUCAAUAAAUUUUUUAUUUAAAAUUUUUUUAAGUGAAAAUUGAAAAACUUAUACACAAAUAUUGUUAAAUAAAUCAAGAAUUUUGUGUAUUAAUAAGUGAAAAAAACCAUAAAUGAUGACUUAAAAUAAAAACUGGAAAAAUCAAUAAACAAAUGUAGAUCAAAAUAUUUAAUUUCACAAAACGUGAUAUUACAGUUGUGUUUUCUAAAUUUUCUAAUUAAAAUAAUUUUUUAAUUCGAUCAAACGAUAAUAAAAAUAGACACACAUAUUAUAAAUUGAUUGAAUAAAAUAAAAAAUAAUAAUAAUAUGUCAGGCUUCAUAUAUUGGAAAUAUUUUUUGAAAAUAUUUUUUUUAUUUUUAAAAAUAUAGUUUAUCUAUUAAAAAAAUUAUAUAUUAAAUUCAAAAUAAAUAAACUUUAAAAUAAUUUGCAAGGCUGCACAUAAGCCCUUUAAAAGGAAAGUGAUAUAACAAAAGUGGAACAAUUUUUAUUAACUAAAUAAACUCUAUAACUAUUAAUAUUAAAUUCAAAAUAUAUAUUAAAAAUAAAUAUUAAAACCUAUUAUAUUAAUUUGUGAAUUUAUCAAUUGAGAUGUGAAUUAUAUUUCUAAAAUGUUAUAAGAAAUUUCUAUAUACUACAACUAGCUUAAGAAAAUCAAGUUCAUCGAAACCGUAGAGUACAGAAAAAAAAUGAAUUGCAUGAUUAACCAAAACUUAUAUUUCUUCUUAAAACGUUGACCCCAAGUCAAGUUUUUUUUUUUUUUUGAAAAAAACAUGAAUACAAGGUUAAUGCUAGGCACAUGACGAUGAUGGAUAUACAAGACCUGCUCCUUUCUUUAUGGAAAUUACGUGUGGAAAAUUUAGGCCUUGAAAAAAAUUAAAAAAAAAAUACUAUUAAUCAUGUUAUUUGCAUUAUGGCAAAUAUAGAGACUUGAUUGAUAAAAAUUUAUAAGAGCAAGUAUUCAAAUUUUAAAAUAAAUAAAUAAAUCAAUUCAAGUUUUUAAUUAGAAAAAACAAGAUACAAAUACUCUGUGUAAGUGCCACUAACUCUUUGUAUUUUCUAACUAUUAAAGAAUUGAAUAUAUAAUACACGGGUGAUAAACAUCAAAAUAAAUCCAAUUGUAUAAUUUACUAAGAUUUUAAAAACUAACACUACAUAGAAAAAAAAAUCUUAAAAUAAAUAACAGAAAACUUGUAUUCCUUCGAGGGGUGUUUGAGAGUGUGGUAGCGGUUGCUUUUCAAAGUUUUUUCCCUUAAAAAUGCAUCAAAAUAAAUUUUUUUGAUUUUUUAAAAAUUAUUUUUAACAUCAUUAUAUCAAAAUGAUCUAAAAAUAUUAAAAAUAUAUUAAUUUAAAGCAAAAAAUAUAAAAAAAAUUAAAAAAUUUUAAUAAUACUUUUAAAAUACUAAAACAAACAAGAUAUUAAAAAAUAUACUACAAGUCAAAGUCUUUUUGAAAAAAAACAUUAAUAAAAGGUUAAUGGCAGGUAGCUUAUUUUCUGCCCUAAUAAAGCUCAAGGUCUGUUCAGAAAACUAAGUACGUAGGCAUACACCCAAUCCAAGCACCAUCAAAUCAUUUUUUAUACAUAGGGAUAGGAACGCUAGCUUCACAUGAUAGAUAAAAAAAAUUAAAAGAUAAUAAAAUUAAAAAAAUAAUUAUAAUCUUAUAUAUUAUUUUAAAUAAAAUAAAUAUUGAUUAAAAAAACCAAAUAUAAUAAAUUAAAAUAUUUAAUUUAAAAAAGAUAAGAGAAAAGUAAAUGAGAAUUAAAGUUGAUAUAAAAAUUAAAUUAUAAAAUAUAAAAUUCAAAAAAAAAAUAAAACCAAUUUUUUUUUUCUAAAAGAUAAUAUUCAGAUUAAAAGCAUUAUAAAAAGAAUAGCUCCUUGUUUCUUCCUUGUUUCAAUUUCAAGAUAUUAAGAUUAAAACCCAAUCGUAUAGCUGGUUGGGUUGAGAAGAAAGGUUUGCUUUUGUAUUACAAAUUAUUUAGAUUAGUUUUUUUUUAAAAUUAAUCAAAUUAGUAUCAUUUUGGUUCUCCAUCGAAGAAAAUAGAAAACAUAUUUAGUAAUAAGGUGUUGUUUAAUUCCUUAUAUUAUUAAUAUAAUCAUGGCAUCAUCACUGUAACAAUAAGUCCUCUUACUUGUAUUUUCACCGUCCCAACCUCUUUACAUGGCGUCACCGUAGCAAUUAUAUAUCUCUUGAUCAAUCAUAAUUAAAUUACUGUAAUAAUAUCUUUUUUUAUUCUUUUAUAUGAAGUCUUAAUUUAUUUUUUUAUAUAGGUAGUUAUGAAUUACAGAAAUUGAACAAUUUAGAGAUCUUUGACUUAGAAUCUAAUUGUUUCGAUAACAGUAUUAUAUUAUAGAGGGAUUUUUAUCCCUUAAAUUAUUAUAUUUAGAUUAAAAAAUAAAAACUAAUUAGGAGUCAAUUAAAUAAAUAAAUAAAAACCCUCAAAAGAUAAAAGAAGAAAACAUAAAAAGUACACUACCCAACCAAUAAUUGACCUGAAUCACAUGUUGUCCACUGCCAGAACUUAUUAGCAAUCUGCUUACAACAGCAAAUUGAUCAAUAAGAAAGACUUAAAUUCCAAAUUUAAAAACCAACUCAAUUGAGAUCCUUAUUAUUCAUUCAAUUAGUUGCUUCUUGCUAACUCUUUUAUUUCCUUUAUAAUUUUAAUUCAUUUUAAUAUAAUUUCUUGAUUGUGGCAAGCUUCCUUUAUCUCAAGAACUUGGAAUACUUGGAUUUCCCAAGAAAAAAUUAACUUAAGACUUUAGUUAAUGCUAUGAACACGAGUAAAUGAUAUGCUAAAGAAAAAACCAUGUAUUUAAGAACCAUUGCUAAGCUACAGGUUCAGGAGCCAUAAACCACUCACAUUUAGUGGGGUUGAUCUCAAAUUCAGACAAAUCUACUUGUCCAGUUCGGAGAACCUUCAAACAAAAAGAAGAAUGAAACCUUGUAAAAUUGGCUAUCAUCAAAAGGACAAGAAACAGUACAAGAAGGAUCAGCCUCGCAUUUCUUGCAUAAGUAAAAGAAUCCACUUGUUAAUGGAAAGGAGGACUCUGCAACAAGUCUAAAAUAUCCUCUGGAGUUCAGUGACCCUACAACCUUAUAUUUACCUCAGAAUGCACCCACGUAAAGCACACAGGAAAUCCCAACACAUAAGACAACAAAAGAAAACAUAUAAUUAGCAGAAAAAAAAAGGUUGUACAAUUCUUUCAUAGCUUACAGUACGUAUAGAAUAAGCAUUAUCAAAUCAGGCUAACAUACCUCAGGUAAGUGAGAUGUUAAUCCUUCUUCAAGCGGCAAUGUCUCAAUCAAUGACAUUAUCAAAUCAGGCUUCAGUAUAUCCCCUAAUCCCAAGCCUAGGACAACAAAAGAAAACAUCAUGAAAAAAAAUGAUUUUACAGUAAUGCACCCAGUGCCAGAGCAUAUAAUUAGCAGAAAUAAAGGUUGUACAAUUCUUUCACAGCUUACAAUACGUAUAGAAUAGGCAUUAAUAAUUACCUUCAUCUGGAUCGGCCAAACUACCUGCAACAUCUAUCAUCACAUCACGGCGCGGGCCACCCUAAGUACAGCAAACAAGGAUAUGGUCAAUUGCACUAUCUGAGCAUAACACAGAUAUUACUCAGGAUUCUUUGCAAGUCUUCCAAUUUCACUGGUUCUGAUGAAGAGUUUACAUCAUUCAUUACUUCUGCACCAAGGUCUGGGACAACUAAGUUUCCAGUCCUGAGAGCUAUGAGCAAAAAUCUCAUCAGAAUAAAAGAAAAUGGCAACGUAAUACUGGGCCAUUUCUUUUUUGUAAUAAAAGUGCUCCUUAACCUUUUUGAAGUUAUUUUACAAUGAAUUACAAGCAUUAAACUUGUAUAUACAUGGACAAACACCAAGUUAUGAUUCUAAAUUUCCAUAUAAAAGAUGCCCCAAGUUUUAAAAUUUACCCCGAGGGCAAGUCUGUGCAAGAGCAUAAGGGGAUGAAGGAUUUGACAUGGACUAAGGUGGGUGAGAUGUUUUUGUCAAGAAAUGAUUUUGGAAAAUUUCUUGAUAUUUCUUGAAUAAAUAAGAUAGGAGUCUUCAUCAAGGCAAGAACAUAGGCUCUCCAAGAUAAUUGACCAGAAGGAGAGAAGGGAGGCUCAUCCUGCUCCACAGACUCUUAGUCUCAAAGAACAAAAAAUUACUUGGCUCUAUAUCCUUACUCUUACUUGCUAUAUCAACUCUUAGAGUUGAAGUAUCUGAAAGGGUUUAUUUUUAGUAUUUGAAUAAGUCCAUGAGUCCCUAGUCUUCAGGAAGAUAUACAUGGUCAAGAUUAAAUUAAGGAUUUUAGUUGCUUAUUUUUCGUUAUUUCAUGUGCCACGUUACUGUGAACGUGAGCUAUUUUUCAGUCUUAUUAUUAUUCCUGUAAGGCUAUUUAUUAGCCAUUUCCAUUCAGUAAAAGCAAUUCAUUCAAUUCAAAUACUGUGCACUUUUGUUCUUAUUCUUUACAAUUGGUAUCAGAGCUAUUACAUCUGACCUGUUACGAAGAAAUAGAUACAAAAGGAAGACAUAUUUUUGAGUGACUUCAAACUUAGAGUGAGUGAGUGCUUGAGUGCUUUUAAACACAGAGUGAGUGAGUUUGAGUGUUUUUUAAACACAGAGUGAGAAAGAGAGUUCUUGAGGGUCAAUUUCAACAAUGGCAGCAGAGUCCAGCAAUUUUGUAUCACCUUGCAUCCCGAAAUUUGAUGGAGACUACGAGCAUUGGAACAUGCUAAUGGAGAAUCUCUUGCAUUCCAAAGAGUAUUGGAACGUUAUUGAGACAGGAUAUGUCGAGCCUGCAUCAGGGGAAAUUCUGAAUAAUGCACAGAAAAAGACAUUGGAGGAGACAAAGCUGAAAGAUUUAAAGGUUAAAAAUUACCUUUUUCAGUCCAUCGACAAAUCCAUUCUGAAGACUAUUACUCAAAAAGACACAGCAAAACAGUUGUGGGAUUCCAUGAAGAUCAAAUACCAAGGAAAUACAAGGGUUCGGCGUGCUCAACUUCAAAUCUUUCGCAGGAAUUUUGAAGUGCUGGAAAUGAAACAAGGAGAAACUGUCACAAGUUAUUUUGGAAGAGUUAUGCUGGUGGCAAAUGACAUGCGAAAUCUGGGAGAAAGCAUACCUGAUGAGAAGAUUGUAGAGAAGAUUUUACGCACACUUACUGAGAAGUACAAUUACAUAGUGUGCUCCAUUGAGGAGUCUAAAGAUAUUAAUCAUCUUUCAGUUGAUGAGCUGUAGAGUUCAUUACUUGUUCAUGAACAGAAAUUCAAAAGGCAUGACACAGAUGAUCAUGCCCUGAGAAUCUAUGAUGACAGAUUCUGUGGCAGAGGUCGUGGCAGAAACAAUUACAGAAGCCGAGGCCGUGGGGGCAGAACACAAACAUUCAAUAGAGACAUGGUGGAAUGUUUCAGGUGUCACAAACUUGGACACUUCCAAUACGAGUGUCCAACCAUGAACAAGGCAGCUAAUUAUGUGGAGCUAGAUGAUGAAGAUGAGAUGCUGCUAAUGUCCUAUGUUACAUUAGCUAAGACAACACGGAAUGAUGCAUGGUUCCUGGAUUCAGGAUGUUCUAAUCAUAUGUGUGGUUAUAGAGGUAUGUUCUCCUACUUGGAUGAAAAUUUUCAGCAUUCAGUCAAACUUGGAAACAAUAGCAGAAUGGCAGUAGUUAGCAAAGGCAGAGUAAAAUUACUAAUCAAUGGUAUUAAGCAUGUUGUUAAUGAUGUCUAUUAUGUACCAGAGCUUAAAAAUAAUUUACUGAGCAUAGGUCAACUACAAGAAAGGGGCUUAGCAAUUUUAAUUAAGAAUGGAGUUUGUAAGAUUUACCAUCCUGAGAAGGGUUUGAUCAUUCAAACCAAGAUGAGUGCAAAUUGGAUGUUCAUCCUACUUGCACAGACUCAAGCUCCCGUACAUGCACAGACUCAGAAUCAAGAGAAUUGUCUUCUCACCGGUUCUCAAAAUCCCUCAGUGCUAUGGCACAGACGGUUCGGUCACUUAAGCUACAAAGGCUUAAGAACCUUACAAUGGAGACAUAUGGUACAUGGACUGCCCACCUUCUCGACUCCCACCAUCACCUGCACAGAUUGCCUCAAUGGCAAGCAACACAGAGAGGUCAUGCCCAAACACAGCAAAUGGAGAGCAAAUCAGAAAUUGGAAUUAAUUCAUGCAGACAUUUGCGGUCCUAUUUCCCCCGAAUCCAAUAGUGGCAAAAGGUACAUAUUAUGUUUCAUUGAUGAUUUCAGCCGAAACUAUGGGCAUUUCUUUUAGCUACAAAAUCCGAAGCUUUCAUUUAUUUUAAGAAAUUCAAAGCUAUGGUGGAAAAAGAAACCCUAUUGCAUGUGAAGUGUCUAAGGACUGACAGGGGAGGAGAAUUUACCUCAAGUGAAUUCAACGAAUUCUGCAGCCAACAAGGUAUCAAACGGCAGCUCACCACGGCGUACACUCCACAGCAAAAUGGAGUUGCAGAGAGAAAAAAUCGAACCGUGAUGAACAUGGUCCGAUCAAUCCUCUCUGGUAAAGGGAUUCCAAAACCCUUCUGGCCAAAGGUAGUGAACUGGGCCUUCUAUGUGCUCAAUCGGUGCCCAACUUAUGCUUUGACAGACAUCACUCCUCAUGAGGCAUGGAGCGGAACUAAACCAUCAGUAGACCAUUUCAGGGUCUUUGGGUGCUUGGCCCAUGUUCACGUUCCAGAUGUGAAACGGAGUAAGCUUGAUAACAAAAGCUUUGUGUGUGUACUGUUGGGUAUGAGUGAGGAGUCAAAGGGGUACAAGUUGUUUGAUCCUUUAAACAAAAAAAUCGUGGUUAGCAAAGAUGUGAUCUUUGAGGAGGACAAACAGUGGGAUUGGGAUGUUGCUUAUGAAGAACAAAUCUUGACAGAUUUGGUUUGGGGUGACAGAGAAGGAACACGUGAAGAUGGUGAUAAUAGUGAUGACAAUCACGGGGAUGAGAGUGGUGAACGUGAGGCUGAAAUCAAUGGGGAAGAAGGGGAAGAAAACGAAGAACACAGACACAUUGUCUGUGAAGAUGAUGAAAAUGCUGAGAGAGAAGAAGAAGAAGCUGAGUUAAAUGAUCUUACGGUGUGUAUGCUGCCAGUUGGAAGAAUAGGUGAGCAGGUCAAUCCUACGGCAUGAACGCGGCCAAGUGAACAAAGGGAGAUGACAGAUGGCAAAAUAGAUGUUAAUCCAACGGUGAGAAUUCAGUCUGACAGGGAGAGUGAUUAGAUGACAUGUGGCGUACAUCCAACGGCACAAAACAUGGCAGACGGAGAGAAUGAGCUGCUGACAAGUGGAGACAAUCCAACGACUGACAUGCAAUCUGACGGGGAGAGUGGCCUGCUGACAAGUGGAAGAAGAGAAAGGGGUCCUCCGGUGUGGAUGCAAGAUUAUGUUACAGGGGAGGAUUUAUCUGAAUAUGAGUCCAAUAUGGCACUAAUUAUGUCUUCUGAUCCCAUUUAUUUUGAAGAUGCUGUGAAAGUUAACACUGGAGACUUGCUAUGGACAGUGAAAUUAAUGCAAUAGAGAAGAACAAUACCUGGACGCUCAACGAGUUGCCGGAGGGAGCAAAAAAAAUUGGAGUCAAAUGGGUCUACAAAACAAAGUACAACGAACAUGGGGAUGUUGAUAAAUACAAGGCAAGGCUAGUUGCCAAAGGGUACUCGCAACAACACGGAAUUGACUAUACAGAAGUCUUUGCACCAGUGGCAAGGAUGGAUACAGUAAGGAUGAUUAUUGCUCUCGCCGCUCAAAAAAACUGGAUUGUUUAUCAGUUGGAUGUCAAAUCGGCUUUUCUGCAUGGGGAAUUGCAUGAAGAUGUUUAUGUUGAUCAACCAAAAGGGUAUGAAAAGAAGGCUAGCGAACAUCUAGUUUACAAGCUGCAUAAAGCGUUGUACGGGUUAAAACAAGCUCCAAGAGCUUGGUUCAGUCGAAUCGAGGGUCAUUUUUUCAAUGAAGGCUUUCUACGGUGUGAAAGUGAGCAAACUUUAUUCACAAAGAGAAGCAGGGAAGGAAAGAUUAUCAUUGUAAGUGUUUACGUUGAUGAUCUAAUAUUUACUGGCGAUGAUACACAUAUGUUGUCUGAAUUCAAAAACUCCAUGAUGAGGGAGUUUGACAUGUCAGAUUUGGGGAAGAUGCGGUAUUUCUUGGGAAUCAAAGUAUUACAGCAUUCAGGUGGCACCUACAUAUGUCAGAAGAAAUAUGCACUAGAGGUGUUGAAGAGGUUUGGUAUGAUGGAAUGCAAUGCGGUGAAAAAUCCAAUAGUUCCCGGAUGCAGAGUCAACAAAGAUGAAGGCGAAGCUAAAGUAGAUGAAACAUAUUAUAAGCAGUUAGUGGGCAGCCUAAUGUAUCUCAUAGCAACAAGACCAGACAUGAUGUUUGUUACUUGUCUCAUCAGCAGAUACAUGGCCAAACCUACGGAACUUCAUCUACAAGUAGCAAAAAGGGCACUUAGAUAUCUAAGAGGGACAAUAAAUUUUGGAAUUUAUUACAAGAAAGGGGGAAGUGAUGAACUACUCUCAUUUACGGAUAGUGAUUAUGCUGGAGAUAUGGAGGAUAGAAAGAGUACAAGUGGAUAUGUUUUUUUGUUAAGCUCAGGAGCAGUCUCAUGGAGUUCGAAGAAGCAACCAAUAGUGACUCUUUCUACAACUGAAGCAGAAUUUGUAGCAGCCGCAAUGUGUGUAUGUCAAGCUCUUUGGAUAAAAAGAGUCUUGAAGGAAUUGGGACACUCAAAUAAUGAGUGCACACAAGUGAAAUGUGAUAACAGCUCAACUAUUAAAUUGUCCAAAAAUCCAGUGAUGCAUGGACGCAGUAAGCAUAUCGAUGUAAGAUAUCACUUUCUGAGAAAUCUUACUAAAGAAGGUACAAUUGCAUUAGUUCAUUACGGAAGUCAGGAUCAGGUGGCAGAUUUAAUGACCAAGCCUUUAAAGCUUGAUGCAUUUCUGAAACUAAGAACACUGUUGGGAGUCCAAGAAAUUACUGAUGUAAACUAACUGCAUACUGCAGUAAGUUUAAGGGAAGGAAUGAAAGGGUUUAUUUUUAGUAUUUGAAUAAGUCCACGAGUCCCUAGUCUUCAGGAAGAUAUACAUGGUCAAGAUUAAAUUAAGGAUUUUAGUUGCUUAUUUUUCGUUAUUUCAUGUGCCACGUUACUGUGAACGUGAGCUAUUUUUCAGUCUUAUUAUUAUUCCUGUAAGGCUAUUUAUUAGCCAUUUCCAUUCAGUAAAAGCAAUUCAUUCAAUUCAAAUACUGUGCACUUUUGUUCUUAUUCUUUACAGUAUCAUCUUUGAGUAUGCUUAUUUGUUAUAAUAAAUAUACCUUGAUGAGAUAUUAUCUUUAAGCAUGUCUUCAAAAACUUGGAAAGGAGUAGAAGCAUCAGGCUCUUCUUCAUCAAGGAACUCUGCCAGGCAAUAAGAUAAAGUAGCGACGUUGCUGAUGGAAAAACUUCACUCUUGAAUGAGUGCUGAAGUUAUAAGCCAGGUCAUUAGUUUGAAGGAGUAAAACUGGUUAGUAAAAUUUUAGGAAAACCAAUUCACACAUACGGAGUGUGUAACUAAAAUAAAUAAACAGGAAGUAGAAAACAGGAAAUCCAAUUAGUCUAAUAUGAUAUUUCUGUGAAAUAGAGGUUUUCUUUAUGAAAUUGUGGAGAUGAGAGGAGAUAAAUGCAGAUGCAAGAUAAAAAAAAACAAUAAAAAAAAACACAAAAGUAGCAUGGCUAGCAAAGGACUCAAAACACAAAAGUAUUUACCAAAUGGACGAUUAAUAUAAUAGUUGAUAGAGCUACACAAUUGUGAAUCAUCUUUAGCUUUUGGCUCCUGCAAACAUGUUACACAAUUUUCCAAAAUCAUGCAACUAACAGCCGAGUCAAUGUUACACAUAAGAGAGUGAAAAACACAGAAAAUGAACCUGACCUGCAUCCAAAUGAAAAACUUUCAAUCAUCUGUAUUGAAUUUCAAGAUGUAAACUCUUCCCAAAGCUUGAUUAACCUGAAUAACCCAAAGAAUUAUGAAUCUAUGAUAUUACAAUCAAUUAUUAGAGUCAAAUAUCUCCCAUCUAAGAAAAAACUAAGAGAGAAAAGUGUACCUUCUCAAAAACAGCCUCUUCAGAAAAAAAAAUCUGAUCCUGUCAAUCAACACGUCAAGAAAAAGCUACCAAGUUCUUACCUCAAAAGAAUAUUAACAAAACAAACAACAGAAAAAGAAAUAAAAACCAAUGUUGGAAGAGAGAAACAAAAUCCCCAGGCUAAAAAACAUAAUAAUAACUAGGACACAUCUUCCACAGCAUUCAAAUUCCUAUCAAGCCACUGGAAAUGAAGCAAACCCUCGUCACCCUGGAACAAUUCAAAAAUUUCGACUUCAAACAGGAAACAAGAUGCUAGAAACACUCUAUCUAGUACUUAAGAUAAACCAAAACAACAGAAGUAACUAAAAAUCUUUACACAGGUACGAACUCUGUAUAACACAAAAAAACCAAAAGACACCAGUUUACCCUUCCAAUGCGAACAAGUCCUUUUCGAGAAUCAGGAACAAACUUUUUUCCAUCAAAAACCAUUUUACCAGCACGAAACUCCAACAUAAUUUCCUACCAACAAAACAACCACAACAUCAUAACAUAACCCCAUCAAGAAAAACAUACUUAUACAUCCAAAAAAGCAAUUACAGGCUCUAAUUAAUAAGAUACAAGAUUUUAAGCAAAACCCACAAUUUUAAAAGUGAUUUUAUUUACCUGCAUUGCUGAAAUAUCUACAGCUGAUGAAGAACCCAUUUUUCGCAUACUUCCUCUAAAGCUUCCUUUUUUCCAACACUGCAAAAAAAAAAAAAGAAGAACAAAUCAAAUACCCAAAUCAGAAACAAUAACAGAAAAAAAAUAAAAGAAAAUCCAAUGCUGGAAGUUGUAAUCAGGAGGAGAACCAUACAAUUUCUGAUGGAAUGACAUUUUAUCAAGAAUUGAACUAGGCAUUCAGUUAAUUAAAUAGGUUGUAAACUUGUAAUCAGGUGAGAGUAGUGUCAACAUGUUUAGUUUUCCUCUCGGAAGUGUCAUUCUGCACAAAUCAGUGUUUUAAAAAUAUUAAAAAAAAAAUUUAAUUUGUUUUUAAAUUUGUUUUUUAGUGGUUUUCAUUUAUUUUCGUGUAUUAAUAUUAAAAAUAAUUUUUAAAAAAUAAAAAAUAUAUUAUUUCAAUUUAUUUUAAAAUAAAAAAAAAACUUAAAAAAAAUACUGUUAACACAGUAUUAAACAAACUCGAAUCCUAUAACCAGAUGAACAACGUUAAGAUAUUUGUUUUUUGUUUUUUGUUUUUUUUGAUAAUGAGGAUGUCCUAAACAAUCUUGCCUAAUGAUUGUUAAGAAAUGAAAGAGGCAAUGCAUGGCUAAACCAAUGGAAGCUAAAAAGCUAAUGAUGCCCCUAGCUAGUAAGCAAUUGUUGCCGCAAUGACAUAUGCCUCAUUAGAGAUAGAUUUGAAUUUACAUAUUAUUAUUAUCAUAUAUUUUGUAUUCUCGUUUAAAAAAAUAAAUAUUUUCCUUAUAUGGAGUAGAGUGUUUUUAAUUUUAUCAUGUAAAAUUUAUAUAUAUUUUAAAAAUUAAUACAAUAUACAGUUAAACAUCUAUAAAUUAAUAUCAUUGAGACCAUGAAAUUUAUUAAUUAAUCAAGAUAUUAUUUAGUAAAUAAAUUUAUACACUUAUCCAUUAAUCACAAAAAAAUUUCUUUUUCAAAAACAUUGAACUCAAUACAUGCAUUGUGUAUUCUGAUUAUAUGAAUAUUAUCUAAUUAUCAAAUUAUGAAUUAUCAUAGUUCUAUAUAUUUAUUUAAAUAAAACAAGUUUAAGAAUUAAUGUAAUCGAUCUUAUUAAUUAAUAAAAGUCAUGUAUGUAUCUAUUUUUGCAAAUUGGAUGCAUACUUAAUUAAUAUUAAGUCAAGAACAAAACCAAAAAAAGGAAUAUACAAGUGAGCCAAACAACAAUAUUAAAAACGAAUAAGAGGUUGAAUUAAUAUUCAUUAACUAAUAAUAAAAUUAAGAAGAUGAUACCAAAGGACACAAAAUCACAAAAAUUCGUGAAACUACAUAAGGCGGUUUGUUCAAUACCAAGAAAUUAAAUAUUUAAAAAAAAACUAAAUGAAUUGUUUAAAAAGUUAAAAGAAAAUAAAUGCACUUUUGUCCACGUCAACAACAACUAUAACAAAAUGCUGGGCUGUAGAAGAUUUUCCACAGCAACCUGAAAAAAUCAUAUAUGCUCAAGUAACUAUUUGGUAGAGCGUAUUUGGAGUGCUAAUAUCUUUUCUUUAUGGAAUCAGUCCUCGUACUCGAUCUCUGAAACCAGUUAAGGUUCUUAGUGACCAAAAUACUAGGUAGCGACUCUCAUUCCAUUUUUCCACUAAUAAAAGACAAGAAUUCCUUGUCUCCCCAUAGAUGCCUGAUAGAUAAUACAUUUUGAGAGUGGAUAUUUUCACCGCAACAUCGUAUACGUGCGACAUUAUGUAUACAGGUAUUUCACGAGAUGAUGCGGAGUGUUAAAUAUAAGCUUUGUGUUUAAAUCUGUUUUUUUAUGUAAUAUCUUUUGUUUUAUAUGUAAUUUGUAUUAUAUGUAGAUUUUAAUAUAUGAAUCCUAAAGAUAUUUGCUUUUGGUAUUUAUACAUUUAGAAUGUAUGAGUAAGGAACUAAUAUUAGUAAACUAUUUGAAAAGAAUACUUAAUAAUUAUAAUUAUGCAUGUUUAAAAGAUGGAUGCAUGUUAACGUAAUAAUUAGUUCAAUAUGAAUCCUUUGAGUUUAUAUUUGUAUGCAGUUAAUGUUUUAUUUUAAGAGAAUAUAAUUGCUAUGUUUUAUUUUUUUAUGAUGUAAGGUUGAGAAAGCACAACAAAGUAUUGCUAUGUGAAAUAUUGUAUGAUGAGAUGGGAUAUGAUCCAGGAUGGUUGAAUUGAAAUAGAAGAUUGAGUAUUGUGAUUGAAUGAAGUCUAGUCGAUAACUUGGUAACAUAAAAAAACAAAAGAAACUCUGCCGAAUUUUCUGUAGAAAAUUAGAUUUAUAUAAUAACUAUUACUUUGAUGAUAUAACUUUGAGAGUGAUACAUCAAAUGUGAGAUAUGUUAGACAAUAACCGCAAGACAAUAACGGUUCAAGACGUAGACAAUAACAAUUCAAAUUUCGGUAGUCCUCAUAUGAAUACCAUAUAUAUAUAUAUAUAACUUUACUCUGUUUUUCAGUUGCAUGAUAUUGUUAUUUUAUCCCGAUUGAGGGGGUGUUAUAAUUAUGGUCUUAUGAUCCGAGUCACUGAUUUAAAAGGUUAACCUAGAUUGACCCGGGUCGAUCCAAUAUGUUGUUAUCUCAAUAUUUUUUAAAAAAAUAUUAUCUUGAAUUUUUUGAAGUAAAACUAUAUGUUUAUCAGUCGUCCAGACUAUCUUUGGACUCAUUGAAUCGAUUGGGUCAUAUCGAUUCAACUCUUUUUUUUUAGUUAUAUUUGAAAUUUAAAUUGUAUAAUUUCAAAUUGGUUUGUUUUUAAAUGUCAAUUAAUAUAUAUAUAUAUAUAUAUAUAUAUAACAAUCCAAAAUGACAGGUUAAAAUACUAAAAAACCAAAACAUAUUGUUACAAUUAAAAAAAUAAAAUACCAAUUAAAACGGAAUUAAUUGACAACUUGCUUGGUAGAAGCAUGAAACUCCUCGCUGACAUUUGCAAGAGAUAGUUACUUAUACCAGUAGCAAUUUAGUAAUGAUUGAUCAGCAUUUAUAGUAAGAUGGGGCUAUUAAUUCAAAUGUUGAUGGCAUUAGUAACAAUGAUUUUCUUGGAAGGAUUGCUUCCUCUUGGUUGCUUGAAAAUAUACGGUUUUUUUUUAGUUCAAAUCUAUUAAUAUAAAUAUAGUUUUAUUGAAUAUUUUUUAUAUAAUCUUAUUAGAGAAAUCAAUGUAAACAAAUUUAUGGACAAACACUAGAUUAUCAAGUAUUUAAAUAGAAAAAUAAAACAUUGAUACAAGCUUUUAAAUAAAAAACAUUUAUAAUAAAUAUAAUUUGUACUUGUCAUUAUCUCUUUUUCAUUGCUAACACUUAACGAAUUGAAUAUAUAAUUCUCAUGUGAAUAACGUCAAAAUAAAUUUAGUUGCAUGACAUAAUAAUACCUAUUUGUUUUUUGUAUUUUAAAAAUAUUUAAAAAAAUUAAAUUUUUUUAAAUAAAUAACUUUUGAAUCAUCAAGUAGUGAAACACAGGAAAAGUGAAGAAAGUGAAGAAUAAUCAAAGUGGUGUGGGUCCACAUCAACUUUUGUCCAUGUUUUUGGUAUUAAUCUCUUCAUCCAUUUACAGCCGGAGAAAAGAGCAUCACUCAGUGCUUUCCUUGUCUCUUCUUGCUUAGAAGAUAAGGUAUGAGAACCUUCGAGUGCCACUCAUUUUAGUACAUAGACUAGAUAUUUGACCAUAACUUAACUGUUAGUUAAUUGUUUUUUCAAUUAAAAAAAUUUAUAUAUAGAUUUCUUCAACGUAUUGUUUAUUUAAAAAAUCUUAAGUGAAAAUUAAGAAAUUUAUACACAAAUAUAGUCAAAUAAAUUGAGAAUUAUAUGUGUUAAUAAGUGAAAAAAAAACCAUAAACGAUGACUCAAAAUAAAAACUGGAAAAAUUGAGAGACAGGUGCUGAUCAAGAUAUUUAAUUUCACAAGACGUGACAUUUAUGCAGUUGUGUUUUUAAAAUUUUCUAAUUAAAAUAAUUUUUUAUUCAAUCAAACGAUAAUAAAAACAGACACACAUUAUAAAUUGAUUGAAUAAAAUAAAAGGAGAAAAAAUAAUAUGCAAGCCUACACAUAUUAAAAAUAUUAUUUGAAAAUACAUUUAUUUUUAUUUUCAAAAAUAAAAUUCAUCUAUACAAAAGAUUUUUAAAAAAUAUAGAUUAAUCACAAAAACCUCCUCAAAAAUUAAAUGCAUAAUUAAAAAAUAAUUAUCAUUUCAAAUAGGCUUUCUAAAUAAUAUAAAAGAGAGAAGGGAUAUAAAUAUAAAUAUAAAUAAGAUUAAGAUUAAGAUUAAUUUAAAAAAAUACAAACAAAAAAAAAGAAAAUAUUUUUUCUUAAACAAAAAAAAGUGAACAAUGUCGUUCACAGUAAAACUUGUGGGGUGAACUCGAACUCAACCGAGUUUAAUAUUUUUCCUCUUAAAUUUAUAACAAACCUAAAAAAAGUAAACAAUGUCGUCCAUUGUAAAACAUGAGGAGGUGAAUAGUGCAACUACACAGUGUUCACCUUAUAUAUUUUUCCUCUUAAAUUUAUACCAAAACCGUAAUAAAAAAAGGUGACCAAUGUUGUCCAUAGUAAAACGUGAGGGGGUGAACAACGCAUCUUCAUAGUGUUCACCCCGCACACCUUAGCUUAUUUAGGGUGAACCUGAAUCAUGAACUCAAUCGGGUUUAAUAUUUUCCCCUCUUAAAUUUAUAGCAAACCUAAAAAAAAGGUAAACAAUAUAGUCUAUAAUAAAAUAUGAGGGGAUGAACAAUACAGAUGCACAAUGUUCACCUCACAUAUUUUUUUCCUUAAAUUUAUAGCAAAACCUAAUAAAACAAAUAGUGAAUAGUAUAUUCAUUGUAAAACGUGAGAGGGUGAACAAUGUGGCUAUAUAAUAUUCACCCCACAUGCUUUAGAUUAAACGUGAGAUGGUUAUUUUUUAAAAUAAAAAAAAAUUAAUAAGCAGGCUAUUACAAUGCGCUUUUUAAUGAUGACGAUAUUUGUAGCAAAAAUUUCAAAGGAUUUAAUACAAAUCCAAGCCAAAAUAUUUCACUAGAUUACUAUUUUACGAUCUUCUUAAAACUUGGGUUCGAGCUUGUCAUGUUGAAUCAUCUCUUCUAGAAUCCUUUUUACCGUCUAAUGACUGCCGCUUAUGUUUGUGCAAUUUCUUGUUUACUAGUAAAAUUGUACAGACGUGGGCUUGAAGCUGUUAACUUUCCCUGGACUGGUUAUGUAAUAUAUUUAUAGGUCUAACUGUAUACUAUCACUUGGUCCAAGAGGCAAUAUUGCAAGAUUCCAACGAAAUCUACUGUAAUCUACUGUCCUGGGACAAGAGUUCCAAAAACAUCUACUCCAAAUUUUGUUCUUUUUGAAUCUUUAGUUAUUUUUAUUUUUUCUCAUCAUUUUUUAAAAUAAAAAAUAUAAAUAAAUUACUACAAAAUGAAUAAAACAAAACCAGAAUAAAAAAGUAACAUUAAACAGCAGCCAUUUCAUCAGCUUUAAUUUUAGUAUAACACAAUAAUAUGAACCAACCUUGAUUCUCGAAGGCACCCAACUAAUUCAUUAGCCUUCAAAUUGCCAUCACCUAAUUUCACGAUCCAUGACCGACAUAUAAACAAGGGUCCUCUCCAAGUUCCCAUACAUAUACGAAUCCAAAUAUACAUAGAAACUUAUCUUUUAAAUAAGUCAAUUAGAGUUCAACACAAUAUUAAUAACAAAAUUAAUUAAAUAAGUCAAUCAGAGUUCAACAUAACAUUAAUAACAAAAUUAACUUCAUAAUAUAAUUUGAUUGUCUUAAUACAAAAAUUAAUACAAAGUUCGUAGUUGUGGAGCACUAUCUAGACAUAAAAAAAAUCAUAACAAAAACAACAAGGGAGGGGGUUUGAUAGUAUGUAAUACAACAACUAGAAAUAUAUAUAUAAUUAUGGCUUUAGGUUUUUAUAAAAACGUUUUUUAAAUAGAUCAUAUAAGAACAACGGAGGAGGGGGUUUAACGGUAUGUAUUUGCCUGCUAGUAAAAAUUGGUUAGCACCUAAACAAGGUCCUGUGCUAAAUCUAAAUUGGUAAGAUGUGAUAUGCUAAUAUCUAGAAAGAUAACUUAAUCUAUCCAUUGAAGUAAAGCAUUUAAAUGCGUAUACAAUGUUUUUGGAACAUUAAAUAUCUAUUUGAUCAGAAUCUGAUGGGGCAAUAGGUGAUGCAGGCAUAAACUAGAAAGACAACAAACAAACACAAAGAAAAAAGAUUUGUUAAGCAAACAGGGUUGCAAACUUAAACACUAAAUUCGCAAUUUAUUAUUCUGAAAAAAGUCUAAUGAUGUUUGCCUCUCAAAGAGGUUUCUAAAACAUUUAAAUAUGCUAAAAAACCUAUCUCUAUUGGAAAAAAAAAAUUCAGAAUCCAAAAGAAUAAACAAAAACUACAUAAAAUCUGAAAUAAAACAAUAAAUAUGAAAAAAAUCAAGGAAAAAUAGCUAAAUUGGCUCAAAACAGGAUCUUAUGAACCUAAUUUCAGGGGAUCCGAACAUCAAAUGAUCAACAAAGUAUGUUUCCAAUUGAGAUGGGCCUUAGAAAUCUCCUAUAAAAAUUGAGAUCUAAGCAAAUUAAGUGAUAUUUGUUUGAGACUUCGCUAACUACAUAUAAAGGAAUUAAAAAUAAAUUAUGAUGAUCAAUUCAAAAUCAACAAAAUAUUAAAGUGAAAUUGGAAGCAAAAACAGGGCAAAAAUCAUUAAAUCAAAAGAAGAAAAAAUUAGAAGAUAGAAUUUAUUUAUUUUUUUUAAAAAAGGGGGGAGGAUAUGAAUAGUGAAGUAGGAGGGAAAAACCUAAUUUUUUUAGUAUAAUAAAUAAUUUUUAAUUAAAUUAAAAUCUUCAUCUCAUACAAUUAGACCCAAAAAGAGUUAAAUAAAAAAGGGAAGAAAAUUUCUAAAGAUAUAAGGACCAAUUUAAAAAAAUAAAAGGAAAAAAAAAUGAAAAAACACCAAAUCAAGAAACGAAAAAAUAUAAGGACCAAUUUAAAAAAACAAUAAAAAAUAUAAAGAGUGAAGGAGGUAGAGAAACAUAAGUUUUUUAGUAUAGUAGUUUAUUUCUAGUUAAAUUAAAAACUUUAUCUCAUAUAAUUAGGCCAAAAACAAUUUUUUAAAAAAAAUAAGGACUAAUUUGUAAAAAAAGAAGAGAAAAAAACAGAAUCAAAUCAAAAGGGAAAAAAAACUAAUUUAAAAAUAAAAAUAAAAUGCUUCAUUAUUCAUGUAAAAACAAAACAUCAUUAUAGUAUCCAACUAGACAAGUGACCUACACUACGGGCUAUCCUAAUUUUUUUAAAGCAAAAUUUUUUUUUAGCAUUAUUAGAUGUGAGAAAAUAUUUUUUAAAAAACAUACAUGUGUACAAGAUAGGAGAGAUUUGGUUUGAGAAUGCAUGCUAAAAAUCUAAACAUGAACUAAAACAAAGUGGAAUUAAAAAAAAAAAAAAAACUUAAAAGAGAUCAGUGAUUCAUUAUAGACUGUGAGGUAAAACACUGUAGAUUAGCAUAAUAUAUUUAUUUUUUGACCUUCUCUACGUAAAAUAAUUGCCUUGCUAACAGGGUAAAGUUGUUAUUUUCAAUGGAUCUAAAGGUUAUUUGUAAAUUGAUUGGGAAUAAUUUAGUAGGUUAGCUAUUUUAUUUGCGUAGUAAAAUGACGUCAAUACCCUUGAGAGUUCAAAAAUAUUGACCUUGACAAAGGCAUUUUUUAGUCUUUUCCAUGUUUUGUAUACUGUAAAAUGACAAAGUUAACCUUAGAAUAAAAAAAUCUAAAGCUGGUCUGGGAUAGCAUUUUCAUCUUUGCAAUAUAGCUUUUUUGUAAUAUUUAGAUGCUCUUAUGAGCUAUUUAGCAAUUUAAAGUAUUGAAAUAUUAAUAAAUCAAUAAACAAAGGCUGACAUGUGUGUAGCACGUGUCAACACGUGAUAGUCCACCACGUCAUUUGGGAGGCGUGUGAUAGUCCAACAUGUAAUAUGGAGGUGUAGUUGAUGACGUGGCGUGUCGUCAUAUUUGUAGUGGUUUAAUGGUGAUAAAAAAAUUUUCCCGUCCCCCUCUUUUCUCUCUCUAAGGCUUUAGUAUUCACGCCGAUGCUUUAAAAUUUCACUUGUAUCCUUUGGAUUGUAUUUAUAUUAAGUUUGAUUCUUAUUAUUUUAAUUUCUAUUUAUUUUGAUUUUAGUGUUUUUUAAAGAAAAAAAUUUCAAUUUCAUUCCUCAACAUUUUAUUUCAUUUAAUUUUUAUAUUAAACUUGGUCCUCAUUCUUUUAAUUACUAUUUUCUAUCCUUUACUUAAUUUUUUUAAUUUUAUUUCUUAUUAUUUUAUUUUAUUUUAUUUUGUUUGCAAUUGCAGUUCUUUUUUUUUUUUAUCCCUAGUAAGCAAUUGUUGCCGCAAUGACAUAUGCCUAGCAAGAGGAAAAAAAAAAAAAAAAAGAGACGCUUGAAGGUUAGAGAAGGCACCUCUGAGUGGAAGGAGGCUGAGGUGCGCUAUUUUUGAAGUAUGUGAAAAUCAUAUGUUUCAAUGCUACUUCUUGCAAGAGUCUCCUUAACCAACCUAGAGUGUUAUAUUAGACUGCUAACGUAUUUUAUAAAAAUAUUGAUAAAAAUAUUUUUGGAUAAUUUUUUUUAUUUUAUUUGAAUUUAUUUCUUAAAUAAUUUAAAUUAAUAAGAUAAUUACAUAAAAGAUAAUGUUAGUCAAGUUAUCUUUUUACCAACCAUAAAAAGAUUUUUACUAAUCCAAGCCAACAAAAUAACAAUUACAUGUAUAAAUUGUCAUAUGUUGGAAAAAGGAGUUAGCUCAUAUUUUAGGGAUUAUAUUAAAGUGUUAGCAUCUUGCCUGGUUAGAAAUAGAAUUGAAUUUACAUAUUAGUAUUAUCAUAUAUUUUGUAUUGUCGUUUAAAAAAAUAAAUAUUUUCCUUAUAUGGAGUUAAGUGUUUUUAUUUUUAUCAUGUAAAAUUUAUAUAUUUUUUAAAAUUAAUUUUUCUAAUCAUCAAAUUAUUUUUAUUUUUUAAAAUUUAUAUAUUUUUUAAAAUUAUUUCUUAAAAAUAAAUUUAUUUUUCUAAAAAAUUGAACUUAAUACAUGCAUAUUAUCUAAUCAUCAAAUUAUGAACUAUCAUAAUUCUAUAUAUUUAUUUAAAUAAAACAAGUUCAAGAAUUAAUGUAGAUCAAUCUUAUUGAUUAAUAAAAUUCAUGUAUGUAUCUAUUUUUGCAAAUUGGAUGCAUACUUAAUUAAUAUUAAAUCAAGCAAAAAAUCUAUAAAAAGAAUAUACAAGUGAGCCAAACAACAAUAUUAAAAACGAACAAGAGGUCGAAUUAAUAUCCAUUAACUAAUAGUAAAAUUAAGAAGAUGAUACCAAAGGACACAAAAUCACAAAAAAGCAUUUAACAUUCAGAGAAAGAAGCCUGCAACACCCAUUAAGGAAAAGAGAGAAGGGAAAGAAAUGUAGAUUAAUUGAUACAGAGGAUCACCUUGUUCCAGACCAGCGCGAGACUGUAGAAGAAUCCAGACGAACCAAGAGCAAAAAAUGCAGGAGAGAUAAUCAUGAGAGAAACAAAUUCAUAUAUCCACGAAUACGUACAACAUUUGAAACCUAUAAUGCAAGAAUAGCUGCAGAUGUACAUUAAUAUUUUUAAUUUAAAGAAUCAAUUAAUUAUUUAAAAAACUUGAGGGAUUAAUUUGUUUGUUUCACAUAAAACAGACACUAAUUAUAUAAAGUUUUACUCAAAAAACAGACACUAAUAAUCAUAUGCGUGAGUGUUUACUUGUAAAUAUUUUGGAAGGAACUGGUUUAUGUUUUGCGCAUCAUGAAAAAAUCAUAUAUGCUUAAGUAACUAUUUGGCAUCAAUCUAGUAAAUUAAUCUUAAAUUCCUUUUAUCCAACUCUUGCCGUUUUAAAAUUAAUCAAUGUAAAAGUUAACCAAACAUGAUAAAAUCAAUAUAAUGGGUUUACGAAUACAUAUUAAAUUAAUCUUGGUUUUAUAGCUUAAUUUUCUAAACUCACUACUCAAAUAAUGAACUACAUCUAGUUUUAAUUUUUUUUAUUUAAUAUUAUAAUAACAAUACCAUUUCAAAAUUAACCAAAUAUAUAUAUAUAUAUAUAUAUAUAUAUAUAUAUAUAUAUAUAUAUAAUAGAGUUUAAAAACAAAUGAACAAUAUGAUAUUGUUCCAUUUUACUAUAAUGAUGAAGUUUUCACAAAAUAUAAAACUUAAAUUAAAUUAAGGCAACAAUCAAUUCUUUAGCUUUAAAACGAUUUAUUAUUUGCUUUCUAGUGGUAGUAGUAGGAUGAUUGGAAUAAUUUUUUUUCCAUUAACAAUAGAAUUGAGAAGGCCCGCCACAGACCAAGAGGACAGCUUCAAUGAAGCCAUCCCAGCCGAUGCAGGUGAUUACCCGUCGGCUGACAUCUCCUCGCGCGCAUAGCACCAGCCAAACCACCUCAAUCUGAAAAUGCACCAGACAAAGUCAAUGGAAAGACGCCAGGGAGCCUCAGCAGCCGAGAAGAAAGCGAGGGAACACCCACCGCGCGAGAAACACGAAAAACAUAGAGGGAGCGCGGUAAAGACUGUGAAGCCACAGAAUUCACACAUUGUGCACCGUGUUUUAAUGAGCACUCUUAGUUUAUUUUAUAUAUAAUUCUUUUAGUUUUAGUUUUAGUUUGUUGUGUUAUGAACAGUAAAGCAGCACAAGAAUACGUCUGCGUCAAGCUCUGUUCACUUUGGUCCGACAUUCCUCACCUCUCCCCACCUUAGCUCUCUCUCUUUCCCUCCUCUGCUUUUAGAAACCGCCGCUGCCACCUCAACCAAUAAGGCUUCAAAUCUCACCCAGGUGCUUCCUUUUCUAUUAUGUUUUUGUUUUUUAAAAAAGAUUUACGUCCGCGUUUUCAUUUAUUUAAUUGAAGUUACUAUCCAAAGAGAGAAAUUCGAUUUUAAUAAGUAAAUUAAAAAGAUAUAUAAUCGGAUCCAAUGAAAUCGCUGCUCGUGAACGCAACUCGAAGAAAGGCGCAAUCAGUCGAUUCUACUGUGGGUGGAGCAUUUAGUAUGGUCAGGGUUAUUGUGUUGUCUAUUCAAAGAAAGAUGUGCCUGUAAAUUUAUUAAGUUGAUUCUUAUCAGUCUGCUCUUUAGAGUUGAUGAUAACAUGAAAUAUUCAUUGUUGAUGCUUGUCGUUUUCUUCUUCAUUUUCCUAGCUUAAAACAUCCUAGACAAUCUCUUUGGGAUGGUUUAGUGUUUCUGGCCUCUUCAUCUUCUAUUUGUGCUGUGGUAUUUAGUUUGCUGAUAUUCAUUGGGGAUUGAAAGGCCUCGUUUUAUGACUUUGUUUUCUUCUUAUUUCUUUAUUCUUUUGGGGAUGUGAUAUUUUCCUCUUUCUAUUUACACUAUUGGCUCCCUACAAUAUUUUUUCCUUCAGAGAAGUAAAUAUAUACAUAAAUAACAAGAACAGGAGGGGAAGGGGAGGGGGGUUUGACAAUAAGUAUUUGCUUAGAAGGGAAUGCUUCUUUGGUUUAGAAGCACCAUGAAGAUUCAGGCCCAUAUUUGGCUGGUUUCUUUAAUAAAGUACAUGAUAUUCCAUUUUUCAUGUCCUUGAUGUGCUUUUACUCUUCUUGCCGUUCCUGACUUUCUUUUUAGGGUAUAUUCUAACAUGCAAUAUGUUUUUUUUUUGUUGGCCCACUGUCCCAGGCGGAGAACCUGUCAUGGACAUGGGUGAUUGCAGAAUUCAAUUGCAGCCUGACUCACGGAAAAGAAUAGUCAAAAAUUUUUUUUAUUUAUAUGAAAGAAAAGGAGAAGGGCAGAAGGUUAAUUAAAAUCAGCAGGAUUGCCAUGAGGCAACCUCAAGUAUCACGCACCUCUUUUUUUUUUCAUCUUUUCAUGUGUUUCUCACAAGAAGCAAACUUGAGGGAACAUAAAGUGCUGGGAAGUAAUUUUUGUUGGAAUUUCUUGUCUAAUCUCUUCUUUUGAUGAUGACCUCUUGGAUGGCUGCAUGAAGCUUGUUCCGCUUUAAAUUUCAAGGUUAAUCUAUUGCUAUGAGCAUACGUGUUUCAAUUUAAAACUCGAGUUGCAACUGAACUUAAAUAAAUGGUGUUGGAUUUGUGCUUUCUAUUUGUUUUAACUUCUACAGGGUUGAAAUGAUAGUGAUCUUAAACUAGAAAAGCAGCAGACAAAAAUCAAUUAGCCACAAUGGUGUAUGGUUUCUCAGCAUAAAGUUGAAAUGAUAGUGAUCUUAAACUAGAAAAGCAGCAGACAAAAAUCAAUUAGCCACAAUGGUGUAUGGUUUCUCAGCAUAAAGUUGAAUGUUUUGUUGACCUCUUUACAUCCAAAAUCAUAUAGACAGCUACUGCUAGCACUUGCAGUGGUCAAUGAAUACUGUAGAGUAUAUAUUGCAGUGUGAGAUAAGGUUAACUCAUUGCAUUUUCAGAUAUUGAAAGGAUUUCUCUUCUUUUCUUUGUCAAUUACAGGACAUGCAUCGAAGUGUUCUUACUGAGAGUAAAUGCUAUUGUAAUGUUUUCACAGAGACUCCCCUGCUUUGCAACUAAGUCACUAAUAUAUCUUGGAACAUAGCCAUAAAUGAAAGGUUCUUCCAGAUCAAGAAAAUUAACCAUGAAGCUCGUAGCUAGAAUUUUUAGACAGAAAGGUGGCCAAGUACGCUGUACCUCUGGAAUAAUACAGGGAAAGGAUGUCUAUGUAUUUUGAUGUCUUAUAUUACUUGACCAACUCUUGCUUAUCUCAUUAUUUGUUUUUACUUUUUGCUAAUGAUUCCACACAUUUCUGAUAUUGGUGUGGUUUAUGAGUUUAGGGUUCUCGUUGCUGCUAACUUCUCUAUACUUUGCCUGGUCAUUAAAAAUCAAACGUAAUGAUUUGCAUAUGCAGAAUGGAGACAUUAAAAAGACAUCUUCUAUUUUCUGGUGAGGAGGGAUUUCAGGAACUCAAGAAAUUUUCCAUACGUUUUGAGGAAAAGAUUUAUACUACCGCUAACAAUCAGGUAUUUGCCUAAUGCGAGGUUCAAUAAUUAUGAUAUUAUCUAGACAUGAAUAUACACACGCAUUUAUGCUUGUACAAAUGUGUGUGUAGUGUGCCUACACUUCCUCACCGUUCAUUCUGUAUGCAAGGUUGAUUGGGAGUUCACAUCAUUUUGUUAAUUCUCUUGACAAGUGUUUUAUUUAGAGUGACCAAGUUCAAGUACAAGGGAAGAAUGCAAAAAGCAAAUAACGAAUCAAUACAUAAAUAAUUAAAUAAAAAGAGAGGUAACAGAAGUAUAUCCUCAUAGAAGAUGAAAUGAUAGAGUAUAUAUCUAUUUUCCUCCUCUGGUAACAUGGAUUGCUCUGAGAUCUACUGUUUUGUUAUUAAUAUCUGAUUUCAAUCUGAUUAUUUGCAUAAAAUAUCUCUGGAGAUGCUUUCGAUGGAGACCAGGUCUCAAAAUGCCAUGCUCACUACACCUAUGGAUCCAGCAGGUAAUAAUGCAGCCGAGCAUUGAAUUUCUAAAUAUCUUACCUUUUGUUUUUCUUCUCGCAUUGCUAUCAAACUCUUUUACAUUUUAUUGCUGCAUAUUGCUAUGUAUAUCGCCUUGCUGGAAAAAUCUCAUGAUCACCUCCACGAUGAUAAUUUUGUAAUGCAUGUGAAGUGUUUCAUCCUUAACUUGUUAAGGAACAAGGACUGUGAUGCAUGGUAUUUUAUAUUUUAUGAUUGAGAUGGUAGAUUUUAAAGAUUUUCAUGUUAAGGAGAUAAGACGUCACUUUCUUGCUUUUCUUCCGAGAGAGUAUUUGAUCCUUUUUUCAUAUAAAAUAAUGCUGGCAUGCAUUGAAUUUCCAAACAUCUUACCUUUUGUUUUGUUUGUCGCAUUGUUAUCAAACUCUUUUACAUUUUGUUGCGGCAUAUUGCUAUGUGUAUGGCAUGCUUUAAUCAAAAAGUUGAGUAAUUGAUGAAUGUUAGGCAAGAAAAUUACAGAUUAUUUUUAUUUUCUACCUCCUCCUUCUCUUUCCCCCACCCCGAAAAUGGUCAUAUUAUUUUUUUUUUCAGCCACCUCUUCUUCCCCCAACCUUGAAAAUUGUUUAUAUUUGCUUUGGAAGCAUGGCAAACUUCACUGCCUCUCAGCUUAAGGAGAUUGCAGCAGGUCUCGAAGCUUCUGGGCAUCAGUUUAUUUGGGUAGUUAGAAGAAACAAAAAGAGUCAAGAAGACAAGGAAGAUUGUUUACCUCAAGGAUUUGAGGAAAGAAUGGAAGGCAAAAGGCUAUUAUCAGAGGAUGGGCACUCCAAGUUUUGAUUCUUGAUCAUGAAGCAAAAGGUGCAUUUGUGACUCAUUGAGGAUGGAACUCAACUCUUAAAGGCGUAAGGCAAAUAUUUGAUGAGCAAUUCUAUAAUGAAAAGUUGGUGACUGAUGUUUUAAAAACUGGAGUUAAGGAAUGGCUUAGAGUGCAUGGAGAUCAUGUUAAAAGUGAAGCUGUAGAGAACGCAAUCACUCAAAUUAUGAUGGGUGAAGAAGCAGAGGAAAUGAGGAGCAGAGCAAAGAAGCUUUCAGUGCUUUGAUUUAAUAACUGCAAAAAAUGAAAGGUUGUUGAAGAUGGUGGAUCUUCUUGCUCCGAUUUCAAUGCUUUGAUUGAAUAACUGAGGUGGGGUAGCCUUUGAAACAGAGGCAUAGAAUAUAUAUAUAUAUAUAUUUUAGCUUUUUUAGUUUAACGUGGGUGUUCGGGCCAGCUUGCGCGCACCUCGACUAAUCCCACGGGCCCUGAAGUUAACGACCAUGUAAGUCUCCAGUGGCCAUCAUAUGAGCAACCACAGGGCUCGAACCUGAGACCACAGAGGGAGCAAACCUUUUAGUCCCAAGCUCUUACCACUGGGCCACCACCUAGAUGGUUAAGGCAUAGAAUAUUUUGUUUCUACUUAGUAGUGGUUUUGGUAAUUUAUUUUCAGACAAGUCUUGAGAGUUGAAAGAGUAAUCACAGCCGAGUCAAUGACCAAUCCAAAUAAGUUCCCUUCCUAAUGGUUCAGGAAUGACAAGUCCAGCAUAUAUAUUUAGCCCAAAUAACUUUUCAAAUAAAAUGGCUGAGCUUAGAGACAGUACACUACAAAUUAAGCACCCAUUAGCUAGACAUACAGGACAAACAAUCAUCACAAACUAGAAACGACUGUCUUCCCAGUAACAAACUCACCUUCUCAAGUUGGAGAACUUGCGAAAACUAGCUACUACAAUAUAGUAGCAAGUAUCUAUGCAGUCUUCGAUGAAGUACGACCACCUGCGUCGCCAAUAUGGAUUGAUGUAAAGAACUGCUACAAUCAUAAUCACCACGACUGUGUAACUUACACCGAAAUUGAUGUAGAAAAACUCCAUGUCUAUGAAACCAUCAUCUCCUUGUUCAUCAUUAGGCACUGGUUGUGAUGGCAUUGGCUGUGAUGGCACUGGCUGUGAUGGCACUGCUUCUUCACUACAAUUGUUUUGCAAUGGAGGUCCACACAAGAAAGGAUUUCCUUCGUAACAGCUUUCAUCGAAGGUCCCAAACUGAUAUUUUCUCUCGGGUGUCUUACAUGACAAGUUAUUGUACGCCACACUAAAAACUUCCAGUGUGGUAAUUUCAGUAAGUUGUGGAGGGAUGACACCAUUCAAGUUGUUGUAAGAAAGAUCCAAACUCUCAAUCUGUUUUAGGUUUGAGAAUGUUGCUGGGAUAGAUCCAGUGAGAUUGUUGUGUGAUAAGUUUAAUGACAAUAUCUUACUUAAGUUUCCAAAUUCCGGUGGGAUUGCUCCUACGAAGUUGUUAUUGGAGAGAUCAAUACCAGACAUGUAGUUGAGAGUCUUCCCCUUGUAACCAUAAUACAUAUUUUUAGUUGUAAAUUCUAUCACUUCUUCUGUAAAGUUAAGCAGAAAACCCUUUCUCAAGUUGUACAUACUCUCCACUAGUGGUGGACCCAUUGUUUCAUAAUAAGCUUUUUCUAUGGACCUUGAUAGAACACCAGCUCCGAGAUCCGUGAAUGCUUUCUGGGAACUUUCCUUGAAAGUAAGAUUGCCCAAACAGGAGGGUAGUGGACUAGAGAGCUGGUUUUGUGAAACAUCCAAAAUGCUUAAAUGUUCUAACAAGCAUAAUUGAACAGGGAGCUCACCAUCAAAGUGAUUAGCCCUCAGAAGAAGAACACUCAAUGAUGAAAGAUUGCCAAUCCAAUUUGGAAUGGAGCCGGUGAAGCUGUUAUCUUGAAGAUCCAUCGUAACUAAGAAAGAGCUGUUAUAAAAUCUAUAUGUUAAUGGACCGCUCAAUCUAUUUUCGGAUAGAUGCAUAUGGAUUAGAGUUGAUGGACUGAAACAAGAUGGUAUAUAUCCAGACAAGUUGUUCUCUGAAAGGUUCAAAUAUUCAAGUUGAUCAAGCUUACAAAAGUCUCUUGGGAUCGGACCCUUAAAAUGGUUUUUGGACAAAUCAAUUGCUGCAAGAAUCGUAGAAUUAAGAAAGCUCCUUGGAAGCAUGCCUGAAAAUUGAUUGUUACUCAAAUCCAAUACAAUCCACAUUUUCCACCUAUAUAAUGAAAAAUCUGAUAUCUGACCCCAAAAGUUGUUACCACCUAGAUAGAGAUAUUCUAAGGUAGAAGAAUUGAACAACGAGGUCGGUAAUUGCCCACCCAAAUUGUUGUUUGACAGCUUGAGAAACCAUAUUGUUGUUAGUUGUUCUAGUUUUACUGUGGACAAUUGAUUGUUGGAUAAAUCUAAAAUUCCCAAAGAGCUAAUAUUUCCUAAACAAGAAGGAAUACAACCUGUGAAUCCAUUCUUAGCCAUCCUUAAGCUCUUCAGAUUUUGAAAGAUCAAACAAAUAUCCUUUGGAAUUUGACCGCUCAUGUUGUUGUUGGAUAUAUCUAAUUCGGUCAUAUUUAGAUAUGGGUGAUUUGGCAACUGCAAAGUACCAACAAAGGAGUUCUCACUCAAAUAUAGUUGCUCCAAUCGUGUAUUGUUCUUAAGCAACCACGAUGGAAACAUUCCGGUGAUGUUGUUGUGGGAGAGAUCAAGGACUCUUAAGUCGUAUUGGUAAUAGAGGAAGUUGGGAAUCUCUACAUUGACUGCUUCUAUUGUUUUUGACAAACUAAAAAAGACUAGUUGGAACUUUGGAAUCAAAUGAUCAAAGGCAGCAGGUUCUGUUACUAGUCUAUUGUUCUCAUUGCAGAAGAACUUGAGGCUUGAGUGGUUCAUAAAAGGCUUCAUUGAAAUGGGAACUUCAAAGAGGUUAUUUGAUAGUGAGAGGAAUUCAAGAGAUGUGAGGUUGGUAAGAGGACCAGAGGCAAUAUUUCCAGUAAACUGGUUUUUAGAAACAUCUAAUAGUUGUAGAGAUGACAAGUUUCCUAAACAAUCUGGGAGUGAACCUUCUAAAUUAUUUCCAAAGAGAUCUAACUGCUUCAGAUUCUUCAAUUCACACCAACCUGUAUAAUUUAUCUCGAAACAGUCAAAAUAGCUAAAUAAUUAAAAGAUUACCAUAGAAGAGGAUGGAGUGUUGUUAAUUUACCUUGAGCGGGUAGGGUGCCAUGGAGGUCACAUCCACCAACAGACAAAACCUUAAGAGCAGGCAAUGCUCCAAUGUUCUGGAGAAAGUUUACUGGGAGAGAAGUACGAUCUAGAUUCAAUUCUUCAAGAGUGCUAGAAUUGAAGAAAGUCCCUGUGAAAAAGAAAGAAGAAGAGAUAUGAAGAAAAUAAUGGUGGUACAGAAUAGCCAUUCCAUUCAAUAUUAUUAAUUAAUAUUUUAAGAAACUAAACUAUGAUUAACCUUGACUUAAAUUAGUAUCCUUGAGAGAAAGGGUCUUCAGGGAUGGCAAUGACUGCAGGAAGUCCAGCUUCCUUAAACCUAUGAUGUGUAGAAUUGAAAACAGGCAAUCAAGUAAGUAGUGAAAUUAAGCGUUAUCUUGAUCGAGUUUUUAAACCUAUGAUAAAAAACUGAUAUUGAAUAUACUUUUAUAAUGAUAUGAUUUUUGGAUAGAAACAACAAAUUGCCUGAAAAAUCCAGAGAUUUCAAAAGGUAUUGUUAAAAAAUGAAGUAAAUAAUAUUCACAACUUUACCAUUGACAGUCGUCGAUCCUAGCAACAUAUUGCCUGAUAAAUUUAAAGACUUGAGAUAAGAAAAUCCACGCAGAUGUGAUAAAAUGCUGUCGUUGAAUAUAUUAUAGCUCAAGUCCAGGUUCUCGAGUUUCCCUAAAUGUGAUGAUAUGAUCUCAAAACCUGCAAGAGUAAGUCAUCAUGAGCUCACGAUAUGCAUAAUAUAUAGAAACUAAAGAUAAUUAGAAUUGAUGAGAUGCUGUUGUUCAAUUGAUAUAUGAUUCUCAAAUUAUACAUAAAAAUAAUGAUACAUGAACGCAUAUGUCAUUAUAUAACAGGUUGUGCACACUUCAAAGAUUAAGAAACAAUUUUUAAUCAUUCUAAUUUUGAUCUUAUUGGAAAAAAAAAAAAAAUUUAUGGAUAUAAAGUCGUUAAAGAUGGAAACUAAGUCAAACAUGAUAAAUGCUAUCAUUAAAUUGAUCAUUACAUAGAUAUAAAGUACUUAUUUUUUAUGAUAAUGCAUGUAACGAGUAUUAUUGAUUAUUGUUCUUGUUUUAAUUACCGAUGAGAAAUUUUGAACAAUCAUUUGAUUUUAUUAGUUUUGAAUAAUAUAAUAUUUUUGAAGAUUAUAAAAUGUUAUGUAUUUUUAAAUAACUUGUUUUUUUGAUAUGUUUGUUAUGAGGCUUAGCGUAGGUGGGGUGUCCUUUCGAUACAGCUCCUGCGUUGCCAGUAAUAAACUUGAGACUCGAGUGGUGACAAAAUUGAUCUUUACAUGGAUAUAAAGUUCUCAUUUUUGUUGAUAAAGAAACAAUAUAAUUAAGAGAAUGUCAUGUGAAGCAUUUAGGUAGAAACUGUGUAUUAUACCUGAUCCUGUCAGCUGAUUGCCUGAUAGAUCCAAAGACUUGAGGGAUGAAAAUCCAGUUAGAGAUGGAAAAAUGCUGCUGUUCAACUUAUUAAACGAUAGAUCCAAAGACUUGAUCAGGGAUGAAAGCCCACUCAGAAUUGAUAAGAUGCUGCUGUUCAAUUGAUUGAAACUCAGGUCAAGGUUCUCUAACUUUCCCAGCCUCAUCGGUUGGAGUUGAAAACCUACAAGAUAUACAUAAAAAAAAAUAUACAGUGCAUAGAUUAAGGAAGAAGAUAGAUUGCAAGUAUCCAUUCUAUACAUGUAAUUUUUAAUCAUCCUAGUUUUGAUCAAGUUGUGUCUUAUUAGAAAAACAAUUUAUGGAUAAGAUCAAAGCCCCAUAGAUAUAAAUCUUCAUUGAUGAAAGCUAGCGCAAUCAAACAUGAUGAAAUGCUAUCGUUGAUUAAUUAUUAAAUAAAUAUAAAGUCCUCAAUUUUCUUGAUAAAGAAACCGUAUAAAAGAAUGUCACGUAAAGCAGUUAGGUAGAAAUUAUAUAUAACUUACUAUUGAUACCAGCAGAUCCUGUCAACUCAUUAUAUGAUAGAUCCAAAGACUUGAGAGAUGAAAAUCCAGUUAGAGAUAGAAAAAUGCUAUCGUUGUAUUGAUUCCCACUCAGAUAUAGUUUCUCCAGCUUUUUCAACCUUGAUGACAAGACUUUGAAACCUGCAUGAUUUUUCUCAAAAAACAUAGAAAUGAUAUGAGAAGGAGAAAAGAAAAGGUUUUGAAGCUAAAUAAUUAUAAGGUUACCAUAGAAGCUACCUCCUGAUCCAGCUGUCAACCCAUUGUCUGAUAGAUCUAAAGACUUGAGAGCGGAAAGCCCAUUGAAACAUGACAAAAUGCUUUUAUCAUUAUUAAAUCGGUUUUCACUUAGGUCAAGUUUCCUCAGUUUUGAUGAUAGGACUCCGAAGCCUGGAAGAGAAACAUCAAAGCAAGAUAAUUGACAUUAAACACCAACCAACCAACCUUCAUUUAUUUUAUUAUUAUAAUUAAGUGCACAAACAUUGAACUAACCUUCAUUCUCCAAGCAACCAACCAAUCCAUUAUAUCCCAAAUCAAGACUUUGCAAUUCUUUGAAAGGCUGAAACAAAGAUGCGUUGAGAACCCAAUCGCCCAAGCUCUCAUCCCUUUCUCCACUAAGAGAGAGUUGGAUCACUCGCCUUGUAGUGUGAUCACACUCGAUCUCAGGCCACUCACAACAAUUACUACUGUCCACCCAAUGUCUCAAGGAAAUGCCAUCUGGGUCGAUCAAAGAUUGGAUCUCCAAGAGACCAAUUCUCUCUUCCUCCAAACACCCAUAACAACGACCAGACCAUUCGCCAACCAAAGUGAAUAAUGCUAGCAACAUCCAAGCCCCCAUUCUUUUCAACAUCAUCGUAGAUAAUUCUAUGAACUACUACGUAGAAUAUUAUUGUUUGUUAUGUGCCUUUGGGCAACCAUAGAGGUCCUAUUUAUACUACACUGGCCAUUUCCAUGACUUUGAGAUGUUUUCUUUAUUUAAUUUCCACGACUUUAUCUGCAUAUCUUGUGCAGGUUCCGUGUUUUGAGAUUUGAAUAUUAUUUUAUUUCUUUUUGGAAUGUUCUUGGAUUUAAAUAUUAUUUUAUUUUAUUAUUUAGCACUUAUUCUAUUUGCAUUUAAUUAUAUUUUGGUUACUAAUUAUUCAAUUUAUAAAAAAAAUAAAAUAAAAAAAUUGUUGCAGUACUUCAACAUCGACAUUCGUGUGUGAUUCCACAUAAGAUCUUUUCAACUUUAUAAUUGUACUUCUCUCGUUAAAUACAUAAAUUAUCAAUAAUAAUAAACUCGAAAUAAUUAUAAAUCUUAUCCCUGUGGAUUGUGUGGGUACAGUAUUAUAUACAAAAACUUCAAAUACAUAAUAUAUAUAAGUCAGAAAUAUUUUUGUUUUUAUGGACUUGUUUUUAUUACAUUUCAAUAUUAAAUAUAUUUUUUUCAAUCGAGUCAAAGAUAUACCAUUUAUAUUAGAAUGAGAAGACUAAUCAAUUUCUCUAAUUUCUCUAGUUUUCUCCCUAAUUAUAAAAUACAUCUGGUUUUUCAAGUCCAGAUUUUAAGAUAAAAGGAAUUUAUUUCUUGAAAGUAAUGCAUUAAACAAUAUAAAAAAAAUUUAAAAAAUUUAAAAUAGUAGUAAAAGUAGUUUUUGAUUGAAGUGUAAACUAGUGGUAAAUGAACAAAAAGAAACUUUAUUGAUUAUCUAAUGAGUUACUUCUCCAGAAAGAAUAUAUACAAUAUUAUUGAUUAUCUAAUGGAAACUCCGCCUAACACACACACACACACACACACACACACACACACAUAUAUAUAUAUAUAUAUAUAUAUAUAUAUAUAUAUAUAAGUUAGAGACACUUUUUGUUUUUAUGUUCGGAAAAGUGUUCUUUACUUGUUUUUAUUACAUUUCAAUAUUAAAUAUAUUUUUUUCAAUCGAGUCAAAGAUAUACCAUUUAUAUUAGAUUGAGAAGACUAAUCAAUUUCUCUAGUUUUCUCCCUAAUGUAUAAAUUUCUCUAGUUUUCUCCCUAAUUAUAAAAUACAUCUGGUUUUUCAAGUCCAGAUUUUAGGAUAAAAAGAAUUUAUUUCUUGAAAUUAAUGCAUAAAACAAUAUAAAAAUAUUUUUAAUAAAUUAAAAUAGUAGUAAAAGUAAAUUUAGUUUUUGAUUGAAGUGUAAACUAGUGGUAAAUGAACAAAAAGAAACUUUAUUGAUUAUCUAAUGAGUUACUUCUCCAAAAAGAAUAUAUAUAUUAUUGAAUAUCUAAUGGAAAGGAUUCAUGAAACUCCGCCAUAUAUAUAUAUAAAAGAGAAAUUGUCGAUAAUAGCAAUCAUUUUCUUAUCUCUUGUAUCAUUCAUAUCUUCCACAAAUCUUAAGUAAUUGAUGAGACAGUGGAUAUUGCCAAGAAAGGUCGUGAACGCGGAUGCUUGACGAUUAUGAUUUUUAAACACAACCAUAUAGUGAUUUCCUUAUGCAUACUGGUGAUCCUCCAGAAUCUUGUAGGAACACCACAAGCCAAUCUAAAAGAAUGCUAAAAGUCAAAACACACAAGCCAUAUAAAAAUCACACGACAGCCAAUUACCUUAUCUUUUGAAAGAAAGAUAAUAAUAAUAAUAAUAAUAAUAAUAAUAAUAAUAAAAGCAUUCUCCUGGGUGUGCAAUGACCGCCAAUCUUUCUCAUUAUGACAUUCAAUGCUCAGUUAGAAGUUGCACGAUGCUCUUCUCAUGGGGAGCAAAAAUCAGUAGCCUCCCAUGGAAUCCUCAUAAACCUUUCUCUAUGCUCUUCUAAGAUAUUAAAAAUGUCAAACAUACAUCAAUAAUAAAAAGACAUUAAAAAUGUCAAACAUACAUCUAAGAUAUUACGCAAAACGAGGUUUUUUUCUGCAAAAAAAUAAAAAUAGAAUGUUAUACAAAUGGAGCUUCCAACAAAAAAGAUAUGGGAAGUUCGAGGAAAAAAAUGAUUAGUUAAUUCAAAACACCAGCAGUAAGUAAUAAUUACAAAACACGAUACCGAAACCAAAUUGAAAAGUGAGCAAGAAUACAAAAAUGGUUACAUGUAUCAAAAGGAACUGGUACCAAUUUCUCCACCACUGUAUGUCCCUUUUGUUCAGUCUAUGUUUGGUGCAAUCACCUAAAGCUAGAAACAAAAACAGCGCCUUACUCUACAAGUAGCUCAUCAAAGUAUAUGUUGUAAAUUGCAAACACGUGCUAACAAUAAAUUGUGGCCAGAGGAUUUGCUUCGAUCCCAGAGGCCAUUGAGGAUAUUCGUCAAGGAAAGGCUCAUGCACCCUCUUGAUUUGAUGAUUCUUUGCAUUUAGUUAUUGUUGUUGAUGAUGAACAAAUUAAGAGAAAAUGAGGGGGGCCUUAUAAUGGCAGCGUCAAAGGCAACACCAGAAGCUAUGGCAUUUAUUGUCAAGCAUGGGACUGGUAUAGUGUGUGUGAGCUUCCAUUAAUGGUAACUCAUAAGGAGAAUGAGGAAAACUGUGCACUGCAUUUACUGUAUCAGUGGUACGUCAUUAACUUCUCCAUUUAUAUUAUCUAAUGGAUAUGAUCUUUUCAAGAAACCUUUAUCUUGGUUUGAUUUUAAAGUGCUAAUUUAAUUGCGGAUUCUGUCCCAGAUGAGGUCCGGUUUCCUGAAAUCAAAGAUGUCUACACUGUCCCGUGGACUUAUAGUUCAGUUGCUCAAUCAGAACUGAUGACAUCUGCACAUUCGGCGACUCCAGCAUUAAUUGUGGCCUUGACAGAUUGUGAGAGGCCAGAUGGGAUGGAUUAGAUGCGUCUGAGUUUGUUGGAGAGGAAGACUUGCAGAAUAAUUUUGAGGGAGUGGGUGGCAGUUCGAUGGAGCGGUUCCUGUUGGUGCAACGCCGAACACAUGCCACGCAGGAUAUAUAGAAAUGCUAGUCAGCUUAUGAAAUCCGAGGUUGAUACGAUACUUAUCUUCAUAGAUUGUGAAUGUUGUUCUUUUUUCUACAAACGAUCCGUUAUGCAAAGCAAAUUCCAAGACCAGAAAAAUAAUGUUUAGAGUUAAAAGACAAUGUCUUAGCAGCAAGGACCUAUUCCAUCAGGAGAUAUGUGAAUUCUCAAGCCUUUGCAAUGCUUUUAAAUUAAUGAAGGAUCAAAAUGAAAAUGUUAUAUUCAUAACUAUACUGCAAUUUUGCCCAUAAUUCUUCUUUAAUUCUGUCCAGAAUCUUGGAUUAUGCUCCAGGGACCAAUCUGGAAUUUUAGUAGAUUUUUAAGGGUCAAAUUGUAAUUUUAUCAAAUUGAAGGACCAAAAUAAAAAUGUCAUAGAUUCAUAACUAUACUGGAAUUUUGCUUGUAAUUCAUCUUUAGUUCUGUCCAGAAUCUAGGAUUAUGCUUCAGGGAUCAAUCUGUAAUUUUUUCAAAGUUUGGGGAUUAACUUAAAUUUUCACAAAUUGAGGGACCAAAUUGAAAUUUUAUUAUCUUCAACCUCAAACCCAGAUUUUUCAUAGAUCACCUACUGAUAUAUCAAGAUUUCGAACUCAAAUUCAUCAUUUAAACAAACUAUAACUCAAAAUCAUCAUUUUUACCUAAAAUUUUCAAAAAUCAACUAAAUAACUCAUUACCCAUAACAGUCAUUCCGCUAAAUUAUUUCUACUUCUGCUUCUUCUUCUUCUUUUUUAUAAUACUCGAGUAUUAUUAUAGAAAGAUGCUUGAGCCAAAAUUAGAGGCUAUCUAGCAUAAAAGAAAAACAGAGGUAUAUACAGGACAGAGAGGAAGUAAUAACAUUAUAUAUAUAUAUAUAUAUAUAUAUAAAACUUGAGUUAACCCGUCAAGUCUAUGACCUGGAUUAUGAGAUCGGGAUAAGCAAACUCAAUAUUAAAAAAUAAAAUUGAAAAAAAAACAAUAAAAACAUAUAUGGUUUAACAAUAUUAAUCAAUUAUUAAAAUAUUUCAUUUUAUAUAUAUUAAAAAUAUAUAUUAAUAACUAUUAUAUCAGUUUGUGAAUGUUUCAAUUUGGAUGCAAAUAGAUGUUUAAUUAUCUAUGACAUUUUUUUUAAGAAACCAAAGUUAUUAAAUAUGGUUAGAUUUAAUACCUAGAUAAGGGUUUAGGUCAUAGAUUGGCUUAAUACUCGGAUCAAGAUUUGAAUUAUAGAUCGAACAAGUUAGCUUAUUGAUUGAUGUUAAUAAAAAAUUGUAUCAUUUUAAGAUUAUUUUUUAGUAAAAACCAAAAUCAAGUAGUUAAAAAAAGUGAAAGUAGUUUUUGAUAGGGUUGACUAGGUUGUAAGUUGAUUUAUCUAGUCGAUUAGGCUUGAUUGAGUCAACUCUCACUUGGUUUUUUUUAAAUCUAAAUCGGGUCAGGUUCCAGAUUAAAAUGUUAGGCUUGAAUUAAAUUUAAUAACGCUGAUUAAAAUCACAUUGUAGAAAAAAAAUGAAUUGCAUAAAAGUAAUUAACCAAAAACUUGUAUUCCUUCUUAUAAAGUUGAACCCAUGUCAGUUUCUUUUUUGGAAAAAUAUAAAUCAAAGGUUAACGCUACUUUCAUGACGAUGACGGAUAAAGAAGACUUGCUCCUUUCUUUAUGGAAAUAACGUGUGGAAAAUCAUGCCUUAAUUUUGAUGGUGAUGGCCAAAUCAAACAGUAUCGUUGAUAAAAUGAACCACAAAUGAUAUUAUUUCUACAAGACUUCUUGUCAUUGUCAUGACAAUAAGUCUUCUCCUUUUUCUUUCUAAAGAGUCUAUUUUUUGUAACACAAUCAACAAGUAAGAUGGAUAGAAAUUUGCAGUGUGAGAUGGGUCUGUGAGACUAUAUAUUGCCAUUUGUAUUUUUUUCAUGAUAAAGGCUAAUUGGAUGGUCCUAUCAAGCGUUUUUUUUACGAGAUGGGUCCAUAAAAACAUUUCCAUCUACACAUUGAUCCCUGAAACCUUUGCCAUAAUGCAUUUUUUCCACGAGAUGGGUUCGUGGAAAUACUUUGGUUUAAUAGGGAAUGCUGUUAUUGAUUGGAAACUUUUUAAUUAAAAUAAAUUUGAUUAUUUGAUUGGAAGAAAUCCUUAAAUGUUAUUAACACAAAGAAAUCAAUUUAUUUUCUUAAGAAAAAAAUAUUGUAACCAUAUAAGUAAUUUAUUUAUUUAUUUUAAUGAAAUAUAAAAUAGUUUUAAAUCUUGUGGUAUAUUUCUUGUCUUUAAGAGCUAUGAACUUAUAUCUCAAAACUUGAAAACUAAUAUAAAGAUAUUAAGUGAUCAUUGAGUGUAUGUGUGUGUGUAUAAUCUUUUUCAAAACAAAAAGGAUUUUGAUGGAGAGGACAUUGCAGCAAAUUAUCCACGAGAUGGGUCGGUGAUACCAUUGUCAUCAUGUAAUUUUUCCCACGAGAUGGGGCCGUACGCUUGGGGCUCUAAAAGCUAUGGUUUUUAAUUUCAUUAUGUUACAUAUCUAGAAUGGGAGGUAUAUUUUAUUUCAAUUCUAAAAAUGAAAUAAAUUAGAAGAUAUUUCAUCUUGUUUAGAAUAUUAUCUCCUUACAUGCAUGAAUUUCACAUAAAUUUUGACCAGAAUAUUUCGGUUCUAUUCCGGCCAUUCUAUUAUGUCCAAAUAAUGUUUUGUUUUGCUUUUAUAUAUAUAAAAAAUAUAAUUUAUUUUUAUGAUAUCAAUUAUACAUUUCAAUUCGACUAUUGGAUUAAACUGAAAUUUUAUAAUCUCCUAAUAUGUAUUAUAUCACAAGUUAAAAUUUUAGAUCAAUCAGAGUUUAGAAAGACUUUGUGAAAUUACUGUUGAUAUAUUUUCAUAAUUUUAUUUAAAUUCAUAAUUUUAUUUUGAAAUGUUUUAUUUUUUGUGGUUUUUUAGAUUGAUUUUUUUUCAUUUUAUAAUUUAACAAUAAAUUUAUUAAAAAUUAAAAUUCAUAAUUUAUUUUUAUUUAUUUUAUUUAAAAUUAUUAUAUUAUCAUUACUCAGAUCACGAAAAAAAAACCUUUGCUUUAAUUGGGAAUGCUGUUACAAGUAAUUGGACUCCGUGGGAUGGGAGACCGUUGCCAUCAUGCAUGUUUUUUCCACGGCAUGGGUCCGUAAAGUCCUCUAUAAAAGCUUAAACCUCCUUACUAUCCUCUAUAUCAAUUGAUCAGCAUUUAUAAGAUGGGGCUGUCUGUUCCUUCUGAUGUUGAUGGUUUUAGUAAUGAUGGUUUCUUGCAAGGAUGGCUGCCUCUUGGAGUAUAUUGACUUGAGAAUUAAUUGUUUUGAUAACAGUAUUUUAUUAUUUGUGGAGUUAUUUCUAUUUUUUAAAUUAUUAUAUUUAGAUUAUAAUAGAGUGAAAGAGUUAAUAGGUUUAAGAGAUUAGGAAAAAGCUACUAUUAAUUAUAGUUAGGGACCAAACUGGAAUUUUUGCACAUUUUUAAGGGUCAAAUUGUAAUUUUAUUAAAUUGAUGAAGGACCAAAAUGAAAAUAUCAUAUUUAUAACUAUACUGUAAUUUUGCCCAUAUUUCUUCUGUAAUUUUGCCUAGAAUCUCGGAUUAUGCUCUAGGGACCAAUCUGUAAUUUUUUUCAAAGUUUGGGGAUUAAACUGAAAUUUUCAUAAAUUGAGGUACCAAACUGAAAUUUUUUCAUCUUCAACAUCAAACCCAGAUUUUUCACAAAUCACCUAUUGAUAUAUCAAGAUUUUUAACUAGAUGAGGGUUUAGGUCAUAGAUUGGCCUAAUACUCGGAUCAAGAUUUGAGUCAAGUUAGCUUAUUGACUAGUGUUAAUAAAAAAUUAUAUUAUUUUAAGAUUUAAUUUAAUUAAAUAGAUCCAACUACCAUGCAAUUCCACAAUUAAUUUAUUUUAUUAUGAUUUAGUGUUAUGUUAACCAGGCAACAUUUAAUUACCAUGAUAUAAAAUACAAAAAUAGUGGGAACAUAAAAAAACAUGCUUUUAUAUAUUUUUUAUUUUAAAAGUAUAAAUUUUACUUUAAGACUAUUGUAAAAAGAUAUUUAUUUUAAAUUUAUUUAUAUUUUUAUAAUUCAAAAAUUAAAAAUAAAACAGAAUUAAUCCAUACUCAUCUAAAAACAAUUAACUCUAACAUCAUUAUUUUAUAACAAAACUAGCAAAGAUAAUUUAUUAAUCACUAAGUUUUCUGGUUAUAAAUACAUUAGUAAGUGUCUUUGUCUCUUUUGUAUUUCUAACUAUUAACGAAUUGAAAGAAUAAAUUUAGAAUCACCAAUUAAGCAGUGAAUCACACGGGAAGAUUGAAAGAAUAAUUAAAGUGAUUAUACUAACCGACAAGUCGACCCCAAGUCAAAGUCUUCUGUGGAAAAACAUGAAUAAAAGGUGGACGCUGGGCAGCUCACUUUCCAUGAAGAUGAUGGAUACAGAGCCCUCCCUUCUAUCUUUAUGGAAAUCACGUCUAGAAAAUCAUGCUUUAAUUUUAAGCUUGAGAGGGGAUGAUAUAUAUAUAUAUAUAUAUAUAUAUAUAUAUAUAUAUAUAUAUAUAUAUAUAUAUAUGCUUUAAUUUCAACUUGUAUAAAAAAUAAAUCUUAAUGACUGGUGAUUUAAACUUGGGUGUUUUUUCGGUAUUAAUAUAUAUAUUCCUCAAUUAUCAUAAAGAAUUAAGAAAAAACUAAUAAUAAGAUUAAAAUAAAUGUUUUAUAUAUCGAAAUAAUUAAAAGUAAGGUUUACUUAAGGUAUAUAUGGGAUUAAUUUAAAAUAACAAUAAAAUCAAUUUAUUAAAAAAAAUCAUAAAUUUAGUUUUCCUAAAUUUUAAAUGUAGUGUGAAUGCAUUCCGCAAGAAAAAAACAGUGCAAAAUUAGCCUUUCAAGAAAUAGAGAAUCUUCCUCUUUGAAGGAAUUAAUUAGUGGGUUGGAAAAAUGUCGUCUUCUGCUCUAAUAUUUUCUUCACUUUCUCUAUAGUUUUACCUUACACCAAUAUUGUCAGAAAAUGAUACAAUAUACUUCUUGUGUUAUCCUUCAAGAUUUCAAUUGAAAAUUAAGGAGGGUCGUAAAAAAUUUAAUUUUUAUAAACAUAUCCUUAACUCUGUAUCUUCUCUAGAUAUGUCUGUGACUGAGCUCCAUAAAGAAUUCCUAUUUAACAUUAAUCUGUCCAUCAAGUUUUUGAUCCCCGAUUAAGGCCAUCUUGAUAAAUGAGAUUUUACUCUGUAAUUUUAAUGUAUAGCUGUCAAUGACCUGAAACAUGCAAAUUAAAAUUCAAAGUGUGAGCAUUGAAUUUCUUGUCAGUUUACACCCUUCUGUGGUGUUUCCUCUUUCCAUUGAUUGAAGAGCGUCCAAGAGGAAAAACUGAAAAGGCAAAAGUUCUAUUGUACAGUGAAAAAGAGCAUGAGAAAUACACAGAAGCAGAGAUGCAUGAAUCCUUCUCCACUAGCAGCUCUCGUCCAUAGGAUCAUUGUGGUUUCAAGAUUGAUGCCCAAUCAUUUCCCUCUUUGUUCGAUUCCUCAGACCUUUUGGAAACUGUACAUUCCGGGGGAAAGUCUGUGCAAGGGCAAAAGGCGACGGUGGACUUGACAAAGGGCUGAGGGGUGGGUGAGAUGUUAUGUCAAGAAAUGAUUUUGGAAAAUUUCUUCAUAUGUGUUGAAUAACUAAGAUAAGAUAGGAGUCUUGAACAAGGCAAAAGCAUAGGCUCUCCAAGACGAUUGACCAGAAGGAGAGAAGGAAGGCUCUAUAUCCUUAGCACGUCAAACACUCCUUUGCACAUUAGAGAAAUUGUCGAGUUAUUCCUGCUUCUUCUUCUUCUUCCUUUUUUUUUUUUUUAUUUAUAAUAGUCCAGUAUUAUUAUAGAAAGGUGCUCGAGCCAAAAUUAGAGACUAGCUAGCAUAAAAGAAAAACAUAGGACAAUAUAUACAAGACAGGGGAGGAAGUAAUAACAUAACAUAAUAUAUAUAUAUAUAUAUAUAUAUAUAUAUAUAUAUAUAUAUAUAUAUAUAUAUAUUAAAAAAAACUUGAGUUAACGCAUCAACUCAACGACCCGAAUCAUGAGAUCAGGAUAAGCAAACUCAAUAUUAAAAGAUGAAAUUUAAAAAAAAAACCUUAAAAACAUAUAUGGUUUAACAAUAUUAAUUAAUUAUUAAAAUCUUUCAUUUUAUAUAUAUUAAAAAUAAAUAUUAAUAACUAUUAUAUCAAUUUGUGAAUGUUUCAAUUUGAAUGCGAACAAAUGUUUUAUAUAUGACAUUUUUCUUAAGAAUGUCUCUUUCAUUAAAACCAAAAUUAUUUAACAUGAUUAGAUUUAAUACCCUGAGAGUUUAGGUCAUAGAUUGGCCUAAUACUCGGAUAAGAUUGAGAUCAUAUAUCAGACAAGUUAGCUUAUGUUGAAUGGUGUUAAUCUAAAAUUGUAUUAUUUUAAGAUUUUUUUUAGAAAAAAUCAAAAUUGCGUAGUUAAAAAAAAUAAAACUAGUUUUUGACUGAAUUAACUAGGUUGUGGGUUGAUUUAUUUAGUCGAUUAGGCUUGGUUGGGUCAGCUCUCACUUAGUUUUUUCUAAACCUGAAUUGGGUUAGGUUCCAGAUUAAAAUGUUAGGCUUGAAUUAAAUUUAAUAAUGCUGAUUAAAACCACAUUGUAGAAAAAAAAUUAAAUUGCAUAAAAGUAAUUAACCGAAAACUUGUAUUCCUUCUUGUAAAGCUGAACCCGUGUCAGUUUUAUUGAAGGAAAACUAUGAACCAAAGGUUAAUGCUACUUUCAUGACGAGAAGACUUGCUACUUUCUUUAUGGAAAUAACGUGUGGAAAAUCAUGCCUUAAUUUUGAUGGCGAUGGUAAAAUCAAAGAGUAUCGUUGAUAAUUAAAUGCUUAUGCAUAAAAAAUAAAUCUCAAGUGUUAGAAUGCAACCACUGAUUAAUUAAUGGACAACGGACCUUGGAUUAAUACAUGACGCAACUUUCAAUGGAAUUAUAUUUGUGGAGGUAUUUACUCGGAUGUGAAUUAUAUUUUUAUUUUUUUAUUUUAAAAAAAAUUCUAUAUACUACAACUAGCUUAAGAAAGUCAAAAAAAUUUAAGUGAAAAAAAAUAUAUAUAUAUUUAUAUACACUCACGCACACACAAAAAUAUAGUCAAAUAAAUCAAGAACUAUGUGUGUUAAUAAGUGGAAAAAAAAACCUUAAACGAUAACUCAAAAUAAAAACUAGAAAAAUCAAGAGACAAGUGUAUAUCAAGAUAUUUAAUUUCACAUGACGUGACAUUUUUUUUUUUGGAUUCGACGAAACCUCACCCCUCCGAAAAGCACACUUUGUGGGCCCAGGUGAGGGAGUAAAACCCCGGCUGUCCCAGGCUCUUACAAAAGGUGCACGCCCUGACUCGAACUCGAGACCUGCUGUGCAGAUCUCAAACCCUUUGCCAUCACGCUACGCCCCUUGGGGACAACGUGACAUUUACGCAGUAUUGUUUUCUAAAUUUUCUAAUUAAAAUAAUUUUUUAUUUGAUCAAACGAUAAUAUAAACAGACACACACAUUCUAAAUUGAUUGAAUAAAAAAAAAAUAUAUGCAAAGCUGUAUAUAUUAAAAAUAUUAUUUGAAAAUAAUUUGUUUUUCAAAAAUAAAGUUCAUCUAUGUAAAAGAUUUUAAAAAAAUAUAGAUUAAUCAAAAAAACCUCUUUAAAAAUUAAAUUCAUGAUUAAAAAAUAAUCAUCAUUUCAAAUAGGCUUUUUAAAUAACUAAAAAGAGAGAAGGGAUAUUAAUAUAAAUAUAAAUAUAACUAAAAUUAAGAUUAUUUUAAAAAAAUAGAUAAAAAAAAUUUUAAGCGAAAAAAAGUGAACAGACACGGUGAACUUAACUCAUAAACUCAACUGAAUUUAAUAUUUUUUUCGUUAAAUUUAUUAUAAAUAUAAAAAAAAACAAAAUUAAUAUCAUUCACGGUAAAACAUAAAUAAAAAACAGUACAACCGCAUAGUAUUCACCUCAGGCAUUUUCUUUUAAAUUUAUAGCCAAACCUUAAAAAUAAACUUUUGUGCUCAGUAUCUUUUUAAGGUGAAUUAACAAGUUUCAACUCAUCUCUGUAUCUUCUCUAGAUACAGAGAAUUCCUAUUUAACAUUAAUCUGUCCAUCAAGUUUUUGAUUCCCAAUUAAGACCAUCUUGAUAAAUGAGAAUUUACUCCGUAAUUUUAUUGUAUAGCUGUCAAUGACCUGAAACAUGCAAAUUAAAAUUCAAAGUGUGAGCAUUCAAUUUCUUGUCAGUUUACACCUUUCUGUGGUGUUCCCUCUUUCCAUUGAUUGAAGAGCGUCUAAGAGGAAAAACUGAAAAGGCAAAAGUUAUGUUGUACAGUGAAAAAGAGCAUGAUCAGAAAUACACAAAAACAGAGAUGAAUGAAUCCUUCUCCACUAGCGCUCUCGUCCAUCGGAUCAUUGUGGUUUCAAGACCGAUGCCCAAUCAUUGCCCUCUUUGUUCGAUUCCUCAGACCUUUUGGAAACUGUACAUUCCGGGGGAAAGUCUGUGCAAGGGCAAAAGGGGACGGUGGACUUGACAAAGGGCUGAGGGGUGGGUGAGAUGUUAUGUCAAGAAAUGAUUUUGGAAAAUUUCUUCAUAUGUGUUGAAUAACUAAGAUAAGAUAGGAGUCUUGAACAAGGCAAGAACAUAGGCUCUCCAAGACAAUUGACCAGAAGGAGAGAAGGAAGGCUCUAUAUCCUUAGCACGUCAAACACUCCUUUGCACAUUAGGGAAAUUGUCGAGUUAUUUCUGCUUCUGCUUCUGCUUCUUCUUCUUUUUAUAAUAGUCGAGUAUUAUUAUAGAAAGGUGCUAGAGCCAAAAUUAGAGGCUAGCUAGCAUAAAAGAAAAACAAUGAUUAAUUGCAAGAGAUGGUUACUUAUACCAGUAGCAAUUUAGUAAUGAUUAAUUAGCAUUUAUAUUAAGAUGUGGCUAUUAAUUCAAAUGUUAACAAUGAUUUUCUUGGAAGGAUGAUUGCCUCUUGGUUACUUUAAAAUAUACGGUUUUUUUAGUUCAAAUCUAUUAAUAAAAAUAUAGUUUUAUUGAAUUUUUUUAUAUACUUUUAUUAGAGAAAUUAAUUUAAACACAUUUAUAUACAGACACUAGUUUAUCAAGUACUUCAAUAGAAAAAUAAAAUCAAUUAGAGUACUUAAAUAAAAAAAAAUAUAAAUUAUAAGCAUUUUACAUAUCUUUAUUGUUUAUAAAUUAAAAAUAAAAUAAUAUCAAUCCAGACUAAUCUAAAAAAAAAUUAACUAUGACAUCAUCAUUCUAAUAAUAAAACUAAUAAAGAUGUUUUAUUGAUUAAAUUUCGUGAUACAGGGUUGAAACAAAAAAGAGAUGAAGAGAGAGGAGGGAAUGGAAAGAAGGGAAAAAAGAACUCAUGCGAUCUGUUGUUUGUAAGUUUUUUACAUAAUAUAUAGGAAGGUAUUUUAAUUAUUUUGUUCAAAUUAAAAAUUUUCAUUGACUAAAAAGCGUAAUUAUCUAAAACAUAAAAGCAAAGUAAAAAACUCAAAUGCUUCAUUAAAAAACUCAAUUGAUUCGGUGCUUUAUUAGUUUCUAUAGUAUGGUGUCUUAUGCAUUUUGUUCUAAUCAUAUAUGGGAAAGUGUUUGGUUGAUUAACGUAUAUCAUGACUUUGUAUGGGUCCUACCACAAACUCUCUCUUUUGAAAUAUUAAUUAAGAAAAAGCUAUAAUUUAUAGUUUUUUUAAAUUUAUUUUUUCAAAUUACAAUCAUAUAAACUACUAUAAUAUCAAAUACAUAUUUGAAUAAGACUCAGUAAAAAUUUUCUUCUUCUAAAUACAAAGUGGAAAUGAGUUACUUUCUCCAAAAAGAAUAUAUACAAUAUUAUCGAUUAUCUAAUGCAAACUCCGUCUAACAUACACAGAGAAAGAGAGAGAACCUUAACUAUGUUUAUUUUAUGCACUUUAAUUAAAAAUAAAUUUUGGAUUGUACGAGAGACUUUAAUUAAAUUUCAAUAUUAAAUUUAUGCACUUUAAUUAACAUACACAGAUCAACUAUUAAUAUAUCAAGACUUUUAACUCAAAUUCAUUAUUUAAACAAACCAUAACUUAAAAUUAUUAUCUUUAUCUAAAAUCUUUAAAAAUCAAUGAAAUAACUCAUUAUUCAUAAUAAUUAACCUGCUAAGUUAUUUCUGCUUCUUCCUUUUUAUAAUAGUCGAGAAUUAUAUAUUAUAGAAAGGUGCUAGAGUUAAAAUUAGAGGCUAGCUAGCAUAAAAGAAAAACAGAGGUAUAUACAAGACAGGGGAGGAAGUGUGCGUGCGUGCGUGUGUGUGUGUGUGUGUGUGAUCCCUUCUCAAGCUUAAAAGUAAAGCAUGAUUUUCUAGACGUGAUUUCCAUAAAGAUAGAAGGGAGGGCUCUGUAUCCAUCAUCUUCAAGGAAAGUGAGCUGGCCAUCGUCAACCAUUUAUUUAUGUUUUCAACCAUUUAUUUAUGUUUUUCCACAAAAGACUUUGACUUGGGGUCAACUUGUCGGUUAAUUACUUUUAUGCAAUUCAAUUUUUUAAAAAUAUAUAUAUAUAUGCUUUAAUUUCAACUUAAGUUAUAUACGGGACGAUAAAAAAAUAACAAUAAAAUCAAUUUAUAAAAAAAAUCAUAGAUUUAGUUUUCCUAAAUUUUAAAUGUAGUGUGAAAGCAUUCCGCAAGAAAAAAACAGUGCAAAAUUAGCCAUGACAAUAAGUCUUUUUCUUUCUAAAGAGUUUAUUUUUUGUAACACAAUCAAUAAGUAAGAUGGAUGGGAAUUUGCAGUGUGAGAUGGGUUUGUGAGACUAUAUAUUGCCAUCAGCAUUUUUUCCAUGAUAUAGGCUUGUAGGAUGGUCCAUGAGACCAUUGCUAUAUAUCAAGCGUUUUUUCUACGAGAUGGGUCCAUGAGACCAUUACCUCGUAAGCUUGGGAAUGGAUAACAUGAUUUAAUGUUUAUUUAGUUUAAAAAAAAAUUAAAUGCUUAUGCAUAAAAAAUAAAUCUCAAGUGUUAGAAUGCAACCACUGAUUAAUUAAUGGAUAAUGAACCUUGGAUUAAUACAUGACGCAACUUUCAAUGGAAUUAUAUUUGUGGAGGUAUUUACUCGGAUGUGAAUUAUAUAUAUAUAUAUAUAUAUAUAUAUAUAUAUAUAUAUAUAUAUAUAUAUAUAUAGGGGCACACACAAAUAUAGUCAAAUAAAUCAAGAAUUAUAUGUGUUAAUAAGUGAAAAAAAAAAUAUUAAACUAUAACUCAAAAUAAAAACUAGAAAAACCAAGAGACAAAUGUAUAUAAAGAUAUUUAAUUUCACAAGACGUGAUAUUUACGCAGUAUUGUUUUCUAAAUUUUCUAAUUAAAAUAAUUUUUUAUUCGAUCAAACGAUAAUAAAAAUAGACACAUACAUUAUAAAUUGAUUGAAUAAAAUAAAAGGAGAAAAAAUAAUAUGCAAGGCUGUACAUAUUAGAAAUAUUAUUUGAAAAUAAAUUUCUUUUUAUUUUCAAAAAUAAAGUUCAUCCAUGUAAAAUAUUUUUAAAAAAUAUAGAUUAAUCAAAAAAAUCUCUUUAAAAAUUAAAUGCAUGAUUAAAAAAUAAUCAUCAUUUUAAAUAGGCUUUUUAAAUAACUAAAAAGAGAGAAGGGAUAUUAAUAUAAACAUAAAUAUAACUAAAAUUAAGAUUAUUUAAAAAAAAUAGAUAAAAAAAUUUUAAGCAAAAAAAAGUGAACAGACAACUUAUAAACUCAACUGGAUUUAAUAUUUUUCCUGUUAAAUUUAUUAUAAAUAUAAAAAAACAAAAUUAAUAUCAUUCAUGGUAAAACAUAAAUAAAUAAAUAAAUAAAACAGUACAACCGCAUGUUAUUCACCUCAGGCAUUUUCUUUUAAAUUUAUAGCCGAACCUUAAAAACAAACUUUUGUGCUCUGUAUGUUUUUAAGGUGAAUUAACAAUUUUCAACUCAACUCGGUACCUUCUCUAGAUAGAUCUGUGACUAUGCCUUGGAUUUUCUCAAAACUACUAAGUGUGUGCUUGAGAGGGUGAUUAUAGUUGUUUUUUAAAGUGUUUUUCACUCAGAAAAACAUGUCAAUAAUAUUUUUUUAUAUUUUAAAAUUUAUUUUCGAAAUCAGCACAUCAAAAUGAUUUAAAAACAUCAAAAAUAUAUUAAUUUAAAGUAAAAAAAAAAUUCAAAUUUUUGCGGAAGUGCUUUUGAAAAGCACUCCCAAACACUCCCAUGGUUGGAUACCAAGUAAAUAGAGAUAAAUUUAUUUCCUGUUAUUCUCCGAUAGUAUCUUCGUCCCUUGAUAGAACUUUCUUGGAGAUGAUGAGCUACCACUCCCUUUUGACUUUGCUGGCCUCCCAAAUAUAAAUAAAGAAUUCCUCUUGAUAGAAUUUUCUUCGAAAUGAUGAGAAUAUUUUAGAAUAUUCUGGUUGACGCCAGCUGUCAACAACUAUCUUACAUUCCCAACGCAUGCCUUUGCAAGAUGUUAAAGGCUCAUCUAAAAACAAUUAACUCUGAUAUCGUUAUUUUAUAACAAAUUAGCAAAGAUAAUUUAUUAAUCACUAAGUUUUCUGGUUAUAAAUACAUUUGUAAUUGUCUUUAUCUCUUUUGUAUUUCUAACAAUUAACGAAUUGAAUAUAUAAUAAAUACCGACUGAAAGAAUAAAUUUAGUUUAAAUGUGCUAAAGUUUAAAUAGGCGACUUUAGAAUCACCAAGAAGGCAGUGAAUCACACGGGAAGAUUGAAAGAAUAAUUAAAGUGAUUUUACUAACAUUGUAAAAGUAAUUAACCGAAAAGUUGACCCCAAGUCAAAGUCUUCUGUGGAAAAACAUGAAUAAAAGGUUGACGCUGGGCAGCUCACUUUCCAUGAAGAUGAUGGAUACAGAGCCCCCCCUUCUAUCUUCAUGGAAAUCACGUCUAGAAAAUCAAACAUUAUUAUUGCCAUCUGCGUUUUUUCUUAGAGAUGGGUCCGUUCCACCAUUUCCCCUCAAGCUUGAGAUAUAUAUACGUGACACGAUUUAAUUUCAAAUCUUAAUGUAGUGUGUUAGAAUGCAACCACCGAUUGAUUAAAUUUAAUGGCUGGUCAUUUAAACUUGGGUGUUUUUUCGGUAUUAAUAUAUAUAUAUAUAUAUAUAUAUUCCUCAAUUAUCAUAAAAAAUUAAGAAAAAACUAAUAAUAAGAUUAAAAAUAAAUGUUUUAUUUAUCGAAAUAAUUAAAAGUAAGGUUUACUUAAGGUAUAUAUGGGAUGGUAAAAAAAUAACAAUAAAAUCAAUUUAUAAAAAAAAAUCAUAGAUUUAGUUUUCCUAAAUUUUAAAUGUAGUGUUUAUAAUUAAUUAAUUAAUUGAGAAUUUGAGCUCUUCUAAAAGUUGUUUAUGGACUUUUGUUUUCCGGAGAAAACUCCCUUAAAACCUUUGAGCACUUCCUUCUCUAAAAUAUAUGUUUUUGCCAUAACUCAGGGGCUCUGUAUCUUUUAAGGUGAAUUAGGCUUUAUAUCUUUUUAAGGUGAAUUAACAAGUUUCAACUCAUCUCUGUAGAUACAUAGAAUUCCUAUUUAACAUUAAUCUGUCCAUCAAGUUUUUGAUCCCCAAUUAAGACCAUCUUGAUAAAUGAGAUUUUACUCUGUAAUUUUAAUGUAUAGCUGUCAAUGACCUGAAACAUGCAAAUCAAAAUUCAAAGUGUGAGCAUUGAAUUUCUUGUCCGUUUACACCUUUCUGUGGCGUUUCCUCUUUCCAUUGAUUGAAGAGCGUCUAAGAGGAAAAACUGAAAAGGCAAUCACUAGCGGCCCUCGUCCAUCGGAUCAUUGUGGUUUCAAGAUUGAUGCCCAAUCAUUGCCCUCUUUGUUCGAUUCCUCAGACCUUUAGGAAACUGUAUAUGAGAUGUUACAGAGUGACGGAGGACUUGACAAAGGGCUGAGGGGUGGGUGAGAUGUUAUGUCAAGAAAUGAUUUUGGAAAAUUUCUUCAUAUUUGUUGAAUAACUAAGAUAGGAGUCUUGAACAAGGCAAGAACAUAGGCUCUCCAAGACGAUUGACAGAAGGAGAGAAGGAAAGCUCUAUAUCCUUAGCACGUCAAACACUCCUUUGCACAUUAGAGAAAUUGUCGAGUUAUUUCUGCUUCUGCUUCUGCUUCUGCUUCUUCUUCUUUUUAUAAUAGUAGAGUAUUAUUAUAGAAAGGUGCUAGAGCCAAAAUUAGAGGCUAGCUAGCAUAAAAGAAAAAGAAAAACAGAGGACAGUAUAUACAACUAUACAAGACAGGGGGAGGAAGUAAUAACAUAAUAUUAAUAACUAUAUAUAUAUUAAAAAAACUCGAGUUAACCCAUCAAGUUUACGACCCGGAUUAUGAGAUCGGGAUAAGCAAACUCAAUGUUAAGAAAUGAAAUUAAAGAAAAAAACCAUAAAAACAUAUAUGGCGUAGUGUCUUAUCGAUUAAGUUUGAUUGGGUCAACUCUCACUUGGUUUUUUCUAAACCUAAAUUGGGUUAGAUUCUAGAUUAAAAUAUUAGGCUUGAAUUAAAUUUAAUAACACUGAUUAAAACCACAUUGUAGAAAAAAAAAAUGAAUCGCGUAAAAGUAAUUAACCGAAAACUUGUAUUUCUUCUUAUAAAGUUGAACUCAUGUCAGUUGUUUUUUAAGGAAAAAUAUGAAUCAAAGGUUAAAGCUAGGCAGCUCACUUUGCACGACAAUGACGGAUAUAGAAGACAUAACGUGUGGAAAAAUCAUGCCUUAAUUUUGAUGGUGAUGGCAAAAUCAAACAGUAUCGUUGAUAAAAUGAACCACAAAUAAUAUUAUUUCUAAAACACUUCUUGUCAUUGUGAUGACAAUAAGUCUUCUUCUUUGCAGUGUGAGAUGGGUUUGCAUUUUUAUUUUCCACGAUAAUUAAUUAAUUAAUUGAGAAGUUGAGCUCCUUAAGAAAAGUUGUUUAUGGACCUUUGUUUUCCGGAGAAAACUCCCUUAAAACCCUUGAGCACCACCUUCUCUAAAACAUCUAUCUUUGCCAUAACUGAGAGGCUCUGUAUCUUUUUAAGGUGAAUUAACAAGUUACAACUCAACUCUGUAUCUUUUUUAGAUAUGUAUGUGACUGUACCUUGAUGUUCUCACAACCAUUAAGAUGGAGACAAAUUUUCUUUUCUGUUAUUCUCCGAAAAUAUCUUCGUUCCUUGAUAGAAUUUUCUUGGAAAUGAUGAGCUUCCACUCCCUUUUGACUUUGCUGGCCUCCGAAAUAAUUAAAGAAUUCCUCUUGAUAGAAUUUCCUUGGAAAUGAUGAGAAUAUCUCACAUUCCCUUGGCAUCGUGUUCCAUGCCUUUGCAAAUUAUUAAAGGCUCCAAUGCAUGUGUCCUUUUAUUCAUGUUUUUCCACAAAAGACUUUUGACUUGGGGUCAACUUGUCGGUUAGUAAAAUCACUUUAAUUAUUCUUUCAAUCUUCCCGUGUGAUUCACUGCUUAAUUGGUGAUUCUAAAUUUAUUCUUUCAAUUCGUUAAUAGUUAGAAAUACAAAAGAGACAAAGACAAUUACUAAUGUAUUUAUAACCAGAAAACUUAGUGAUUAAUAAAUUAUCUUUGCUAGUUUUGUUAUAAAAUAAUGAUGUUAGAGUUAAUUGUUUUUAGAUGAGUUUGGAUUAAUUCUGUUAAUUUUAUUUUUAAUUUUUGAACUAUAAAAAUAUAGAUAAAUUUAAAAUAAAUAUCUUUUUACAAUAGUUUUUUAGUAAAAUUAGAGUAAAAUUUGUACUUUUAAAAUAAAAAUAUAUAAAAACAUGUAUUUUAUGUUCCCAUUAUUUUUGUAUUUUAUAUCAUGGUAAUUAAAUGUUGCCCGGUUAACAUAACACUAAAUCAUAAUAAAAAAAUAAUAAUUAUGGAAUGGCAUGGUAGUUGGAUCUAAUUUUUUUAUGGAAUGGCAUGGUAGUUGGAUCAUAAUAAGAGUAUUCAAAUUAAGAAUAUUUAAAUGAGUGUUAAUUGGGUUUAAAAGACUUACAAGCAAAAUAUAAGUUGUUUGUUAGAAUUCUUAUGGAUCCGAUAGAAAAUUAAUACUUCAUUCAUAUACAUUACAUGAGCAUAUAUAUAUUUCUUUUAUCAACAUAAUGAUAUGUUUAUUUAUGUAACAGGUCCAUCAAAUAUCCAUGGAGAUCAUUAGUUUAGGGCUCUACUUUGUCAAGCUUAUGUAAAUAUUUAACUUAAGCAAAAGGGAAUUAACGCAUUUAUGUAGUAUGCUUUUGUAUAAACCUUGAUGUAUUUAUAAAAGUUCAGCUUAGCAUGUAGUACUUUAGUUAUCUUGUAAUUAACCCUUCUGAAAUAUUUAAAAACACUUAUUAUGUUGUAAAUGCUUUAUUUACAUGUUAGUAUUCCUUUUUCUUUUAAUUUUAUGAUAUGAUAUAUGGGCUAUGUUCAUAUUGAACUUGCUCAUAGGAUAUAUAUAAAUAUAUAUUGUGUGGAUUAUAUGAGGUGUUGAAUUAUGAUGAUUAAUAUAAGGUUCGGAAUUAUGGGACCUUGUGAUGAUGGAUUGAUUGUGUAAAUUAAUAGUAGUCGAUAACUUGGGAUGUUCUAAAUACAAACAAAACUCUGCUGAAUUUUUGGUAGAUUUAAAAAAAAAAAUUACCCUCAAAUUAAAAGCAUAUGUUGAGAUCUUUUAACAUUGAUCAAGUCGUAUAGUUGGUUCUGUUACAUGUUAGGUAUACAAUGUCUCUGUGAUAUGGACAUAAUGAUUUUUGAUGUGUCAAAUUCUUACUAUUUCACUCUUAAGAGUAGAAAGAUCUACUUCGUUGGACAACCACCAAGGCUUAACAACAAUAAUGAGAAAAUAAGCAUGUGAAAGGAAAAAGACUUAAUCUUAUAAGCCCAAAUGAUUUUGAGAAUCAGGUUCAUGAAGAGUUUGUUGCAUUUGCUUUAGUGGCUAAGAAAGUUUUAGAGAAAGCACUCGAAGAAAUAAGUGUAGUUUUGAAAGAAUUUCAAGAUGUUUUUCCUCUCAAAGUUCAUAAUUCCUUACCCCAUUAUACGUGACAUUCAACACGUAAUAUUUUAUCCCUAGUUACCUCUUGGUUUCAAGCAAGAAACACACUUCAAUAUCAUUAUGCGUUACUGUAUUCCUAAUAGAUGCCCUCUUAGCAGACAUACCCAACCCACAACUAUUCCAGAAUAAAAUCUUCAUUGAUAAAUGAUUUUAAACCUUACCAAGUUAUACUGCAAAAUGGAAUUAUUCCCAAAACCCAAAGCAAAUAACAUCCUCUGCGCCUCAUCUUCAACAAUACAUUCUGCUGUUGCAGCAGAACUGUAAGUUAUCAUAUAACGAAGAUUCCCUUUUCUGAUUCUAGAAUCCAGUGAACCUGGUGAUUCCACCUCACGUUCAUCCUCCACCCGCUGAAGACUACCAUUGAAAGAGAAAAGCUCCACCUUUGGGUGUAAACUGGAUUGAUUGCAUCCCAUCUGAAUCACGUGGGCUUAAUGGAAGGAACGAACAAUUGUCGGUUUUAAAAGUUUGGUUUGUAACAAUCAUUGUAAUUCCAAAUUUCCAUACUCCUUCCAUUUAAGCAAUUAAUAAUAACAGAGAAUAUGUAUAAAUCUCAAUGUUGUUUUAAAUUUUAUGUAAGAUAGUACAGUUUCAUUCAAAAAAUGAGAAAGAACAAUAAAAAUCCUCAAAUUCUACCACCUUCAAUUCUCAUUCAUCAACAACAGCAUACAUUCAAACAAGUGAUCAAUAGUGUUGAUGAAAAAUAAAUCAUUAGCGAUCAAGUGACGAGGACUAUAGUAAGAUUGGCGCCAUUGUAAGCUUGACAAGCUUUGCCUACUCUAAUUAACAGCAACGAAAGAUUCAGUGCCUAAUCUCUGGACGGAGAAGGGGACGCCUUUGUUAUGUACAUGGUUGCCCUAAAUGGUUCGAUGAUGCUCAUUUUAAACAUUUUUUGUCAAGGUUGUCAAUUUUGCUCCGUUUAGUGUUUCAUUUUUUUAAUUGAAACGGUAUGUUUUGGUUUCGGAGCAUUUCAGUGUGUUGUUUCAGGAUUAUAUAUAUAUUAACUCAAUUAAACAUAAUUUAAAUUUAAAUUUAAAGAUAAAUUAACUUGAAAUUAUGCAAUUUAAAUUUCAAACACAAGUAAAAAAGUGAGAGACUGAUAUGACUUGAUCGACUAGAUGGGUCCAAAGACAACCUUUACGACUGGUAAGAAUAUAGUUUGACUCAAAAAAAUUUAAGAUGAUAUUUUUUAAAAAAUAUAUUGAGAUGACAACAUAUUAAAUCAACCUGGGUCAACUCGAUCGGAUUAACUUUCUAAAUUCGUAAUCCAGGUUAUGAGACCAUAAUAACCUAAAAUAAAGCAAAUCAAAACAAAUUAUAAAGCUGAAUUCUCAAUAAACAUGUUAUUGAAUGGUUAAAUUGGAAAAAUUUUAAUAUAAAAAAAGACACAAAAAAAUGACCUUCAGAGACUAUUGUCGUCACCAGAAUGUUUUGCCCGCCACACAAGCUUCACAUAUCUUUUGCAACUCAGAUUUGGAAACUUUAGAGUACCUUUUUAUAUACUGUAACUUUUCUAGGAGUGUUUGGAUGAAAGUUUUGGAUUAGUGGGGUAUCUAAUGUUGUUGUCGAGCACUUUAGACUCGCUACUUCUACAACAACAUGGAAUGGUGCAGGGUAAAUUCCAAAGAUUAGCUUGGAGACUAAUCUCUAGUAGUAUUACUCGGGGUAUUUGGUUGUUGAGGAACAAAAUUGUUUGUGAGGAGAGAACUAUAAGUUUGUUUGAUUGUUUCUCUAUCAUCCUUUAUCAGGUUGCUAUUUAGUUGUAUACUCUGUAUUCAAACUUUACUUAUACAGGAAAUGAUCUCUUAAGAUCUUUUGAUGAUAUCAAAUUGUGGUGUAAUAAGAAAUCUUAGGUAGUUUCUUUGUUUUUUUGUUGUAGCAAAUCAGUUUUGUUUUCUUUUUUUCCCCCUUUUUUCUUUUUUUUUUUGUCCUAUGAGACUAUUGUCAUCUGCAUUUUUUCCAUGAUAUAGGCCAGUGGGAUGGUCCAUGAGACCAUUGCUAUCAAGCGUUUUUUGUACGAGAUGGGUCCACGAGACCAUUGCCCUGUAAGCUUGGGAAUGGAUAAUAUGCUUUAAUUUCAAUUUAGUUUACAAAAAAAUUAAAUUAAAUGCUUAAGCAUAAAAAAUAAAUCUCAAGUGUUAGAAUGCAAUUACCGAUUAAUUAAUGGACAACGGACCUUAGAUUAAUUAAUAUAUGAUGCAUCUUUCAAUGGAAAUGUAAAUGCUUUACUAGAAUAUUAUUUUUUUUUGUAUUUGUUUUCUGGUUAUAUUUAAUUUUCAUCAAUAUUCCUAACAUAAAUUGCUACGUAUUUUGAAUCUUGAAGGAUUGAAAGAUAGAAAACAGAAAAGAAAAGGAGACAAGGCAGUUCAAAAGAAGAAGAAAAAAGUACGAUAGUGAAAGAAAGAGAAGAGAAUAAAAGUGGAGCAGUUUUUAUUAACUAUAUAAAUUUUAUAAUUACUAAUAUUAAAUUCAAAAUAUGUACAUAUUACAAAUAUGUAAACAUAUCAUAUGGUUUAAAAGAAAUGGCUUUUAUAAACAUAUAUGGCUUAACAAUAUUAAUCAACUCCUAAUAUUUUCAUUUUAUAUAUAUUAAUUAAAGUAAAUAUUAAAACCUAUUAUAUUAAUCUGUGAAGGUAUUUACUCGGAUGCAAAUUAUAUUUCUAAUUUAUUAUUAAAAAAAAUUCUAUAUACUACAACUAGCUUAAGAAAGUCAUGUUUAUCAGGAUCAUAGAGUAAAAAAAAGAAAAAAUUGAAUUGCAUAAAAGUAUCACUAGCUUAAGAAAGUUAUGUCAUCUGCAUCUUUCCUCGAGGAGAGGCAGUGAGACGUCCUCUUCCAACCAUCAUGCAUUUUUUCCAUGAGAUGGGUUCGUGGAAAAACUUUGGUUUAAUUGGGAAUGCUGUUAUUGAUUGGAAAAUUUUUAAUUAAAAUAAAUUUGAUUUUUUGAUUGGAAAAAAAUCCUUAAAUGACAUUAACACAUGACUCCACUUUAUUUUCUUAAGAAAAAAAAUAUUGUAACCAUAUAAGUUUCAAGUUUAAAGGGUUUUCAUUUGAAGGGGUGUGUUAGAGAAUAAUAUAAAUCAUAUCUUAGAAUCUAACCUAAUAGCUUAAGCUUUUGGGUUGAAUCGGUUCUUUGACAUGGUAGCGGAGCCUUGAUGACCAAGCGAUCACGAGUUCGAAUCUCAUCAUCCCCAUUUAUUAGAUAAAAAUUAAACACAAGGUAAUGUGGAUCUGUACAAGUUUCAAGCCCUUCUAUUGGGUUAAGAUGGUAUCUUGAGGUCUCACCUAACAACUUAAACUAUUGGGUUGAGAUGGUUCUUCGACAGGCUACCAGAUGGUGCGGCGCUACACCUCUGUUCUUGCUUUUCUCUGCUUGUUUUCUCUUCUUUUUUUAUUUCUCUUGUUCCCUUUGUCUCUCUCUGUAUUAUCUAUGUUUGUUCAUUUUUCGUCUAUGUCUUUUUGUAUUAUCUGUCUGUGGUUCUCCCCUUCUAUGUGGCUUUUCUUUGUUUGUCUUGAUUUCUCUGGGUUUGUAUUUGGUUGGUUCAACAACCUACGGUGAGGGGAAGUUGAAUAUUAAAGGCUCCCAUGCCUCUCUAGCAAUAAUAUUAUUUUUUAUUUAUCCCCAAAUACAUGUGUCAUUUAUCAAAAUAAUUAAUUUAAUCACCAAAAAAAAACAAAUAGAUCCAACAACCAUGCCAUUCCACAGUUAAUUUUUUUUAUAUUAUGAUUUAGUGCUAUGUUAACCGGGCAACCUUUAAUUACCAUGAUAUAAAAUAAAAAAAUAAUGGGAACAUAAAAUAAAUGUUUUUAUAUAUUUUUUAUUUUAAAAGGAAAAAUUUUACUCUAAUUUUACUCAAAAACUAUUGCAAAAGGAUAUUUAUUUUAAAUUUAUCUAUAUUUUUAUAGUUCAAAUAUUAAAAAUAAAAUAGAAUUAAUCACUAAGUUUUCUGGUUACAAAUACAUUUGUAAUUGUCUUUAUCUCCCUUGUAUUUCUAACCAUUAACGAAUUGAAUAUAUAAUAAAUACUAAUUAACAAAAGAAUAAAUUUAGCUGUAUAAUGUACUAAAGUUUAAAUAGGUGACUUUAGAAUCACCAAGAAGGCAGUGAAUCACACGGGAAGAUUGAAAGAAUAAUUAAAGUGAUUUUACUAACCGACAAGUUGACCCCAAGUCAAAAGUCUUUUGUGGAAAAACAUGAAUAAAAGGUUGACGUAAGACCAUUGCUAUCAAGCGUUUUUUCUAAGAGAUGGGUCCGUUCCACCAUAUAUAUGCUUUAAUUUCAACCACCAUAAAAAAUAAAUCUUAAUGUAGUGUGUUAGAAUGCAACCACCGAUUGAUUAAUUUUAAUGGCCGGUCAUUUAAACUUGGGUGUUUUUUCAGUAUAUAUAUAUAUAUAUAUUCCUCAAUUAUCAUAAAAAAAUAAGAAAAAACUAAUAAUAAGAUUAAAAAUAAAUGUUUUAUUUAUCGAAAUAAUUAAAAGUAAGGUUUACUGAAGGUAUAUACGGGAUUAAUAAAAAAUAACAAUAAAAUCAAUUUAUAAAAAAAUAAAUCAUAGAUUUAGUUUUCCUAAAUUUUAAAUGUAGUGUGAAUGCAUUCCGCAAGAAAAAAAACAGUGCAAGAUUAGCCUUUCAAGAAAUAGAGAAUCUUCCUCUUUGAAGGAAUUAAUUAGUGGGUUGGAAAAAUGUCGUCUUUUGCUCUAAUAUUUUCUUCACUUGGUCUAUAGUUUUACCUUACACUAAUAUUUUCAAGAUUUCAAUUGAAAAGGAGGGUCGUAAAAAAUUUAAUUUUUAUAAACAUACCCUUAAUUAACUUAAUUUGGAUGUGGAUAAUUGUUUGCAAUAUAUUUACAUCCAAUAUAAACAAUUCAUCAAUGAUCAAGUCGGCCUUGGUUAGCUAAAAUAUUGAAAAUACUUGCUCUCUCCUUUUUUCUUUUUUGGCCAUGCAGUUCCUAUAUAUAUAUAUUAGUUGAAAUUUUAUGAUGUCUAUUAAUCCUUUUAAAUUAAAGUCAAGUUAUUAAUUAUAUCCUAUAGAUUUCUAGAAAAACUAAUUCUCUCAAAUUUCGUACAUUUUACUUACAAACUAUAAAAGGUGAUUGCUACAAACUAAAAUUUCAAACAAGGAAGCUUAAAUCUCUUUUAUCUACAUUUGAAAUUUACAAAAAAUAAAAUUAUAUUGGAUUAAGCCUAAACACUAUAUAAAAUUCUUGAACAACACAUUAAAAACAAAUCAAAGAUACUUUUCAAAAUAUCAAAUCAUUAAAUCUUACAUAUCAAAUAAAUCAAGUUAUCAUAUAUCAAAUUAAAAGGAAGAAUUAAAUGAUUGUUUUAUUUUUUAUAAAAAUAUUUUAAAUAGAAAUUAUAAUGUGGAUCAUAUGGCUCAAUGCAAAUUAAGGUCUCACAUAUAGCCAGCUAUAGCAUGGGAUAGCCAGCGGUCAUUCCAUCAGGAGAUUUGUGAAUUCUGAAGCCUUUGCAAUGUGCAUGGCAUGUGUCCAAGAACCCACCAGGAACUCCAUUUUGACUGGGAAACCUUUGACGAACUGUAUUAUAUGUGAUUUGCUCCUGGUAUUAUAAAUUAGAAAGUGUAAAUUGUAAAUCCCAACCAAUAAGAUAUCUACAUAAGAGUCUGUAAAUGUUACAGAUGAUUUAAGUUUGUUUAGCAAAUUUUUCAAGAACAUGUUUGUCUUUGAUAGCUUAUUGUCAUAGCUGUGAACUCUGAAGAAAAUUGAUGUAAGAAACCAAAGUCCAUUUUGUUCUAGAUUGUAGAUGGAUAUAAGCUUGGUGAUUCCCGAUUCUUUUAUUAAUUUCAUUUUAUACAUUCCCUGUGAUGUGUUCUUAAUUUAUAUACCACACCGAUGUCUGUUAGGUUCUGAUUCAAUCGAAUUGGAGCCGAUCAAAAUUGUAAUGACUCAGUUUCUUUUAUGACCUGGAUUGGGCUUCACAUGCCCUUGAUUAUGCCCAAGAAGAAAACUAAAUAAAUAGUAGAUGAGUAGUGUACUGAAAAUAAAUAUUUUCAGCAUAUUACAUAGAUCUAAAACAAUAGCACACAGGAAUUAAAAAAGAGGAGGGAUCGCUAGGGAUACAAGAUUUGCAGCCAAAACUAUGACCUGACAUGUUCAGGAAACAGAAGGGAACUAUGACCUGACAUGUUCAGGAAACAGAAGGGAGGUGUUUCUUUUAAACACAAGGCAGAUUUUUAUGAUCUUAUUCCUUUUGGUCAUUAAAUUUUCUUAAAAGGAGCUUUGGUUUGAUUCCUACAAGCUGGGGGCAAAUCUUCAGCGUUUCGACAGUCAGCCUCAUGAGCAAAAGAAAGACAAUGUGCGACCACUCCAAGCUUCUCGUUGCUCCCCUGUUCCGAUUAGAAAUGGAGAUUCAAGAAGCUAUGCUACUGUCCUGAGACAAGAGUUCCAACGAAAUCUACUGUAAGUUCCCAAGACACUCUUUUAUAACACUUUGGUCAUUUCCAUGACUUUAUCUGCAUAUCUUGUGCAGGCCAGUUCCAUGUUUUGAGAUUUGAAUAUUAUUUUAUUUUAUUGUUUAGCACUUAGUCUAUUCGCCAGGUUGGGAAAAAUAUUCAAAUUAGUUUUGUUGGCAUGUAACCUCACCAAACAAUUUAAGACUUCACUAAACAAUUUGCGUAGACCGUAUUGACUGGGAGUCAACUAUUGUCGUAGUGCUUUUUUGCACUAUCUGUGUGCGUGAAUGGAAAGAAAAGCAGGGUGGCAACUGGGGUGAGAAAAUGAAUAGAAAACUCCAACAAGGGUGUGAAAAUGAGUUACUUCUCCAAAAAGAAUAUAUAAAUUAUUGAAUAUCUAAUGGAAACUGUCGUGAACGCGGAUGCUUGACUUGCUGUGUACCAUUUUGAUUUUUAAACACAACCAUGCCGUAAUUUCCUGGUGAUUUCCUUAUGCAUACUGGUGGUCUUCCAGAAUCUUUUUCCAAACAAUCCUCGUUAGACCCUGCUCGGGGAUUAACCUGGAGUAAGAUUUGUAUCAUGGUUUUUUAUCAUGUUCCAGGUCAACUUGGAUCAACUAAAUUUUAUGAGUAUGUCAAAACGACAUUGUUUUUUAUAUAUAAACAUAAAUAUGAAUCUUGAGCUCUUUUAUAAUCUUAAGACGAAGUAUAUUAAUAGUUGAACCAUUAUCCACCAAGAUACAAUUCAUCAUCUUUUCAUCGAUAUAUCUUUUAAUAAAAAAAUAUCGUUUAUGGAGUUUUGAUUCAAGCAACAGGUCUUCAUCGUUAAAGAAUAUCUAUGUAGUGUAUACACCUUGAGACAAGUCGAAAGAGUUAGUCAUGACAGGUUUAGUAGGAGUUUUCUUUAUAGUUUUCUCAUUUUUUAUGUUAAAUUAGGAAGAGAUCAAUAAGAAACUGAACUUGAAGAUGGACUAUAUCAUUGUUAACUUCUUGAUCCGAAUACUCCAACAUGAUGGUUAGUGCAAAUUUUUUUUUUUUUAAAAAUAGCAAAAACAAAGUAAUUAAACAAGACAGACUUAGGAUUCCACAGAUAAAUAUAUGGCCAUAUUUGUUUCCCGGAAUUCACUUUCCGGGAAGCCACUUUCCAAACUUUCCUGUGUUUGUCUGCCAUUAGAAAAGUUGGUCAACGGAAAACACUUUCCAGUCAAAGGAAAAUUUAGCUUGGUUUCCAGGAAAGUGUUUUCCUUGAAAAUUUAUGCGGAAAACACUUUCUGAAAGUUGUGAAAAAUUUAAAAAUGUCAUAUUAUUUGCUGAUUAUAUCAAAUUUGGUCCUCAAACUUUUGAUUGCUAUAUAUAUAUAUAUUUUUGUUUUGAAUAUUUAUUUUUCAAUUUCAUCUCUUAAAAUUUAAUUUUUAUAUUAACUUUGGUCCUCAUUUUUAUAAUUGUUAUUUGCUUUUCCCUUAUCAUUUUCUUAUUGAAAUUUUUUAUCUAUCAAAUUUGGUUCUCAUUCUUUUGAUUGUUACUUAUUUUAUUUGAAAUAAUUUAUGAAAUGUUAAUUAUUAUUAUUAUUUUAAUUUCUUCAUCUUUCAUUUUUAUUUUAUUUUUUAGAUUUGAUUUUUAUUAUUUUGAUUAUUAUUAUUUAUUUGAGAUAAUUUAUGAAAUUAUAUUUUUUUUCAAUUUCAUUCUCAUUCAACUUUUUAAUUUGUAAGAUUUGUUCAUCAUUAUUUUAAUAAACUUGAGAAAAUAAAAUAUUAAUAAGUUAUUUUCCAGUUCAUUUUCCAUGACAUAACCAAACACUGAAAAAUAUUUUCCAACUUAUUUUUCAUUACACUACCAAACAUCGAAAAAUAAUUCACUUUCCUGGAAUUCACUUUAAAAAAAAAACUACUUUCCAGCAAGCAAACGGGCCAGUUUCAACACUUCUCUAUUGAAACGUUCAACAAUAAGGCUAAGCUAUGAGGUCAACCCACUAAAAAGCACCCAUUAGCUGGACACAUUCAAGAAAAUUGCCGACAAGUUUCGAACUAACACAAUUUUGGGCCGAGAAUGCAAGAAGCAAACCACUGAUUCCCCCACCAGCAACCACAACAAAUUCAGUGCUCCCAUGCUAAGAUCCUCUGAUGUUGGAGAACUAGCGAAAUUUAAUACAAGGCUUCAACACUCCGAAGCCUGCUAGAGAAAUAUUAAAGCAAAAUAAGUAGUAGCAUUAAACAACAGCCAUUUCAUCAGUUUUAAUUUUAGUAUAACACAAUAAUAUGAACCAACCUUGAUUCUCAAAGGCACCCAACUAAUUCAUAGCCUUCAAAUCAAGACUUUGCAAUUCUUUAAAAGGCAGAAACAAAGAUGCGUUGAGAACCCACUCCCCUAACCCCCAAUCCCCAGCACCCCCAAGAGAGAGUUGGAUCACUCGCCUUUCGGUGGUAUCGCACACGAUCCUAGACCACUCACAACAAUUAUUGCCCAGGUAUUUCAACAGUUAUGGCUUGUGUGGGUUUUGGUUCACGAUGGAGAUGAUGGAUACAAUAAUGUAUUUCGACAACAAAACUUUCAAUGCUUGUGAAUGGCUCUCCAACUAAAGAGUUCUUUAUCGAAAAGGGAUUGCGACAAGGGGACUCUUUAUCAACAUCUCUUUUCAAUAUAGCAACUGAGGGUCUUAGUAGAAUGCUAAGAAGAGAUGUGGUUUGGGACUUAUAAAAGGUAUUUGUUUUGGUCACUUUCAAGUUUGUAGAUGAUACACUCAUCUUCAGUUCAUAUGAUUUUCCAUCUCUUCAAAACAUCAAAAUAACCAUGUGAUGUUUUGAGUUGAUUUCUAGGCUGAAGGUUAAUUUCCACAAGAGCUCAAUCACGAGAACUAUUGUUAUUUCUUCAACUGCUAGCAAUCUAAUAUGUAGUAUGGAGGGGAUGCCAUUUAAGUAUUUGGGCCUGCCUAUUUGUGCAUCUUCAUCUCAUGUGGAAAACUAUUGUUAAUAGAAUCAAUAGCAAGUUGGCACUUACCUAUUGGUGAGAGAGUGUGCUUGCUUAAAUCAAUUAUAAAUAAUCUUCCUAUCUACAACCUUUCUUUAUUUCCUAUCACAUCCAUUGUUGCUACCAAAAUUGAGAAACAUAUCAUAUCUUUCUUUGGUUCUUAGGAGGAAGGAGGGAAAAAACUAUGCAAUGUUAAAUGGGCAUCGGUGGUUCCUCCAAAAAAAAACAAAAAGGGCUGGGUAUAGACUACAUUAUUGAUAAAAAUCAUGGGUUACUAACACUUCCAUAGCAAAGAGAUAUGUAUUUUCCCUAUUAAUUUCUCAAGUUACCAUAAUGAGAGUGUGAUGUGACUCCAAUAAAUGUAGGAUAUGUUAAUUAGGUAUACAAUGUCUAUGUGAUAUGGACAUAAUCAUUUUUGGUAUGUCAAAUUCUUACUAUUUCACUCUUAAGAGUAGAAAGAUCUAGUUAGUUGGACUGCAUUCCGAUCUGCAAUCUUCCUAUAUAUCCCAAUUGUUGUAUUUGCUUUAGUGGCUAAGCAAGUUUUAGAGAAACCACUUGAAGAAGUAAGUGCGGUUUUGAAAGAGUUUCAAGAUGUUUGUAAUAGAUUUGAUCCCUAGUGUUAUAUUGACCUCUUGGUUUCAAGCAAGAAACACACUUCAAUAUCAUUAUGCGUAAUUGUAUUCCUAAUAGAGUUAUGAUGUAAGUUAUGAUGUAACGAAGACUCCCUUUUCUCAUUCUAGAAUCCGGUGAUUCCACCUCACGUUCAUCCUCCACCCGCUGAAGACUUAUACCAUUGAAAGAGAAAAGCUCCAGCUUUGGGUGUAAACUGGAUUGAUUGCAUCCCAUCUGAAUCACGUGGGCUUAAUUAAUGGAAGGAACGAACAAUUGUCGGUUUUAAAAGUUUGGUUUGUAACAAUCAUUGUAAUUUCAAAUCUCCAUACUCCUUCCAUUUAAGCAAGUAAUAAUAACAGAGAAUAUGUAUAAAUCUCAGUGUUGUUUUACAUUUUAUAUAAGAUAUUACAGUUUCAUUCAAAAAAUGAGAAAUAACAUUAAAAAUCCUCAAAUUCUACCACCUUCAAUUCUCAUUCAUCAACAACAGCAUACAUUCAAACAAGUGAUCAAUAGUGAUCAAGUGAUGAGGACUAGAGUAAGAUUCGCACCAUUGUAAGCUUGACAAGCUUCGCCUACUCUAACUGUAACGAAAGAUUCAGUGCCUAAUCUCUGGACGGAGAAGGGGACGCCCUUGUUAUGUACACGGUUGCUCUAAAUGGUUCGAUGAUGCUCAUUUUAAACAUAUCAUGUCAGGUUGUCAAUUUCGUUCUGGUUAGUGUAACGGACCCGACUGUACGACUUGAUCAAUGUUAAAAGAUCCCAAUAUAUUCUCUUAGCCUGAGGAUAAUUUUUUUUUUAAUCUAUCAAAAAUUCAGCAGAGUUUUGUUUGUAUUUAGGACAUCCCAAGUUAUCGACCACUAUCAAUUUACUCAAUCAACCCAUCAUCACAAGGUCCCAUAAAUCCGGACCUUAGAUUAAUCAUCAUAAUUCAACACCUUACCCAAUCCACACAAUAUAUAUCCUACGAGUAAGUUCAAUAUCAACAUAACCCACAUAUCAUAUUAUAAAAUUUAAAAGAAAAGGAAAUACUAACAUGCAAAGAAAGCAUUACAACAUAAUAAGUGUUCUUAACCAUAUCAAAAGGGUUAAUUACAAGAUAACUAAAAUACUACAUGCUAAGCUGAACUUUUAUAAAUACAUCAAGGUUUACACAAAAGUAUACUACAUAAACACGUUAUUUCUCUUUUGUUUAAGUUAAAUAUUUACAUAAGCUUGACAAAGUAGAGUCCUAAAUUAGUGAUCUCUCUGGAUAUUUGAUGGACCUGUUAUAUAAAUAAACAUGUCAUUAUGUUGAUAAAAGAAAUAUAUAUAAGCUCAUGUAAUGUAUCCGAAUGAAGUAUUAAUUUCUAUUGGAUCCAUAAGGAUUCUAACAGACAUCUUAUAUUUUGCUUGUAAAUCUUUUAAACCCAAUUUACACUCAUUUGCAUAUUCUUAAUUUGAAUACUCUUAUUUAUUUGCAUGAACCGGGUGACCUUGCAAAGUCUAUUCUUGUAAUCCAUUUCCCAGCAAUCAUAUCACGAAUACCAUUAGCCGAAGCAAAUCUUGUAAUUCAUCUCCCGGCAAUCAUAUCACGGAUGACAUUAGCCGAAGCUAAUCUUGAGAUUCAUCUCCCUGCACUCCUAUCACGGAUGCCAUUAGCCGAAGCUAAUCUUGCAAUCACGGAUGUCAUUAGCCGAAGCUAAUCUUGUAAUUCAUUUCUCAGCACUCCAAUCACGGAUGCCAUUAGCCGAAGUUAAUCUUGUAAUUCAUUUCCCGGCACUCCUAUCACGGAUGCCAUUAGUUGAAGCUAAUCUUAUAAAUACACUAGACUUUAUUUACAUUGAACACGAUAUUUAUUAUAAUUGCAUUCACUAGAGGAAUUUUAAAUUGUAUAAGUACAAAUAGGAGGGAAAAAUCACGCACCUGCUUCGCCUGUUUCGUGACCUCCUCUAACAGAAGAUCCAAUCCUGGUUGCUCCUCCUGAAUCACAAGGAAGUUUUUGGUUAUGAUUCCUUCAAGCUGAUAUUAUAGAGGCUCCAUAUUCAUUCAUUACUCAUAUGUUACUUUCUAUGCAUGUUCAUUUCCUUAUAAUAACAAACAUACAUAAAUCAAGUAUAUUUUCAAAGUUAGUAUCUCAAUGUGCAAGUGUUCGUAUGACUCAAUUCUUUUAUAUUCUUACAUAUAAUAUUCACGUGAAAGUCUACUAUUACUAUCUAACUUUGAACUGUUACUGUCCAACGGUUGCUGUCCAACAGUUGCUGUUUGAACAGUUGCUGUUUGAACUCUUAUCAGAUUUUUAACUAUAUCUAGAGUUCUAGAACUCCAUUUUAAGUGAGAUUGAUCUUGUUGGAAAGCUAAGACACGAGGCUACAAGUUCUCUAAAGGAAGGAGAACCCAGUUCUGCCUCCAGGAUAGUCAAAAUUGCUCAUCAACCCAUCAAUCCUACUGCUCUACAAAAUCAGUCACGACUCAGUCUUGGUUGGUAACCCAUAACUGGAGUUAUACAUCUCCAAAUUGAGCAAGAUUAAUUUCCUUGGUUAGCUAACAUCCAAAUCUACAAUUUCUAUAAAGGAAUCUGAUCCUAAUUCCCUCAUCCUCCUACCCGAAAUCUCACCAAAAGUUAGGAGACAAGUUUGUCCAGAUUCGUUUGCCCCUCCCCUUCACACAAUACUUUCAUAAACUACACACCACACACAUGAAUUAACUUAAUCUUAAUAAUAAGUACUUUUUCUCCAAUUCAUGUCUAAGAACCCUAACCUAUGAUUCAAUAUCAAGGCAUCAAUUCAUUAUCGAUUUGAAAUGAAUUUUUUUAAUAUCAUGUUUAGAACACCUUACCCAGUACAAAUUAAGAUUUUGAUCUCCAACCAGUUGAAGAUUUUCAACUCCCUCCUUUCUUUUCUUCUUGUUUAAUUUCUUGGUAAUCCCUUGCUCUCAAGUGUUUAUCCCAUCUAUAAACCCUUAAUCUUGGAUGGGUUCUCGAAAUUUUAGUGUUUCUCUCUUGAUUUCGCAAGAAUGGGUAUAAAACUCCUUAUUUUCUCUCAUUAUCGUUCCUGCAGAUUUUUGGUGAGGAGAGAGUAUUUAUACUCUAUAGUUUCCCUUAUUUGUAUUUAGGCCCCAUUUCCUUUAAAUUUCUGAAUUCUUGUCUUUUAUUUAACCAUACGCAUGAAUUUCUUGACUUUUAUUUCUCAUAUAGUUAGUUUUCAAUUUAAGCAACCUUUAUUUUUUUAUUUUUUUUCUGAGGUUUACAGUUAGUGUUUCAUUAUUUAAUUGAAAUGGUAUGUUUUGGUUUCGGAGCAUUUCGGCGUGCUAUUUCAGGAUUAUACUGUUCAUACUAUUCAUAUAUAUAUAUAUAUAUAUACAUACUCAAUAAACAUAAUUUUGAUUCAAAUUUAAAGAUAAACUAACUUGAAAUUAUGCAAUUAAAAUUUCAAACACAAGUAAAAAAAGUGAGAGUUGAACCAAUAUGACCCGAUCGACUAGAUAGGCCCAAAGACUACCUGAAUGACUGGUAAGAAUAGAGUUUGACUCAAAAAAAUUUAAGAUGACAUAGUUUUUUAAAAAAUAUUGAGAUGACAACAUAUUAGAUCGACCGGGUUCAACUCAGGUUAACCUUUUAAAUCCGUAAUCCAGGUCAUGAGACUAUAAUAACUCUAAAUAAAACAAAUCAAAACAAAUUAUAAAGCUCAAUUCUUAAUAAACCUAUUAUUUAAUAGUUAAAUUGAAAAAAAAUAAUCUAAAAAAAGGACACAAAAAAAAUGACAUUUCAAAACAAAAUUAUGAAAAUGUCACUAGCAGUCUCGCAAGGCCUUUCUAAACUCCAAUUGCUCUAUAAUUUUAACCUGAGAUAUAACAAUAUGUUAGGAAAAUCUUCAUAAGAUUUCAGUCUGAUCCACCAAUCGAAUUGAAAGAUAUGAUUGAUAUCGUAAAACUAGCUAAUAUUGUUUUAGAAAAAAAAAACAUUAUUUGGCCGGAAUGGAACCGGAACAUUCGAGCCAGAAUUUUGGCGGAAUUUAUGGAACGGGCUAAGACUCUGAGCAAGAUGAAAUUUGUUUCAGUUUGUUUUAUUUUUUAAAUUGGAAAGAGAUAUACCAGUCAUUUUGAAUGGAACAUAACAAAAUUGACAACCUUGUAUCAUGGUUGAUUAGAGUUUUUUUUUUUUUGUCUUUUUUUUCAAAAAUUUUUCCAACAUUGAGUUGAUUGGUAAUCGAGCUUCAUAAUUUAUAUGUUAACAUGCCAAAUUCAUGACCUGAGUCAUGAGACUAUAAUAACCUCAUAAAAGUAUAUUGAACAAAUUACAAAGCAUAAUUCUCAACCACCAGUGUUUAAAAAUGAAAUUGAAAAAAUAACAUAAAAAAUGACUCAAGUCAACUCAAGAACCUGCCAAAUCCGUGAUCCAGGUCACAAGACCUAGAUAACCUCAUAGAAAGCAAACUGAAAAAAUAAUUCGGGUCAACCUAGGUUACCCUGCCAAACACGCAACUCAGGUCAUAAAACUAGGAUAAUGCUAUAUAAAGCAAAUAGCAACAAAUUUUAAAGCAUAAAUCUCAAUCAACUUAUUUUAAAGCAUAAAUCCCAAUCAACUUAUUACAAUUCACUCGCAUUGUUCACUUUAGUGAACAGUGCUACAGUGGAGCCAUGCUCCACUGUUGAGGUUUCUCCCAGACGAGAAGCAAUAAAACGUUUAAGGAAAUAAAUGUUGCUUCUCCAAAACCUGCGGUGCCAUAUGGGUCCUACGUGCUGAAAGCACUUUUAUUUUCUUAACCAAACGUUUAUUAGCGUGGCUGCGGGUGAACCUCACCCGCAACCACGUUACCAAACGAGCACUUAGUCUCAAAGAAGAAACAAUUACUUGGUUCUAUAUCCUUAGCACGUCAAACAUGAGGGUAUGAACAGUAACCAUUGUGUCCACUAUAAAAUAUAAGGGGGUGAACAGUGCGGCUACAAAGUAUUCACCCCACACACUUUAUAUUAUAAGUAACUAGUUUUUGUAUUGGCACUCCGCGGCGGGGUGGUUAUUUUUUUAAGUAAAAAAAUAAUAAUAAGCAGGCUCUUACAAUGCACUUUUUAAUAUAAUUUUUUUUCAAUCACAAAUCAAAAUGCCUAUACAUAUAUUUAGUAAUUAGAUCGAUAUUUGAUAAAUAGGUAACUAAGAUUAAGAUAUUUGAUAUCACGACAUGAAUCAUGUGCUUAGUUGUGUUUAACAAUUAUGUUUCCUAGAGUUUUUUUUUAUGAACCAACCAUAUAUUCCGAUAAAAGGUAACAAAAAAUUCAUACCAAUAUUGAAUGAAGAAACUAAAAAAAAAAACCAAUAAAAAAAAGACUGUAUAAAUACACUAAUUUAUUGACCAUAUUGACAAAACAAGUCAAAACUGUAUAAAUACACUAAUUUAUUGACCAUAAGUAAAUGAUUGAGAUAAUAAUACGAAAAGAAAAACUUUUUACCGGACAAUGAUCAAUCCUGGUGAUGUCCAAAGUGUAAAUCAAACAUUUUAUAUCUUGCCAUGAGAAACAAAUAUAUCACAACUUGUUUUUAUUGUAUUCUAUUAUGACUUGUUUUGUGCCUUACAUUAUUUAAUAUAUUAAAAUAAAUUUAAUAAAUUAUACUGAAGCAAGAUCUAAUAUUAGAAAGUUAACGGAAAUAAUAAAUAUAUUUUUAAAUAUAUUUACAGUUCGGUCCCUUAAUUAACUUUUUGUUUGUAAAAUGUGGAGCUGUCAGCAAUAUUUCCUUAGUUUGUGUCGCUAACUGUGAUUAAAGGAUCAAUUAAUUAUUUAUUUAAAUCAACCAGAGGGAUUAAUCUGUUUGUUUAACAAAAAUACAGACACUAAUUAAAUAGAAUUUAACUCAAAUUUUAAUAAUCAAUAUUUUUAGAUGGAAUCUUGGUAGAAAAUUUAAUCAUCAUAUCCUGGGUAUUUUGGAAACAAAAUUGGAAACUUUGAAUGAUUUCACUAUUACUGCUAUAUGGGGUCGUCAUCCUAGGGCUUGGUAUGCAGUUCCCUCAUUAGGCCUUUCGGGGGGAUAUUAUGUAUAUGGAAUCCGAAUCUUUUUUGUGUCUCUAGCUGUUCUGUUGCUAUGAAUGGCUGUAUUUUGCAUAUUGAAGGCACCUUCACUCGGUCCAAUCUAGAUUGCCUAGUCUCUUUUGUAUAUGCUCCGAAUGUUGGGAACCUGAAGAAUGAGCUGUGGACUUAUCUUGUUACAUUCAGGGAUAGUGUUAGCAUGUCGUGGUGUCUUGCAGGUGAUUUUAAUGAAACCUUAUUCCCAUCAGAUAGGAAAGGCGGCUCACAAAUAACAUCUUCCAUGACAAGAUUUCAAAAUUGCAUUGAUGGUUGUAAUCUUAUGGAGCUCCCCUUAAAUGGGAGAAAAUUUACAUGGUCUCGAGGUAAUGCGGCGAGCCGUAUUGAUAGAAUAUUUUUAUUGGGGGAUUGGUUGCAGGCUUUCCCGUCCUCUACUUUAUUCGGUCUCUCAAAAUAUUCAUCUGAUCAUAGGCCUCUGCAUCUGUUGCUAGACUCUACAAAUUGGGGCCCGAAACCUUUUCGCUUCAUGAAUUGCUGGUGGCUUGCGUCUGAUUUCAGGAUUAUGAUUCAGAGCUUUUGGAGAUCACUCACGGUUUCAAAAUCUGGCAUAAGGAAAAUGGUCCCAGCUCUAAAGAUGUUGAAAGAGAGAUGUCGGCAGUGGAGUAAAGCUACUGUGGGAAACAUGAAUAACAGAAUUGAAGAACUGGAACUUGAAGCUGACUCAAUGGAUCAUCAAAAUGAGUGCAGGGUUUUGACUGCUGAUGAACUGAUUAGAAGUAAUUCCAUUGCCUCCCGGCUCAAAAUCCUGUAUAGAGCUCAAGAGUCUGCCUAGCAUUAGAAGUCAAGAAUUCAGUGGUGUAAGCUUGGAGAUAAAAAUACCCGAUUCUUUCAUUUAGCUGCAACAACAAGACAGAAAAAGAAUCAGCUUGCAUGCCUAGAGGUUGAUGGACAGAUCCUAUCUAAACCAAGCGAUGUGAAUCUAGCUGUCUUUCACUUUUUCCGCAACCUAUACUCCCAUCAGAACAGACCUAGAGCUUCAUGUUCAAACCUGGAAUUCUCAAGGCUGAAGCAUUCAUCCUCGGCUGCUCUUGAAUUGCCAUUUUCUGCAGAAGAGAUUACAGCAGCUGUGUGGGAUUGUGAUGGAAAUAAAGCUCCAGGUCCUGAUGGUAUUAACUUCCUUUUCAUCAAGAAAGCAUGGAACAUUAUAGGUGAGGACAUUAUCCAGAUGGUUGAUGAAUUCUAUCGGACUAAUCUCCUUCCUGCAGGUAUCAAUAGCACCUUUGUUACUCUUAUUCCGAAGAUUAAAGGUGCUAACAAGCUAUCAGAUUUCAGACCUAUUAGUUUGGUGGGCAGCCUAUACAAGAUCUUCUCAAAGAUUCUAGCAACUAGGUUGAAACAUGUUAUGCCAGAGGUCAUCUCUCAUCAUCAAAAUGCUUUCAUCAAAGGGAGGCAAAUUUUAGACAGCGUCUUGAUUGCAAAUGAGGUUCUUUCUUUCAUCAAGAAGAAAAAGGGUAAAGCUUAUCUUUUCAAAUUAGAUUUUCAUAAAGCCUUUGAUUCGGUGUUAUGGGAAUAUAUUAAUGAAAUCAUGGCUAGUAUGGGCUUUGACCUGGUUUAUGCAAUGCAUAUCAACGGCAAAAAUGUCUGUGCUUGUUAAUGGGUCUCCCACGGAGGAAUUCUGCUUAGCAAAAGGCCUACGCCAAGGAGACCCUCUCUCUCCGUUUCUCUUCAACAUUGCAGUCCAGGGCUUGAGUUGUAUGUUGCAGCGUGGCUGUGAUUUGGGUUUGACUUCGGGUAUAAACAUCGGCAAUACAGGGCUUGUCAUAUCUCACUUACAGUUUGCGGACGACACCCUUAUGUUCAGUUCAGACUCUUUACAUAGCAUGCAGAACAUUAAACGUAUCCUAUUAUGCUUUGAACUUGUCUCGGGGCUGAAGGUCAAUUUUUAUAAAAGCAGCAUUGUGGGUGUGGGUGUAGCAGCUCAUACAUGUAACUUCACGGCUCAGCUUCUCAGAUGCAAGCAGGAUCAGCUGCCUCUCAUGUAUCUUGGGCUCCCCAUUGGUGGAAACUUGGGCAGAGCUACAAUGUGGAAUCCUAUUUUGCGCAAUAUCAGUUGCCGAUUGGCUUCGUGGAAAGGCAGGUUCUUAUAUAUUGGGGGCUGUUUGUGCUUGAUUAAAUCUGUGCUCAGUAAUCUCCCCAUCUACUACCUAUCUAUGUUCCCCAUGCCUGUUACGGUAGCCUCCAAAAUUGAUCAGAAACUUCGAUCCUUCCUCUGGUCAGGAAAUGAGGAAAGGCACAAAAUAUGCAAUGUCAGCUGGGCCACUGUUACUCUUCCAAAACAUGCGGGGGGUCUUGGGAUUGGUUCCUUAAGGGACAAAAACACAGCUCUGCUAUUUAAAUGGUUAUGGAGGUUUGGGUUAGAGGAAUCAAGUAUGUGGAAGGAUGUGAUCAAAAGCAUCCACAACACCAAUUGCUCUAAACUGCUGCUGCAAGCUCCUAUUCCAGGAGCUGCAACUACAUGGUCCCGGAUUGUUAAUCAUUGUGUGAGAAAUAAUAAGCUGCAGGAUAUUGUGAAUGAGCAAUCUCUGGUUCUUAUCGGAAAUGGCAAGAAGACUAUGUUUUGGCUUGAUUGCUGGCUUAAUAACCACUGUUUAGCAGAGCACUUCCCUACUCUUUUCCAAUUAUCCAAUGACAAAGCUGCCAGCAUUGCUAAGAUGGGAAUAUGGGAAGGGUAUAAGUGGAUUUGGGUUUUUUCCUGGAUACGUCCACUACGGGGGCGAAACAUUGGCUUGCUCGAUCAACUAUAUGCAAUCCUAUCGACAGUAUUGGUAAGCCAUGGCCAUCUUCUUGGUAUGUUCUCUGUUCCAGUUGGUAUUUUAGACUCUAAUAUUGCUGAGUUAAGGGCUAUUGUCAAAGCCAUUGAACUAUCAGCAUCUAAUUGUCUCCUCCACCAUCAACACCUCAUCAUAGAAUCUGACUCUGUCAAUGUUAUUAGCUAGAUGAAUAAGCCUCACAGCCGUCCCUGGAAGCAUCAUAAUUUGUUCUCCUUUGUUAAUAGACUGAAACCAUAUUUUGGUUCAAUCACCUUCUCCCAUAUCUUUCAUGAAAGUAAUUGCAUGACAGAUUGCAUGGCUAAACAAGGAGUGCGGAGAUCAAGUGAAUUUGUUGCCUGGCUUUGACUCCACCAUUUUUCUGUGGCCUUGCUCUUGUGUCUUCUGCCAUUAUGUCUUUGAGUUAUUUCUGUUAUGUUUUGUAGAGGAAUGUUUAGCUUUGAGCUCAUUCGGAUGGAUAUUCUAUGGUUUUCUUUGCUUUUGUUUAUCUUAGUCUGCGCUUUAUCCUAUAUAUGGCUUUUUGCCAUAGUAAGAUAAUGUGUAGCUUCUGUACUACUCCCGCCAGACUUUGGCGUUUAAUAAUAUACGCAUCUUUCAAAAAAAAUCCAUGUGAAUCGCACGACUUGUCCAUAUCUUUCUUAUUGAUUACAAAUAGCAUUGAGAAUUAAAGAAUAUUAUCUUAAUAAGUUCCAAUUUAUUCUACAAAAACUAUAUAUAAAGAUGUAUACAAAUUAGUUAUUUAUUGUUUGUAAGUAUUAUUGUAUUGCAAAGACAAAAAUAAGAUGCAACUUAUGGCGUGGUCGUCCAACCUGGUUCAGGUUUUGAUCCUGUUAAAAAUCUAUUUUGUUGAAUUGUUAUCUACUUGUGAGUUAUUGGGUUAACUAGAUCAAUUUUUUAAACAAAACAAUAUCAUUUAAAAAAAAAAAAUUGGUUCUGACUUAGAAAUAUAAUAUUAGAAACUUAAAUCUUAUUAUUAUAAAAGACUCAAUGGUAAAUUUAGUUUUGAAAUAGAUUUUUGUAAAAUCAAAUAUCAACUAAGCACCUGGAAAUUUAUUUGAAAUUACAAUAACCUUGUAGAAAACAAACAUAAAUAGAAUUAUUAAAUUCAAUGGAGUCCAUGACCUGAAUUACGGGUUCAACGGGUUAAGCCACGAAGCUCUGAUCGAUUUAAAAUAUUGUCGUCUUAAUAUAAAAAAAAAAUACAUCUUAAAAAAAAUAAAUUAAGCUAGACUACGUUUUUACCUAUUAUCUGGGUUGUUUUUAGGUUCAUCAUUUCGACUGAGUUAUAUUAGGACAACUACUACAUAAUUUAAUUUAAAAUUAAAGCUAAACAAGAAAUUAGGUAAAGAGAUUUUAAGAUUGAUUUGUUGGAUUGGAUUUAAUAACAAUACAAAAAAUCUAAAUAUUUCUUUUUUAUUAAAAAAAAAUUCAAUCCAACUCUCAUCGUAACGCAGUAUAGUAAGAUAAAUAGAUAUAAAUAUUUUGAUGGAUACUCGGGAUAAAAGAUUGUUUGAGGACAUUUUGCUAAUUUCUUUUGUUAUCUAAUCAAUCAAGCUCAUAGUGAAUAAGUAUAUUAAUAUAUACAAUUAAAUUAAAUAACAUAUAAGAGAAAAAUGGUCGCAAGCUAAAGCUAAAGUGAUGCGACGUUGAGCCACUAGUCGAUAGUUGUAACGUCAGUUUGUUGGUUCGUCGUUCGUUUCUCGGGCGAGUUUGGUUGUGCUAAACACAAUGAACCAAUAGAGUGCUUUGCUUUCUUACUUGGAGAUUCUGGAGCCUUGGAUUUUUUGAUAUUUAGGUUAUCUGUUUCUAGAAAAGAAAGAAAGAAAUAUUUAUAUUAUCAAUGCAAUGCAAUGAAACGACUAAAUAACAUUUAAUUAUUAUCAUAGCUUUGUCCUCGUACCUAAGGAAGUAUACUACGUCUUUUUCUCCAUUGUUUGAGUUUGAAAUUAUAUCUGUGAACCCAUUAAUUUAUCUAGAAAAAACAUUUAUUGGGUAAUUGGAUCAAUCAUUGAGGUCGUCAUAUCAUAUAUAAACCAAUUAUUUUAAUUAAAACAAUAUCAUUUUAUUUAAAAUUAAAUUUAUAAUACUAACUGAAUCCCUAAAAACACAAUUAGACCAAUCAAGUUUUAGCAAGUUAAUUUUUUUUUUUAAUUUUUUCAUAUUUAACUUGAAAUUCAAUCCAAAUUAAAUUAUAAAUUAUGGGUUUCUUAAAUUAACACAUGUUGGGUCAGGUCUACCAAUUAUGAUUGGAAUCCAGGGUUAAUAUCUAGAAGAAUUUAUUAAAUUUCUGUAUAAUUAGUCAAUCGAUGAGGGAAUUUAGUUUUGAUUGAUGGAGAAAUUAAUUUAAAGAUACCAUGCAAGAUAUAUAUAUAUAUAUAAACAUUUAAAGGGAAACGGACCCACCAUCAAUUAUUGUUAUUCGUUUAAUUAUAAAUAGAAUGAAGAGAAUGAUGCUCGCUGCACUUUUAUCAGCGACUGAUAAACCCCAGAAGGAGAACACUCUACAGAAUUAUUCCAUACUUUUUCGUAAAUUAUAAAUUAAAAAGAAAUUGGUUAUAACAUGGUUAACGAACACAGCACAAAAAUAAACAGGUGUAUUUCUUACAUAAAUUCUUAUUGUUUUGUUUUUCCAUUGGUUUCAUGAAAUUCUCUCAACAAUUGAACAAAAAACACUACAUCAUAGCUCACAAACAUACAUUUUAUAAGUCAAUUAAACCUCUUGUUUUUCUUAUGUGUCUUUUUAUUGUAAUCUCUGCAAGGUGACACCUGACAGAGCAAUCUGUUGAUAGGUCCAAUUCUGCUUUAUGUUGUGUUUCUUGCUGAGCAAAUAAAGGUCAUGGGUUUUCUUUCUUUCUUUUUCCCUUAUAAAAAUGGUCAUGCGGCCACAGACAGUUGCGAAAAAAAAGAAGCACUUAAUUAUCACUUAUUUGGUAAGUAGCGUACUUAUCAGAUGACCCUCAACCAUCAGUACCCAUUAUAAAUUAAUGUCGACAAGAGUAAAAUUAGGAGUUACCGUGACUUUCCAACAUCUAUCAUUAUAAAUUAAGUAUCAACAACGAUUAAGACUAAUUGUUUUACCAAGAUUCUCAACCAUUGUAAAAAUAGAUUUGAAAAAAAAAUCAUAGCAAAAAUUCAAAAAAAUAAAAAUUGCAUUGCUUUCCAUAUAUAUUUUAGUUUUUCUUAUAAUAAUAAUAAUAAUUAUAGUCUCUCGUGUCUCACAACUGUAUGUGUUUUUUCUUGAAUAAGCGCUAAUGUUCUUUGAGGGGUCCAAGCACCAUAUACUGAAAGAAAGAACUAGUUCAAAUUGAAGCACCAUGAGUUUCUCUACGGCUUGGUUCACCACCUGCUGGUGCGGCAAGUUAUGAACUAGCUGGCUAGUUUUUUGCUUCCUUGGUUUUAGAAGCACCAUGUGUUCAAAGAAUAGUCAACAAAGAAAAAGAAAAAGAAAAAGAGAAGGGCAAAAGGUUAAUUAAAAUCAGCAGGACUGCCAUGAGGCAACCUCAAGUAGUGAACUUGAAGGAAUAAAAAGUGCUGGGAAGUAAUUUUUGCUGAAACUUCUUGUGUAACAUCUUCUUUUGAUGAUGACCUCUUGGAUGGCUGCAUGAAGCUUGUUCCGUUUUAAAUUUCAAGGUUAAUCUAUUUCUAUGAGCAUUGGUGUUUCAAUUUCAACCUUAAGUUGCAACUGAACUUAAAUGAAUAGUGUUGGAUUUGGGCCUUCUAUUUGCUUUAACUUCUACAGGAUUGAAAUGAUAGUGAUCUUAAAGUACAAAAGCAGCAGACAAAAAUCAAUUAGCCACAAUAUAUAGUGUAUGGUUUCCUAGUUUCUCAGUAUAAAGUUGAAUGUUUUGGUGAUAUCUCUACAUCCAAAAUCAUAUAGACAGCUACUGCUGGCACUUGCAGUGGUCAAUGAAUACUAUAGAGUACAUAUUGCAGUUUGAGAUAAGGUUAACUCGUUGCAUUUUCAUAUAUUGAAAGGAUUUCUCUUCUUUUCUUUGUCAGUUACAGAACAUGCAUAGAAGUGUUCUUAUUCAGAGUAAAUGCUAUUGUAAUGUUUUCACGGACUCCCUUGCUUUGCAACUAAGUCACUAAUUAUCUUGGAACAUAGCCAUAAAUAAAAGGUUCUUCCAGUUCAAGAAAAUUAACCAUGAAGCUAGUAGCUAGAAUUUUUAGACAGAAUGGUGGCCAAGUAAACUCCUAUACUCUGUACCUCUGGAAUAAUGCAGGGAAAGGAUGUCUAUGUAUUUUGAUGUCUUAUAUUACUUGACCAACUCUUGCUUAUCUCAUUAUUUGUUUUUACUUUUUGCUAAUGAUUCCACACAUUUUUGAUAUUGGUGUGGUUUAUGACUUCAGGGUUCUUACUCGCUACUGCAACUUCUCUAUACUUGCUUGGUCAUUAAAUAUGAAACGUGAUGAUUUGCAUAUGCAGAAUGGAGACAUUAAAGAGGCAUCUUCUGUUUUCUAGUUAGGAGGGAUUACCAGAACUCAAGAAAUUUGUCGUACAUUUUGAGGAAAAGAUUUAUACCACCGCUACCAAUCAGGUAUUUGCCUAAUGCGAGGUUCAAUAAUUACGAUAUUAUCUAGACAUGAAUAUACACACGCAUUUAUGCUUGUACAAAUGUGUGUGUAGUGUGCCUACAUUUCCACACCUUUCAUUCUGUAUGCAAGGCUGAUUAAGAGUUCGCAUCUUUUUGUUAAUUCUCUUGACAAGUGUUUUAUUUAGAGUGACCAAGUUCAAGUACAUGGGAAGUGUGCAAAAAGCAAAUAGCGAAUCAAUACAUAAAUAAGUAAAUAAAAAGAGAGGAAACAGAAGUCUAUCCUCACAAAAGAUGAAAUGAUAGAGCAUAUAUCCAUUUUCCUCCUCUUGUAACAUGGAUUGCUCUGAGAUCUAAUGUUUUGUUAUUAAUAUCUUAUUUUAGUCUGAUUAUCUGCAUAAAAUAUCUCUGGUGAUGCUUUUGAUGAAGAUCAGGUCUCAAAAUGCCAUGCCCACUGCCCCCAUGGAUCCAGCAGGUAAUAAUGCAUUCGAGCAUCGAAUUUCUAAACAUCUUACCUUUUGUUUUUCUUCUCGCAUUGUUAUCAAACUUUUUUACAUUUUAUUGUUCCAUAUUGCUAUGUAUAUCGCCUUGCUGGCAAAAUGUCAUGAUCACCUCCACAAUACUAAUUCUGUAAUGCGUGUGAAGUGUUUCAUCCUUAACUUGUUAAUGAACGAGGACUAUGAUGCAUGGCUAUUUUAUAUUUUAUGAUUGAGAUGGUAGAUUUUAAAGAUUUUCCUUUUUAGGAGAUAAGACGUCACUUUCUUGCUUUUCUUCCGAGAGUAUUCGAUCCUUUUUUCGUACAAAAUAAUGAUGCCAUGCAUUGAAUUCCCAAACAUAUUACCUUAUGUUUUGUUUGGUCGCAUUGUUAUCAAACUCUUUUACAUUUUAUUGCGGCAUAUUGCUAUGUGUAUGGCAUGCUUUAAUCAAAAAUUUGAUUAAUUGAUGAAUGUUAGGCAAGAAAAUUACAGAAUAUUUUUGUUUUUUGCCUCCUCCUUUUCUUUCCCCCACUCCGAAAAUUGUCAUAUUAUUUUUGUUUUCAACCGCCUCUUCUUCCCCCAACCCUGAAAAUUGUUUAUAUUUGCUUUGGAAGCAUGGCAAACUUCACUGCCUCUCAGCUUAAGGAGAUUGCAGCAGGUCUCGAAGCUUCUGGGCAUCAAUUUAUCCGGGUAGUUAGAAGAAACAAAAAGAGUCAAGAAGACAAGGAAGAUUGUUUACCCGAAGGAUUUGAGGAAAGAAUGGAAGGCAAAAGGAUGGAUACUCCAAGUUUUGAUUCUUGAUUAUAAAGCAAUAGGUGCAUUUGUGACUCAUUGAGGAUGGAACUCAACUCUUGAAGGCAUAAGGCCAAUAUUUGCUGAGCAAUUCUAUAAUGAAAAGUUGGUGACUGAUGUUUUAAAAGUUGGUGCUGUCGUUGAAUAUAUUAUAGCUGUCAAGGUUCUUGAGUUUUCCCAAAUGUGAUGAUAUGAUCUCAAAACCUGCAAGAGAGUUGUUUGUAAGAGUAAGUCAUGAUGAGCUCACGAUAUGCAAAACAGAUAGAAACAAAAGAUAAUUAGAAUUGAUGAGAUGCUGUUGUUCAAUUGAUGUAUGAUUCUCAAAUUAUACAUACAUAUAUAUAUAUAUAUAUAUAUAUAUAUAUAUAUAUAUAUAUAUAUAUAUAUAUAUAUAUAAUUGAUAUUUAUAAAAGCAUUAACUGUAGCUGAUAUAGUUUUAGAGGAAUAUUUGGUACUUUGUUUCCCAAAAAAAAAAAUAGAUUUUUCUGCGAAGUAGGAAAAAAAAAAAAAAAAACUGUUCAAAACUUAUUCAAGAAAUUAUACAGUUAGCGAGUCACAGAUGAUGAAUCUUAAAAAAAAUUGGCAAUAAUAACAGUACUCUAUUACUAUUAAUUAACUUAAAUAUUCAAAACUUAAAAAUAUUUUUUAAAUUUAUCCAUGCCAAUUUAUCUUAAGAGAGUCGCAAUCUGUGACUAGUUAAAUUAUAUUAUUUCUUUAAAUAAAUUUUGCAUUGUGUUAUUUUUUGUUCUAGGUGCUAUUUUGCAAAAAAAGAAAAGAAAAGAAAGAUUAACGUUUCAGUUAUUCAUUGUUCUUGGAUUUGUAGGUAUAACAACUGAAGAUAGCAAUCAAAAGCGAUGGUGACAUGGUAGAGCUUUGAGUUAUUGCUGUGUUCUAAUGAUGAAGAUGUAGGAAAACGAUCUCCCUUCUGCUGUCUGGAGCUGGGCUUCCUCUCCCUGUAAGAACAAGCAACAUCUUAUCUGCGUUGUUGUUAGUGGCCACUUCAUCGACCCAUUAGUGGGUGGAUUUUAAGCUUAAAAAGGAUUUUUUUUAAAAAAAAAAUAAAGGAAGAAAGAAAGGAGAGGGGGGGCAUCAUCACGUGAAAAGCAAGGAGGUUGCCACCCAUUAUAGAGUGUGGGGCACUCUUGCAUCUAAGAAUAUAUGAUCCUGAGGUUGUUCUGGUGAUGGGUAUUGGCCAUUACAUAAAGCUUCGACAAGCCCUUUUAGCUGCCUGUUAUUAGAAUUUGUAUAAUGAGCAUUCAAACUUAAACUUCUUUAAAUGGGAUGAAAACGAGUGAAAAUCAAGAAGUUGGAGGUGUUCAUCUCUAAUGCAUAGCUGAAGAUCCUUUGUAAGAAAAUACAGCUAAAGACAAAGUGUGUGUGUGUAACAGAGAAAUUGUCGAUAAUAGCAAUCAUGUUCUUUGUCUCUUGUGUCAUAUCUUCCAAAAAUCUUAAAGUAAUUGAUGAAAAAGUGGAUAUACCACUUUGUCUUCUUUAUAGCACUACUGGCCAAUAUGAGUUAAAAGCAUUAAAAGGUCGUGAACGCGGAUGCUUGACGAGCGAGUGUUUACUUGUUAAUUUUUUUAGAAGGAAUCUGGAAAAGAAUAAAGUCAUCUAUUUCACUUUGGGACAACAUUCCUCACCUCUCCCCGCCCGAGCUCUCUCCCUCCCUCCCUCCCUCCCUCGCUCGCUCCCUCUUCCGCCUCUCGGAAACCGCCGCAUCCAUUAAGGCUUCAGAUUUCUGCCAGGUGCUUCCUUUUCUAUCAUGCUUUUGUUUUUAAAAUUUAUGGGUGUUUUCAUUUAUUUUAUUGUAAUUAUUAUUCAGAGACAGAAAUCCAUUUUAAUAAGUAAAUUAAAAAAAAACAAAUAAUCGAUCCGAUGAAAUCUCUGCUAGUGAACGCAAUUCGAUUUUAAUAAGUAAAUUAAAAAAGUAUAUAAUCGGAUCCGAUGAAAUCGCUGCUCGUGAACGCAAUUCAAAGAAACGCACAAUCAGCCGAUUCUAAUAUUUUCUUUUGCAACCCCACCCUAAUUUACAUGAUAUUAUUCGAUUUUUCUCACAGUUAUUGUUGUAAUAAUCAAGCCCUGAAUUCUUGAACCCAAAUUUAUCUUAUUUUAUUUUAUUUUUUAGUUUUAUUUUUAAGUGGAGAAUAGAAAUCAAUUCAAAUCUUUUAGGCUCGAUCGAUAAUUUGUUAAUUAGUUUAUGCAGCAGCUGGAGUGGAAGGGAUAUUACUGCCGGAAUGGCCGAAAAAUGAGCUGUUUGGUUGAUUCUUCUUUUUUGGAAUUUACUGAAUUCUUCAAAAUUAUUGUGUUUUUAACAACAAUACGAUAUCCUUGGGUUUCAUGCUCGCUCACAAAUGGAAAAAAGAAAGAAAGAAAAGAACUUUAAAUUUUAUAAUUUGGUCAUGUUAAUGCUCGUCGUUUUCUUCUUCAUUUUCCUAGCUUAAAACAUCCUAGACAAUCUCUUUGGGAUGGGUUAUUGUUUUUGGCCUCUUCAUCUUCUAUUUGUGCUGUGGUAUUUAGUCUGCUGAUAUUCUUUGGGGAUUAAAAUGCCUCGUUUUAUGACUUUGUUUUGUUUUCUUCUUCUUUCUUUAUUCUUUUGGGGAUGUGGUAUUCUCCUCUUUCUAUUUACACUCUUUGCUCCCUACAACAUUUAUUCUUUCAGAAAAGUAAAUACAUACAUAAAUAACAACAGGAGAGGAGGGGGAGGGGGAGGGGGUUUGACGGUAUGUAUUUGGAUGCAUGAUAUCUAAAUUGGUAAGCACCUGAAAAAGGUCCUGAAUCUAAAUUGGUAAGAUGUGAUAUACUGAUAUCUAGAGAGAUAACUUAAUCUAUCUAUUGAAGUAAAGCAUUUAAAUGCGUAUACAAUGUUUUUGGAUCAUUAAAUAUCUAUUUGAUCAGAAUCUGUGAACCUAAAGCCACAAUGAAUACAAAUGCAAGUUUGUCAUUGUAAACAUUGCAUCGAUGAUGCAUCACAGGUGUUGCUAGAAAACAUCAAGUUAAAAUUGAAGCACCAUGAGUUUCUCUAUGGCUUGGUUUACCAACACUCACCAUCAGUUGGUGCGGCAAGUUAUGAACUAGCUGGCUAGUUUUUCGCUUCCUUGGUUUUAGAAGCACCAUGAAGAUUCAGGCCCAAAUCUUGCUUACAAUACUCAAAUACCCAAGAUCCUAGCACCUUGCCCUGAAUGGUCGUGUAUAUUUGUUAUGGCUGUUCAGAUUUUAUGCAUCCAUGUUUGGUAGAAUUCUUUAAUAAAGUACAUGCUAUUAGAUGGAAGUUCUCUUUAAAUCUAUUCAAGUCUGAAUAAACUGAUAUUCCAAUUUUCAUGACUUUGAUUAGGCGGAGAACUUGUGAUGGACACAGGUGAUUGGAGAACUCAAUUGCAGCCUGGCUCACGGCAAAGAAUAGUCAACAGAAUGUAAGUAUCUGUUUGCUAAUAUGUACAAGUGCUGCAAAAUAGUAAAUCUUGUAUUUAAAUGAAAGAAAAAGAGAAGGGCAAAAGGUUAAUUAAAAUCAGCAGGACUGCCAUGAGGCAACCUCAAGUAUCAUACACUGCUGUUUUUGUCUUUUUCAUUUUUCACGUGUUUCUCACAAGAAGUGAACUUGAGGGAAUAAAAAGUGCUGGGAAGGAAUUUUGGUGGAACUUCUUGUGUAACAUCUUCUUUCAAUGAUGACCUCUUGGAUGGCUGCAUGAAGCUUGUUCCGCUUUAAAUUUCAAGGUUAAUCUAUUGCUAUGAACAUUGGUGUUUCAAUUUCAACCUUGAGUUGCAACUGAACUUAAAUGAAUAGUGUUGGAUUUGGGCCUUCCAUUUGUUUUAACUUCUACAUGGUUGAAAUGAUAGUGAUCUUAAAAUAGAAAAGCAGUUGAAUGUUGAAUGGUGUAUGGUUUCCUAGUUUCUCAGCAUAAAGUUGAAUGUUUUGGUGAUAUCUCUACAUCCAAAAUCAUAUAGACAGCUACUGUUGGCACUUGCAGUAGCCAAUGAGCACUGUAGAGUAUAUAUUCCAGUGUGAGAUAAGGUUAACUCAUUGCAUUUUCAUAAAUUAAAGGGAUUUCUCUUCUUUUCUUUGUCAAUUACGGUGCAUGUAUAAAAGUUUUCUUACUUAGAGUAAAUGCUAUUGUAAUGUUUUCACAGAAUUCCCCUGGUUUGCAACUAAUUCACUUAUAUAUCUUGGAGCAUAGCCAUAGCCAUAGCCGUAAAUGGAAGGUUCUUCUGGUUCAAGAAAAUUAACCAUGAAGCUCGUAAUUAAAAUUUUAGACAGAAGGGUGGCCAAAUGAACUCCUAUACCCUGUACCUCUGGAAUAAUACGGGGAAAGGAAGUAAAAAUAGAUGUCUGUAUUCUGAUGCCAUAUAUUACUUGACCGACACUCGGCUAUAUCAUUAGUUGUUUUUAUUUUUUGCUAAUGAUUCCAUUGAAUACAUUUCUGAUAUUGGUGUGGUGUGUGAGUUCAUGGUUAUUUCUCACUGCUGCUAACUUCUCUAUACCUACCUUGUCAUUAAAAAUUAAACGUAAUGUUUUACAUGUGCAGAAUGGAGAUAUUAAAGAGGCAUCUUCCGUUUUCUGGUCAAGAGGGAUUACAAGAACUCAAGAAAAUUGCUGUACGGUUUGAGGAAAAGGUUUAUACUGCCGCCACCAGUCAGGUAUUCGGCUAAUGCUAGGUUCAAUAAUUUCGAUAUUCUCUAGACAUGAAUAUAAACAUGCAUAAGUUUGUGGAUUUAUGCAUGUACACGUGUGUGUAGUGUGUCCACACUCUCACUGGUCAUUCCGUAGAAGUUCUCAUCUGUUCAUUAAUUCUCUUGACAAGUGUUUUAUUUAGAGUGACCAAGGUUCUUUUCAAGUACAAGGGAAGUGUGCAAAAUGCAAAUAACGAAUCAAUACAUAAAUAAUUAAAUAAAAAGAUAGGAUACAGAAGUAUAUCCUAUAUCCUCACAGAAGACGCAAAUAUAGAAAGCCUAGCAUAUUAGAAAGAGCAUUUAUCCCUUUCCCCCCUUCUCUUGUAACAUGGACUGCUCAGAGAUCUAAUGUUUCCUUAUUGAUAUCUGAUUUCAGUCUGAUUAUCUGCGUAAAAUAUCUCUGAAGAUGCCUCAGAAUACCAUACCCACUGGCAAUGGUAACAAACCCCUGUAUCCAGGGGGGAAGUGUGCAAAAUCCAAGCUUUGAAUUUCUAAACAUCCUUACCUUUUGUUUUAUAUUUCGCAUUGUUAUCAGACCCUUUUACAUUUUAUUGCUGCAUUUUGCUAUGUAUAUACUAAUCCCUGUACUUUUACAUUAUGUUAAUAAACUGGUCCCUUCAUUAGUUUUUUGUUAGUCAAAUGUAGAGUUGUUAGCAAUAUUUCCUCAAUUUGUUCCACUAACUUGACGUUAAAAUGUGACCAAAGAAUCAAUUAAUUAUUUAAAAAACUUGAGGGAUUAAUUUGUUUGUUUCACAAAAAAAUACAGUGGUUAAAUAAAAUUUUACUCAAAUUUUUAUCAUCAUAUUCGUGAGUGUUUACUUGUAAAUAUUUUGGAAUGAACACAGUGGUUAAGUUUAUGUUUUGCGCAGCAUAAAAAAAAUCAUCUAGGCUUAAAUAAUUAUUUGGCAUCAUAAUUAAAACUCUAAUCCAAAUUUCUCUCAUCUGGCUUCUUAUCUAUAUCAAGUUUAAAAUUAACCAAUGUGAAAGUUGCUCUAACAUGAUAUAAUUAAUGUGAUGGGUUCCAAGUCAAUUCAUAUGACCAGUAAAAAAACAUAAUUUAGCUUUAAAAAAAAAAUUCAAGAUGAUACUUGUUUUGAACAUUGAUACGACAUCUUGGAUCGACUCUAGUUUUGUGACGUAACUCUUUAAACCCAUGACUUGAAUAAUGGAUUCUAUCUGGUUUAAUUUUUUAUAAAAAAAAUUAUUUUUUACUUAAUAAUAUGAUAAUAAAAAUAAAAACUCGUAAAAUUGAGCACUAAUCAAAUAUUAAGAUAUUUAUUUGAGACUGCAAUAACAUCAUUGAAAGCAAAUUGAAACAAAAUCAAUUCAAAAUCAAAUAAAUGUUAAACAAAUAUUAAAAGAUGAAACCAGACAAAAGCCAAAAAGGAUUUAAUUGAAAGAAAGAAAAUAUUGGAAUGUAGAGUUUAAAAACUAAGGAAUAAUAUUUAUUAAACUUGAUCCUAAUCUAUCGACUUGACUUCUUACCUAACAUAUAUUUAAAAUUAAUUUGUAAGGGAGUUGUCUGUACAUUACCUAGUUGACUUGACAUGUGCAAAUUAAAGCAACCUGAAUGACCAAUAAAAACAUGGUUUGGAUUUUAAGAAAAAAAAUCAAGAUAUCUUUUUUUUUUAAUAUUGAGACGAAAAUAUAUUAGAUCAACUCAAGCUCCGUGGCUAAACUCGUCAAAUACGCAACCCAGAUCAUGAACUCCACUAGAUUUAAAAACUAUUUUUUUAUAUAAUGAUACAAUAACUAAUAUAAACACUUAUAAAAUUGAGAACUAAACAAAUUUAGUGACGUUUAUUUGAUAUUGUGAUAACUACAUAUAAAGAAAAAAACAAAUUAUGACCAAUUCAAAAUUAACAAAAUAUUAAAGUGAAAUUGAAAGGAAAAAAAGGGCAAAAAUCAUUCAAUCAAAAGAAGAAAAAAUUAGAAGAUAGAAUUUUUUUUUUAAGGGAGGAUAUGAAUAGCAAAAUAGGAGGGAAAACCCUAACUUUUUUUAGUAUAAUAAAUGAUGUUUAAUUUAAUUAAAAUCUUUAUCUCAUACAAUUAGACCUAAAAAGAGAAGAAAAUUUCUAAAGAUUGAUUUGUAAAAAAACAGAAAAAAAAAUCAAAUCAAGAAGCGAAAAAAUACAAGGACCAAUAUACACACACAUAGUGAAAGAGUUAGAAAAGCAUAACUUUUUUAGUAUAGUAGUUUAUUUCUAAUUAAAUUGAAAACUUUAUCUCAUAUAAUUAGGCCAAAAAAGAAUUAAAUAAAAAAAAAAGGAUUAAUUUAUAAAAAGAAAAAGAAAAAUAAAGAAUACAGAACCAAAUCAACAAAGAAAAAAACUAAUUUUUAAAAAAUAAAGUGCUCCACUAUUCAUAUAAAAUAGAACAUCAUUAUAGUAUCCAAUUAGACAGUGACCCAUAUUACUGGCUAUUUUAAUUUUUUUAAAGAAAAAAAAGUUUCAGUAUUUUCAAAUGUGAUAAGUUUUUUUUUUAUAAAAAAAAACAUAUAUGUGUGCAAGGGAAUAGAGAUUUGGUUUGAGAAUACAUGCUAAAAAUCUAAACAUGAACUAAAACAAAGUGGAAUUAAAAAGAGUAAAAAAAAAAAACCUAAAAGAGAUCCAUGAUUCAUUAUAUAUAUAGACUAUGAGGUUACGAGGUAAAAUAUUAUGGAUUAGCAUAAUAUAAUUACUUUUUACCCUUCUCUACACAACAAUUACCUUGCUAAUAGGGGUAAAGUUGUCUUUUUCAAUGAUUUUAAAGGUUAUUUAUAAAUUCACUGGAGAUAAUUUAGUAGGUUUACUCCUUUUUUGCAUAUUAAAACUACAUCAUUGCCUUUGCAAGCCAAAAAAAGAAAAAACAAUUAACCUUUUGUUUAAGAUCUAUUUUGUAUUUUGUAUUUGAUUUAUACAGUAAAAUGACAUUAAUGCCUUAGAGAGUUAAAAAAUCAUCGACUUUAAGUUACUGGGCCUUAAACUUUGUUAUUUAUUUUGGUUUUUUUUUAUAGGGUUAUUUCUAUCUCAUAUCUCAAGUUGCAGAUAAGUUAGGUUGGAUGCAUACUUAAUUAAUUAAUAAAAGUCAUGUAUAUAUUUUUGCAAAUUGGAUGCACACUUAAUUAACAUACUUAUUGAAUAUUAAGUCAGGCAAAAAAUCUAUAAAAAGAAUAUACAAGUGAGCCAAACAACAAUAUUAAGAACGAAUAAGAGGUAGUAAAAGAAGAUGAUACCAAAGGACGCAAAAUCACAAAAAUUCAUGAAACUACAUUAGGCUCUCUACAAGUGAAUUGUUUAAAAAGUUAAAAGAAAAUAAAUGCACUUUUGUCCACAGCAACAACUAAAUGCACUUUUGUUCAAUACCAAGAAAUUAAACAUUUUUUAAAAAAAAAACUAAAUGAAUUGUUUAAAAAGUUAAAAGAAAAUAAAUGCACUUUUGUACACAGCAACAACAACUAUAGCAAAAUGCUGGGCUGUAGAAUCUAGAUGAUUGUCCACAGCAACAUGAAAAAAUCAUAUAUGCUUAAGUAACUAUUUGGCAUCUCAAUCUAGUAAAUUAAUCUUAAAUUUCUUAUAUCCGACUCUUUACCUAUAUUAAAUUUAAAAUUAACCAACAUAAAAAUUGUUUUAAUAUGACUUAAUCGAUAUAGUUGGUUCAAAGUCAAUCCAUAUGACCGAUAAAAAAUGUAAUUUGGCUUAAAAAAUUUCAAAAUAACAUCUUUUUUAUAACAUUGAUACGACAAUAUAUUAGAUUGACCCUGAUUUCAUGACUUAACUCUCUAAACCCACUACCUUAAUAACGGACUCCUUCUAGUUUAAAAACUUUUUUUUAAUUAUUUUUUACUUCAUGAUAUUAUAACAAAAAUAGAUGCUCAUAAAAUUAAGCACCAACCAAAUAUCAAGAUAUUUGUUUGAGAUUACAAUAAUAAAUAUCAUAAAAAGCGAAACCGAAACAAGACCAAAUCAAAAUAAAUCAAAUGUUAAAGGAUUAAACCAGGAAAAAGCCAAAGAGGAUUCAAUUAAAAGAAAGAAAAAAAAAAUAGAAGGUUGAGUUUAAAAACAAAGUAACAAUAUGACAUUGUUAUUAAACUUAAAGGAAAAAAAAACUAAUUUAAAAAAUUAAAGUGUUUCACUAUUCAUGUAAAAAUGAAAUACCAUUAUAGUAUCCAACUAUAUAGGUGACCUGCACUAUGGGUUAUUCUAUUUUUUUAAAAGCAAAAAAAUAAAGUUUCGACAUUGUUAGAUUGUGAGAAAAAAAAAGUUUUAAAAAAUAUCCGUGUACAAAAGAGGAGAGAGAUUUGGUUUGAGAAUGCAUGGUAAAAAUCUAAACAUGAACUAAAAAACAAAGUGGAAUUAUAAAAAUUAAAAAAAAAACUAAAAGAGGUAAAUGAUUCAAGUGAUUCAUUAUAGACUAUAAGGUAAAACACUAUGGAUUACACACAAUAUAUUUACUUUUUUCUCUUCUAUACACAAAAUAAUUGUCUUGCUAAUGGGGAUAAAGUUGUUUUUUUAAAGGGAUCUAAAGGUUAUUUGUAUAUUGAUCGGGGAUAAUUUAGUAGAUUUACUGCUUUUUUUGAACAUUAAAACUACAUCUUUGCCUUUGCAAGCAAAAAAAAAAAAUUGUCCUUUCGUUUAGGUUUAGGGUUUAUUUUAUCUUUCCUAUUUUUUUUCAUAGUAAAAUAACAUCAAUAUCCUUGAUAACAAUACAACAACAAAGGAAAAUACCAAUAUUUAAAAUACAACAACUCUUUUUUUCCCAUCUUCUGUUUUCUUUUUUUCAUAUCAAUACAACAACAAAGAAAAAUACAAAUAUUUAAAAUACAACAUAAAAUUUAUUUUCCUGUAGAAUCAAUGUAACAUUAAAGAGGCAUCUUCCGUUUUCUAGUCAGGAGGGAUUAUAAGAACUCAAGAAAAUUGCCAUAUGACUUGAGGAAAAGAUUUAUACUACCGCCACCAAUCAUGUGUUUGCCUAAUGCGAGGUUCGAUAAUUACGGUAUUCUUUAGACAUGAAUAUACACACGCAUUUAUGCAUGUACAAAUGUGUGUGUAGUGUGCCUACACUUCCUCACCGUUCAUUCUGUAUGCAAGGCUAAUUGGGAGUUCACAUCUUUUUGUUAAUUCUCUUGACAAGUGUUUUAUUGAGAGUGACCAGGUUCAAGUAUUGGGGAAGUGUGCAAAAAGAAAAUAGCAAAUCAAUACAUAAAUAAUUAAAUUAAAAGAGAGGAAACAGAACUAUAUCCUCACAGAAGAUGAAAUGAUAGAGCAUAUAUCCAUUUCCCCCCUUCUCUUGUAACAUGGAUUGCUCUGAGAGCUAAUGUUUUGUUAUUGAUAUCUGAUUUCGGUCUGAUUAUCUGCGUAAAAUAUCUCUGGAGAUUCUUUCGAUGGAAAUCAGGUCUCAAAACGCCAUGCCCACUGCCCCCAUGGACCCAUAAGGUAAUAAUGCAGCCAAGCAUUGAAUUUCUAAACAUCUUACCUUUUGUUUUUCUUUUCGCAUUGUUAUCGAACUCUUUUACAUUUUAUUGCUGCAUAUUGUUAUGUAUUUCGCCUUGCUGGAAAAAUCUCAUGAUCACCUCCACGAUGCUAAUUCUGUAAUGCAUGUGAAGUGUUUCUGAUAAGGUCCCAAUCAAGAGUGAUACACAAUUGCAGAAAUGCUAGGAUUCUCUUAGGGUGAGAAUUUACCACAAUAUUGUUUGGAUAAACAUAAUGCUAUUCUUUUUAUUCUUCUUCAUACAUAUAAAGAACUAAACCAUAACAACUUUCAGCAAAUCCAGCCGAAAUGGAAAUAACAGAUUACAAAACAGAAAUGCAAAUAAUGUGAAAGUGGCUGCUUUAUUUUCUCCCAUUGAAUCGGAAGCAUGAUUCCAAUUGACUUGCUUGUAACUCCCUUUAAUCACGAUAUCUUUUAAUCACGAUAUUUUAAAUUCUUCUUUAUGACACGUGGGGUCCUUCGUGGCAGCAGCUCUCCAAGCUGCGUAUCAUUACCCCCCACAUCAAGUGGAUGCUUGUCCCCAAGGUCCAAGCUUGGGUGGUUCGUUAGCAGUUCAGCCGUUGGUUCCCAGAUGGCAUCAUUUGUAGACAAAUGUUUCCACUUCACCAAACUCUCCUCAAUAAAUCUUGCCCCAUGUGGAAUCCAACGUGUGUCCAGAAUAGCUUCUGGUGUGACCACAAUGGUGCCUUCUUCAUCAAUAGGUGGAAGUUCCAUACUAGUGUCUGCUUUGUCACCCAACUUCCUUUUAAGCAACGACACAUGAAAAACUGAAUGUAAACGUGCCCCCUCCGGAAGCUUGAGUUUGUAGGCCACAUCACCGACUCGCUUUUCAAUUGGGAACGGACCAUAAAACUUGCAAGCAAGUUUUUGAUGAGCUCGUCGAAAAGCAGUCUGUUGGCGAUAAGGUUGUAAUUUGAGAUACACAAGGUCACCUUCUAUGAAUUCGACAUCCCUUCGCCCACGAUCAACCAACUGUUUCAUGCGAUUCCUAGCAUUCGCUAAAUUCUGCUUGAGAUUCCUAAGAAGUGUGUCCCGUACCUGAAGACUGUGAUCAACUUCAUUAACUGGUGAAGAGCCUGUAGCAUAAAGUGGAAAUGUAGGUGGUAAGCGUCCAUAAAGAGCUUGAAAAGGUGUCGUUCCUGUUGAUGAAUGGUAAGCUGUAUUAUACCACAGCUCUGCCCAAGGAAGAAAUUGGCUCAACUGUCGUGGUCUUUGGUGAACAAAACAGCGCAAAUAUUGUUCCACACAAUGAUUAACCACCUCUGAUUGACCAUCCGUUUGAGGAUGAUAUGCUGAGCUCAUCUUAAGCUGAGUACCAGACAUCUUAAAAAAUUCCUGCCAAAACUUACUAAUAAAGACUUUAUCUCUGUCGCUCAUAAUAGAACUAGGCAUGCCAUGUAGCUUCACCACACCAUCUACAAACUUUUCUGCCACCAUCUUUGUUGUGAAAGGAUGUGUUAAGGCCAAGAAGUGAGCAGAUUUGCUUAGAUGGUCCACUACCACUAAAAUGGUAUCGCGACCAUGUGAAGUAGGGAGACCUUCAAUAAAAUCUAUAGUAACGUCAUCCCAUACCUGACACGGAAUAGGAAGAGGUUGCAAGAGCCCAGCUGGUUUGAGAUUAUCAGCUUUAGUUUUCUAGCAUGUCACACAUGUGUGGACAUAUUCUUUGACAGAAUGAUACAUAGAUGGCCAAUAAAACUGCUGAGAUAGACGUUUGAAUGUACCCAAUAUACCAGAAUGGCCGCCCAUCUUUGUAUCAUGAAAUUCCUGUAGUAAUUGUUCUAUCACAGCUGUGUUAGGAGGCACCACAACACGUGUUUUGAAGAAAACUAACCCAUCUCGCCAGGUAUAAGGUUUUCCAGGACUAUUUUGAGCUUGCUGAAUAAUUUGUUCCAUAUAUGGGUGUCCAGUGGAGGCCUUUUUUAUGUCUUCCCAUAAAGUUACUUGUGGCACAGACAACGCAUUAAGAAUAGGGCUUCCAGACACUCUUGAUAAUGCAUCAGCAGCUGAGUUGUCGCGUCUUGGGCGAUAUAUGAUUUCAUAGUCAUAGCCAAGUAAUUUAGCCACCCAACGUUGUUGUUCUGGUGUCCCAAUUCUUUGCUCCAAUAGAUACUUUAGACUGUGCUGGUCCGUUUGAAUGAAGAACUUUUUGCCCAGUAGAUAUGGUCUCCAAGUGCGUAUUGCCUGAAGGAUGGCAAUCAUUUCUUUGGCAUAUGUUGACCAUGAAAGUUUGGCCACUCCGAGUUCUCGGCUGAGGAAAGCAAUGGGUUUACCUUGCUGUGUCAACACUGCACCAAUACCCUCUCCAGAAGCAUCAGUUUCAAUUGUAAAUGAUUCAUUGAAAUUUGGCAUAGCUAAAAUAGGUGUGGUUGUCAUAGCUUGUUUGAGCUGUAGGAAAGUUGCCUCCGCCUCUUGACUCCAUCUGAAUUGCCCUUUCUUCAAGAGAUUGGUUAAUGGCUUUGCCAGCAGACCAUAGUUGCGCACAAAUUUUCGAUAAUAACCUGUAAAGCCUAGAAAACCAGGUAAGUCUGAAAUAGUGCUUGGCCUUGGCCAAUUUACCAUAGCUGUAAUUUUGCUUGAAUUAACCUUGACCCCUUUAUUAGUCACAAUGUGACCGAGGUACUCGAGCUCUGACUGCCCAAAUGUAUAUUUGCCUUUACAAAAUAUGUAUGUUGCCGUAGAAUUUCAAAAACCUUUGUAACAUGUUCAAGAUGCAUGGUCCGGGCUAUAAAUCAAAAUAUCAUUAAAAAAAAAACUAAUAUGAAUUGACGGAGAUGAGGAUGAAAAAUAGAAUUCAUAAUAGCUUGGAAAGUGGAAGGAGCGUUGCAAAGACCAAAGGGCAUGACCAUAUAUUCGUAGUGGCCAUUAUGGGUACGGAACACAGUUUUGUGAGUGUCUUUUGGAUUUACUCGUACUUGAUGGUACCCUGCUCUUAAGUCUAAUUUUGUAAAGAAGGCAGCUCCAUGGAGCUCAUCAAGCAUGUCAUCAAUGGUAGGAAUAGGAAAUCGAUCCUUAAUGGUUACGCUAUUGAGAGCUCUAUAAUCAGUACAAAAACGCCAAGUGCCAUCUUUUUUUUUAACUAACAAAACAGGUGAAGAAAAGGGACUAGUACUUGGUUUUAUAAGUCCCAAUUUAAGCAUGUCUUGAACUUGUUUUUCAAUUUCAGUUUUUUGAAAAUAGGCAUACCUGUAGGGCCUCACAUUAAUAGGCUCAGUAUCUUCUUUAAGAGGAAUGCAAUGAUCAACUUCACGAGCUGGAGGUAACUGUGUGGGCUCAUAAAAAAUGUCCUCAAAGUUGUUGAUGAUUUCCUUCAUAUCUGUUUGCAUAUUGGGUCGUUCCAUCUUUUCUAUGGAUUGACAAUACACUGUAAAAGUGGAACAGCCAUGACGGACAUCUUUAGUAAUUGCUGAUAGUGAAGCAGGUUGUAUAGCUUGGCUAUUAGAACCAUUUAAUGUUUGAGCUUGAUUCUUCCACCAAAAGUCCAUUGUAAAUUUUUUCCAAUUACACACCACUGGUCCGAGUUGUUCAACCCAUUGUACACCAAGAACAAGAUCAAGGCCUGUGAUAGGUAUUGAAUAAAGGGUUAAUGAAAAUGGAAUGUUUUGGAGAAUAACCUGGACUUGUUCAAACCUUCCUUGGCACUUCAUUUGAUUGCCAUCUGCCACCCUUACAGUGAAGGGUCUCAUAGGAAUAACAGGUAAUUGAAGCUCCUCUGCUAUUUUAGAAUUGAUGAAAUUAUGGGUAGACCCACUGUCGAUGAGCACUGUUAGAGUGUGAUUCCCAACUCGUCCUUCAAUCCUCAUGGUUCGUGGUGUGGACCAACCCGUGAGUGCAUGGAGUGAAAUUUCUGGCUCAGUGUUCUCCUCAGCUAUGUCCUCUACUGGAAUGUCAUCAGUAACUUCUUCGCACAUGACUCUGACAGGUUCACUAAGGCUUUCUAGUAAUAACAGUUGCGGUCUUUGGCACUUAUGUCCAGCAGUGAAUUUGUCAUUGCAAUUGAAACAAAGCCCUUGUGCACGCCGUCUCUGCAUUUUAUCCCAUGUUAGUCUUUUUAUCGGAACUGGAAAACUGGAUUUUGGUGGGGGAAAAGUCAAUGGUGUGCGAGUUAAUUGUGUUGGCCGUGUAAAUUUCCCUUGCCGCAUUAUUUGUUCAUCCUUCAUUUUAUCUAAACUGAUAGCCUCUUUCAAAGUCCGUGGUUUGAACAUCCGAAUAGCAUCAGAAAUUUCUACUUUAAGUCCACCCAUGAAUGUUGUAACAACCCCGAUUUUUCUACAUUCUUUUUCGCGAUAUAUUGGAAAUUUUCAGGUAAAUUUUUUUUUUUGUGAUAUACAGGUUCCACCAAAAUUUCUACCAAAAUUUCGGCAGAGUCUCCCCUAUACUGGUAGGUCCCAGGUUAUCGACAUAUACCAUGUUUACACUUCUAAUAUCUCACAUCUCAUAACUCAAAAUCACGACCCAAUCAUCCUGGGUCUCAACCCAACUCAUUAUCAUCAACACAACACAUCUUAUUCAAUAACAUCAUAUAAUAUAGUUCAAAUGAAAGAUUCAAUUUCAACUAUAAAUAUGCAUGGUCAAAUAGGUACUAAGAGUUUAAACCAUUAGAGUAAAGACAUACAUUCAAAUUUACGGAUUAAUAUUACAUCUCAAGUUUUAUAAUUUACAUAGUCAAAAGCAAAAGAUAUCUAAACUAGCAUUACCCUUGACGCGACCCUGAUGGACCUGAAAAUAGAAAUUAACAUGUACACAUAAAUAUAAAAGAUAGUAACAAGCAAUAACAAUGGCAAACAAUAAUCUCUACGGAAUUUCUUUUGAUAUAUAAAAUUAGGCAUAAACCUCUUUUACAACAUAUAUUUUACAUUUAUUACCAAUAUCCAUCUAAUAUCCUAUCUCAUUUACCAAGAAUAAUUCCAUCUUGGAAAUCUCAACACAACUCAACGGUUUGCGAACACCAUCUCUUUAUAAAUCAAUUCUCACUUGAUACCAAGAUAUUCCUCUCUUGGUAUUAUUAGCUUAUCUCAUUCUUUUGGAAUAACUAAUUAAUAUUUUCCCUUUUCUGAAUCUGUUGCUAGAAGGUAAUCACUGAAACUAAUAAAUCUCAUUAGUAUCAUUAGUCUUCAAAUAUUGGGCUAGACUAAUCAAUUUAAGAAAUACUGGCACCGAUGAAACUUCAUCGAUACCAUUAGCAAUCCAAACUUGGAUGGCUAAUCAAUUCCAUUUGAUUCUUCCAUUCGUACCGAACCCCUUUUAUCUUUCUUAUUAACAUCAUAUGCAUUGUAACCACGGUUGCCAAGUAUCAUUUGCACACAAUCUUAGUUAUCGACACUACGGUCACUAAGCAUCCUUCACAAAACCUUGGUCACCUUCAUCACAGUGCCAAGUAUCAAUUUAUGCCCUUAGCCACCAUCAUUAUGGUGUUAAGUAUCAUUGUAAUGUAUCCUUAGCCACCGACACUAUGGUAACCAAUUAUCUAUCAAUUCACCUCCAAUCUCCAAGUCAUUGUGUCUACCCAAUAACCACAUUAAUUAAUUUACUCAAUAUGUUAGUCAUAUAUUAAUUAUUUUACUCAUAACAUUUAGAAUUUACUAUUUCUAACUUCAAUCAAUUAAUUCACAUAAUCUUUUCAAAACUUAACUAUCCGGCUAACUCAUCUCGAUUGCCAAUAAUUCUGGUAAUUUCAUAUAAUUACCCACACUUUUGGUUAACCUCCAUCGGUUACCAAUACAUCUGGUAAUUCCAUACGAAUUACUCAGCCUCCAGCUAACUUCUUUUGUUUGUCAAUUAAUCCUGUAAUUCCAUACGAAUUACCCCAUAUCCAGUUAACCUUCUUGUUAACCAAUAAACCCGGUAAUUCUCUUAAUUGUCCAAGAAAUCUGGCUAACCCAUCUUGGUUGCCAAGGUCAAUCCGGUAAUUCCAUACGAAUUACCCAUCAUCCAGCUAACCUCUCUUGUUAGCCAAUGAAUUCGGUAAUUCCAUACGAAUUACCCAUCAUCCAGCUAACCUCUUUUGUUAGCCAAUCAAUCCGGUAAUUCUAUACGAAUUACCCCAUAUCCAGUUAACCUUCUUGUUAACCAAUAAAGCCGGUAAUUCUCUUAAUUGUCCAAGAAAUCUGGCUAACCCAUCUUGGUUGCCAAGGUCAAUCCGGUAAUUCCAUACGUAUUACCCAGCAUCCGGCUAACCUCUUUUGUUAGCCAAUGAAUCCGGUAAUUCCAUACGAAUUACCCAUCAUCCAGCUAACCUCUUUUGUUAGCCAAUCAAUCCGGUAAUUCCAUACGAAUUACCCAAUAUCCCGGCUAACCUCUUUUGUUAGCCAAAUAAUUUCGGUAAUUUCUCUUAAAUUACCAAUAAUUCUCAUUUGUAAUAAUCACUCAACUUAUUCAUUUGUUUCAUUCUUUUAACAUCAAUUAAACACACAACACAAAUAUUUAAGAAAAACUAAUAAUUACAAAAUAAGGUGAUGAAUCACCUACCUAGAAUAGGUGCACGUGCUGCCACUCCAUGCAAUUGUCCAGUCCCCACAGCUUUCCCCUGUACCACCAGGGAUUCAAUUUUUAUCAACAAUACAACCAACAUCACAUCUUCAUUUAAUUCUCAUUCAACUAGUAUUCUCAAACUAAUCACAAGGAAUUUUCUUUAAGAUCUCAUACUCUUACUCAUUUUAAUGUUUAUAUUUAUUCUUAUAAUUUUGUUAUCAAAACCAUCACUCAACAGCAAUUCCAAGCAACGAUUAAAAAUUGUCUAAUUCCGAUCAAUUAAGCUUAACCAACCCAUAACACUAUCUAGUGUCUUAAUCAUAACUAAAGUUGUAAAACUCAGUUUUGGGCGUGAUUUAUAUCUCUAUGAAAGGCUAAACAUAGAGAUACAAAUUUUAUGAAGAAACCAACUCCAAAUUAUUUUGUUUUAAGGCUUAAAAUCAACAAUCACAAUAGCCCUUCUUUAUGGCUAAAAUUUUGGACAACGAGGAUUUUCAUUCCUUGGAAAUCCUUUUCAACUUCCAACUUAUUUUCAUGCAAAAUCAACAUCAUCCAAGGUCAUUUGGCAUCAUUAAAUCACAAGUUCAAACCAAUUCUAAAGCAAAACAUUCAAACAAUUUCCCUACCUCUACAAUAUAGCAAGAUUAGACCAAAAUAAGGAAACUCAUUCCUUUUGAGAUUUCUCCUAUUAUUAUUAUUAAUACAACAAAAUGAUGAACUAUUCAUUUUCUUUCGCUUUCUCCUCGUGCGAUUAAACAUAUACGGCAAACCUUAACAAUUAAUAUUCUCAGAUCAUUAUCACAACAAUAAUUUCACUCUACUAAUUGGGAUCCAUGACAACCUUCAUUAACUAACCAUUUGCUAAAAACACUUAUGGCUAGCUUUAAAUAUGUUUUAUUUUUUUCAAAUUUUUUUCAUUUCAAUUUCUUCAUGGUUCCACCCCAUUUAUAUCCACACAACCAACAAGUUAGCUUUCUAUUCAAUCAACAUGUUCUAUUCAAUCAACACGUUCAUAUAGCAAUAUUCUUUACUAUUCUUACACAACAAUCAUUCUUCCCCUCAUAUAAAGAAUACACAAUUAAUCUAUAAUAUUACUAAUAACAGGAACAUAUUUUAUCAUUACAUCUUCCAUAAAACCUACACCCACACAAUUCUAAUUUCAUCAAAACAUGUAUUUAAUCAAGCUUACUACAUUUUGCAAAAACUAGCAAUAGAUUCAAAAAGCAAUAAGUCAUCAACCUCUGAUUAUUGUUUCCCACCCAACGGUCAGACUACAUAUCAUAGCGUUGUGCAUAAUAUAUCUCAAAUUCAUAAUGAUCCAACGGUUAAAUCUCCCUAGAUCUGAAGAAAACCGAGCUUACCUGAAAAUGAACGAGCUACUGUUCAACAUGCACGCAACCUUGCCGGAGAAAUAUGUUCCGAUCUCCACUGUCCAGAAUGAAUUUAACAUCUACGCGCACCACAUAUCCAACAAUUAGCAUGAUCCAACGGUGGAAGAGAGAGAAAUCGGCCGGCGACCAAACUGCCCUGCAGGUGCAUUUCCUUUUUGUUUUCCAUGAAAUUCCAGAUGAUGAUUUCUGUCAAAUGGAUUGUGUUCCUUCCAAUCACUCCGGUCAGUUAGUAGAGGAGUGUAAUGAGAACAACACGUCCAAAACGCAGCUUGAUCCAACGGUUGAUUCCCGAGAUAUGACCACCGGAGCAUUAUUGGUUUUCUCCAAAAUUUGCAGCUCUCUCCCCUUAUCCGCUUUUCUCUAUUUUUUUUCUUUUUUUUCUUUCUUUUUUUCUUAACUGGUGGCCUCUUUGCAGAUUUAUAGGCACCUUUUUUUUUCAUAAUUACAAUUUUGUCCCUCUUUCAUGCUUUUAUGUAUUUUAUUUUAUUUUUCAUGUAAACUAUCUCGUUUAUUUCUGUUUAAAUCGCUAGUCUUUACCAAACUCUGAUUGGGAUGAGAUAUUUAACCAAGGUAGGAAAACAUAUUAAUAGGCUUCAUACAAAAUUUCAUCCCGAUCCGACGAUUGGAUUGAGAGCUCUGCUUCCUAAUGUAAAAUUGAUCAGUUCAUAACUUUUCGUAAACAAUCUAGAUUUUUUUUUUGUUCAAUCUUCACAAAAAAAAAAAACAUAUCAAUUAUCAUUCUAAACCUUUAAGGUCAUUUAAUUAUUUUGGAAUGUAUUCAUUUUAGGAUUUCCACCUUUAUUUAUUUAUCGGGCUUAUUAUCGUUUCAAAAUAACAUCACUGAUUUUUAAGCGGUGCUUGCACCUUCAGUCCUACCCUUUUCAUUGUACUAUCAUUUAUUAUAAUGUAUUCUUUAUUACCUCACUUAUUUCCUAAAAAUAUUUUGUCAUUUUUCUCAUUAUUUCAUCCAUCAAAACACGUUACCAGUUUCUCUAUCCUUAUGAAUUCUAAACCAAAAUUCAUUUUAUGAAGGUCAUCUCUUCUAUUAUAUAUCAUUAUUUAUCUAUUAUUUCUAAUCUUGGUUUCCAUCACUCAUUGAAAUAUUACCACUUUCAGUCUUAUGUUUACAUGAGGGUUUAUACAUCUACAUAUUUAAAUUAUAAAUUUCCAGGGUUUCACAAAUGUGCCCACCAGCGCCUUUUGAGUCCAACCAUGAACUCGAUUGCCCAACCUCUCAAAUUCCUUCUGAUAGUCCCUUAAGGAACCCACUUGUCUGACCUUUGAUAAUGCUUCAUCAAAAUCCUCAUAUUCUGUGGGCCCAAACCGUGCCCAAAGCUCUUCUUCAAAUAUCUCCCACGUGACAGUGCGCCCUUCUUCCUUGUGAGCUCGAUGCAACCAUUGCCACCAUUGGUUGGCUUCUCCUUCCAAAUGGAAUGAGGCCAAUGAUACUUUUUGAUUGUCCGCAGUCUCUUGAUAUUCAAAAAAUUGGUCCACCCAAUUGAACCAUUCGGUUGGAUCAUCCCCAGAAUAUCGUGGAAAGUCUAACUUGGCCAUUUUUUAUGAGAAGACGUGGCGUCCACACUCAUUAUCAGUUUUCUUCUUUCCCCCAUCAGUGUCAUCCCGAUAUGUGCGUGAGAAGCCAUCCCGGUCGUUGUUGUGGUAACUUGAAGACGCCUUGGAAGCGAUCAUGACCUCUGAAAGUUUGUUGAUGGUUUCCUCCAGGCUGUGCAAUCUAUUGAUCAUGUAAUCUUCCAGUCGCUGCAUGCCAUCUUGGACUCCACCAAGUCCUGUCUCCAAAAGCUCAAUUCGUUCUUUGUUUGUUGCCAUUGCGUAGGCUCUGAUACCAAUUGAUAAGGUCCCAGUCAAGAGUGAUACACAAUUGCAAAAAUGCUAGGAUUCUCUUAGGGUGAGAAUUUACCACAAUAUUGUUUGGAUAAAAAUAAUGCUAUUCUUUUUAUUCUUCUUCAUACAUAUAAAUAACUAAACCAUAACAACUUUCAGCAAAUCCCGCCGAAAUGGAAAUAACAGAUUACAAAACAGAAAUCCAAAUAAUGUGAAAGUGAUUUCUUUAUUUUCUCCCAUUGAAUCGGAAGCAUGAUUCCAAUUGACUUGCUUGUAACUCCCUUUAAUCACGAUAUCUUUUAAUCACGAUAUUUCAAAUUCUUUUUUAUGACACGUUGGGUCCUUCGUGGCAGCAGCUCUCCAAGCUGCGUAUCAGUUUCAUUCUUAACUUGUUAAGGAACAAGGACUGUGAUGCAUGGCUAUUUUAUAUUUUAUGAUUGAGAUGGUAGAUUUUAAAGAUUUUCCUGUUUAGGAGGUAAGACGUCACUUUCUUGCUUUUCUUCCGAGAGAAAGUAUUUGAUCCUUUCUUCAUAUAUAAUAAUGCUGCCAAGCAUUGAAUUUCUAAACAUCUUACCUUUUUGUUUUGUUUGUCGCAUUGUUAUCAAACUCUUUUGCAUUUAAUUGCAGUAUAUUGCUAUGUGUACGGCAUGCUUUAAUCAAAAAGUUGAGUACUCGAUGAAUGUUAGGCAAGAAAAUUACUGAUUAUUUUUGUUUUCUGCCUCCUCCUUUUCUUUCUCCCAACCUGAAAAUUGUCAUAUUAUUUUUGUUUUCAGCCGCCUCUUCUUCCCCCAACCCUGAAAAUUGUCUGAGGACACUUUUAUGCUUUGAAUCAAAUCCAUCCUAAUUCUUUCGCUCAUAACUUUAUGUGUGAACUGCCGAUGUUUGAUCAUUUGUCUUCCUUGUUCAGUGCCUUCUUUUUUUCUUUGACAUGGUUUCCUUUUUUCCUUUUAUCUUGAACAGCAUCCCAUAGUAUGCCCCCUCAAGUUCAGAAUCAUGGGCUAUUUCUCCCUAUCCUAUUGUCCACUGAUCAAUCUCAAGUACGCUAGCAGUUGUUAUCACAGAACAUGCAGAAUUGCAUGGCAUCUAAUGCAAUUCAAAGUUCUGCUGGUUUACUAGCGGCACUGCCUCUUGUCUCCGGUGUAACCCAGACUAUCCCCAACACUGUUGUCCAGAAUCCUAACAUGCAGAGUAUCCCCGGUGUUUCACAGAACUCAGUGGGGAAUUCAAUGAGACAAGGGAUUCCCUCCACUAUGUUUGCCAAUUCUCAUAAAGAAAUGCCAGGUAAUGCUCUUUUUGGUAGCUUUAUGUCUUCCACUUAUGGCAUUAGAAAUGCCACUGCUAUUGGAACUAUUGCAAUCACACAUGCAUUUGGCAUCACACGAUGCCCUUCAGUGCUCUGCACCAACUUUUCACCUCCCAUAAUGGUUCUAGUCAGUAAUGCUUUUUUAGGUAGCUUUAUGUGCUACUGCUGCCACUUAUGGCAUUAGUAAUGCCACUGCUAUUGAAACCAUUGCAAUCACACACACAUUUGUUACCCACAUCAUACCCUCCAGUGCAUUGCACCAGCUGUUCACCUCUCAUUCUGGAUUUAUAGGGUUUGUCCGUCUGUUUGAAUGAUUACAUAACGUUUAGAUGGAGUUCCUAGUACUCCUAGUUCAAAAAGACUUGUAUUCCUCUGUAGGAAAAUACUAAUAGUCCUAUCUAGAAUAGGAAAACCUAAUGAAGCUCGCUAUACUUUGGGAUAAUAAAAUACUAAAUGGAAAAUAAAAUGAGACUUGCAAUAUUCCAUAAUUUUCAGCAAGCGUGAAAAUUACAGAAAUACCCUUGUAUAUGGAAAACACACAAAAAUACAUGAAUUCUAAUCUUUGUUGCCCGCAUUGAAAUAUUUGUAGCAUCCCUAGAUUCUACAGCACAGACUGGACAUGCAAAAGGCGCUGAUUGACAAGAGUAGAUCUAUCAAAAGGUAAUUUCUGUGAUUUACUGUUCAUUAGAUGGAGUUCAUGUAUGCCAUAGUCUUAAAAAUAAAAGUGCACUAUUUCUGAAUGACUUACAGUUUAUCUUUUGUUAAGUGAAGAGUUAUUUGCACGAUUGCAAUCAACUUGUUGUGAAAAAUUUCCAGUAUUGAAUUUUAUAGAAAAUGAGGUUGAAAUUCUGAAUGUCUCAAGUCAUAACUGCAUAUUUGAUAAGGACAUUUUUCUUGUGCUUAAGUGAGUAUUAAAACGGGAAUAAGAAUGGUUGUUGUUAAGGAUCCAUGGGGUCAUGCAUAGGAUCUAAGGCUAAGAAGCGUCGCUAAAGUUGUGAAAUCCAUUGACUUGAGCUAGAACAGCAGAAAACAAUGAUGUGUAGUUUGCAGGGAGACAGUAACUGAACUUAACCAACCCCUGAAUCUUGUCUAAUGGUGUACUUACACAGUCCUUUGCAUCUUUCCAUUCCAUCAAUAUCGACAUCCUGUUGAGUUUCUAGCAUUAAUUCCACUCUAUUAUUUUUAUCUCAACUAAUUUAUGUUGUCCUCUGCCCUUUUUUUGUUAUUUUAUUUUUAUCAAUUCCCUUAAGUUUGUUUGUUUUACUUUCUUUCUGACUGGCACCUGAAGAGAUCAAGCAUAUGAGCGAUAAUGUUUUGCUGGUUAUUUGUACUUCCUAGAUCAAAGUUAUGAAGGAGACUUAUUUCCCUGAAAUAAAUGAAAUGUAUCAGAGAAUUGCUGCCAAGUUACAGCAGGUAAAUUGUCUCUGAAAUUUCUUCCGGAUUAUCUGUGCAUGCAUGAUUAUCUGCAAUUUCCCCAUGUUGAGUUUUGUAUUAGUUUGUUUUCCUCAUCAGCAUUGCCUGUCACUGUAUCAUCUGCACUAUUCACCUACCCCACCCCCAACCGCCCCCACAACCAUGCAUCGACACAGAAGAAGUGGAAUAGAAACAUUUUGUUUCACUAAUGUUUUGCUACAAAGGAUCAAUGCAAUUUUUAAUUCUCGUGUAUGUUAACUUUGCUUUCUAGCAUGACUCUCAUCCGCAACAACCGAAGUCGGAACAGCUUGAAAAGCUGGAGGUAUUCAAGGCCAUGUUGGAGCGCUUGAUAACAUUCUUACAGGUCUCUAAAAACAAAAUCACACCUAGUUUCAAGGAGAAAUUGGGUUCCAAUGAGAAGCAUAUUGUAAGUUUUCUAAACCCAGGCAGAUCAGGAAGCCAAUUCCUAAUCUACAGCGAGGACAACUUCCCCAGCCUCAUGUGCAACCUAUGCAGCAAUCCCAGUCUCCAGUUCCUCAAUUGCAGUCCCAUGAAAAUCAACUGAAUACCCAGUUGCAAUCAAUAAAUGUGCAAAAUUCUAUACCAACAAUGCAGCAGAACAAUAUGUCAAGCUUGCAGCAUGGUUCUCUUUCAUCUUUAUCUGGGUUUUCUAUGUCACAACCAAUCAUGAUGAUGUGGGACGAGAGAUUUUACGAGAAGAAAAGGGGGUAGAGAGAAUGAUAUUGUAGCAAAAAUAACUAAUCAAAUAGAAAGGCUGAGCUUAGAGACAGCACACUACAAAGGAAGCACCCAAUAGCUAGACAUACAAUCAUAACAAAUUCAUCUUCUAAAGUUGGAGAACUUGCGAAAACUAGCAACCAUAAAAUAGUAACAAGUAUCUAUGCAAUCUUCGAUGAAGUACAACCACCUACGUCGCCAAUAUGGAUUGAUGUAGAGAACUGCUGCAAUCGUCAUCACCACAACUGUGUAACAUACACUGAAACUGAUGUAGAAAAACUCCAUGUCUAUGAAACCAUCAUCUUCUUGUUCAUCAUGAGGCACUGGCUGGGACAACACUACUUCUUCACUACAAUUGUUUCGCAAUGGAGGUCCACACAAGAAAGGAUUUCCUUCGUAACAGCUUUCAUCGAAGGUCCCAAACUGAUAUUUUCUCUCGGGUGUCUUACCUGACAAGUUAUUGUGCUCCACACUAAAAACUUCUAGUGUGGUCAUUUCAGUAAGUUGUGGAGGGAUGUCACCAUUCAAGUUGUUGUAAGAAAGAUCCAAACUCUCAAUCCGCUUCAGGUUUGAGAAUGUUGCAGGGAUAGAUCCAGUGAGAUUGUUGUGUGAUAAGUUUAAUGACAGUAUCUCGCUUAAGUUUCCAAAUUCUGGUGGGAUUGCUCCUACAAAGUUGUUAUUGGAGAGAUCAAUACCAGACAUGUAGAUGAGAAUUUUCCCUUUGUAACCAUAAUACAUAUUUUUAGUUGUAAAUUCUAUCACUUCUUCUGUAAAGUUAGUCCAAUAACCCUUUAAUAAGGUGUAUAUGCUAUCCACUUGUGGUGGACCCAUUAUUUCAUAAUAAGCCUUUUCUAAGAACCCUGGUAGUAAAAGAACAUCGAGAUUCACUAAUGCUUUCUGGGAACUUUCUUUGAAAGUAAGAUUUUCCAAACAGGAGGGUAAUGGACCAGAAAGCUGGUUUUGUGAAACAUCCAAAAUGCUUAAUUGUUUUAAUAAGCAUAACUGAACAGGGAACUCACCAUCAAAGUGAUUAGCUCUCAGAAGAAGAACACUCAAUGAUGAAAGAUUGCCAGCCCAAUUUGGAAUUGAGCCGGUGAAGCUGUUAUCUCUAAGAUCCAUCGUAACCAGGGAAGAGCUAUUAUAAAAUCCAUAUUUUAAUGGACCGCUCAAUCUAUUUUUGGAUAGAUGCACAUGGGUUAUUUGUGGUGAAUUGAAACAAGAUGGAAUAUAUCCAAACAAAUUGUUCUCAGAAAGGUCCAAAUAUUCAAGCUGGUCAAACUUACAAAAAAAGUCUUUUGGGAUAGGACCCUUAAAAUGGUUUUUUGAAAAAUCAAUUGCUCUAAGGUUCGUCGAAUUGACGAACCACCUUGGAAGCAUGCCUGAAAAUUGAUUGUUACUCAAAUCCAAUACAAUCCACGUUUUCCACCCGUUUAAUGGAAAAUCUGAUAUUUGACCCCAAAAGUUGUUAUCACCUAGAUAGAGAUAUUCUGAGGUAGAAGAAUUGAACACGGAGGUUGGUAUUUGCCCACCCAAAUUGUUGUUUGACAGCUUGAGAAACAUUAAUGUUGUUAGUAGUUCUAGUUUUACCGUGGACAAUUGAUUGUUGGAUAAAUCUAAAACUCUCAAAGAGCUAAUAUUUCCUAAACAAGAAGGAAUACAACCCGUGAAUCCAUUCUUAGCCAUCCUUAAUCCCUUCAGAUUUGGAAAGAUCAAACAAAUAUCCUUUGGAAUUUGACCGCUCAUGUUGUUGUUGGAUAUAUCCAAUUCGGUCAUUUUCGGAUAUGGGUGAUCUUGCAACUGCAAAGUACCAACAAAGGAGUUCCCGCUCAGAUAUAGUUGCUCCAAUCGUGUAUUGUUCUUAAGCAACCACGAUGGAAACAUUCCGGUGAUGUUGUUGUGGGAGAGAUCAAGGAAUCUUAAGUGGUAUUGGUAAUAGAGGAAGUUGGGAAUUUCUAUAUUGAGUGCUUCCGUUGUUUUUGUCGAGCUAAAAAAGACUAGUUGGAACUUUGGAAUCAACUGAUCAAAUGCAGCAGGUUCUAUUACUAAUCUGUUGUUCUCAUUGCAGAAGAACUUGAGGCUUGAGUGGUUCAUAAAAGGUUUCAUUGAAGUGGGAACUUCAAAGAGGUUAUUUGAUAGUGAGAGGAAUUCAAGGGAUAUGAGGUUGGUAAGGGGACCGAAGGCAAUAUUUCCAGUAAAUUGGUUUUCAGAAACAUCUAAUAGUUGUAGAGAAGACAAGUUCCCCAAACAAUAUGGGAGUGAACCUCCUAAAUCAUUUUCAGAGAGAUCUAAUUGCUUCAGAUUCUUCAUUUCACACCAACCUGUACAAUUUAUGGAUAUAAAGUCGUUAAAGAUGAAGGCUAAGUCAAACAUGAUAAAAUACUAUCAUUAAAUUGAUCAUUGCAUAGAUAUAAAGUCCUUUUUUAUAUAUAUAUAUAUAUAAUGUAAUGAAUAUUAUUGAUUAUUCAACAUAGUUUUAAAUAAUAUAAUAUUUUUUAAAUUUAUAAUAUUAUAAAUUAUAAAAUUAUUGAUACUUGCAAUGAAGACCAAGUCUCAAAAUACCAUAUCCACUGGCAGUGGUAAUGCAGCGAAGCAUUGAAUUUCUAAACAUCCUUACCUUUUGUUUUAUAUUGCUAUGUAUAUACAAUGCUUUAAUCAAAACCUAUAAUGCAGGAAUAUCUGCAGAUGGCCAUUCCCAAAGGGAAAACUAAUCUUCCCUAGAAUAUUACAAAGUGCCAUUUCUACAGUGAGACACUGAAUAGUGAAAUUAGUGUUUCGUUUUUGUUGUUUUGUUGCUGAUAACUAGAUCUGUUAAAUCUUUUCCCUGUACUUUUACAUUAUGCAGUAAACUGGUCCCUUCAUUAGUUUUUCGUUAGUCAAAUAUUGUAGAGCUGUCAGCAAUAUUUCCUCUGUUUGUUCCACUAACUUGACGGUAAAAUGUGAUUAAAGAAUCAAUUAAUUAUUUAAAAAACGUCGAGGGAUUAAUUUGUUUGUUUCACAAAAAACAGACACUGGUUAUAUAAAAUUAUACUCAAAUUUUUUUCAUCAUAUGCGUGUGUUUACUUGUAAAUAUUUUGGAAGGAACUAGUUUAUGUUUUGCGCAACAUAAAAAAAAUCAUCUAGGCUUAAGAAACUAGCUCGAUCUAGUGGAUUAAUUUUUAAUUUUUUUUAUUUGACUUUUUAUCUAUAUCAAGUUUAACAUGAAAGUUAAUGUCUUUGUUUAAUUCGCAUGAUAACAAUUCUAUGUCUAAGAUCAUUUGGUUGGCAUACAUAUGUAAACCUAGGUGUUGUUAGUUCGAGGGAAGGAAGACACAAUAAAAAAUAAACAAACAUGGAUGAUAUGUCAUUUAUGUUUUACUUUUUUUAAUUAAAAAAACAGGCUUAAUAAAAAAUAUCAAGCGAGGUCAGAUGCGCGAGCCUUGUUUUAUAAUUUUUUAUUCAAAUUUUAAUAAUUGUUUUCAAUUAUUAUGCAUAUGACAUAAAAAUCUGUUCAUGAAAAUUAAAUUCAAAUCACUUUUUUAAUCUUAGAAUUUUUAGAUAUAUUUUUAGCAUAAUUUUAUCAUAUUUAUGAUUUUUUUUAACUUUCAAUCACAUGAAUAUAUUAUUUUGAUACAUUUUUAAUUUGUUGUGACAAUUAUAGAAUAUUCUUUUAAUAGAAACAAUGAUUCUAGUUAAGAAAAAAAUCUUGCAUUCAUCGAGAUAAACAAGAAAUAUGUUAAUAAGAAAAUUUAUCUUGAUGGAGAAAAAUUCAAAACGACUAAAUUUUCAAGUUUAAUAACAAUGCCAAGGAGUUUCCUUAGACUUGGAUAUUUUGUUCUACGUUUAAAGUUUUUUUUAUCUCCAUAACAUAGCAUUAGCAUACAAACUUGUAUAUUUUUAAGACAGCGUUUGGUUACUAUCCGGGACAAUAAAGACAAAGACAGAGGAGACAAGACAUAAAAGAAGAUGGAGAUAGAAUUGUGUUCAGUAGUGAUGUACAAGAUAAAAUAAUUGUCUUUGUAUCAUAUUUAGUUAUGUUGAAUAAGAAAGAAUAAAAUACAUAAAAAACUAUUUUACCUUUAAUAUGUAUUGUUGUCAAACUUCCAUAUUUAAAAAAUAAUUAUUUUUAUUUUUUUACUUUAGUUUAUAUUGAAUGUUGAAAUUAUUAAUAUUAUAAUAACCCUAAUUAUAAAACCAGGACUGAUUUGACAGGUUGGUUUAAGGCGUAGACUUGCCCGAGUUUUAGAAAAAUAGAUUAAUGAUUAACUAGACCUGACCUGGUAAAAAAUAUGAGUCAGGUUAAGAUAAAACACAAGUAAAAAACCCAUUGACUUUUUUGAAAAAGAAAAUUGGUCAAAACAAGGUUUCUUUGACUAUUUUUUUUAAAAAAAAAUUGGGUCAAUCAGGUUGACCUUCCCAACCCAUGACCUACACCUUUCCUUUGGUCAACUCCUAAGUUGAGUUUUAAAACUAUGAUAUUAAUAAUUUUUAUCCAUACUCAGGUCAACCUGUGUUGACCCUCUCGAUCCAUGACCUAGGCCUUACUUCUGUCGACUCCCGAGUCGGGUUUUAAAAUAUGAUAAUAACUAUUUUUAUCCUUACAUUAAUCCGGGUCGACUCUCUUGAUUCGUGACCCGAGUCUUACCCCAAAUUGACUAUCGAAUCAAAUUUUAAAACUAUGAUUAUAACCACCUUUAUUUUAUGUUGACCCGGGUCAAUCCGGGUUGACCCAUAUAACACGUGACUCAAGCCUUAUCCCGAGUCGAUCCCCGAUUUGGGUUUUAAAACUAUAAUAAUAACUAUUUUUAUCAUUACAUUUACCUAGGUCAAUAAUCAACCUCACUUGUGACCCCAAAAUUGCCCGGGUCGACCCUUAAAUCGAGUUUCAAAAUAUGAUAAUAACUAUUUUUAUUUUUAUACUAAUACAGGUCAACUCAACUCGUGACUCGGGCCUCAACCAGUGACCCAGAAUUUACCCCGGAUCGACCUCAAAGUUGGAUUUUAAAACUAUGAAAAUAAUUAUUUUUACCUUUAUAUGUCUUAAUUAGACAAUUUAGAAUUGAGAGUUUUUUAUAAGGAUAUUUUAGAAAUAAAAAAUAAUAAAUAUUGUCUCUAUAAACAUGUCCCUUCUAUACCUCAUAUUUUGAAAAUAUAAAAAUUCACUCUAAAAUUAUUCUAGAGACAAAUUUAUUUUUAUGUAUUUGUCUUUAUCUCUUUAACCAUAUAUAUUUAUAUCUUUAUUGUCUUCAUCCUUUUUAUCACACGACAAUGACCAAACAUUACCUAAAGGAUCUACAACUACUGAUGACAAACUUGGCUUUAUUUCAUCUUUGAUUUCUUCUCAAUGAUAUCUCACCUAUAUGUGUGGAGGCACUAGAUCGUUGAUUGAAAGGUUGACUUUGAAAAAAUAUAUUCAUAAAGUAAUGUUUGAAUCUUGGUGUUUUUUAUUGGCUCAAAAAAAUUACCAACCCACCAAAACCAACAUGUAUGAAACAUUUAGAUUUAAUAUUAUAUGUAUAAUUUAUUAUCAUAAUUGAUAUGCUAUUCAACUCACUAACUUAGUAGGAUGACCUAUAAUACCUGUUGAUCUAGGAUUUUAGCCGAAUCAAGCUUUAAGCCAGAUAUAAUAACUAUGAUUUUAUAAAAUUACUAUGAACUUCCCUUUUAUGUCUUCUUAUUUACUCAUUUGAUUUUAUGAAGUUAAGAUGUUUGCAUUUAUAUCAUGAUUAAACUCUAGGAUAACAUUUAGUUAUUACUUCAGGAUAACAAAAAUAAAGAUAGUAAAGACAAAAUUAUGUUUGGUUGAAAAGACAUAGAUAUAAAAAUAAUUUUUUUCAUGGGAUAAUUUUAGAGUGAAUUUAUGUACUUUCAAAAUAGAAAGUACAAAUAAGAUAUAUCUUCAUAAACAAUAUUUUUUAUUUUUAUUCCUAAAAUAUCAUUGAAAAAACUUUCAAUUCCAAAAUUGUCUAAUUAAAACAUGUAAGAACAAAAAUAGUUAUUAUCACAGUUGUAAAAUCUAACUCGAGGGUCGACCUGGGACAAGGCUUGGGUCAUUGUUUGGGUUGACCAUUGACCCGAGUCAACAAAAAAAUAAAAAUAGUUAUUAUUAUAAUUUUAAAACCUAACUUGGAGGUCGACUCAGGGCAAGACCCGGGUCAUAGGUCAGGAGGGUCAACUCUGGUUGAACUGAGUUAAUGUAAGGAUAAAAGUGGUUAUUGCAAUAGUUUUAAAACUUGACUCAGAGAUCGACCUGAUGUAAGCUCAGGUCUUGGGCUAGGAGGGUUAAUGCAUGGAUAAAAAUAAUUAUUAUCAUGAGUCGAUUUGAGACAAAGCCUAGGUUAUGGGUUGGGAGGGUCAACCCGAGUUGACCCAAUUUUUUUUUUUAAAAGAAUCAACACAACUUUGUUUUGACCAUUUUUUUUUAAAAAAAAAUAGCUGGUUUUGCCCUAUGUUUUAUCCCGAGUCGACCUGUGUUUUAUCCCGAAUCAACUCGGUUUUUUAAUUCACCUAUCUAUUCUUAAACUUAGAUUAAUACAGGCUUAGAGACGACUAGGUCCCGAAUAGAUUCACUAGGUCAGUCUAGGUUUUAUAACUAGGAUUAUUAUAAUAUUAUUAAAAUUAAACUAAAGUAAAAAAAAAUCUAAUUAUUUGUAUAAAUAUGUAAGUUUAACAAUAAUGCAUAUUAAAGGUAAAAUAAUUUUUUUAUUUUUUAUUUUUUUUAUUUAUCAUUAUCAAAUAAGAUAUAGAGACAGUUACUACCAAACACAAUUUUAUUUUCAUCUCCUUUUAUAUCUUGUUUUCAUGGUCUUCUUCCUUUUUAUUCAGGACAGUAACCAAAUAUUACCUAGUUAUAACAUAUAGAAACAUAUAAGUUGUCAAGUUCAAGCCUUUCUCUUAUCGAUUUAAAUAAAUUGAAACACAAUUGCAAGAAGAUUCGAGUGUGUUUGGUAUUGUGAUAGCUUUUGUGGUUGUGAUUUGAAAAAAAAUUGUUUUAUAAAAAAUACUUUUGGUUGAGGUUGGUUUGGUAUUUAUAUAUAUUUGGUUCAAACUGUGGUUGAAAUUGAGGUUGAACAAAAAGUAGUUUAAUGUGUUUGGUUAAGAAUGCUUUUCAAAUUGAGGUUAUAAAAUAAUUAAAAAAAGAUAUUAAUAUUAAUGGUUUUUAAUUUAAAUAUUGUAGAUUUAACUACUGUUAUUACAUCAUGAAAUAAAUAAUACUUUAUAUAAAAUAUUUUUAUUGUUCCAUUAAACUAUCUACAAUUCCAUCACGUACGAAAUCCAUCCGACAAGGACUACAGUUUCCUUGGUUUUUUAAGUGCGCAACAACAUCAUGUAAAAUAUCAUCAAGAACAAAAUUAGGAUUGCGAUCAAAUUCUGUAAAUGUUACGUCAUUAAGCGAUCUCCUUCUAAUUUAUGUAGUGUCAUUGAAUAAUGUUAAACAUUAGUUUUUUUGAAUAAAAUACAAUUAAAAAUAAAAAAAUUGAAUUUUAUUUUAUUUUACUGGGUCGGACCCGGUUCAAUGCAUUUAGCUUUGAACCGGACCCAAUUCGGCCGGAAUAAUAAAACAUUCUCCACUGUUCACGUGAACAGUGGAGAGUGAAGUAAUUCACUCUCACUAGGUGGAGACAACAGAAGAAAAGAAAAGGCAGCUUUGAGCUGCUUUCAAUGACACUGCAUUUUAAACAUAAAUUAUAAUGGAUCCUGUAAACAGUAAAUAAUAUUUUAUUAAUUAUCACAUGAUUGAUUUCUGUGGUUUGUUACAAAAACAGAAGCAACCACAGAAAUAAUCAGGUUCAAAGAAGAAAAGACAUAUGAUUAAAGUGCCACGCAACCUUUUGACAUUAUCAGUAUUUUGAUGUAUUUCCAUUAAUUUAUAAUAUACAAGUAUAUUUCCACGUUUCUUUUAUUUGGAUAGAACAUCUUUCCAAUAGAAUUUGUUUUUAUUAGAAUUCCAUAUUCAUGAUAUUUUUUUAAUAAUAAAAAUAGCAUUGGAUGAGUUUGUAUGUCAAUUGAAACUAAAAAUGUGUUAGAUACGAUCGAUGGAUUGAACAUGAUAAUAUAAAUAUCAAAUAAUGUUUAAUUAGAUUAAAUUGAACUAGAGAAUAUAUGUUUUUAUUCUAUGUUUGGUGCACACAAAAUAAGAUCAAAUAAUUUUAUUUUUAUCAUUGAGAUUUUUUCAAUCAUUUAUUUUAGUCUUUGCAUUUUAUUUUUAUGAUAUUUUAGUCCUUACUAGAAUUUCUUUAUCAUCUAGAACAAUCUAGUUCUUAAAUCAAAAAGGUUUUUGCAAUUAAACUCUUACAUGUAAAUAUUUAUUUUAAUAAAAUUGGUCAAAUUUUGGUUUUCCAAAUUAAAAAAUAAAUAAGUGAUAAAUAAAUAAUAGAUAAUAUAAAAAUUAAGAAAAAAUAAUUUUGUACAAAUUUUUUGUCCUGAGGAAAACUUUGGACAAGACAAUGACAAUGAUCAAUCCUUGUCAUGUCCAAAGUGUAUAUCAAACAUUUCAUAGCUUGCCAUGUGCAACAAAUAUAUCACAACUUGUUUUUAUUGUAUUCUAUUAUGAUCUCUUUUGUGUUUUAUAUUAUUUAAUAUAUUAAAAUAAAUUUAAUAAAUUAUACUGAAGCAAGAUCUAAUAUUAGAAAGUUAACGGAAAUAAUAAAUGUACCUUUGCCCGUCCCUUCAACAAAAUGCUGAGCUGUAUACUAAUUCUCAGAGGCAGUGAUAACUAGUUGUUCUAACUAAUCCCUAUACUUUUAAAUAUGUUUACAAUUCAGUCCCUUCAUUAAUUUUUCGUUAGUAAAAUGUUGAGCUGUCAGCAAUAUUUCCUUAGUUUGUGCCGCUAACUUGACGGUAAAAUGUGAUUAAAGGAUCAAUUAAUUAUUUAAAUCAACUUGAGGGAUUAAUCUGCAUUUGCUUAACAAAACGACAAACACUAGUUAACUCAAAUUUAAGGUAUGUUUGUUUUUAUAUUUCAAAAACGUUUUGAAAAAAUUUGAAAAUUUUUUAUUUUUUUCUUUGCUUCAAAUUAAUAUUUUUUGGUAUUUUUAGAUCAUUUUGAUAUGCUAAUAUUAAAAAUGAUUUUUUUCAAAAAACAUAUUUUAAUAUAUUUCUGAGUGAAAAACAUUUUAAAAAAUAUCUGUAACCACACUCUCAAACAAUCACAUUCCCAUACAGGUUAAUCAUCAUAUGCGUGCAUGCGUGCGUGCAAGUGGGGUUCAAUCCGGGUGCCCUAGCAUUAUAUUAUAAUACUUAUAUAUAUAAGAAACCCUGUAUGGAUUCGUACAACACUGGAAUGCAAUGAUUGAAUGAAAUAUUACAUGGACAUUGGACCUGCUGUGUAAACAUGUUUAGGAUGGAUGCGACGACAUUUCAGAGUUUUUGCUUUCAACUUGGAAACCAAUGUCAUAACCCAAUUCUGGGUUAUUCCCCAAAAAUCAUUUUUUUUUCAAAAUAAAAAUCAAAAUAAUAAUAAUAAAAGCUGGAAACGUGGAGAAGGCAAACCGGGGAAUCAAGUUGUAAUUUUGGAGGAAAUUCAAGGCCUAAUUGUACCCCAUUAUGCCAAAAAAUGGAGGAAAAAAAUGCAAAUUCAAGGUCAAAUUAAAUGACUAUUGGAUGAAUUUGCAUAAAAAUUAAGUCCAAGAACAUAAUUAAAUUUUUAAUAGGCCAAUUUGAUUUAAUCAUGGGCCAAAUUGAAUUUUAAUUAUGUUUAAGAAUUAAUUUGGGUCCAAUUGAAGGAUUUAGUUAAGUGCAAGGACUUAAUUAUACUUUAAAUGGGUAAAAUUAAUUUUAUUUGGGGCUUAAUUGGUGAAAAAUUAAGUUUGGGAGCCUAAUUUGGGCUUAAUUGAGAAGAUUGGAAUUUUAAGAGAUCAAAUUUAAUUUUUUCCAAGUUAAUUGCUUGAAAUCAGGGGCCAAAUUGCAAGAAAAUUGAAGUUUUGGGGUCAAUUAGGGGUUAAAUUGACAAAAUUUGCAGCCAAGGACCAAUAUGCAAAAAGUGCCAAACUAUAGGGCCUAUUGGCAAAAUCCAGGGUGAAAUUGAAGAAAUUGAAAGUUUAAUGGUUGAUUAGGGGUUAAAUUGCAUAAAUCCAAGACUAAAGACUUAUAUGCAAAAGGCGCGUAAAUUUGGGGUUCCAAUUGAAGUUCAGCAAGGGCGUAAUUGCAUUAAAUCAAAAGUUUAUGGUCAAUUAGGAGUUCAAUUAAAACAAAUUGAAAUCUGGAGGACUAAAUUAAAACUUAGUUAAAAUCCCUAAUUCAAACCUAAAACAACAUUGUUUUGAAUAAUAAUAAUAAAAAAAGAAUCAGACAACACGUCGUCUGGUCAUUAUUUAUUGUCUUCUUCUUUUACCCGGUUAAUCAUCAUAUGCGUGCGUGCAAGUCAGGGUUAUUGUGUUGUCUAUUCCGUGUGUAAUGUGGGGUUCAAUCCAUGUGAAUCGCACGACUUGUCCAUAUCUUUCUUAUUGAUUACAAAUAGCAUUGAGAAUUAAAGAAUAUUAUCUUAAUAAGUUCCAAUUUAUUCUACAAAAACUAUAUAUAAAGAUGUGACAAAAUCUUAAGUUCCAUUUUAUUCUACAAAAACUAUAAAGAUGUGACAAAAAGAUGCAGCUUACGGAUCAAGCCUGGUUCAGGUUUUGAUCCUGUUAAAAAUCUAUUUUGUUGAAUUGUUCAUCAACUCGUGAAUUAUUGGGUUAAAUAGAUUAAUUUUUUAAACAAAACAAUGCCAUUUUUUUUAUAUAUAAAAAAUUUGGUUCUGGCGUAUAAAUAUAAUAUUAGAAACUUAAACCUUAUUGAUUAGCAAAAACUCAAAGGGAAAUUUUGAAAUAGAUUUUUGUAAAAUCAAAUAUGAACCAAGUACUAGAAAGUUUGUUUGAAAUAACAAUUACUUUAUAGAAAGCAAAUAUAAAUAUAUUUAUUAAAUUUAAUAAAGUUUAAAAUCAGCAAGUUAAGCUACGAAACCCUGAUCAAUUUAAUAUAAUGCCGUUCAAUACAAAAAAAAAAUACAUCUUAAAAAAAAUUUAAGUUAAAUCAUGUUUCUACCUAUUAUUUAGGUUGUCUUCAGACUUAUAAAGUCGACUAGGUUAUAUUAGAAAAACUUUUAUAUAAUUAAAUUUAAAACUCGAGUUAGGAAAUUUUAAUAUUGAUUUGUUGAAUCGGAUUUAAUAACAAUACCAAAAAUCUAAAAUUUACUUUUUUAAUCAAUUUUUUUUAAUUCAACUCGUAUCAUAACACAGUAUAGUAAAAUAAAUAGAUAUAAAAUAUUUUGAUGGAUCCUCGGGAUAAGAGAUUGUUUUAGGACAUUUUGCUAAUUUCUUUUGUUAUCUAAUCAACAAGCUCAUAGUGAAUAAGUAUAUAAAUAUAUACAAUUAAAUUAAAUAACAUAUAAGAGAAAAAUGGUCGAAAGGUAAAGCUAAAGUGAUGCGACGUUGAGCCACUAGUCGAUAGUUGUAACGUCAGUUUGUUGGUUCGUCGUUCGUUUCUCGGAUUUAUUGAUCUUUAGAUUGUCUGUUUCUAGAAAAGAAAGAAAGAAAUAUUUAUAUUAUCAAUGCAAUGCAAUGCAAUGACUAAUAAGAGCUUGAAAUUAAGAGGUUUGCUUUCUCUAUAGUUUCAGGUUCGAACCCUGUGGUUGCUCAUAUGAUGGCCACUGAAGAUUUACAUGGUCGUUAACUUUAGGGCCCGUGGAAUUAGUCGAGGUGCGCAAAUUAUUAUCAUUUUAUCAAUGUAUACUACAUCUUUUUCUCAAUUGUUUGAGUUUGAAAUUAUAUCUGUGAACCCAUUAAUUUAUCUAGAAAAAAAAAAUUUAGGUAAUUGGAUCAAUCCUUGAUAUCAUAUAGAGAUAAAUUAAUUGUUUUGAUUAAAACAAUAUCAUUUUAUUUAAAAAUAAAUUUAUAAUAUUAAUUGAAUCACUAAAAACACAACUAGACCAAUCAUGUUUUAAAUAUUUUUAAAUAUUUUUAUAUUUAAUUUGAAAUUGAUUUAAAUUAAACUUUAAAUUAUGGGUUUUUCAAACUAACAUGUGUUGGGUUACGUCGAUUGAGUUAGGUAUAACAUAUCUAGAAGAAUUUAUUAAAUUUCUCUAUAAUUAGUCAAUCGAUGAGGGAAUUUAGUUUUAAUUGAUGGAGAAAUUAAUUUAAAGAUACCAUGCAAGAUAUAAAAAAAAACAUUUAAAGAUAUCAAUUAUUGUUUUCCGUUUAAUUAUAAAUAGAAUGAAGAGAGCGAUGCUCGCUGCACUUUUAUAAGCGACUAAAGUAGUUUCCAUCUUAGAUACAGUUAGAAUCUCCCAUAUCUGUCAAAAUGCCAAAAAAGCUAUUCGCAAAGAAACUCUCAAAAACUGACAUUAAUUAAAUAUAGAAUGGCAGUUCCAAUGGAAAGCCUCUACGCUUUCCAAAUCCCAGAAGGAGAACACUCUAAAGAAUUUGGUGUCACUGGCAUCCAUGGCAAGAGGUGGAGGUUCCGAUGUUGUACAAGAAAAACUGAGUUGAUCACCUUAAACCAGUCAUGUUUUCAGUUUGGAUUGAGUUCGCCAAAAAAAAGGGUUCUCAAAAAAGGUGAUGAAGUCACCUUCUCUGUGCUGGACAUGAAGGGAGCUGAGGAUCUGGAAUUGGGAAUUCAAGCUCGGAAAAGAAUCAAGCUAUUCGGCCAAGAUUUUUGGAGUAAUCCUUUGUGAAGAAGAAGAAGAAGAAGAAGAAGAAGCUACUCCUCGCAUAAGUAUAGAUUUUGUGCACCGAAGAUUGUGUCUGUGAGUAAUAGAGCUGGUUGCCUAUGUACAAUUAGUAUGCUUUGGCAGGAACUUCGUGACUGGUCCUUGGAUAGCUGAGAAAGCCAAGUCUAUGGCAACUUCAGGGGAAUCCAGGAGCAGGAAAAAAAUCAAGGUGAAAGGAUAUGAAUUUGCUAGUGCAACUGCUGCAAAGGAUCUAGGAGACAUAAAUUUGCGAACUAGAGAAGAGUUAAUUUUGAGCUCUGCAUUCUUCUUGCAUGUUCAUCUGUUUCCCGUUGUGGUUGAUCUUAGCAGUUCUCAGUAUAGUAAUUUGCAUUUCCUUCUAGAUCAGAUGAUUAAUGGAUUAUCAGGCAUGGACUGCGAUGUAGUCGGUGCUAGGGAAUCAACAAAGUUAACUCAUUGUAUUUUCAUAAAUUAAAGGGAUUUCUCUUCUUUUCUUUGUCAAUUACAGUGCAUGAUGUAUAAAAGUUUUCUUACUCAGAGUAAAUGCUAUUGUAAUGUUUUCACAGAGACUCCUCUAUUUUGCAACUAAUUCACUUAUAUAUCUUGGAAACAGAAAGGCAAUCAACGAAGAGUAAGGCAUCUUCUGAAGAAACAAAGAAAUUUAAUGCCCUAAACUAAGCAGCAGGUAGAAGGCAAAAACUGAGCUCAAAUUUUCAGUAAGGGACAAACGAAAAAAACCAAAAAGAAAGCAGAGAAAAAUACAGACUCAAAUUCACAACACCCAUUUUCUUUCCAUUGGAACACUUUAAAUAGUUUAUUAAAUUUAUAAUGAUCUGAUUUCUACGCAUAUUACAAAAUCAACUUCAUGAUCAAUUCUCUAUAAUUUCGGCAUUACUAAAAACAUCCAAACUAAUAAACUAUUAGUUAUUUUAGCCAUUUUAAUAAACAUUUUAGUUAUGAAUUCACCAAACAUUUUGAACAAUUCAUAUGGAUGAAUUAACAUGUUAAUUUUAGAUUUUUUAACUUAUUAAUUCCUUCAUGAAUUACUUCUAAAGCAUGUUAUAUAUAUCUAAGCACUUUUAUAUAAUAUAAUUCUAUCAAAUUCACUUUUACCCAAUGUAUAAUAUAAACAUCCAUAAAAAAUAACUUAUAUUGUCAAUGCAAUGAAAUGACUAAAUAACAUUUAAUUAUUAUAAUAGCUUUGUCCUCAUACCUAAGGAAGUAUACUACGUCUUUUUCUCGAUUCUUUGAGUUUGAAAUUAUAUCUUUGAACCCAUUAAUUUAUCUAAAAAAAAAUUUAGGUAAUUGGAUCAAUCCUUGAGGUCAUCAUAUCAUAGGGAUAUAAAUCAAUUAUUUUUAUUAAAAAUAAUUUUUUUUUUAAUAUUUUCAUAUUUAACUUGAAAUCGAUUCAAAUUAAAUUUUAAAUUACAGGUUUUUCAAAUUAACAUGUGUUGGGUUAGGUCUAAUAUAUCUAGAAGAAUUUAUUAAAUUUCUCUAUAAUUAGUCAAUCGAUGAGGGAAUUUAGUUUUAACUAGUUACAUGACCCGCGCGAUGCCACGGGUCAAUUUUGUUUUGCAUAAAAAAUAUCAAAAAAAGCUAAGAUCUAAAAGUGUUAGGUCUUUCUAUAAAGUUAUACCCAAAAGUCUUGGGUUUGGCUACAACGCCUGAUCCAAAAAUAAUAUUUAUAAUAUUAAUAAUAACAUUAAACUUGCAUAUAUCCACGAAUAUGUACAAUAUUUGAAACCUAUAAUGCAAGAAUAGCUGCAGAUGUACAAUAUUUUUAAUUUAAAGAAUCAAUUAAUUAUUUAAAAAACUUGAGGGAUUAAUUUGUUUGUUUUACUCAAAUUUUUAUUGUUUACUUGUAAAUAUUUUGAAAGGCACAACAUGAAAAAAUCAUAUAUGCUUAAGCAACUAUUUGGCAUCUUAAACUUAAUCUCGUAAAUUAAUCUUAAAUCCUUUUUAUUUAACUCUUUCCCAGUAUCAAGUUUAAAAUUAAUCAACAUAAAAGUUGUUUUAAUAUAACUUAGUUAAUUUAAUGGGUUCAAAAUUAAUACAUAUGACAUGAGAUCUACCAGCCAUCAUCUGGCCGGAAACGGGCCGCGAUCGUCGACUGCCACCGAAGCUUCAAGUCGUCGAUUCUCGCUCAUCAGCCAUCAACGGCCGUCAAGACCACCACCAUAAGAAUCCUCGACAUCAGAUCUACCAGGAUCGACCAUCGGUUGGCCAGAAAUCGCGCCGGAAAAUCUCCCCGCCGCCAACAGUAGCCGCGCGUGUGCCACACGCGCCGCCAGUGGCAUUUUUGUAAAUUUUGGAGAAACCCGAGGGUAUUUCAGUCUUUUACCUAUACAGUGGCACUCAGGUAAUUUUUCGGGGUUUCUACUGGUAUUUUUGAUAUUUUUUAUAUAUAAAUGCUUGUAAAUUUUCUUGCAUGUUGUAAAAAAUACAAAAACCAAAGUCGACACGUCUCUUUUUUUAAAAGGACCGAUGUCAAAAAUGUAAAUACCAAAUAUGGCAUAUGUCCAUUAUUUUUUUUUGGUGACCCAGACGUAAUUCUCCUUUUUAGGGUUGAAACGUCAUAUUUUAGACAAGUCUCCUAAUUUUUAGGGACUGAUGUCAUUUUUAACGUGUCUCCUAUUUUUAGGGACCGACGUUAACCAUUUAAAAAAACAAAUUACCAAUAAACCCAAAAUAUAAUGGAUUAUAUCCAUUAUUUCUUUUGGUAACUCAGACGAGUCUCCAAUUUUUAGGGACUGAUGUCAUUUUUAACGUGUCUCCUAUUUUUAGGGACCGACGUUAAUCAUUUACAAAAAUUUACAAAUAAGCCCAAAAUAUAAUAGCAUUUGAAUCAAAUAAAAACACACAAGUAAGGGUAACCUUUCUUUUGAAAGGAUGUUUUAAGGGUGGUGUCUACCUUCCCUUAAUCAUAACUAACCCCGUACCCGAAUCUCUGGGACCAGUGUCUAAUUUGGGAUUUCUAGUUCCCUCAAAUUACUAGAUGGCGACUCCAAUAAAAUCUUUGUUUCCCCCAAUCGAGAAAAAAACCCUUUUUGUUAAACAAACAAAAAAAGCGGGAGCCGUCGCCCGACGUCGUGUAUCGACAAAUGUCUGCAAAUCUUGUGGUCAUAUACAGGGUGCCGGUUUUCUUUCCACGAGCCAAAACCAUUGCUCCCUUUGAUACCUUCCACAUACCUCCAGAAAAAAGGAUUGAAUGACCACUAUCAUCAAGUUGUCCGACCGAGAUCAGCUUCUUCUUUAGAUCAGGAACAUGCCUUACAUUUUGCAAGGUCUAUAUAGAUCCAUUCAUUGUCUUGAUUUGUACAUCUCCUAAACCCACAAUAUCCAAUGGUUGUCCAUCGGCCAGAUAGACUACACCGUGAUCUCCAGCAAUAUAGUUUUGCAUCAUUUCAUGGUGUGGUGUACAGUGAAAUGAAGCACCAGAAUCAAGAACCCAAUCAUCAACAGGACUAUGCACAGCAAGAAUCAAAGCAUCUUGCACCUCAUUUGUGGUAGCGUUUGCAGAGUCAGCUUCAGGUUUUUUCGGUUUUGUGCAAUUCCUCAUGAAAUGACCGGGUUUGCCACAAUUCCAACAUUCAACCUGUUUUCUGGGUCCAAACUUGCUUUUACUUCUAUAUCUUGAUUUUGAUCUGCCUCUGGAUAAGCCUCUAUCAUGUCUCCUCCCUCGAGUGUUGAUGUUGAGAGCUGAUCCUGAGCUUGAACUUUCACCCGAGUCUUUCCUUCGCACUUCUUCAGCCAAAAUCAAGUCUCGAAUGUCAUCAUACUUCAGUUUGGAUUUUCCAGCUGAAUUGCUCACGGCUGUCCUCAUGCCUUCCCAACUGCUUGGAAGUGAAGCUAGCAAGAUGAGUGCACGAAUCUCAUCAUCAAACUCAAUCUCAACAGAUGAUAAUUGAUUUGUGAUGGUAUUAAAGUUAUUGAGGUGUUGUGUCACAGAAGUGUUUUCGACCAUCUUCAAGUUGAACAACUUUUUCAUCAGGUGCACUUUAUUAUUUGCUGAUGGCUUCUCAUACAUCCCAGACAAGGCUUCCAUCAAUCUUGCAGUGGAUCUUUCUUUCGUAACAUUGUGAGCAACUCUUCUUGAUAAGGAUAACCGGACAAUGCCCAGAACUUGUCUAUCAAGAAGUAGCCAAUCUUCUUCUUGCAUAUUUUCUGGUUUGCUCCCCAACAAGGGAAGAUGAAGUUUCUUCCCAUAUAGAUAAUCCUCAAUUUGCAUUUUCCAGUAUCCAAAAUCUGUCCCGUCAAAUUUUUCAAUUCCAGCUGCUUUUAUUUCAUCUGCCAUUUUUACUGCUUCUCCGAUUCGAAUUUCCCAAAUCUGACCUUACAGAUGUGUCCGGAACAGCCGAAAACCUUGGAAAUGACACUGAGAUAACCCCAAUCGGACUUCGGAUGGCUCAGAUUUUAGCAAUCAAAGUUUUGGAUUAACGGACGGUGCAGAUGCAGCCGCGUGUCAACCAGAGUACCGCCUGCGUCGCACCGGAUCAAAACCUCAGUAGCGGUUCUGAUGAAGCCACGUGUCAGCAGAUUAGGUCCUGCGUCACACCGUAUCAAAACUCAGUAACGGUUAUGAUGAAGCCACGUGUCAGCAGAUGAUGGCCUGAGUCACACUGGAUCAAUACUCAAUAGUGGUCCUGAUUUAACCACGUGUCAACUGAUUGGAUCUUGCGUCGUACUGGAUCAAAACCCCUCAACGGUUGUGAUGUAGCCACGUGUCAGAAUAUCAGCUUCUGCGACACAUCGGAACAAAACUCAGAGAUGACGUGGCAGGUGACGUGGCAGGUGACGCGGACGGUGACCGUACGGCUGUGCUGACGUGGCGGGUCAGCCCGACCCGUUUUGCAGAAGUCGGGCGAAGAUGGAGCGUGGCGCGCGUACGGCGCGUUGGUGCGCGUGGGCAGUCUGGGCGUCGGCGCGUGUUGGCGCGUGCGGGCAUGCAGGACGUCGGUUCUUCGCCGGGUUUUCAACAGUGGAUUCGUCCGGUUGUCCUCUACACGAUGGUAUGUUCAAAAACACGUUUUGAGAACUUUGAUUUUUGAGUUUGGAUCAAACACCCUCUUUGUCAAGAACAAGCUCUGAUACCAGUUGUUGGGUAAUUCCAGAACUCAAACACACAUCAAUUUACGUGGUUCGGCAACUUGCCUACUCCACGGAGCUACUGGUUUGUAUUAAUCAAGCUUAGAAACAAUACAAACAACAAAACAAGGAGGAGGAGAAAAUCUUCUCUACUCAACUCAAGCUCUCUCUCUCUCACGUUUUUCUCUCUGUGUUUUCACUCUUCUCUGUGUUCUUCACGCUUCAACCCUCCAGCUCUUCACUGAGCAUACAUAUAUAUUAAGCUAGGAGUGAAGGGCAUAAAUCAUGCCAUGAUUUAUGCCCACCGUUUGCCUCCACUUGUGCUAAGUGGAGAUUAGGUAUUCCCACUAAGCACAUAGUGGAGGUGGGACAUUGCUUGUCUCCAAAUAGCUAACAUAACUGAGGUGGGGUCGCCCUUGAAACAUUGGUAGAUGUAAGUGUUGCUCACAUGCAUAGAAUAUUUUUUUUCUACUUAGUAGUGGUUUUGGCAAUUUUUUUCAGACAAGUCUUGAGAGUUGAAAGAGUAAUCACACCCGAGUCAACCAACAAUCCAAAUCAGCUCCCUUCCUAAUGGUUCAGGAAUGAGAAGUCCAGCUUAUAUAUUUGAUAUAGAGACGGUACACUACAAAUUAAGCACCCAAUAACUAGACAAACAAUCAUGAUAAACUAGGAACAAUUGUCUUCCCAGUAACAAAUUCACCUUCUCACGUUGGAGAACUUGCGAAAACUAGCCACCACAAAAUAGUAGCAAGUAUUUAUGCAGUCUUCGAUGAAGUACGACCACCUGCGUCGCCAAUAUGGAUUGAUGUAAAGAACUGCUGCAAUCGUCAUUACCACAACUGUGUAACAUACACCGAAGCUGAUGUAGAAAAACUCCAUGUCUAUGAAACCAUCAUCUCCUUGUUCAUCAUUAGGCACUGGCUGUAACGGCACUGCUUCCUCACUACAAUUGUUUCGCAAUGGAGGUCCACACAAGAAAGGAUUUCCUUCGUAACAGUUUUCAUCAUCAAAGGUCCCAAAUUGAUAUUUUCUCUCGGGUGUCCUACCUGACAAGUUAUUGUACGCCACACUAAAAACUUCCAGUGUGGUAAUUUCAGUAAGUUGUGGAGGGAUGGCACCAUUCAAGUUGUUGUAAGAAAGAUCCAAACUCUCAAUCUGCUUUAGGUUUGAGAAUGUUGCAGGGAUAGAUCCAGUGAGAUUGUUGUGUGAUAAGUUUAAUGACAGUAUCUUACUCAAGUUUCCAAAUUCUGGUGGGAUUGCUCCUACAAAGUUGUUAUUGGAGAGAUCAAUACCAUACAUGUAGCUCAGAACUUUCCCCUUGUAACCAUAAUACAUAUUUUUAGUUGUAAAUUCUAUCACUUCUUCUGUAAAGUUAACCCAAAAAUCCUUUCCCAAGUUGUACAUACUAUCCCCUAGUGGUGGACCCAUUGUUUCAUAAUAAGCUUUUUCUAUGGACCAUGACGGAAAACCAUAUCCGAGAUCCGCGAGCGUUUUCUGGGAACUUUCCUUGAGAGUUAGAUUGCCCAAACAUGAGGGUAGUGGACCAGAGAGCUGGUUUUGUGAAACAUCCAAAAUACUUAAUUGUUCUAACAAGCAUAACUGAACAGCGAGCUCACCAUCAAAGUUAUUAGCCCUCAGAAGAAGAACACUCAAUGAUGAAAGAUUGCCAAUCCAAUUUGGAAUAGAGCCAAUGAAGCUGUUGUCUCGAAGAUCCAUCGUAACUAGGGAAGAGCUGUUAUAAAAACCAUAUGUUAAUGGACCGCUCAAUCUAUUUUUGGAUAGAUGAAUAUGGGUUAUUUGUGGUGGAUUGAAACAAGAUGGCAUAUAUCCAGACAAGUAGUUAUCAGAAAGGUCCAAAAAUUCAAGCCGGUCAAGCUUACAAAAGUCUCUUGGGAUUGGACCCUUAAAAAGGUUUUUGGACAAAUCAAGUACUUCAUCGUACGUAAAAUUAAAAAAGCUUCUUGGAAGCAUGCCUGAAAAUUGAUUGUUACUCAAAUCCAAUACACUCCAUACUUUCCACCCAUAUAAUGGAAAAUCUGAUAUCUGACCCCAAAAGUAGUUACCACCUAGGUAGAGAUAUUGUGAGAUAGAAGAAUUGAACACCGAGGUCGGUAUUUGCCCACCCAAACUAUUGUUUGACAGCUUGAGAACCUGUAUUGUUGUUAAUUGUUCUAGUUUUACUGUAGACAAUUGAUUGUUGGAUAAAUCUAAAAAUGAAAGAGAGCUAAAAUUUCCUAAACAAGAAGGAAUAUAACCUGUGAAUCCAUUGUCAGCCAUCCUUAAGAUCCACAGAUUUGGAAAGAUCAAACAAAUAUCUUUUGGAAUUUGACCAUUUAUGUUGUUGUUGGAUAUAUCUAAUUCGGUCAUAUUCGGAUAUGGGUGAUCUAGCAAUUGCAAAGUACCAACAAAGGAGUUCUCGCUCAGAUAUAGUUGCUCCAUUCGUGUAUUGUUCUUAAGCAACCAUGAUGGAAACAUUCCGAAGAUGUUGUUGUGGGAGAGAUCAAGGGUUCUUAAGUCGUAUUGGUAAUAGAGGAAGUCGAGAAUUUCUACAUUGAGUGCUUCCGAUGUUGGACUACUUGACAAGCGGAAAAAGACUAGUUGGAACUUUGGAAUCAAAUUAUCAAAGGCAGCAGAUUCCGUUACUAGUCUGUUGUUCUCACUGGAGAAGAACUUGAGGCUUGAGUGGUUCAUAAAAGGCUUCAUUGAAAUGGGAACUUCAAAGAGGUUAUUUGAUAGUGAGAGGAAUUCAAGGGAUAUGAGCUUGGUAAGAGGACCAAAUGCAAUAUUUCCAGUAAACUGGUUAUCAGAAACAUCUAAUAGUUGUAGAGAUGACAAGUUCCCCAAACAAUCUGGGAGUGCACCUCCAAAAUUAUUUCUAGCGAGAUCUAACUGCUUCAGAUUCUUCAAUUCACACCAACCUAUACAAUUUAUCUUGAAACAAUCAAAACAAUGUUGAAAGAAUCUUUUAUUGAUGAUGUAAUUAUAGGCGGAUGGAGAGUUGUUAAUUUACCUUGAGCGGGUAGGGUGCCAUGGAGGUCACAUUCAGCAACAGACAAAACUUUAAGAGCAGGCAAUGCUCCAGUGUUCUGGAGAAAGUUUAUUGGGAGAGAAGUAUUAUCUAGAUGCAAUUCUUCAAGGGUGCUAGAAUUGAAGAAAGUCCCUGUGAAAAAGAAAGAAGAAGAGAUAUGAUGAAAAUAGUGGUGGUACAGAAUAGCCAUUCCAUUCAAUAUUAUUAAUUAAGAUUUUAAGAAACUAAACUAUGAUUAACCUUGACUUAAAUUAGUAUCCUUGAGAGAAAGGGUCUUCAGCGAUGGCCAUGAACGCAAUGACUGCAGGAUGUCCAGAUUCCUUAAACCUAUGAUAUUUGGAUAGAAACAACAAAUUGCUUGAAGAAUCUAGAGAUUUCAAAAGGUAUUGUUAAGAAAUGAAGUAAAUAAUAGAAGAUGCCAAGAGAUAUUCAUAACUUUACCAUUGAUAGUCGUCGAUCCUAGCAACAUAUUGCCUGAUAAAUUUAAAGACUUGAGAUGAGAAAGUCCACGCAGAUGUGAUAAAAUGCUGUCAUUGAAUAUAUUAUUAUGGCUCAGGUCCAGGUUCUCGAGUUUCCCCAAAUGUGAUGAUAUGAUCUCAAAACCUGCAAGAGUAAGUCGUUAAAGUCGUUAUAUAAAAUAUAAUUCUAAUUUUGAUCUUAUUGGAAAUAUUACGAAACAAUUUUUAAAUAUCAUUCUAGUUUCGAUCUUAUUGGAGAAAAAAAAACAAUUUAUGGAUAUAAAGUCGAUAAAGAUGGAAGCUAAGUUAUGGAUAGACUUACAAAACAAGAUAAAGAAACUUAUAAUUAAGAUCUCAUCGGUAAUUAAAACAAGAAUAAUAAUCGAUCCUAGAUAGCAACAUAUUGUCCAAAUAUUUCACCAUAAAAUCACCCAUCACCAUUCACCACGACCAUAAGGCAAAAUCCUCCACCACAUAAUAAUAUUUUGAUUAAAAAAAGGUCCAAAAUAAUAUAAAACCAUGAUUAAAAAGGAGAGGAAAUAAUAAAUGGCUACAAACAAGAAUUAAAUAUCAUAUAUGUGGGUUUUAUGUUGUUCUCUUUAUUGAUAAAACAGUCGAGAGUUUUUCUAAUAGAGAAAUUGGCUGUCGAGAGUGAUUUGUAUUGGAUAGUUUUUUUGAUAGUUUUUAUUAAAUAGAUAUAAAGUCCUCAUUUUUGUUGAUAAAGAAACAAUAUAAUUAAGAGAAUGUCAUGUGAAGCAUUUAGGUAGGUAGAAACUGUGUAUUAUACCUGAUCCUGUCAGCUGAUUGCCUGACAGAUACAAAGAUUUUAGGGAUGAAAACCCAGUUAGAGAUGGAAAAAUGCUAUCGUUGCAUUGAAUCUCACUUAGAUGAAGGUUCUCCAGCUUUUUCAACCUUGAUGACAAGUCUUUGAGACCUGCAUGAUGUUCCUCAAUAGCAUAUUGGAAGGAAAUAAACGCAUAGAAAAAAAAUGAUAUGAGAAGGAGAAAAGAAAAGGUUUCAAAGCUAAAUAAUUAAAAGGUUACCAUAGAAGCUACCUCCUAAUCCAGCUGUCAACCCAUCGGUAAUUAAAACAAGAAUAAUAAUCGUUAAAUAUCAUUCUAAUAAUAAUCCAUGGCAAGUUCAAAUCCGUUGGUAACUGAAUUCCUCUAUCUAUUUAGUUAGUAAGAUGCUUAGUUGUCACUAAUUUAGUAAUUAUAAUUUGUUCCUCUGUUUUCUAGCAACUACUUUCCCAAUUUUAUCCAUUCACCACGACCGUAAGGCAAUAUCCUCCACCACAGAAUAAUAUUUUGAUUAAAAAAAGGUACAAAACCCAUUAUUAAAAAGAGAGGAAAUAAUAAAUGGCUACAAACCGAAAACCGGUCCAAUAUGUGGGUUUUAUUUAAAAAGAUAAAUAUAAAAUAUAUAUUUAUAGGAGAGUUUUGAAGUGAACUUCUGAUUACUAAUUUAAUCUAAAUAUUACAACACUUUUGGCAUAAAAGGGCUAAAAUAAGAAUAAAAUAUAUGCCUCUUGGACCUAAUUCCAAGUGCCUCUUUUCUUGAUAUAAAGUCCUCAUUUUUGUUGAUAAAGAAACAAUAUAAUUAAGAGAAUGUCAUGUUAAGCAUUUAGGUAGAAACUGUGUAUUAUACCUGAUCCUGUCAGCUGAUUGCCUGACAGAUACAAAGACUUGAGGGAUGAAAAUCCAGUUAGAGAUGGAAAAAUGCUAUCGUUGUAUUGAUUCUCUCUUAGAAGAAGGUUCUCCAGCUUUUUCAACCUUGAUGACAAGACUUUGAGACCUGCAUGAUGUUCCUCAAUAGCAUAGAAAUGAUAUGAGAAGGAGAAAAGAAAAGGUUUCGAAGCUAAAUAAUUAAAAGGUUACCACAGAAGCUACCUCCUGAUCCAGCUGUCAACCCAUUGAAUGAUAGAUCCAAAGACUUGAGAGUGGAAAGGUUACCAUUGAAACAUGACAAAAUGCUUUUAUCAUUAGUAAAUUUGUUAACACGUAGGUCAAGAUUGCUCAGUUUUGAUGAUAGGACUUCGAAGCCUGGGAAGAGAAUCAUCAAAGCAAGAUAAUUGACAUUAAACACCAACCAACCAACCUUCAUUUAUUUUAUGAUUAUAAUUAAGUGCAGAAACAUUGAACUAACCUUCAUUCUCCAUGCAACCAACCAAUCCAGUACCUCCCAAAUCAAGACCUCGCAAUUCUUUGAAAGGCUGAAACAAAGAUGCGUUGAGAACCCAAUCGCCCAAGUGGAAAUCCCUUGCCCCCCAAAGAGAGAGUUGGAUCACUCGCCUUGUAGUGUUAUCACACUCGAUCCCACGCCACUCACAACAAUUACUAUUGGUGUCCACCCAAUGAUCUCUCCAGGAAACGCCAUGUGGGUUGAUCAAAGAUUGGAUCUCCAAGAGACCAAUCCUCUCCUCCUCCAAACACCCAUAACAACGACCAUGCCAUUCGCCAACCAAAGUGAAUAAUGCUAGCAACAUCCAAGCCCCAAUUCUUUUCAUCAUCAUCUUAGAUAAUUCUAUGAACUGCUACGUAGAAUAUUGUUGUUUGUUAUGUGCCUUUGGGCAACCAUAGAGGUCCUAUUUAUACUACACUCUGGCCAUUUCCAUGACUUUGAGAUGUUUUCUUUAUUUCAUUUCUUUUUGGAAUAUUUUUGGAUUUGAAUAUUAUUCUAUUUUAUUGUCUAGCACUUAGUCUAUUUGCCAGGUUGGGAAAAAUAUUCAAAUUAGUUUUGUUGGCAUGUAAACCUCACCAAAUAAUUUGCGUAGACCGUAUUGACUGGGAGUCAAUUAUUGUCGUAGUGCUUUUAUGCACGAUCUGUGUGCGUGAACGGAAAGAAAAGCAGGGUGUGAAAAGCAUUAAAGGUUGUGAACGCGGAUGCUUGACUUGCUGUGUACCAUUUUGAUUUUUAAACACGGCCAUGCAGUCAUUUCCUGGCGAUUUCCUUAUGCAUACUGGUGGUCUUUCAUAAUCUUUUUCCAAACAAUCCUCGUUAGGCCGGCUCGGGGGUUAACUUAGAGUAAGGCAUCGUUUGACAUUGCGUUUGUAACUGCGUUUUAUUAAAUUUUGAAUUUUUUAUUUUUGCUAAAAUUAAGUGUAGCUUGUACUUUUUGGAUCUUUUUGAUGUGCUGAUGUUAAAAAUAAUUUUUAAAAAAUAAAAAAAUAUCAUUAGCAUGUAUUUCGGCACGAAAAGCUAUUUGAAAAGUACCCGCAACCACACUGCCAAACACGCUCUAAGAUUUGUAUCAUCGUUUUUUAUCAGAUUCAAGAUCAACUUGGAUCAAUCUUAAUUUUAUGCUAUUGUUUUUUAUAUAUAAACAUAAAUAAAAAUCCAGAUCUCUUUUAUAAUCUUAAAGGUAGUAUAUUAAUAGUAGAACCAUUAUCUAUCCAGAUACAAUUCAUCAUCUUUUCAUCGACAUAUCUUUUAAUUAAGAAAAGCUGUUUAUAGAGUUUUAAUCUAAGCAAUAGGUUUUCAUCGUUAAAGGAUACCUAUGUGGUGCUAAGUUCUUCUAAAGUUGGAGAACUUAUGAAAAUUAAUGCAAGGCUUCAACACUCCGAAGCCUGCAAGAGAAAUAUCAAAGCAAAAUAAGUAGCGUUAAACAGCAGCCAUUUCUUCAUUUUUAAUUUUAGUAUAACACAAUAAUAUGAACCAACCUUGAUUCUCAAAGGCACCCAACUAAUUCAUUAGCCUUCAAAUCAAGACUUUGCAAUUCCUUAAAAGGCAGAAACAAAGAUGCGUUGAGAACCCAAUCGCCCAAGCGGAAAUCCCCAGUACCCCUAAGAGAGAGCCGGAUCACUCGUCUUUCGGUGGUAUCACACACGAUCCUAGACCACACACAACAAUUACUGCCCAGGUAUUUCGACAGUUAUGGCUUGUGUGGGUUUUGGUUCACGAUGGAGAUGAUGGAUACAAUGAUGUAUUUCGACAACAAAAUUUUCAGUUCUUGUGAAUGGCUCUCCAACUAAAGAGUUCUUUAUGGAAAAGCGAUUGCGACAAGGGGACUCUUUAUCAACAUCUCUAUUCAACAUAGCAACUGAGGGUCUUGGUAGAAUGCUAAAAUUAAAAGGAGAUGUGAUUUGGGACUUAUAAAAGGUAUUUGUUUUGAUCACUUUCAAGUUUGUAGAUGAUACACUCAUCUUCAGUUCAUAUGAUUAUCCAUCUCUUCAAAAGAUCAAAAGAACUAUGUGAUGUUUUGAGUUGAUUCCUAGGCUGAAGGUUAAUUUCCACAAGAGCUCAAUCACUAGAACUAGAACUAGAAUUGAUGAUGUUGUUAUUUCUUCAACUGCUAGCAAUCUAAUAUGUAGGAUGGAGGGGAUGCCAUUUAAGUAUUUGGGUCUGCCUAUUUAUGCAUCUUCAUCUCAUACAUCCGUUUGGAAAACUAUUGCUUGAUUAACUCAAUUAUAAAUAACCUUUCUUUAUUUCCUAUCCCAUCCACUGUUGCUACCAAAAUUGAGAAACAUAUCAUAUCUUUCUUUGGUUCUCAGGAGGAAGGAGGGAAAAAACUAUGCAAUGUUAAAUGGGCAUCAGUGGUUCCUCCAAAAAAACAAAAAAGGUGGGUAUAGACUGCAUUAUUGAUAAAAAUAAAGCCUUGUUUUUCAAAUGGCUAUGGAGGUUUGGGAGGUCUAAUACAAGACUAUGAAAAGAUGUUAUCUACAACAUCCACAACCAAAAAGCGUAUUUGAACAUGCCUUUAGUUUGUGUUAAUUUAAAGGGUAGUACAUGGUCCAGGAAUGUCGUUACUUUUUAUAAGAACGAGGGACUUCAAAAUAUUGCCAAGAAAGAAGUUUGUGGUUUGGUUGGCAAUGGUAGAGAUAUUAACUUAUGGAAUGAUGUCUGGCUGAUAGAUUCUUGUCUUGCAGUUCAAUUUCCUAGACUUUAUAGUCCACCUGAAGAUCAUGUCUCCCCUGUAGCUACUGCAGCAGUAAAAGCUUCUAUCCAACCAGCCAGUGUGAGGCCUUCCCCUGUUGCUAGCAAUGUAGCUUCUUCAAGUAGCUAAAGUUCUGCUUCAAUAAAUGCCACGACAUCAGCAAUAACUGGUGCUACAACAAUGAGCUUCAACUACCCAAACUUCCCUGGCAAAAUUGCAGAAUGGUGCGUACGAGAUUCUAAUCCCUGAACAUGUUGGGGGCCACGAUAGCCUACAGAGGAACCCAUCCUCAGGCUAUGCCUUUCUUCAAUGGAUCAAUUCUAUUCUUCUUGAAUGUUUCAUCCUUCAUAGCUUCAGCGACAGCAACAACCAUUCAUACAGACACAACAAAGCCAACAGGGUCAUCAAAAUCCAAGUAUUUCUAGUGGCUCCUCGUCAUCCCAGAAGCAUUUGCUGAAUUAGGUGGAAUCAGCAGCGGUCAUCAAGAUCCAACCAUUUACAGAAUCAUCAGCAGAAUCAUUCCCUGCCGAACUAGCAGCGGCAGCUGAUGCAAAAUCAGAAUGUUACUCACAAACACCUCCUCCUUUUGCAAUGUCAUUUGCUCCAUCAACGGAACCACAACUUCCCCAGGUCUUGAUGUUUCAUUGCUGGUACAGAAUCAUGCUCUUCUCCAAAGCCCUCCAGAGGCAGCAAGUCAUGGCUAUCACUUCAUCACUGCGGCCCAAGCAACACAGCAGACGAAUUACCGUGUGCCUGAAGAAGGGAAAAAUGGAGGAAAUGACACUUCAAAUAUGGAAGGAGAGAGAAAGGCCGAUAUGGUUGGAGGACAGACCCCAUUAACUGGUGGGCAGUCAAUUGUGUUCUCUCGGCUAGAUUUUGUGUUCUCUCGGCUAGAUUUAACAGACUCCUCUGUUUCAACAAUGCCUGUGAACAAUGUUGUUGAUAGCUCAGCCCGAACUCUUAACCUUGGGUCCACUCUUGCUCGGACCUCAAGCCCUGUUAUGUCAGCUACUAUUGGCAGUGUAAAUGCACCAAGUAUACAACAACAGAUGCAGUGGAAUCAGCAGCAGCAGCAACGAAGUCAGCAAAUCCUUCAACUUCAGAAGCGUCAACAAUUUGCAGCUGCAGCUUCCACUCGAAGUGAAACACCAACAACUAGUAAUGGAAGUGUUUAUUCGGACCACAUCUCAUCAUCAUCAUCUAUGGGCACCAAGUUACCUAAUGCACUUUUGCAUUUCCUCAAAAUCUUGUUCAAAGCGGCAGUAGCAGCAGCAGUUAACAAAGCAUGCACUGCAACAGGCUCAACUAAUCUACGCUAAUGCUUUUAUGCAAGCUCAAGCUCAAGCUCAAGCUCAACAUGUGGCAAAUUCAACAAGCUUUGCAUCAACAGCUAGUGGGUUUCAUCUGCAAAGACAUCGCAAUGAGCAGCAACCGCAAUGCAUCGGCAACCUCUUCUACAAGGAUGUUGUUGUUAUGUCAUCCGAUCAUGUAAAUUUUUGUGACUCCCAACCUCCUAGCAACCACGAGAGGAUGUUUCCAGUUUUUUUUUUCAACAGCUAAUGCUUAGAUAACAAAAAUAGAGGAAUAACUGAUAGAGCUCCAGCAUUCGAGCAGAGUUUAAUAAAAAAAUAUAAAGUAAGGUUAGAUGCGUGAGCCUUGUUUUGUAAAUUUUUAUUUGAAUUUUAAUAAUUGUUUUUAAUUGUUAUGUAUAUGAAUAAAAAUUUGUUCAUGAAAUUUCAAUUUAAAUCACUUUUUUAAUCUUAGAAUUUUAAAAUAUAUUUUGAGCAUGAUUUUAUUAUAUUUAUGAUUUAUUUUAACUUUCAAUCACACAUAAAAAUAUAAACAUACUAUUUUGAUUUUUUUUUAAUUUGUUCUGACAAUUAUAGAAUAUUCUUUUAAUAUAAAAAAUGAUUCUAGUUAAGAAAAAAACUUGUAUAUUCACCAAGAUAAAACAAGAAAUAUGCUAAUAAAAUUUUUUAUCUUGAUAGAGAAAAAUUCAAAACGACUGUAUUUUCAAGUUUAAUAACAAUGUCAAGGAGUCCCUUAGACUGGGAUAUUUUGUUUUACAUUUAAAGUUUUUUUGAUCUCCAUAGCAUAGCACUAGCAUACAAACUUGUAUAUUUUUAAGGCAGCGUUUAGUUACUAUCCGAGACAGUAGAGACAGAGACAAUGGAGACAGAGGAGACAAUACAUAAAAGAAGAUGGAGAUAGAAUUGUGUUCACUAAUAAUAUAUAAGACAAAGUGAUUGUUUUUGUAUCAUAUUUGAUUAUGAUAGACAAGAAAGAAUAAAAUAUAAAAAAAAUAUUUUACCUUUAAUAUGUAUUGUUGUCAAACUUACAUGUUUUAAAAAAUAAUUAGUUUUAUUUUUUUACUUUAGUUUUAUAUUGAGUAUUGAAAUUAUUAAUAUUAUAAUAACCCUAGUAUUAAAACCAGGAUUAACUUGACAGGUUGACCCGAGGCCUAUACUGGUCUAAGUUUCAGAAAAAUAGAAGAAUGAUUAACUCGACCUAACCUAGUAAAAAACAUGAGUCAACUUAAGAUAAAACACGGGUCAAAACCCAUUAAAUAUUUUGAAAAAGAAAAUUGUUCAAAACAAGGUUUCUUUGACUAUUUGUUUUUAAAAAAAAUUAGGUCGAUCGGGUUAACCUUCUCUUGGAUUAACUCCUGAGUUGAGUUUUAAAACUAUGAUAAUAAUCAUUUUUAUCCAUACAUUAACUCAGGUCAAUCUGUGUUGACCCUCUCGACCCAUGACCUAGGCCUUGCUUCUGUCGACUCCCGAGUCGGAUUUUAAAAUUAUAAUAAUAAUAAUUUUUAUCCUUACAUUAAUUUGGGUCAACUCUCUUAAUUCGUAACCCAAGCAUUGCCCCAAGUUGACUAUCGAAUUAAAUUUUAAAACUAUGAUAAUAACCAUCUUUAUUUUAUGUUGACUCGGGUCAAUCUAGAUUAACUCAUCUAACACAUGACCCAAGUUUUAUCCCGAGUCGAUCCCUGAUUUGGGUUUUAAAACUAUGAUACUAAUUAUUUUUAUCAUUACAUUAACCUAAGUCAAUGAUCAACCCCACUCGUUACCCAAGAAUUGCCCAGGUCGACCCCCAAAUCGAGUUUUAAAAUAUGAUAAUAACUAUUUUUAUUCUUCUACUGACACAGGUCAACUCGACUCAUGACUCAAGCCUCAACCAGUGACCCAGAAUUUGCCCCGGAUCGACCCCCAAGUUGAAUUUUAAAACCAUGAAAAUAAUCAUUUUUACAUUUAUAUGUCUUAGUUGGACAAUUUGAAAUUGAGAGUUUUUUUAUAAAAAUAUUUUAGGAAUAAAAAAUAAUAAAUAUUAUCUCUAGAGACAUGUCUCCUCUAUACCUUACGUUUUGGAAGCACAAAAAUUCACUCCAAAAUUAUUCUAGAAACAAAUUUAUUUUUAUGUAUUUGUCUUUGUCUCUUCAACCAAAUAUAUUUAUAUCUUUAUUGUUUUUAUCCUUUCUAUUAUAGGACAAUGACCAAACAUUACCUAAAGGAUAUACAACUGACAAGGAUGAACUUGGCUUUAUUUCAUCUUUGAUAAUUUCUUCUCGAUGAUAUCUCACCGAUUUGUGGAGGCAAUUGAUCAAAACCUAGUUGAUUCAAAGGUUGACUUUGAAAAAAUAUAUUCAUAGAGUAAUGUUUGAAUCUUGGUGUUUUUUAUUGGCUCAAAAAAAUUACCAACUCACCAAAACCUGUAUGAAACAUUUAGAUUUAAUAUUAUAUGUAUAAUUUAUUAUAAUAAUUGAUAUACUAUUCAACUCAGUAACUUAGUAGGAUGACCUAUAACCUGCUGAUCUAAGAUUUUAGCCGAAUCAAGCUUUAAGCUAGAUAUAAUGACUAUGAUUUUAUAAAAUUACUAUGAACUUCCCUUUUAUGUCUUCUUAUUUACUCAUUUGAUAUUUUUUUUUAUGAAGUUAAGAUGUUCACAUUUAUAUCAUGAUUAAACUCUAGGGUAACAUUUAGUUAUUAUCUUGGGAUAAAAAGAAUAAAGAUAGUAAAGACAAAAAUAUGUUUGGUUGAAAAGAUAUAGAUAUAAAAAUAAUUUUUUUCAUGGGAUAAUUUUAGAGUGAAUUUAUAUAUUUUCAUAACAGAAAAUACAAAUAAGACAUAUCUUCAUAAACAAUAUUAUUUUUUAUUCCUAAAAUAUCAUUGUAAAAAACUUUCAAUUCCAAAAUUGUCCAAUUAAGAUAUGUAAAAAUAAAAAUAGUUAUUAUCGUAGUCUUAAAACCCAACUUGGGGGUUGACUUGUAGAAAGAUAUGUGAUCUUUGUUGACCCAAGUCAAGGUAAAAAUAAAAAUAGCUAUUAUCAUAGUUGUAAAAUCUAACUUGAGGGUCGACCUGGGACAAGGCACGGGUCAUUGUUUGGGUUGACCAUUGACCCAAGUCAACAAAAAAAUAAAAGUGGUUAUUAUUGUAAUUUUAAAACUUAACUUGGAGGUCGACUCAAGGCAAGGCCCGGGUCAUGGGUCAGGAGGGUUAACUCUGGUGGAACCGGGUUAAUGUAAGGAUAAAAGUGGUUAUUACAAUAGUUUUAAAACUCGACUUAGAGAUCGACCUGAGGUAAGCUCAGGUCUUGGGCUAGGAGGGUUAAUGCAUGGAUAAAAAUAAUUAUUAUCAUAAUUUGAAAACUUGAUUCAAGAGUCGACCCGAGACAAAGCCUAGGUUAUGGGUUGGGAGGGUCAACCCGAGUUGACCCAAUUUUUUUUUAAAAAAAAAGAAUCAACACAACCUUGUUUUGACCAAUUUUUUUUAAAAAUAACAGGUUUUGCCCCGUGUUUUAUCCCGAGUCGACCCGUGUUUUAUCCCGAAUCAACUCGGUUUUUUAACUCACCUAUCUUUUCUUAAACUUAAAAUUAAUCCGGGCUUAGAGACAACUAGAUCCCGAAUAGAUUCACUAGGUCAGUCUAGGUUAUAUAACUAGGAUUAUUAUAAUAUUAUUAAUUUCAACACUUAAUAUAAACUAAAGUAAAAAAAAGUUCUAAUUAUUUGUAUAAAUAUGUAAGUUUACCAAUAAUACAUAUUAAAGGUAAAAUAAUUUUUUUAUAUAUUUUUUUUAUCAUUAUCAAAUAAGAUAUAGAGACAGUUACCGCCAAACAUAAUUUUAUUUUCAUCUCCUUUUCUAUCUUUUUUUUCUUUAUUUUCAUGGUCUUCUUUUUUAUUCAUAACAGUAACCAAAUAUUGGCUAGUUAUAACAUAUAGAAACAUACAAGUUGUCAUGUUCAAGCCGUUCUCUUAUCAUUUUAAAUAAAUUGAAACACAAUUGCGAGGAGAAGAGUGUGUUUUGUAUUGUGUUAGCUUUUGUGGUUGUGGUUUGAAAAUUGUUGUUUUAUAAAAAAUACUUUUAGUUGAGGUUGGUUUGAUAUUUAUAUAUGUUUAGUUAAAAUUGUGGUUGAAAUUGAGGUUGAACAAAAAGUAAUUUAAUGUGUUUGGUUAAGAAUGCUUUUCAAAUCGAGGUUAUAAAAUAAUUAAAAAAGAUAUAUAUUAAUAUUGAUAGUUUUUAAUUUAAAUAUUGUAGAUUUAACUACUGCUAUUACAUCAUGAAAUAAAUAAUACUUUAUAUAAAAUAUUUUUUUAUUGUUCCAUUAAACUAUCUACAAUUCCAUCACAUACGAAAUUCAUUCGACAAGGACUACAGUUUUCUUGGUUUCUUAAGCGCACAACAAUAUCAAGUAAAAUAUAAUCAGGAACAAAAUUAGGAUUGCGAUCAAAUUCUGCAAAUGCUAUGUCAUCAAGCAAUCUCCUUAUAAUUUAUGUAGUGUUAUUGAAUAAUGCUAAACACUAGUUUUUCAAAUAAAACAUAAUUAAAAAUAAAAAAAAAUUGAUUUUUUUUUAUUUUACUGGGUCAGACCCGGUUCAAUGCAUUUAGCUUUGAAUCGGACCCAGUCCGGCCAGAAUAGUAGAGACAUUCUAAGCAACUUCAAGUGAGUCUCGUAAACAGUAAAUAACGUACCAAACAAUUAUUUUUAGUAAAGCAGAAGCAACCGAAGAAGAAGAAGAAGACAUGUGAUUACGGUGCCAUGCAGCAUUUUGACAUUAUGAGUAUUUUGAUGUAUAUCCAUUAAUUUAUAAUAUACAAGUAUAUUUCCAUGUUUCUUUUAUUUUGAUAGAACAUUUUUCCAAUAGAAUUUGUUUUUAUUGGAAUUCCAUAUUGAAUGGAUGUCAAUUGAAACUAAAAAUGUGUUAGAUAAGAGCAUACUAAUAUAAAUACCAAAUAAUGUUUAAUUAGAUUGAAUUGAACUAGACACCAUAUGUUUUUAUUCUAUGUUUGGUGCACUAAAGAUAAGAUCAAAUAAUUUUGUUUUUAUCAUUGAGAUAUUUUCAAUCAUUUAUUUUAGUCUUUGCAUUUUAUUUUUAUGAUAUUUUAGUCCUUACUAGAAUUUCUUUGUCAUCUAGAACAAUCUAGUUCUUAAAUCAAAAAGUUUUUGCAAUUAAACUCUUACAUGUACAUAUUUAUUUUAAUAAAAUUGGUCAAAUUUUGGUUUUCCAAAUUAAAAAAUAAAUAAGUGAUAAAUAAAUAAUAGAUAAUAUAAAAAUUAAGAAAAAAUAAUUUUUGUACAAAUUUUUUGUCCAAUCCUUGUCAUGUCCAAAGUGUAUAUCAAACAUUUUAUAGCUUGCCAUGUGCAACAAAUAUAUCACAACUUGUUUUUAUUGUAUUCUAUUAUGAUCUGUUUUGUGCCUUAUAUUAUUUAAUAUAUUAAAAUAAAUUUAAUAAAUUAUACUGAAGCAAGAUCUAAUAUUAGAAAGUUAACGGAAAUAAAUGUACCUUUGCCCGUCCCUUCAACAAAAUGCUGAGCUGUAUACUAAUUCUCAGAGGCAGUGAUAACUAGUUGUUCUAACUAAUCCCUAUACUUUUAAAUAUGUUUACAAUUCAGUCCCUUCAUUAAUUUUUCGUUAGUAAAAUGUUGAGCUGUCAGCAAUAUUUCCUUAGUUUGUGCCGCUAACUUAACGGUAAAAUGUGAUUCAAGGAUCAAUUAAUUAUUUAAAUGAACUUGAGGGAUUAAUCUGUUUGUUUAACAAAAAUACAGACACUAGUUAAAUAGAAUUUAACUCCAAUUUUAAUCAUCAUAUGCGUGCGUGCGAGCGAGCGAGCGAGUGUUUACUCGUUAAUGUUUUUUUAGAAGGAAUCUGGAAAAGAAUAAAGUCAUCCAUUUCACUUUGGUCCAGCAUUCCUCACCUCUCCCCGCCAGAGCUCUCCCUCCCUCCCUCCCUCCCUCCCUCCUCCGCCUCUCGGAAACCGCCGCCGCCAAGAAGGCUUCAGAUUUCUGCCAGGUGCUUCUAUUUCUAUCAUGUUUUUGUUUUUAAAAUUUAUGGGUGUUUUCAUUUAUUCUAUUGGAAUUAUUAUUCAGAGACAGAAAUUCUAUUUUAAUGAGAAAAUUAAAAAAAAUAAUCGAUCCGAUGAAAUCUCUGCUAGUGAACGCAAUUCGAUUUUAAUAAGUAAAUUAAAAAAAUAUAUAAUCGGAUCCGUUGAAAUCGCUGCUCGUGAACGCAAUUCAAAGAAACGCACAAUCAGCCGAUUCUAAUAUUUUCUUUUUCAAUUUUUCCCCUUAAUUUACAUGAUAUUAUCCGAUUUUUCUCACAGUUAUUGUUGUAAUAAUCAAGCCCUGAAUUCUUGAACCCAAAUUUAUUUUAUUUUAUUUUAUUUUAUUUUUUAGUGGAGAAUAGAAAUCAAUUCAAAUCUUUUAGGCUCGAUCGAUAAUUUGUUAAUUAGUUUAUGCAGCAGCUGGAGUGGAAGAGAUUUUUCUGCCGGAAUGGCCGAAAAAUGAGCUGUUUGGUUGAUUCUUCUUUUUUGGAAUUUACUGAAUUCUUCAAAAUUAUUGUGUUCUUAACAACAAUACGAUAUCCUUGGGUUUUAUGCUCGCUCACACAUGGAAAAAAGAAAGAAAGAAAAGGACUUUACAUUUUAUAAUUUGGUCAUGUUAACGCAAAAAAAAUAAAAAUAAUAGUUUAUGAUGACUCAUUGUUUGGUUGAUAACCCUACAUGAUAUAUCUUUCUUUUUAGGACUUCCUAGCUGGUCUUGAGUAUGAGGUGAAAGCUUGAGGAGGGCAGUUGGUCCUAACCAAGGACUGUAUUGUGAUUGAUUGAGUUGAAAGUUAAGAGCAUGUGGAAGUGUAAAACAAAUGACUUUGUUCACUUCACCCCAAAGGCGCACCUGUGCAUCUAGUUAGGAAGAACAUUUUAUAACUUACCUCAAGGUCGAGCAUGGUCAGGGUUAUUGUGUUGUCUAUUCCGAGAAAGAUGUGCCUGCAAAUUUAAUCUUAUUUCAACAAGAGUUGUUAAGUUAAUUCUUAUCAGUCCUCUUUAGAGUUGAUGAUGACAUGAAAUAUUCAUGGUUAAUGCUUGUCGUUUUCUUCUUCAUUUUCCUAGCUUAAAACAUCCUAGAAAUCUAUCUAUUGAAGUAAAGCAUUUAAAUGCGUAUACAAUGUUUUUGGAACUUUAAAUAUCUAUUUGAUCAGAAUCUGUGAACCUAAAACCACAAUGAAUACAAAUGCAAGUUUGUCAUUGUAAACAUUGCAUCAAUGAUGUAUCACGAGUGUUGCUAGAAAACAUCAAGUUAAAAUUGAAGCACCAUGAGUUUCUCCAUGGCUUGGUUUACCAACACUCACCAUCUGAUGGUGUGGCAAGUUAUGAACUAGCUGGCUAGUUUUUUGCUUCCUUGGUUUUAGAAGGACCAUGAAGAUUCAGGCCCAAAUCUUGCUUAUAAUACCUAAAUACCCAAGAUCCUAGCACCUUGCCCUGAAUGGUCGUGUAUAUUUGUUAUGGCUGUUCAGAUUUUAUGCAUCCAUAUUUGGUAGAAUUCUUUAAUAAAGUACAUGCUAUUGGAUGGAAGUUCUUUUUAAAUCUAUUCAAGUCUGAAUAAACUGACAUUCCAAUUUUCAUGACUUUGAUAUGCUCUUACUCUUCUGUUGUUCCUGACUUUCUUUUUAGGGUCUAUUCUAACAUGCAAUAUAAUUAUUAUUUUUUUUUUUGGUGAUUGAAGUGAUUUUUUUGGUUGGCCAAAACCCCAUGGAUGCCAAUAAUUGGAGGCCCACUGCCCCAGGCGGAGAACCUGUUAUGGACACAGGUGAUUGGAGAACUCAAUUGCAGCCUGACUCACGGCAAAGAAUAGUCAACAAAAUGUAAGUCUCUGUUUCCUAAUAUGUGCAAGUGCUGCAAAAUAGUAAAUCUUGUAUUUAAAUGAAAGAAAAAGAGAAGGGAAAAAGGUUAAUUAAAAUCAGCAGGACUGCCAUGAGGCAACCUCAAGUAUCAUACACCUCUGUUUUUGUCUUUUUCAUUUUUCACGUGUUUCUCACAAGAAGUGAACUUGAGGGAAUAAAAAGUGCUGGGAAGUAAUUUUUGUUGGAACUUCUUGUGUAACAUCUUUCGAUGAUGACCUCUAGGAUGGCUGCAUGAAGCUUCUUCCGCUUUAAAUUUCAAGGUUAAUCUAUUGCUAUGAGCAUUGGUGUUUCAAUUUCAACCUUGAGUUGCAACUGAACUUAAAUGAACAGUGUUGGAUUUGAGCCUUCCAUUUGCUUUAACUUCUACAGGGUUGAAAUGAUAGUUAUCUUAAAGUACAAAAGCAGCAGACAAAAAUCAAUUAGUCACAAUAGUGCAUGGUUUCCUAGUUUCUCAGUAUAAAGUGGAAUGUUUUGGUGAUAUCUCUACAUCCAAAUUCAUAUAGACAGCUACUGUUGGCAUUUGCAGUAGCCAAUGAGCACUGUAGAGUAUAUAUUGCAGCGUGAGAUAAGGUUAACUCAUUGCAUUUUCAUAAAUUAAAAGGAUUUCUCUUCUUUUCUUUGUUAAUUGCAGUGCAUGUAUAAAGGUUUUCUUAUUUAGAGUAAAUGCUGUUGUAAUGUUUUCACAGAGUUCCCUUGGUUUGCAGCUAAUUCAUUUAUAUAUCUUGGAGCAUAGCCAUAGCCAUAAAUGGAAGGUUCUUCCAGUUCAAGAAAAUUAACCAUGAAGCUCAUAGCUAGAAUUUUAAACAUAAGGGUGGCCAAGUGAACUCCUAUACCCUGUACCUGUGGAAUAAUACGGGGAAAGGAAGUAAAAAUAGAUGUGUAUUUUGAUGCCAUAUAUUACUUGACCGACACUUGGCUAUAUCAUUAUUUGUUUUUACUUUUUCCUAAUGAUUCCGUUGUAUACAUUUCUGAUAUUGGUGUGGUGUAUGAGUUCACGGUUCUUUCUCACUGCUGCUAACUUCUCUAUACCUGCCUUGUCAUUAAAAAUUAAAUGUAAUGUUUUACAUGUGCAGAAUGGAGACAUUAAAGAGGCAUCUUCCGUUUUCUGGUCAAGAGGGAUUACAAGAACUCAAGAAAAUUGCCGUACGGUUUGAGGAAAAGAUUUAUACUGCCGCCACCAAUCAGGUAUUCGGCUAAUGCUAGGUUCAAUGAUUUCGAUAUUCUCUAGACAUGAAUAUACACAUGCAUAAGUUUGUGGAUUAAUGCAUGUACACGUGUGUGUAGUGUGUCCACACUUCCUUACUGGUCAUUCUGUAGAAGUUCUCAUCUUUUCGUUAUUUCUCUUGACAAGUGUUUUAUUUAGAGUGACCAAGGUCCUUUUCAAGUACAAGGGAAGUGUGCAAAAUGCAAAUAACGAAUCAAUACAUAAAUAAUUAAAUAAAAAGAAAGGACACAGAAGUAUAUCCUCACAGAAGAUGCAAAUACAGAAAGCCUAGCAUAUUAGAAAGAGCAUAUAUCCCUUUUCCCCCUUCUCUUGUAACAUGGACUGCGCAGAGAUCUAAUGUUUUGUUAUUGAUAUCUGAUUUCAGUCUGAUUAUCUGCGUAAAAUAUCUCUGAAGAUGCUUACAAUGGAGACCAAGUCUCAAAAUACCAUACCCACUGGCAAUGGUAACAAAACCCUGGAUCCAGGAGGUAAUAAUGCAGCCAAGCAUUGGAUUUCUAAACAUCCUUACCUUUUGUUUUGUAUUUUGCGUUGUUAUCAAACUCUUUUACAUUUUAUUGCUGCAUUUUGCUAUGUA
rnacentral:lncRNA from 1 species